UCACUUCAAUAAUUUUUUGUAUUAUUCCAUAUCUUUCACUUUAAUAACCCAAAAGCUUUCCUCUGUUUCAACUAAGCGAAAAUUUACAUAUUAAAGCCUGGCUCAAAUUCCUUUUUUCAAUCGAAAUAAAACGUAGCCACAAAACCCUAAUUCACCACACCAAUUUAUCUCUGCCCGGUAUUCAUUUAAACCCUACCUCGCGGUUCAAUGUCAUUCUAUACGAUUGCAGAUGCCGUUUCAACUUGUCAUUUAGUUAGCGCCAUCCAGUUCUCUAUGGUAAGCCUUAACCCUAACAACUAAUCGACUGUGGUAGCACGUUGCUUGUUAGGAGUGGGGAUACAUUAUUUGAAUAUACGAAUUGGGUGAUGUUAGUGAUUCAUUCCCCUAUUUGUCGUGAAUUGAGAUUUGUGUAUAAUGCUCGUAAGAUUGCUAAAAAUUUCAUAUUUUGUAUUGUUCCAGUUGAAUUUCUUGCUUGUGGAAGAUAGAACAAAAGUUCAAUUUCAUGUUGAUUUAAUUCUUCUUUUUCAUCUUUUUUUUUUCUUCUUUAUAGUCACGCUCUGGCUGGUGCUAUGCUUAGUGCAGUCUAUGGUUUCAAGAUUAAGUCACGUUUAUUUGAUGGCGUCGACUCCAUCAUUAAGAAGCUCUUCUUAUUUUAUCUCAGUUUCAAUUUUCUUUUAUUAUCUGCCUCUACCUGAAAAUGGACGUGUUUUACUAGUAAGCAGACUUUUUUUAUUUAAUUGAUAUUUUAAUUUUAUGUAUAAGAAUGGAGGUUUAUUUUAAAAAAAAAAGAAAUAAAAAAAUAGACUCUGUUGAAGCUAAUUAGUACUGUUUUUUUUUGGUGGUGCGACCAGAGGUGGAAACCGGGUAUGACAAUGUGUUACUGGUGAGGUUGCUGCUUAAGAUGAGAAUGCAUUCUUUUCAAAAAUCCUUUGUAGGUGUUAUCUAAUUAUCUUUGAUGGAAUAUUAAAUGGCCAAAAAUCUGUCAUACGUUCAAACUUUGUUUGUGUUUAGAAGAAUGGUGUUGAUUGUAUAUUCAUUUGCUUAGCCUUUUGACAGAUGGAUUUGGAACUGACGAUAAAUGUGAUUCAAUUCACAAGGUUUUCAAGGGGCUCACCGUGGAAGGGAUAUUGAAGAGCUGGUCUAGGAUAAAGCCUAUGAUUGUGAAAGAUUGGAGUGAGAAUAUAGAUGCUCGUUUUCAUCUUUUUGGCAAGGUCAGAGAUGAAUGGAUAGAUAAGGAUUUAUUUGACUACCUGGAUUGGUGCUAAUAGGUAUUUUAAGCAAGCUUUUUGAGAUAACACUGAGCAAGUUGUACUACUAUUUUGCACAUGAUGAUCAAAACUCUCGAAAAGUAAAAUAAAAUAAAGUAUUAACUUUUACUUUCAUCUUUUGCAUAGCAAUCAAUGUGGUGCUUGUUCUGUAACAACUUUGAUAAUCUACUUUAUUGGUUAGCGUUUGGACCAAAAAGGUUCUUAUGAUUUACAUGUUUUGUAGAAAUGCAUGAACCUUAAAUGUGCUGAUCAGGGAGUUUAAUUAUUGCACCUUGAAAUUCAUUUAUUGUUAACUAAUUGGCUUUCCUUUGCAUAAAGCCGCUUAUAAGGCUUGAGUGGACGUCUUUAUGGGCAUAUUAUUCGUAUUUCUUUAUGCAUGCCUUUAUCAUUUAAUGUGCUGCUUGUAUUUCUUUAUGCAUGCCUUUAUCAUUUAAUGGCCAGCUCCCUUUCCUCAUUUGUAAUUUGAAUAGUAGUAUGGGCCUCCAUUUUACAAAUCUUUAACAUUUUUUGCUGUAAAUUAAUUUUUCUUUCAAAUAUUUUGGAGGUCAUUGGAAUUCCUGUAGGUCUAUUUACCAGAUUUUAGUAUGUUUAAGGUUUUAAUUUUUCUUAGACUUUAAUUUUUCUGAAAGAUUGUAGUAUUGAUCCUUAAAGUAAGAUCAUGCUACUUCAAAUUAUUUUGAAGCGUUGCUAGUUAUAGCCUUACAUAUCAAAUUCCAUUUGUCUGGAAAUUUAUUGAUAGCUGUUACAGCAGCAUAUUUUAUGACUCUACUUCUUAGUUAUGUAAGUUCAUUAUGUUUAGGUCAGAGGCAGUCAGCUAUGGGGAAUCGAUAUAUGCACAGAUGACUCUGAUCUUGUUGCUGGUAUGUGGUUCUAUGAAUAAUUGUUCACAAUAAUUGUGUUUGCCUCACUGUUUUUGUUUUAUGAGAUCUAUAAUUGAUCUUGGGAUAUUGCUUUCUAGUUCUCAUGCAAGCAAGUUACUACCUUCCCACUGCAUCUCCUCCUUUAUCUGCUAUUCAAGAGUUGCGUGCCAUAAUCUGGUAUUACCUCUGCAAGAUUGUGAAUCAAUAUAUUGCGUCUAAAUUUAUUUUAUACAUAAUGCUAAUGCUGAAUAAUAUAUUGUAGCUCCUGUCAUAUUCUACUUUGACUUUUUAUAUUCUGUUUCAUAUAAAAAUCUUAUUCAACUUUAGUUGUUCAUGAGCAAAUGUCACAUGUAUAAGCCCAAAUGAUGUUUAAAGGUAGCCCGGCUACCUUCAGUUUGAGCUUACAAUGGGUGAAAAAGAAUUUGAGACUGAUAUUUUGCUGUUUUUGUGAUUUUUCAAAGUAUUUUAGAUCUUGACUUUUGUUUGGACUUGAUGGUUAUAGAUUGUGUCUAGAUUUGUUAAGUUGUUUCCAACACCUCGUGCCAAAUCAAAGCACAAUCUUUCUGAUUCAGAUGUCUGGUUAAUUAUGCUUCAUUUUUUCGUUAAAGAUUGGAUGGUUGCAUGGAUUGAUGGAGUUGGAGUUCAACCAGUAAUUCUAAUUUUUUGGACUUAAAAUGCUCUGUAUAAAAACUUUAGUAAGUGUUAUUGAGUUGACAGAAGUUGAAUACUUACAGGUUGUUUCACACUUUCUAAAAGUUUUACAUAAAUGAAUUUCUGUUUUUUGAAUUGCAGAAAGGAGGUGGAACUAUUGAUUUGGAGCCUUAUCUUACUCACUCAUCGACAACGGAGCCUACCCUCGCUCCCAUGGCAGUGGAACGGACAAUGACUACUAGGGCUGCAGCAUCGGUUGGUUUGGGUCUGUUUUGAGUUUUAUUGUCAUUUAUUUGGCUAUGUUUUGAUAGCGAAUUUUGAUAUGUCAAUAUAAUGUGUAAUUGUUUUGGGUUGAGCUGGUAAUUAUGCUGGAUUAGAUUGGUUUGUUUUGGUGGUUCUCUGAUGGAACACUGCUUUCUUUUAGAAAUUUUGAAUAUAAUAUGAGACUACAUAUAGUUUAAUUGAACACUGCAUCUAGUCUAAUUACUAGAAGUGUGGCAUUUGGUUUGGUUUAUCCGAUAUUCUCUAGAAUUUCACUUGCAUCUGGUUUUGUUGCAUAUGUUUGCUUGCAUUUGAUGGUAGUAGCAGACUGUUUGGUUUUGUGGCAUUUGAUGGCAGUUUGAUCUGUUCUUGGUGCUGAUUUAAGAUUGUUCCUGUUGUGCUGAUGUUAAUUGCAGGUGCUUGAAUCAGCUAGGGUUGCUGGUUUAUUCAGACGACUGACUCAGGCGUUGUUAUUGGUUGAUUCAGGUGGUUCAUUUAAUGUUAGGAAGCAAAUUAAGAAAUAAUGAAGUAUUCAUUUAACUAUAAUUAUUGUAGUUAUUUUAUUUCAUAACUGAAUUAUAAUCUAUGAUACUUGUGAACAAAUUAGAGAAUUUUUAUAUAUGAAUUAUAUAUAUGUGUGUAUGUACAUUUUGCUAUUUAUAUAAUAAUUUAAAGAAUAUAUUUCAAUUCCCACAAAAAAUGGCUCCAAUUCCAAUAAUUCCUGCCAAAUAAUUAAAUUUUUUAAAUUUACCACCAAAAUAUAUCUUAAAGAAAUGUUAGUUAUUCUUGCUAGAUUUAACAAAAAUAAUUUGUAGGAUUAAUAUUUAAUUAAAAUGAUUAAAUAAUUUUAUUAUUCCAAUUAAAUAUGUCAUGUUUAUAUGACAGGCAAUAGUCAUGAAUGGGAAGUAUUAGUUACAUAUUUUUCCUUGGGAUUUCAGGCAAAUGAAAAAAAGAUUGAGAAUGAUUUCAAGAGGACAGGUGGAUGAUAAGUAUUCAUUUUUGCAUAUUUGGCUAAUGUCCUCAGCAGUGGAUUUUUAUGGUAUUGAUUUUAUAAUUUUCAAUUAGUUGCAGCCCUAGAGGAAGAGUAGGCUGAUCAAAUUGAUUUGUCUUGUUUUUGGGGCAAUUUGCGACACGAUGACCGUGAUAAUGCUCGUGACUGCUGGAAACUUUCUGAUGGAAAUAACUUUAGAGUUCGUAGCAAGCAUUUCUGUUAUGACAAAACAAAGGUUCCCCCAUAUUUUGGUUGUUUGUUAUGGUAUUUAUAUAUCCUGCAUAUGCUAGGUCGACAGGUUAUGAUGUAGUUUGGUUGGCUCUUCUUGUGCUUUGUGCAAUUUGUAACUGCAGAUACCUGCGAGAAAACAUUUAAUGGAUCUUGUUGCUGUUGAUUGGUUCAAAGACACAGAGAAUGGACCAUGUAGCUAGGCGUCAAGGCUGUGCUGCACAAGUAACUAUUCUUUUCUUUUUAUUUUUCCUUUUCCAUUGAUGCGUUAGGAGAAAAUACUGCCUGUGAGAUACUACAAUGUAAAUAACUUCUUAUGGUUCAUUGAAUCUAUAACACACUGAGCCCUAUUCUAAAAUAUGUAGGUUGCUUCUGAAAAAGGACUUUUCUCACUGAUCUUUAAUCGUCAAGUAAGUUUGUUUCAUUUCAGAAGGUAUAAGUUUCAAACUUAUUGUAUUGGGAGGUUGUAUAGUUGUAACCUAAGCAUCUGCAGCUUCCUGGUUCAACACAUUAUAGUAUGGUAUUUUAUUUUGUCACAAGGUAAUUGGUUACGGGAUCACUUUUGCGACGGUUUGUUGAUGGCGAUGAUGAAUUUCGCAAUAGUAGGUUGAAACUUAUUCCAUCUGUUCCUAAGGUAUCCAUCUUGGCCUUCAUGUAUUAGGACUAUAUUAAUGUAUACUUACCCUUUACUACACGGUACACUUCAAUUUGUACAAAGAAGGCAUGCAUUUAGGUGUAAAUGUACUGAUGGGUUGUAUCUUCAAUCUUCAUGUCCUUUUUACCCUCUUGAAUUUGUUUUGCACUUGUUCUUGAUUUGAAGCACUGAAUCAUGCAGGGGUCAUGGAUCGUGCGCCAUAGUGUUGGAAGCACCACUUGUUUAUUAGGGAAAGCGGUUGAUUGUAACUAUCUUCAUGGUCCCAAGUACUUAGAAGUAAAUGCUCUUGGAAUUUCUUUAGUACACGAGAUGUUCCCCUUUCAAAUAGUGUCCGAUAUCAUUAACAUGGUUUAACAUUGUUCAUCUUUCUGUAGAUUGAUGUUGACAUCGGUUCUUCUACUGUUGCUAAUGGAGUUUUGGGCCUUGUAAAUGGUGUAAUUACGACAUUGGUGGUUGACAUGGCUUUCCUUGUACAGGUAUGUAUGAUUGUUAUUUUAUUUUAUUUUAUUUUUUUACCCCCACUUCUAAAUGGACACAAGGGAAAAGACAUGAUUUUGAGAUAUUGCCCUACAAUUUGCAUUUUUGCAUACUUGAAUGUUCUCAGAAUGGUAUAAAUAAUGCUUCGAGUGUCUCUUCUUUAUCUUGCUUUUUUGUAUGCAGGCAAACACUACAGAUGAAUUACCAGAGCGACUGAUUGGAGUUGUACGUGUUUCUAGUCUGCUAUUGUCCCAAAGUUGGAACCAGAGACAUCAUCAUGACUGUGGUUUCAUUUCACCUCAACUGUUUUUUUUUUUAAUUGAAAAAAAAAAUCAUUUGUUUUAGGUAUACGUACAUGUAUUUUGAUCCCGUUUUCAUUGUAAUUUCUCAUUUACUUUGAAAGAAAGUCAUUGGUGUUUUCGAAUGGGAAUUUUGCAUUAAAAAAUGAAGAAUACUUAAUAGGAAAUUUCAUGAUUCUUUAGUUACUAUUUUUGGAAUGAGUGUAAUAGUAUUAAAGUUGGUUUCUACUCGCAAACAAGUGAACUACUCGAUCCCAACUGCGACCACGCUAAUUGUCAUUGUUUAAUAGCUACUACUUUUAAAACUCAACAACUAACAAAAAUACUAAAAAAAAAAUGAUUUUCUUAUGAUGCUGUGAAAACAUUUAUGGGUUCACUUAUUUCCACAAGAUCUAUAACAUGGUCUUGACUUCACGAAAUUCUUUUAAUUUAAAGGGUGCUGGUCUGAGAAAGUCAGUUUGACGGAUUAAUUCUUUUUAAUAAUGGUCGAGUUAAUUUUACUAGACUCAUAAAAUUAUUCUUAUUCUGAUAAUGCCACAAAUGUUAUGUUGUUUUCUUCAGCUAAUGAUCUUCUAUCAGGACUAGUUGGAAAUCAAAUGCUUAAAACACCAAUUGAAUGAAUAAUGCAGAAGUUUAAACAGUAUCUAAUUGAAAAUUGCAUGAAACUUGAAACAUCAAUUCAAGUCCUUCCUUAAACAGAGAAUGCAUCAAACAAAUCCAAAGUGUCUUUCAAGUCUGUAGCAUGACUAAAAAAUUGUAAAUGCCUUCAGAACCAAAUUAUUCAAGUACAGGAGAACGAGCAAGUUGAAUCAUGUACAAGAGGUUGGCUUGGUUCCAGAUAGCUUCUUCACUGUACCUGAAGGGUUGGCUCAAUCUUUUCUUUAGAAUUCUGCACAUUUUGUAAUUACUCAUGUAAGCAAGCAUACAUUACAACCAUAAUAAUAAUAAAGCAAGAGUAAUGAUACGACCACAACCUCUUGUGCACAAAUAAUAUUGUACAAACUAAUAUGACAUAAUAUGAUUGAGUAAUGAUACGACCACAAUCUUUUGUGCACAAAUAAUAUUGUACAAACUAAUAUGACGUAAUAUGAUUGAUUAAACAAAAACAUAACAUAACCCUCAUAAUUUAUUUAUUAUUAUUUUAUAUUUUCAAUCAAGCAAUCAUAUUAUGCCACGUUAAUAGCUAUAGAAAUAAUUUGCUAGAUAGUGCAACACUUCAUUGAUACUCACCAUUUCAUUGAACAAUUUUUUUAUGGUGUCAUUGAGGUUUCCUUCCCAACAUCCUUCGUCAUCACCAUCUUCUUCUUCGGUGGGUUUCACUUUGUUUAGCUUCGGUGCGUCUACGACUCCUUGAGAGAAAAUCUUCAUUGUUGGGCACUGUCUCACAACUACGUGUUCCAAGGACGGGAACUCAAGAGCGUAAUUACCCAAACAAAAGCUUGUUAGGCUUGGCAAACAAUCAAGUCCCAAGUACUCCAAUUUCCUGAAAACAAUGCAAUCUUCCGCUUCUUCUCCAACCUGCGAUUGUAUGAUUUCUUCUAUCAUUUUGCAAUCAGCUAUCUUCAUUCUUUCGAGAUUCACUAGAGUUUUAGAUGUUGAGAGCGUCAACACAUUUAUCAACCCGUGACACUUCGAUACUUCUAGUUCCCACAGAUUUUCCAAAUGCCACGAAGGUGGUACUAAUUUUUGCAACUUACUACAUUCCGAUAUUUCUAGACUUCCCAAGUUUGCAAACGCUUUGCUGGAUUCGUCAUUUUCCUUCCAGAGAUGCUGCACUUUGUGUAAUCCAGAUACUUUAACUCUAUCAAUUGAGGGAAUGCAACCUAAAAAUCAACAAAAUUAAGUUGUAAAUGAAAAUAUGUAUCCAAUCUCUGCAGUCUUCCCCUGCAUAUUUUAUGGACAAGAUUAAUCACAGCAUUUUAUAUUUUUUUUUCCAAAUUAGUAUGCUUUGCAGUAGGAUCCCAAAUAUAAGUAUCAAAUCGAUUACCCUUUGAAACACAUAAAUGAAAUCUGAUGCUAAAUCUAAUAUGAAUUAGCUAGGAAAACAGAGAUGUUACACACAUAAUUAAUAUAGUUCAUCACCUCGUGUUACCAGGCAUCCAAUUAAUUUCAGACACUUUUAUAAUUCAUACUAUAAAGUUAGUUAAUAAUUGCGGUUAUAUUGUUAAAUCAGAUAUAAAUUAAGACGACAUGUAAAAAGAUGAGUCAUUAAAUUUGAUUUGAUUCUAAUGAAAUUACAACUGUGCGAAAGAAAGUGAAGGGAAAAAUAAUAAUAAUGAUUACCUUUUCAUUGAAGAGAUGUUGUAUUUGAUCAGCUACCAAGAGGUUCUUUUCUGAUUUUAAUUUUUGAGCUUCCUUAUUAUCUGCUGUCAUGUGCAGUACAGAUGUAGAAUUGGAUAUGAAUGUUUCCAUAUCAGGGCAAUUCUCAAUAGUUAGAUAUCUCAACUUAGGCAGUUCAAUUAUAUUCCUAGUGAAGUUGAAAAAUCUUUUGAGUUUUGGAAGGUCAGUGAGCCCUAGCUUGAAAAGCUUAGGAAACAGGGGGCCUAUAUGUUCUUUGUCAGCAUUAAUUAGCUCUUCCAAAUGAAGCACCUCUUCAAGUGAAUCACAAUUCCUCACUUCCAGGUAUACCAAAUUGUUCAAGCACCGUAGCAGAUUAGCAGGAAUAGCACUCGACAUAUUCGUGCAGUCAUCCACCACCAGGUCGAAUAAAUUGUUGAAGAAGCUGACAGGCAGUGCUUGGCCAUGCCAUAUUUCUUUCAAACGUGGAAAAUGCGAGAGUUGCAAAUGUAUUAUGUCACGAAAUCCAAUCUGCACAAACCAAAACAAUUGCACUGGAUAUAUACAAUUUUUUCUUUUUGAAAGGCAUAGAUAUAUAUAUACAUUAAACUUAUAUGUUCAAAUGUGCAAGUGCAAGGGAGAUGCAUAAGUAAUUUCGACGAAUCGAUUUAACACAUACCAUUUCUUCGUAACACUUUUGUAUAGUGGAAUUAAGGUUGCCUUCCCAACGGCGCAAUUCACCCUCUUCCUGUUAAGAAUAGAAUUAGUUAGUUAAUGAGUAUGCUGACAUGGCAGCUGAGUCAGCUAAAGGUUGUUAUAGAGGUUGUUAGUAGUAACCUGUGCGUGUGUGCAAUGUGUGUAGAAUCUUCUAUGCACAUAUAAAAAGGCUUGUAAUUUCCAGAUUCAUUAGAUCAAUAAUAACAGAAUUCUCAGCUUACAGAAGUUUUCUUUCUUCCUAUUUUCUUAGUAACCUAACAACAUCACAGUUUCAUAUAAAACUUAAUACUUCCUUUUACUCACUUGCACUUUGCAUAGCUUUGGUGUGGAUAAGAUUCCCUGAGAAAAAGUCUUCAUGUUCAGACAAUGUGUCAUAGAAACUUGUUCCAAUGAUGGGAAUUCAAGAGUGUAAUUCUCCGAACAAAAGCUGGUAAGCCUUGGUAAAUAAUCAAGUUCCAAAAGUUUUAAUUCGCUGAAAGCAAUACGAUUCUCCUUCGCUUCUUCUCCAACAUGUCCUAUGAUUUCUUCUAUUUUUUCACAGAGUGAUACAUUAAGAUUCACUAGACUAUUGGGAAUUCCAACCUGAAAAUAAAGAGUAGCAUUCAACUAGAUUCAAAGUAUGUCAAAAUCAUACAAUUGUUUUAUGAAAAAUAACAAACCAUGAAUGUCUACUAGAUAUUUUUUGUUAAAGAAAAAAAGGAAAAAAUUAAAACAAAAAUAAAUAAAUAGAAGUCCAGAAAAACAAAGAUAAUGAAAAUGCAUUUACACUAUUUAGUAUUAGGAACGGAGAAAGAAUUUCAGCUAAUUUUUAAAUAUUAUAAAUUCAUUUUUCAUCUUGAUGCUAGUUUUUAAAAAAUUUUAAUUUUCAAACAUGCCUAUUUUUAAAAUAACUAAACUAAAACGCUGUAUUUCCCAUUUUUUUUUCCCGAUAUUCAUGCUUUUAAAAAUGGAAAACAUUUCUGGAAAACACUUCCCAACGCCAUCAACAUGGGACUGUUAUAGAGUGAAUAUUUGAGGAAUUUUUUUAAUCAACGGUCGAUUCAAAAUGACCAUCAUGAAUUUGUGCUUAAUCAAUGGCGUAAUCAAUUCAUAACUAAACUAGAGAUAUUAACUACAUUUGAACACUUUUUUUUUUUAAAUAGAAAUCUAAAGACCCAAGGAAAAGAGAAAUAUAUAUGAAUUUGUGAACUUAAAAGCUGAGUAAUUAAGUAUCUUUUAAUUUCUGAAAAUCUUAUUUAUUAGGAUUUAAGAAAAAAAAACAAUUAAAUUGAAUUAUAUUAUGCUGUUAAAUCGUGUUUAAAACAAUUAUAUUGUUGACUUUAAUGCAGGUGAACCUAUAAAUUAGAUUGAAAAUGCAGAGUUCAGAAUGGUGAUUUGAAGUUCAAUACUUUUGUUCCCUCCAGAAGUUUGAAGUACAAUACUUGCAAUAAAUAAUUUGUGAAUGAAAAUUAUUUGUAAACACAAAAAUGAUUAAAAUAAUUGUUGAAUGUUAUUUGAAAUAAAAAUUCAAAAUGAAUAUAGCAAUCUUACCAAUGGAGGAAAAAUAUUCAGUAGAUUAUCACACUCAGAUAUCUCCAAUUUUUUCAAUUUGCUAAAAGACUUCGAAGCAAGCUGGUGGUGCCAUAUUUUUCUCAACUUAUCCGCCUCACUAAUAUGUAAUACCUCCAGACUUGGGAGUCGUACCUGAAGUUAAAAAUUCAAUGCAAUUAGAGAUGUAUAUUAAUUAAAUUUGAAGACUCAACGAAAAGAGAAAUUAACUAUUGAGAAUAAAAUUAAUUUAAAAAAAAAAAACCUUUUCAUCAAAGAGGGGUUGAGGUUGCAUUUCAGUGUGAAUGACGUCUUCUGGUGAGGCAAAGCUACAUAGUUUUGGAAGACCAUCGAGCCGCAGGUAGUGUAGUUUGGGAAAAACCUUUAAUUCAUCUCUUCCUCCUAACCCCCCCGUGGUGUCGACUACCCCUUCCAUUGACUCACAAUCCCAUAUCUCAAGAUGUUGGAGUUGCCCAAGACUAUUAACCAUAGAACAUGAAAACAGAUACUUCACACAAUGACACCUUUCCACAGUCACUUUUGUUAAAUUUUGACAACAAUACAUUCCCUGAAAUUGAUCGAGCCAUAAUUUUUCGAUGUUUCGUAAAUCGAAAAGUUUCAGUUUCUCCAAACGUGGAAAAGAAACCUGCAAAGCAAAACCGUACAUUUUUGUUCCUUCAACUACAACUUCUAAUAUAAUAUUCUUUCGAUGAUUGAAGAUCAAUCGUAAUAAUAUAUUAAUUAAUUAAUUAUUAAACAGAAAAUUAUUACCUGUUGAACAGGAUCAUCCUCUGCAUUGAUUUCUGUGAAUCCCUGAGUAGUUGUUGGUUUCUCCAUGUCGGGCCCUAUAAAUGAACAAAAACAAUAUGUAAUAAACAUCCGUGUUUUUUUUCACCAAAAAAAGAAAAAGAAAAAGAAAAAAAGAAUGAGUCAAUGUCAAUAAUCCUACCAAUAAUUAAUUUCAAUACUUACCAAUAAUCAUUUUCAAAUCAUCGCAGUUUUCCACUUCUACUUUUUGAAGCCGCAAUAGGUUUUUGGCCAUAGAGAAUGAGAAGAGAUACUUCAAUUUUGGACAGCAAUCUACGUUUAUAAUCCUUAAGUUGCUGAAAGAUUGAUCUUCUCUGAGUUGGCUGUAGCAUAUCGUCUCCAAAUUAGUUAAAAACAUAAGAGACAAUGACUCCAGCAAGGGAAAGACUUUGCAACGAACCCGUCUAACUGAACCGACAAUAUGUAAAAUCUCAGAACAACUUUUUACAUGAAGAUGCUUCAAUCGUGGAAAACCUUCCCCAUCGUCUAAUUCAUGAACAACACUUUGAACACCCUCCAAUGUUUCUAGCCAGAGACCUUCAGUUCUCUGCAGCAACAUUUUUGUCCCAUCAUUCUCCUGAAGAAUGCUAACUUUUUCUAGCCCCUUGAGCAUCAUCAAUCUUGGUGCUUCAGAUUUGACGAGCAAUGGGUCAAACUCAUCUUCGGACUCAUCUCCUAUGCGUAUCCUAUAUCUUUGCAAUUCCACAGAGACAAAAUUCGGCGGCAGAAUUUCGGCAUCCGCAACUUCUAUCUCCAAAGUAGCUAGCUUUGUCAACCUCUCCAACUCGACAAGACUGGCAUUACUUCCUCCUUCAACCUUCUCCCACCCUGAAAAGCUGUUACCCAUAUACAAUUCUUCUAAUUGAGAUAAUUUUGAUAUGACAUUCGGUGCUAUCACCUCAAGCAACCAACAAUUGCUCAAAUCUAGCAACUGUAACCGCGUCAAUUGUCCAAUUUCAAGUGGUAACUGCUUGAUAGUGGAACGUGCAAGGAUGAGAAUCUCUAAUUUCUUUAGCUGUCCAACUAUUGCUAUAUCUUUUAGUCGGCAAUAGUCUAAACACAAUGUUUGGAGGUUAAUGAGGCAACCAAGUGAUGAAGGUAAUGAAGAGAAGUGAAUUCGAGUAAAAUUCAAAACUUUGAGUCCUUCCGUCCCUUUAAAGAAGUGAUCUGAAACUUGCAUAGAGCCAUCACCCUCCGUAUGCAAUAGCUCAAGACAGGGACAUUGCAACCUUUCAGGAAGCACUUGAAUACCUCCAUAAGUUAAAGAAAUAGCAAUUGGAUCUUUUCGUAUUGUCUCUUCCAUCUUUUUCUCCAAGUCGGCAACAUUUGGAAUAUUAAACAUGCGCUUCUCAAAUAACUGCAAUGCUUCUUUUCGUGGCAAAGCAUCGAUCGGAAAAUUUUUCUGACAACUCAUAUCAAUGCGCAAUAAAUCUUGCUUUCUAGACGUCAAUAUUAUUGUGCAUCUUCUCUGAUCAUCCUUUCUAUCUUUCUCAGCAACAUCCCCAGAAGGAAUUCCAACAACAUCCAACUCAAGUUCUGUCCAAAUAUUAUCCAAUAUAAUGAGGACCCGCUUCUCUUUCUUCAAUCUUUCACGUAAUCGAUCAGCUCUUUCGAAUUUAUUCUCAUCCGAGCCAAAUUUCAUGCCUAAGUCAAAAGCAAGUUUCUUUUGAAUUUCCUGAUGAUCUGGGGUCUGUGUUACCUCAGCCAUAACGACCUUAUCGAACAACUUAUCUUCCAUAACUUGCUUUGCAACUUGCUUGACUAGCGUGGUUUUACCCACGCCGCCCAUGCCGUAGACCCCAAUAAUGUUGAGCUUAUCAUCCUUCAACGCCUCCACAACAUCUUGAAAUACUUUCAUUCUUGAAUCAAAGGCCUCGUAAUCUUUCACUUGCAUAUGUUCUGCCCGCUUUGGAGCAGGACGGUAGGAAACAUUAGAGAAGUUUCCUUUUCCCAGGAGACUAGCGGCAGCUUCUGCGGCCUUUGCUGCUUGUUUACUAAGCUUGUAACGAGAAAUCAAGUUUGGGCACAAUCCUUUGAAGCAGGACUUCUUAGCUCUAUCUUCAUCAUCACUGAUGGAUUUUGCAACCCCUUCACUGAAUUCAUCAACUUGAUUUAGCCAGUCUGUGACACCCUCAUAAAUCUCAUCCCCUUGUAGUCUAGCAUGAUUAACAGGUUGUUGCACCGUUUCUCUUCUAUAUCCCAGCUGCUUCACUUGAUCUUUUAGGCCAUCUAUGUAGCUCUGGUACUUGAACACAUAAGAUAUCUGCCGUACAAUCGGUUUGAACAGUGACUUUGCACCUUCUGCUACGAUGCUGGAAAAAGCAGCCAGACCCACUUCUGCCAUCGCCUGCUGCUUAACAAAUCUAAUAAUAUGUCAAAGAAAGGAAUACAAAUAAACUAAAAUGAACUAGAGGGAAAGACAAAAAAUGGAAAAGACAGCAAACAGUAUCGCAACAUUGAUCUUGAAUCAACUGAAACAUGAACAAAGCAUUUUUUCUUCUUUCUUAAGGAUCAGAGUUUUUGCUAUUAACAGAAACGUACUUCAAGUGUCUAAAAAAAAUUAACUAUAAAUGAACAAUAACUACAAAACUCAAGCAAAACAAGCCAUAAAAUUUUUAUCUUGGAAAGUGGAUGGAAAUUAAGAAAGAAAUGGUAUAGAGAUCAAGCAUCAGAGAUUAUGCUAUUAAAAGAAAUUAAUUGAAGGUUUUAGAACAAGUGCACCUGUUUAAUUAUGUGGGAUCAGAAAGUUGAUGAGCUUAUGUAAUCGCCUUGAAUAUUUAAGAACAAUUUCAAUGAGCAAAAAAUUUCUGUUACCUGCAGAGGAAUGUGAUUAUAGAGAGCUUAUGAGAGUAAUGACAAUGAUUUGGAAAAGAAGAAGACUUAAUCAUGCAGCCCUUAAUAUUUAUUGAAUGACUUGUGAUCAUUUCUUUUAUGAAUAAAAUGCCAACAGCAAAAAGAGAAGAAAGGGCGAAAUUUACUAAGUCUUAUUUUAUUUUUAAUUUCUUUUAUUUUCAUUCGGCGAAGAGGGAAUCUCUCCCUCUUUUUGUUUUUUUACGGGGAAUCUCCUUACCUAAUGUGACAUAAUGAAAGCAAUCUGUAAAUAGUAAUAUAAUGUAAUAAUUAAAAAUACCCACAUAUUUAUAAUAUUAAUGAUGGGAUCCAUAUGUUUAUACUGAUUAAAUUGGUGGACCAGAAUUUAUUUGACCGUACUUGUUUUCUAUUUAAUUAAGAUUGAAACGAUAGAGAAAAAUUUGUCGUAUUGAUUUGUUUCGAUUGUGGAGUUCCAACACUGAAAGUGAAGAUUUCAUCAACUUUCUCACAUGGACACGUACCGUCAUGCAUAUUGCAUUAUUUUCCUAGAAAAGCAAGAUUAAUUCUUUUAAUAAGCAAACGCGUAGGUGGGAAUCCAUUCAUGAAACAAGUGGAACGACAAUAUCAAACCAAUGAUAAUUCAAAAUCUGAAUCCGCCUGAUGGACGGCAACUAAUCUGAACCAUUCUCCUUUAGUAACAGGGGAAUGAAAUUAUAUCGAUGAUAGAUAAUUUCAAAACAGGGGAAUGAAAACAGAGGAACCUGUUUUUCCUUCCUUUUCUUCUUUCCCCCAACUCUUCUUCUAUUUAUAUUUUCCUUGGAAUUUUCGGCAAACGAAAAAAAAUUGGGAAUGAUUUCAGGAAAACAGGUGGAUAAUAACUAAAAUAUUUAUUUUUAUAUUUUUGAUAAACACACUCACUAUUAAUAGAAUUCAUUAGAUAUCAUAACUUAAAUAACUUCUUGUGAUUAAUUGAGGGUACAUUUGGGAUUUCUUUUAUUUCCCAAUAAUUAGCUUCUAUGUUGAUUCUCAGAAAAUUAAUUUUACGAAUAAUUUAGUAGGGUGUUUGGUAAAUGAUGAUUAUUUGACAACCAGUUUUCAAAUAAUCUACUAUACAAAUUUGAUAAGUAAAAAUUAGAAGUGUAAUAUUCAAGUGCAAAUGUGCAAUGAUAAAAAUGUAAUUGUUUGUUUAUUUGUAGUUUAUUUAGAAUAUUAUUACUAACAUCAUUUUUUUAUUUACUGGAUUUUUAAAGAGUAUAUUCUAUUUUCUUUAUUACAUAUCUAUAUCAAUUUUUUAUUAACUAUUUUAAUUUGUAAUAAAACUAACUUUAAUUUUUUUUAACUAAAAAAUUUGUUAUGCAGUUUGUUAUAUUAAAAAAAAAAUUCGGACGGUGUCUAAACAUGGUCACCAGUGAUUGUUAUAUUAAAAAAAAAUCUAUUCAAUUUUUUCUCUGAUUUUGUGUCGAUAUCUUUCUUACGUAUGUUGAUAUCAUAUUAAAGUGAAUUCAAGACCCUAUAUUAUUUUGCAUAACAUCAAAAUUUAGCCGAAUGGUAAUUAAGAAUUUCCUUUUUUGUUUGUCCCACAAUUAUAUAGUCUCAUUUUUUACAAUAAGCUCACAAUAUGCACGGAAAUGAAGAUCUAUUAAAAACUUCCCUAUAAUAUUAAACACUAAACAAUAUCACCAUGUUAUGCAUAUGGUGCCUCGUCAACAAUUUGAUGUUUAUUUUGUUUCUCGGGUGAAUAUGACUACUUGCGUUGCGAGUCCAUGCUUUUGUCGUUUGGAUGGAGGACGUGCCAUCUUUUUAUUUUAGAUGGUUUGUAAGACUUCUGAUUUAAUGAUUGAAUGCAGUCAAUUAACAAAAGCUUACAUAUUAUGUAGGUGCUGAUAUGUCUGUUCUUGAUAAAGUAGAUUUAUUUACAUCCAAGCCAACGGAGCCAAAGACAUUUCGUUAAUAAAAUACACGAUAAUUAUUUUUGUUAAACUGAUUUCUGGUUAAUAAGACCUAUAACAGCAUUCAAGGAAGCCACCGAACUCAAAGGAAAGGCAUGGUUAAAUAUACUGCGAAGCAUGUGAGUUCGUUUUUUAAUCUCUUGAUCACUCAUAAGCUUUUCUAUACCACUCACUGUAUCAUCCUUUUGAAUCGAUUUUGAUUGAUCAUCAGAGAUCAUGUACCCCACCUUAAGAUGAUUGAUCACAAAUUUGGCAUUGUAAUGUUGGUCACCUCUAAUUGGCCAUGCUAAAAUUGGGACUCGACAACCAAUUGCUUUUACUGUUGAAUUCCAUCCACAAUGAGAUAAAAAUCCACCCGUGAUUGAUGACUCAAUAUCAAUAAUUGUGGCGCCCAUCCAUCUAUUAUCAAAUCCUUUUUACCGACUUUAUUAUCCAAACCACUACGAAAAUAACUGCCUUCAGCUGGUUUGUCCAAAUGACGUAGAGGAUCCAAUCUACCUGCACCACCUUGAAUUACCCAAAUAAACGAUCGAUUUGAUGCUUCUAAAGGAUUAGCUAGUACUAAGUACUCAUCUAAGGUCAGAUCCACUUCAGUACCAAAUGACACAUAUAACACAGAUCCGCGUGAUUUCAAAUUCAACCUUUGAACGAUCUCAUCUUCCGUCAUAUUAGAACUCCGCCGGUUGGUUCUCAUCUCAUGAUCAUCAAGCACUGAACCGGCCGAUUUGUAAAAUUGUUCAGGUAAUAGUGGGCCCACUCCCCACAUCGGCUUUCCCAAUUCAUUGGCUAAAUAAUUAAUAAAUGGUCCCUCAAGACCAUCACACGUGUUGAACAUCAACGCCAUUGAUCCCUCCACUUCCUUCAUCCAGUGUGGUUGAUCACCGGCUUCUGGUGGACCUAUUUUCUCGGAACCGGGUGCACCUCUCAGAGGUGGUGGACCACCAGGAGGGGGCCCAUGAGGCCUGUGUUUUAGGUCCGAUUCAAAUAAAGCCAUAUCCUCGGGUAACCGAGGAAGUAAACGGGCCUCUCCCGGUUUGACAUCUUGGAUGCGAGCCUGCCACAUGGCACACUCCGCAGCUGCCGAGCAAGCACCAGAAGUGAAGAACCCAACAAUGGGAACUUCAAAAAUCUUGAAAACAUCAGCCGUCCAGCCCAUCAUAACGUCGAUGACUGCACAAACGGGUCGGCUUUUGGGUUCCCGGGUUGAAAGGAGGUUUCGAACUUCGAAGGCCUUGAAGCAUUUGGCUGUGCAUGGCAACAUGAGGGUGAGGAGGCGAAGGAGGGUAUUUCAGUAACUUCAAAGAGAGGGUAUUGGUGAAACGAGGAAGGGAUGAUGCUGGGGGCGGAAAUGUGAGAGGGAAUGAUGAGGGUAGAUUUGUAAUUACGAGUAGCGAUUUGCUUGCAUAAUUCAAUGCAUGGAAACAGAUGUCCCUGACCGAAGAAUGGGACAAUCCAAACCUCGGCCUCAGCAGCAGUAGCAACAGAGCUUGACAUCUUUUUGAAUUAUUUGAUACUUAAUUGUUACUGUUUGCUUUUACAUCUUUCAUAAAACACUCUUUGUUAUAUAUAAAGAGAUGACUUAAUGGAGAAGUAAGUGUUUUAGUUUUACAGUUUUACUAGUAGGUGAGCUCUGAGUUUGAUAAUUUGAUUGUUAGUUUUAGUUGGUUAGUUAUGAGAAAGCAUCUUUUAGAAAAUUCAUUCCAGUUUCAACUAAAAUUAAUAAUAUUGUUCAAAUUAAUUACUCGAUAAAUAAAUAAUUAGAGAUAAAUCUAUCCCUAAUCUCACAUUUAUAAAAUAAGGAUUGAAAUAAGUUCUUGUGGAUUCGAACUCAAGCCCUCAAGCCGAGUGGCUGGAUCUUGACUACUUUGACUUAAUUAUUAUUAUUAUUAUUAUUAUUAUUAUUAUUAUUAUUAUUAUUAUUAUUAUUAUUAUUAUUAUAUAUAUAUAUAUAUUUCAUUCUUUCAUUGAACAUCUUUUGUUAUAUAAUAAAGAAGAUAAGUUGACGGAGAAGAGUUUUACUUUUACUAGUAGAUGAGCUUUGAGUUGAGAACGUUAGUUUUAGUUGAUUAAAUAUCUACCAUCCAAAUCAACAUUCCUUAAACUAUUAUUCAAGUGAGAUGUCUGAGUAACAUACGCUUGAGUUAGUUGGUGCCUAACAAUUCGUGUGAUACAUGAAACCAACCAAUAUGAAAACCAAAUCAAGUUGGUAGGAUUACAUUAAUUUAAAUUAACUUUCAAGUUCCAACAUUAUAAGAUAAAUAAAUAGCAUAAACUAAUUUUUUUUUUCAAGUAAAUAUGUUUAUCGUUUAAAAAUUAUUUUUUCUUGCGGUAAAUGCAACACUAAAUAAGGAGUGAAGAGGGUAUUUUGUAGGGUAUACCCCCACCUUUUAUUUCAUUUCAUUAUUAAAAAAUAAAGGCUUGAUUCAACAUUCAAGUAAAAUUAACAAUUCCAUGAUAAAAUUGCUUGAGAAUAAGAAUUAAAAUAAAAAAAGAAAACAGCAACUCAAAAACGACAUACAAAUACCGCAUAGAGGUUUUUCGUCACGAGAUAUUUUUGGGUUGAGACAACAGUUGUAUAACAGAGCAUACAGACUGAAUGACGGUGAGAAUAAGAAGGAAAACGGCGCCACACACCGAAAUGCCAGCCCAUGGAGUAUUGAAGUAAUUUUGUUUCAAGUUUGCCCUCCAUUUGUAGCACGUUCUUUUGCAGUGAUCAUUCAAUCCUUUGCAUAGCCCAGAAAAAUAGAAGCUAUUAGACAGCAGAGUAGUACCUCUAGAAAGGAACACAUAAUCAUUUAUGUAACACAUAAUCAUUUAUGUAAUUCUCUGAGUAAUGCCGUUGUUCAAAGGCAAUGAGAUUACGAAAUAAGGAUUCUGUUUCUAGCUGUAGCUUCAGUUUCGGAAUAUGCGAUGUCCUGUUUUUGAAUUCUAUGGCGAACAAAUCAUUGCUCUUGCUCAAACUGAAGUGGACUCCAGCUUGGUGGAGAUUAGUCACACUUGGUGCGGUUUUACCUUUGUGGUAUUGCUGACCUUCUUGUUUUUCCUGAUUCCUCGAUGAUGGGAGAUGGCAAAUCCUUAGAAAAUCAAGGAAAUGCUCUACCCUAGCCUUAGUGUAAGGAGGGAAUUUUUGCUGAUUACCUUGUACUACCUCUAAACCCUUGAAAUACUCGUAUGUGACUGUGAUGAUGGUUGGAUUUUCAUGUUGGUCGGGGAUUUCAAUUGCCGCUAGAGCAAAAAGAUCCUCAAGAAUGAAGAAAGGAAGCUGAUUCUCAAGCAACCACAUAUCAUACCGUAUAUCCUCUAUUAAAUAGGGUUUAUGAAAUAUAUGAUCAUCUUUUUUUUGAAGUUGACGGAAAUGAUACCUCAAUAAGAGUUCAAUGAUGAAGGCAGCAUCCAGCAGAAUCAUUUCAACAAAUUUAUCACUACUUAGUUCGACUUUUUCUGCAUAAGAACCUCGUAAUUCUGCUUCUCUGAACUUUAUAAUUUGAACAAACUCGUCAAAGCUUAUUUGGGUCCGUUGAAGAAAGUAAUGCAGGUACCGCUGUUUAUGUUCUUCCAUGAACUGUAAGUUUGCUUUGCCAUGCUGAAGAGGGCCAAUUGAGACUACCUGAGGUGUAUGUACCUUUUCAUUUAUCUGACGUAAUCGCUCUGGAACUCUGUAGAUGCAGCAGUUUGAGGGCAAUGGUGAUAAUUUUUUCAACUUAACUUGCAAGCAUUCUUCCAUGUUAUAAACUGAAAACAUGGCGCGAAAUUUAAUCAAUUCAACACUUAAUAAGGCAUAGUAAUUAAAAAAGAAUUAAAAAAAAAAACCAAAUACAAGAGCAUUCUUACACGUACAGAAGCACCUCAAUCCCUACUAUUUGCAGAGCUGUAGCCAGGAGUCAAUGAUAGACCAGACUGAACUAAAAGGAACAACUUUCUUAGGAAUAUGUUAUCGGUAUUUUCUCUGGCCUCAGGCCAUCAACAAAGCAGUUUCAGUGCUUCUUAUAUAAUUCCAUGGAUUAUUCCUUGCCUUUACAGAUGAUAUAAGUCACAAUUCAUAUAUUAAUUUCUCCAGAUUCCGUACAAGUGGACCAUAACUAUGGAAAAAUUCAAAGAAUGCAACAGCCAUUUGAUUGGUCCAUGUCAGAAGUUAAUCUGGGGAAAGAAGCUUGAUCUAGCAGUAAAAUUCUCUCCUUCAAUCAGUCAGUUUGGGGCAGCAACAAGAUCAAAGCCACCACGCAAACAUUUACUAAAGUUUAUAUAAUAUUCACUAGUUUAUAUAAUAUUCUUGAAACUCAUCUUAAGUAAAGCAACAAAAGCCUUCACUGUUUCUUAACAACUUUAUUGCUCUAACACGUAGCAUAACACUUUUAAAUUUGCAUAAAGCACAAUAGUACUUUAGUUUGUAACAACAGCACAGAUAAUAAAUCGCAUUUUAUAGCUUUAACAAAAGCAUACAAAAUUCUUAAACCUUGUUUCAAGCAAUUCAUUAAUGCCACAAGGAUGUCUUUUUGCUUCCUACAGUUUUUAUUGAAAUUCAUAUAUUCUUCUUUAUCAAAUUAAGUAAUUUUCCUUUUUCAAAAAAUCAAGAAGGUUUCGACUGCAUGGAAAUACAGCACACAAUUACUACUAUUCCCGGAGUAAGAAAUUCAUAAAUGCAAUAUAAACAUACAUUUUCAUAAGACAUCAGAAUCAAAGAAUCAUCAAUGCAUCAAAUCUGUACACCCAAAAAAGUUGAAAGCAUCAAGAGAAAAUUAUACCGCAUGGACCCUUUACAACCCUUAUAACGAGUUCAGACAGCCUAAUCCAAUUUAAUAGAUUUGAGGACAGCUACAAUGUGCAAUACAAAAUUUCCCAAUACUAUUUAGAACAAAGUCUAGAAAAUAAAACCUAUAUAUUGUACAAAAUCACGAAAACCAGAAAUGACGAAAAACCUGCGAAUGUAAUUUUUGGGUUUCUUCAACAUAUCUUCCAUCCAAAUCAAACAAGAAUCGAUAAAUCAACAACAUUCAUCUUUAAACGACAUAUUACCACAAUAAAAUUGUCAACCAAGCCUCAUAUAAACCUUUUUUGUGUUUUUUGGUAAAUAUAUUUGUUAUUCUCUAAGAAUACUAGGGAAAAAAGAAACCCACUUUCUUAAUCAAGAAUCAAAUAGUAUAUAUGAAUCUAAGCUGAAGUAAGUCUUGGGUUUGAUGAAAAAGCUUGCAUUGUGAUUUAGAUUGGAAAGGAAGUUGAUUUUUGCUGGUUGAGAGAGAGAGAUUUGAGACUUAAGGAGUGUUGCUAAUCUUCGAUCGUGUAAACAAGGGUAACUGGGUCAUAGUUCAAAAUAAGGGUCCAAAAUUUACUAAAGCUAUUAAGGAGCCCAAAACUCAUAAUGGCUUCCCCAAAAUAAAUAAAAUUUUCUAGCAUUAAGUUUUUGUUUCUUCUUGAGAUUUCCUUGUCGUACUUACCCAUAUUUCGAUAUUGCCUCCAAGUAAACUUAUAUAUAUUGAUUAACAAUAUAAACAAGCACUAUGAAGUUUUAGGCCUGAAAAAACAUUGAGGUUGAAAUGAAAACCAUCUAUUUAAGUAACAAAAUCUUCUGAUAAUUUGAUGCUUAAUAAAUAGAGCAGAGAUGACAUAUUAAUCACGCUAUGAUGUGGAAGUUAUGAUUAUAUUCAUCUUAAGAAUAAGAUCUUUCAAACACUGGCAGAUUAGUAUCAAAAUACUCAGCAUAAGACCUACAAACUAGAAAUCAUGAACCAAUUAUUGAACUCAGUACAUAAGUUGAUCUUUUAUAAGCUAUAAAACAAAUCUGCUAUAACAUAAGAAAGUGGGAUUUAUCACCAGACAAAUAUUUUGGUGAAACUCAAGAUGACGGAAGGAUAUCCAAAACAACCUCCUUAAGGGAAGGCAUCACUUCCUGCUGAUGCAAACAUAUAUAUUUAUUACUCACUUUCUUGAGGACCUUCCAGGAACCUGGGUAGCAUCUAACAGAAAGUGGAAAAGAAUAAAAUGUAAAAUAUAAGUUAAACAGCAGGAAAACAGUGAGUGAUACUAGGCAAGCAUUAAUAGGUUGCCGCAGGAAAAGUGUCAGUAACUAGCUAGCAAACCUGAAAAGGGUUCCUCCAUUGCGACCCUUAAAAUUGUGAAUGUAAUAUAUGGUCUCCAUCACAGGAAAAAGUGUAUUGGAUAGUGCAGCCAGCUUAGUGUUGCGGACCGCCCAAAUUCGUAGCCCAAUUUAUUCACCAAGAGCCCAACACAAGGCCAAGAGUGCUACCUUGGCCCGAUUCCGGAAAAUUCUAGGCAACUCUAGCACAUUGAGCUUGUAAAUACUCUAGAAUUCUCCAUAGAAUUCCAGCACAUGUAAAUAGCUAGGAAAUGGUAGAAUUCUCUAGAAUCUCUAGAGCUUGGCAAGCCUCCCCUAUAAAUAUGGGAUGGCAUUAGGCAUUUGUAUCCAACAAACACUACAACAAGCAUUGUAAGCAACUCAAGCAAUGUAAUUCUCUCUUUGUGCAAUACAAUUUCUCUUAUUCGGCUCUAUUGCUCUCUUCUCUAGUUCGAGAAGCUCUAAGCUUACUUAGCAACAUUCGGCAAAGUUGUCUAAGUGCCGCACGAGUUAGCUGCGCAAAAUACUCAUCCCGUGACAAGUGGUAUCAGAGCUAAAGUUUGCACGCACGCAAAUUAGCUCACGAGCAAUGGCCAACCUUUCAAACGUAGCACAAUAGGGUGUUGUUGGUGUGGAUGUUCCACUGGAACCAAGCCGCGACCAAGAGGGAGAACGCUCCCAAGGCAAGACUCGUGGCAAGUCCAAGGCCCCAUCCGUGGAUGCGUUGGAGCCUCGUGUGACUACUCUCGAAAUCACAUUGUCCGCCGCUCAAGAAAGUCUCGAGGGAUUGGAGGAACGAGUGGACGGUCUCGAGGGGGAAUACGCCGAGUUCACGGUGGCAACAAAAGCUCUCAUCCAAGAGCAAGCGAACACUCUCCGAGGUGAGUUUCGUUCUUUCCAUGAUGAGUUGCUCAAACUUCGUAGCUUUGUUCAGGAUGAACUACGAGCUGUCCGUGCAGAAGUGGAUGAAGUCCGCUCGGAUUGGGCAUGGCACAAGUGCACAGUCUCUGCUAGUCCAGCUUCCGCAAACUCGAGUGAUGCGCGCCGCAUUGACGUGCCAAAGCCCGACACCUACGAUGGCACACACAAUGCCACCAUCGUGGAUAAUUUCCUCUUUGGGCUCGAUCAAUACUUCGAUGCCAUGGGUGUCCGAGACGAGGCAUCGAAAGUGGGCACUGCACCCACCUAUCUUAGAGGCGCUGCACAACUAUGGUGGCGUCGCAAGUAUGGCGAGAUGGGCAAGGGCAUUUGCACCAUCGACACUUGGGCCAACUUCAAGCAAGAACGCCGAAAGCAGUUCGCCCCAAGCAAUGCGGAGAAGGAAGCACGAGCGUGCUUACGUCGCCUCAAGCAAACGGGUAGCAUAUGGGACUACAUCAACGAGUUCACUACCCUUAUGUUGGAGAUAAGCGACAUGUCCGACAAAGAUUCGCUCUUCUACUUCCAAGAUGGCCUCAAGGAUUGGGCCAAGACUGAGCUUGAUAGGCGUGGUGUUCAAACACUUGACGAUGCCAUGGCCGUUGCGGAGUCGCUCACCGAAUACUCUAUCCAAUCCAAGGACAAAAAGGCCAACCAAGGCAAAGGUGGGGGAGAGAGUCGCAAGGACAAGGGCAACAACCGCAAAGAUUGGGGGUAGAAAAAACUGCCUAGCAACAAGAGCGAGCAAGGAAAAUCGGAGGGUAAGAAGGAGGCGCCAAAGCCGCGAAGCCCAUGCUUCAUAUGCAAUGGUCCUGAUUGGGUACGCGACUAUCCGGAGAAGAGGUCGCUAAACGCUCUUGCUGCCCAACUCAAGAGCAACCCUACAAUGUCCACAGAGGAACCCCAACUCAGCAUGGGUUCUCUCCAACGCCUCGGCGCACUUAAUCACUAACAGCCUGCACUCGUCAAGAAAGGGCUCAUGUAUGUAAGCGCAAAGGUAAACGGUCAGUUCGUUCGCGCGCUGCUAGACACGGGAGCGACGCACAACUUUGUGUCCGUAGACGAGGCCAAGCGCUUAGGCCUCAAGGCCACCAAGGAAGGAGGCACGAUGAAAGCGGUGAACUCACCCGCCAAGCCAAUUGCGGGGAUCGCACAAGGCGUGCACAUUAUGCUUGGAACAUGGAGCGGAAAGCUUGAUUUCUCCAUCGUUCCCAUGGAUGACUUCAAGAUGGUCCUCGGCAUGGAAUUCUUCAACCAAGUCCAUGCCUUCUCGCUGCCCGCUCCGAACUUCCUAAGCAUCCUCGACGGGAGUAAGGCAUGCAUGGUUCCCACGGAACGAGGCAAGUCCGAGGAGAAGACACUCUCUACCAUGCAAUUUAAAAGGGCUUUCAAGAAGGACCCAAGUUUCUUGGUCUCCAUUCGGGAACUAAACGAGGUAGGAAAUAGCGGAAUCUCGCCAAACCAAGUCCCUCCGCGAAUUCAAGCCGUCCUUAAUGAGUACAAGGACGUGAUGCCUCCAGAACUUCCGAAGAAACUCCUACCUCGACGAGAGGUUGACCAUGCAAUUGAGCUGGAACAAGGCACGAAGCCACCAGCCUUGGCGCCCUACCGCAUGGCGCCACCCGAAUUAGAGGAGUUGCGGAGACAACUCAAAGACUUACUGGACGCAUGCUACAUUCGCCCCUCAAAGGCCCCAUUCGGUGCACCUGUGCUCUUCCAAAAGAAAAAUGAUGGAUUGCUGCGGAUGUGCAUCGAUUAUAGAGCGCUCAACAAGAUCACCAUCAAGAACAAGUAUCCGAUUCCCUUGAUCGCGGACUUGUUCGACCAGCUUGGCAAAGCGCGGUACUUCACCAAACUCGACUUGCGCUCCGGGUACUACCAAGUGCGCAUCGCCAAGGGAGACGAACCAAAGACAGCGUGCACAACAAGGUACGGGUCUUUCGAAUUCCUUGUGAUGCCUUUUGGCCUUACUAAUGCACCCGCCACAUUUUGUACGCUCAUGAACAAGGUGCUCCAACCAUUUCUCGACCGCUUCGUGGUCGUGUACUUGGAUGACAUAGUGGUGUAUAGCACCACGCUCGAGGAUCAUGCCCAACACUUGCGACAAGCCCUCCAAGUACUUCGAGACAAUGAGCUAUUCCUCAAAUUGGAGAAGUGCUCGUUUGCCCAACGAGAAGUGGAGUUCCUUGGCCACAAGAUUGCGGGCGGGAAGCUCAUGAUGGAAAAUGCCAAAGUGAAGGCCAUUCUCAAAUGGGAACCUCCCUCGAAAGUGCCCGAGCUUCGCUCAUUCCUUGGGCUGGUGAACUACUACUGCCACUUCAUCAAAGGCUAUUCGGCCAAGGCAGCACCCUUGACGGAUAUCAGAACGUGGCAUUAGUUCGAAGAGUGCCAACGCGCAUUCGAGGAGUUGAAGAAGGCAAUUUCAGAAGAACCUGUCCUCGCUCUACCGGACCACACAAAGCCCUUCGAAGUCCAAACAGAUGCCUCAGAUUUUGCCAUAGGUGGAGUCCUUAUGCAAGAAGGCCACCCCAUAGCGUUCGAGAGUCGAAAGCUAAAUGAUACGGAGCGUCGCUACACGGUGUAAGAGAAGGAGAUGACAGCCAUCAUACAUUGCUUGCGUGUGUGGCGACAUUACUUGCUAGGCUCACACUUCACGAUUAUGACGGACAACGUGGUGACAAGCUACUUUCAAACUCUAAAGAAGUUGAGUCCGAAGCAAGCACGGUGGCAAGACUUCCUUGCGGAAUUCGACUAUUGGCUCGAGUACAAACCGGGGAAAGCCAAUGUCGUUGCGGACGCUCUAAGCCGCAAGGUGGAAUUGGCAACACUUAGCAUGAGCCAACCGAAGUUCGACCUUAUCUCACGCAUCAAGGAAGGCCUCCAACAAGAUCCGCUAGCAAAGGAUUUGCUGGAGAAGGUGCUCGAGGGAAAGACAAGGCGUUUUUGGCAAGAGGAAGGCAUCCUCCUCACCAAGGGAGAUAGGCUGUUCGUGCCAAGGUGAGGAAACUUGUGGAAGGAAGUUAUCAAGGAGUGCCACGACUUCAAGUGGGCUAGUCACCUAGGAAUCGAGCGCACCACCGCACUAGUUCAAGCCUCGUAUUUUUUGCCACACAUGAGGGACGACAUCGAGGCAUAUGUGCGAACUUGUCUUGUGUGCCAACAAGACAAGGUGGAUCAUCAACUUCCAGCGGGAUUAUUAGAGCCGCUAUCGCUAGCAACAAGACCAUGGGAAAGUGUCUCCAUGGACUUCAUCACAUCGCUGCCUAAGUCCGAAGGAUGCGGAAGUAUCAUGGUCGUUGUCGACCGAUACAACAAGUAUGCCACAUUUAUUGCCGUACCAAUCGAUUGCAAAGCGGAUGAGGCAUCUCGCCUAUUCGUCAAGCACAUUAUGAAGCUUUGGGGAGUUCCAAAGAACAUUGUGAGCGACCGAGACCCUUGGUUCACUGGGCGUUUCUGGACGGAGCUCUUCAAGAUGUUAGGGACCGAUCUCAAGUUCUCGACAAGCUUUCACUCACAAACGGAUGGGCAGACCGAGCGCAUUAAUGGCCUCCUCGAGAUGUACUUGAGGCAUUAUGUGAGCGCUCAUCAGCGAGAUUGGGCGAAGCUAAUCGACAUCGCCCAAUUUUCUUAUAACUUACAGCGAAGCAAGGCUACGGGCAAGAGUCCGUUCGAGAUCAUCAUGGGAUUUCAGCCCAUGACCCCCAACGCCAUAGCCUCGACUUACGGAAGGAAAAGCCCCGCGGCACACAAGCUCACCCGCGAAUGGCAUGAGGAAGCGAACACCACGCAAGCCUAUCUCGACAAAGCCGUGAGGAAAAUGAAGAAAUGGGCGGAUACAAGGAGACGACAUGUUGAGUAUAAGGAAGGUGAUCAAGUUAUGAUCAAGCUCCUACCCCAACAAUUCAAGAUGUUGCGGAAAGUCCACAAGGGGUUAGUGAGGCGCUACGAGGGACCCUUCCGAGUUGUUCGACGUGUGGGCAACGUCUCGUAUCAACUCCAACUUCCGCCAAGACUCAAGAUCCAUCCGGUCUUCCAUGUGAGUCUUCUCAAGCCAUAUCACGAAGACAUGGGAGACCCAAGUCGCGGAGAAUCGAGGCGCGCACCAACUGCCGUUGUCACCGCGUUCGACAAAGAUGUGGACUACAUCAUUGCGAACCGCGUGGUUUCGAGGAGGGGCGUGCCAGCACAUAGCGAGUACUUGGUGAAGUGGAAAAACCUCCCCGAGAGCGAAGCCACUUGGGAACGUGAAGACAAUUUGUGGCAAUUCGUUGAGCACAUCCAGAGGUUCAAGCACGAGAGCGCGAUGAGGACGCCGCGAGGUUAGGUGGGGGAGGAUGUUGCGGACAGCCCAAAUUCGUAGCCCAAUUUGCUCGCCAAGAGCCCAACACAAGGCCAAGAGUGCUAGCUUGGCCCGAUUCCGGAAAAUUCUAGGCAACUCUAGCACAUUGAGCUUUUAAAUACUCUAGAAUUCUCCAUAGAAUUCCAGCACAUGUAAAUAUCUAGGAAAUGGUAGAAUUCUCUAGAAUCUCUAGAGCUUGGCAAGCCUCCCCUAUAAAUAUGGGAUGGCAUUAGGCAUUUGUAUCCAACAAACACUACAACAAGCAUUGUAAGCAACUCAAGCAUUGUAAUUCUCUCUUUGUGCAAUACAAUUUCUCUUAUUCGGCUCCAUUGCUCUCUUCUCUAGUUCGAGAAGCUCUAGGCUUACUUAGCAACAUUCGGCAAAGUUGUCUAAGUGUCGCACGGGUUAGCUGCGCAAAAUACUCAUCUCGUGACAUUAGGGUAGAAGAAUGACGGAUAAUCUUUAGCUCAUUUAAGGAAAUCCUCUCUGAUCCUUUCAUUGCACAUUCCAAAACAACUCUACUACAACCAAGUUACCAAUUCUUUUUGUUAAGUCAUUGUUAUUUGUUAAAAAAAAAAAAAGUCUUCCUUGCAACAUUUUAUUGAAAGAUAUAACAUGAUCAUCCCUAUUAAUUCCCUUUUAGAUUUCUGUGAGUGAAUUUCAAAUUAUUGUAUUCAAAAAUAGAAGCAAAAGACCCACUUUACUUUCAAUUUCUGCAACAAGAUACCAAUUGAAGGACCAAAAAGUUGUAAACAAGCAAUUCAAUGGGUGGGCAUCUAGAAACUGCUAAAUAGCAUCAAAAUCAUACUAAAUUUACAGAAAGUACAAUAAUAAUGAAAGAAUGGUGAAGGAUACACCCAGACCUUAUCCGGUCAAGUUCUCUAUUGAAUAUAAUCAGUUUCUGGGCAGUAUUGAAGACAGCUUCUUUGUAAAGCUCUUCAACGACAAGCAUUUCUACAAGACGAAAGAAAAGCAAAAUUAAUUACCUUAAGGAAUGAAUAUCAAUAAGAAGACAAGGUGUAAGACUACCAUUGACAUUAAAAUAUGGAUAGGCGACUAGAAACAAUUCAUCUUCUGGCUUCACACGGUCUGCCAUUUUAACCUUCUCAGUGAAUCCAAAAUCCUCAAAGAAUGAAGGUUUUGUUAGAUAGUCCAACUUAAAUAAUGAUCCUUCAAAGACCGAUUUUCUUGCAUAUUUGACUUCAUUUGCCUCUGGGAAAAACUAAAAACCAAAUGACAGACCAAGAUCACGAAACGAAUCAUGAACAUAGAUAUCAGAUAAUCAGAAAUGGGCAUUAAACAGACUACUAACAAGUAGGAAAUGCAUACAGAAAACAUUAUUCAUACACCUUAUGCACAUGAAAUAUAUAUGCAGAGGGAUCCUCUUGUGAAUUUAGUUUAUAUCCUAAUAUGAGACAAUGAACAAUUGGAUGGCAUCUAAGGGCUAACAUUUGUUUGAUUAUUAUAUGAAAAAAAAAAACAAAACAGAGUUGAUUGAUGGCCUUUGAUGGAUUGCCUACACUCUUAAAGUGCAGAGAGCCUGAUUAAUUGCUUUACCUGCCCCCCCCCCCCACACACACUUGGUUUUAUUAUCUCUCUUUUCAAAUAUAUAAUCAUUGGCUGUCUUUCAUCCUGAUCCGGCUCUCCUUCCAGGCCCCAGCUGUGUUUUCUUCAAUUCAGUGAAACAUUCACAUUCAGGUAAGAAUAAACUUGUCCUUCCUCAAAAAUCAGCUUCUCACCAUGAAGCUUUCUUUUUUAAACCAAUUACUAGUCUAGCAUAACGCAUCUAAUUGAAGACAACUCAGAAUUGAAAAAGCCAUACUUUAAUGUCUGUUGUUGGGACCUCAAGACCAGGAACAAAAAGCUUCUUUCUAACAGUUGGAUUAACAAGUAGAAAUAGCUUUUUUUCUGAAGGACCCAACAUUGCAUUGAAAAAUUCAACAAAAGGAAUGGCAUCAUAUUUAGUCCUGCUAGAAUUUUGUGCACUUAACACAAUGGUUAAUAAUUGGCCCAGCGGACACUUUGUCGAACUAUUGGCAACCUUGACUGUGGAAAUGCAUAUUUCAAAUGUUGGCAGGCUCUAGCUUCUUGAUGUACUGUUGAUAGAAAUGCCUAUUUCAAAAGUUGGCAGGCUCAAACUGCCGAGACUUUGGUUUCUUGCAUUUCAAACCCACAAAUAAAACUUUGGCAGAACCCCAGAAAGAGCUACACCUCCCAAAUUUGAUGACAAAUGAAGAGACCAUGCCUAGUGCUUAGUUCGGCAAAUGAGUAAGUUUGAAAGAAAUUAAGGGAAACCUUUCCCACAGAGAGUCAUAUUGAAGGUUACAAUUUGAAGACUUUGUCCCCUGUCGCCCACAACCUUCUUUGAUCUCUUUGCUUAGUCAUAAAUAAUCAAACAUAUGUUAGUCGUUGGAUGCAAUCCACUCACUGACAUCUCAUGUCCACAAUCAAUCAACCAUAUUUUAAUAGAAAUGAAAACAUUUUAAUUAAAAAAGAAUGAGAUAGGAACAAAAUGAAACUUGGCAGACAUGGGUCUAUGAGAUUUUAAAGAUGCUUGGUGAAAGUCGUAUUCAAGAGUUCAACAGUCAGUUCUAUCACCUAUGGCAAAGUAACCACCAUAACUAAAGCAAUUACAAAACAUCAAGAAGCUUGAACUUGGCAAGAGGUCUCAUUAACAGUAUACCUCAGAAAUUAAGACAGACUUAAAGUACAAGCUUUUGGAUUUAUUUAAACACUGAAAAUAAUAUGGGUAGAAGCUCCUAUGGUCACAGCAAACAAUUACAAAGCACAAAACCCAAAAAAUAGAUAUGCAAAAAGCUGCAAAAGAACAUUAUUAGCAAUUGACAUCUGCUUUGCUCAGACAAAGGUUCUCAUAACAAAGGACUUAGUGAUUAUCUUUCAUAUGUUUAUGUUAAGGGGAAAAAGGAAGUUUGUUUUAGUCAAUCUCAUGUCUAAUGGCAUUCAUAAGGAGCCCAAAAAUAAAAGAAAAAAUAAAGAGUUAGUAGGUGUUUCUCGCAGUAUAAAGAAAAUUUAUCAUCCAUGAAAAACUUAGUAUGGAAAAAGCUAACUCAUUUAUCUGCCAAUGGAGAAAAACUUGUUGUCCACCCACUAAGGACCCACCAUUGGGAGAUGGAUCCCAUGGAUGGGAACCACAAAUAUUUUAUUCUAAAUGAAAUGGGUAUUGUACCAUAUCAUUUAAUUUGUAGAUUCCACUGAUGGAACUCAUCAAACUUUUCAAAUGGUAGGUCCUUCAUGGGUAGGCGCAUCACUUCAGCAUCCUUCUCCACCGAUGACUAAAUCUGGACUCAUUUAAAAAGAAUACAAAGCAAAACUAAUUGACACAAAUUGCAUAGAGGUCUAGGAGCCAAAUCAAUGUUGUUAACUCAUCCAAUUAAUACAUUCUCUUAGAGGUCAUACCUUGGUAACUCAUUUCAAAAGAAAUUAAAAGAAAAACGACUGCACAAAUUGUACUGAGCUCAAGAAGACCUGUUCAAGGUGUUCACUUGUCCAACUAAUAAAAGUCAUCAAGGAUUGUAUCGGGGACUUGGGACCAAUCCUGCCUUAACUAGAGAAAGGGAAUUUAGGAUGAAGAAGAUAACCUCUUCUCCUAGAGCCCUUUUGGACAAAAAUGAAUUCCUACUAAUUCUGAGAAUAAAACCAUAGACAUCUAACUUCUGAUAUCUAGUCAAUCUGGUAAAAUCUUGUCAGUUGCACUUGGGGCAGAAAUUAGUUCCACCUUGGUUUACAGGACAGAAAUUCGUCAUAUGCAUGUAUUUAUUUAUGUUUUAUACACAAACGCAUACAUGUACACACAAACACUACCUUCACUUUGAAGAAAAGAUUAAAAUAACACUGCUCACAUACACAAUACUUACUAUUCUAGUUCGUGUAACUUUCUCUGGAGUCACAAACAGGUCACAGAAUUCACGUAUUAACCGCAUACUUCCAGUCAUUUCUAUUCCUCCUUCACCAUCACCUGUCCCACAAUUACAAAAAGUGAGAGGUAAUAACCAACAUAUUUGGGUUGCUCUUCGGUAAGGGGUGGGAGGUAAGGGUUAGUUGUGGAGGGCACCUGGUACAGAAUCAAGGCCAGCUGUUGGGAAUUCGAUCUCUUGUAACAUAUACUUGUUCAUCAUAAACUAUAUACUUAUUCUGCAGUCGAUGUGUGCAUAUAGCUCUUCAAUUAUCCAGUAAUAACUCACCAUCAACUUCCUACCAUCCUUCAUGGCUAAUUCAGCAGCCAUUUUUGCCUGUUUAAAGGUCAAAAGCCCAAACUAAGCAGAUGCUCCUACUCCGAUACUUAUUAUCUAACUACUACAGAACAGAUGAUACACAUCAAGUUGUAUCAAGAGAGACACCAAGUUGUGUUUUCCAAGAGGUUCCAAAGAGGAUCUGUUUCUUUGUGUAAUUUUUAGACUGCUUUGACAACUCAUCUUAAAGGUGCCACUCAUCCAAUAUGAUGUGGUGACAGUAGUUUAGAGUUUUAAACUAAAUGCAGAGCUAAUAGUAUUUUGGAAAUAUAAUCAUCCUAAGAUACUAUAACACAAGGAUUCUUACACAAAAACAACAACUUCGAUGUAGAGAGAAGAUGAUUUCACAAAAGCAGAUGUUUUGAUUUAAGUCUCCAAAACCCCCACCAAGAAAAUGUUCAACGGAUAUAGAAAUAUGAUCCACAUAUCUGUAACUUAAACUGUAAAAGUUGUUGAUGUUGUUCUAAAAUUGCCACAAUCUAUCUACCCCAUGAAUGUUUUUGGAUAAAACAAGAAGCAGGACCCAAUGCCUGUUUUCUAAUAGCUUCAAAAAGGCCAAAUUGGUUUUGAAAUGUCUCCAGCUUUUCAUUUAACAAGUUUAAGGAUCCCUUCGGCAUUGCAAUUGGGGAGCUCAGAUAUAUAAAAGUGCCUGGUAAACUCUUACAGCCGCAGCUUUUGAGCAAAAAUAAUUUUAUCUCAUAAUUGUUUGACUAAAAACAUAUAUCACCUUUUAUCAGUUUUGUAAAAAAUAUUAUUUAUAAGUCAUAUUUACCAAACACAGUCAACUUUUACAUCACAACUAUAGCUUUUUUUUUUUUUUCACCACACAUAUAUAGUUAAAAACUACAAGAACUCGAUAUCAAACAGAUCCUAAAGCGUAAUCUAAUAAAAAGGUAAAUAAACAAAUGCAGAAGCCAGCGUACUUGAUCAAGAAGCUCUGAAUAGUCACUGGGAAAGGGAAUAUCGACGUUAAUGGGGUUAUUGCCAUCGCUUGAAACCGAAUUGGUGAGACAAUUGCGUUUUCUUCUGUACGGCGAAAAUGUGACGAUUGAGUAACAACUUAUAUCGAACUUUAGGUUAAAAUAAUUACUAUGGAAUAUUGGAAUACGAGAUUAUUAGCAUUUGAGUGCUUGAGUGGGAAUCAAGAAAACUUAAAAUAGUUCAGUUAACCCAAAAAGAAAAAGGGGGGAAAAAACCCAUGGAAAGUGCGAUGAAUGUAAAUCCACUUUAAAACUUUAAUCAUAAAUGGUUAACUAAUUUUAAGUAAUUUGGAUUAACUUGACAAAUUGAAAAACCAUGCACUAGAGGAAAAUGUUCAUAUUUGGAGGUCCGAAUUUAUCUACCAUUCAACCCUAUUUUCAGCUCCUGCAUGGAGGAUAAGUUAGUUUGGUGAAUCUACCACUAGCUAAUUAGCUAAUUUUUUUUUUUGAAGAUAGCUAAUUAGCUAAUUAAGAGAGCAUUAACGUUGAUAAUUUGUCCUAUCUAAAAUGAAAAGUAAGAAAUUUACACUAGUAAAUUUUACACAAUCACAGUUGGAAUUUCAAAGAAACAAAAACGGAUCAAUAGUGCAAUUGUAAUUCAAAUUUGCACUUUAGGCCACACGUUCGGCCCAGUUCUUGUAUUAACACUUCAAUACUUGACAUGUGGCCAUUUUUUUAUUCGUCCACGUUCUUUGCAUUCUCAUGGUAGUACUCGAACAAGACAAAAUUUCACGAAUAUUCAGUUGAAUUGUUGUUGAAACAUGUAUAAGAAAUCAAAUCUCGUUAGUUUUGAAUAUUACCAGCAACUCAAAUUAUUUUAACCUAAAGUUCAAUAUAAGUUGUUGUUGGGGGUUAACGGCAUUUUGAACCACAAAGUAAAGAGAGAGAGAGAAGAAACGCUCCCCUUUCAAAUACCGUGCUCUUUUGUACCUGGGAAUUUAAUAAUUCAUGCGAAUAAAAAAAUUAUAAAUUUAGUAAAUUAUUUAUUAAAAAAUAUUGAGAGGUUGUGCAUUAUUUUAUUAGUAAUGACAUAGUAAUCAUCAAAUUAGUUGAAUUAAAAUAGUUGUUGACUCACGUAAUUUAUUUUUAUUAUUUUUAAAAAAAAUGGUCUGCGUUAAUAAGGUUAAGGGUGACAACUGGGAUCAAUAUACAGUUUAUUCGGGUGCUUAAAACCUAAUAAAUAUCCACUAACUCAUAUAUAGUUAAAAUAUAAUUAUUUUUAAAUAAAAAAUUUAAUAUAAACUAAACAAAUUGAUCGGAUUUUGUUUCUCAAGGUACAUCAUUAGAACGUUACUUUUAAUUGAACAAAAGCACACAUAACUAGCACAUUCGCCACAAAAGCCUCGGCUUAGUGGUCGGCUUAUUAAUUAUCCUAAUAAAAUCAUGGUCAUAAAUUUGAGUCCCCGUAGGUUAGGUAGCUUUUUUAGACUACACUAUAAAUACAUGUAUUUUACUUCUCGCGGGUAUUGCUUCUAGUAGUUAUCCAUCCGAGUAUAGAGCUUUGUAGCUUUCUUCAUGACCUUCCCCAAUUUCAAUGCUUGUUAAACAAUCUCCACAGAAAAUGUGAUAGAAAUGUCCCGCUGCCACUUGUUGUGCAUAGUCCAAAUCUGCAAUUUAAGGUCAUCAUUUCAUUUAAUUUUCCGUUAUAUAUAUUCAUCUUUCUUAGAGGCCAAGAAGUCUUCGACAGAAAUGUGAUCUUUUUCUAGUAGCCUCCCGGUGAUGAGCUUCUCCCAAGUUUCAAUUAAUUCGCUUUGAGUGAGGAUAUUUUCUGGUGGCCUCAAAUACAAUGUUUUGUUCAGCACUCGAGGAGCAUCUAUUCUCUUAAUAGUAUAUAUGGCAACAUCAUCGAUAUGCACCAUAGAAAAAAAGAUAAUCAUUUUGUUUAAUAUGAACAUAAAUUCUUACAGUCUAACUCAUAUUAUAGUGAACGAUGUUGUUGUGUGGUGCGUGCAUGCACUAUCUAUAGUUUUAAUAUUAUUAAUAAAGAGUUAAAAGUCUUGAUUUAAUUUUAAAUUGUCAUUCCUCUAACUUCACCGUCUUCAUAGAUCCAGACUUUAUCUUUUGAAGGGCGAGGGUAGCUAUAUUUGAGAGAGGUGUCCGGGGAACCAACCAGCAAAAAACAGCUAGCAGAAACAUAAAUGACAGGGAUUUGAGCAGCCUUGAUUGCCCUUCUCACACAUGUGCUCUGCGUUCUCCCUCUCGCUCUCACUCACUCACGCCCAAAUCUCACCUCACUCACGCCCAAAUCUCACCUCACUCACGCAUCUCUCCUUCUGACCGGUGGUUUUCUCUCUCUCGCCGUGGGUCUCUAGGCUGGCAGGGAUUUCUCGACUUGACUACUAAAACAUAAUCCAAAAACUACUAAGAGAUGUAUAUAUUACUCUGAUAUACACAAUAUGAAGAAACUGCAGUUAUAUUUCAAAUAUUAUAUGAAGGAAGAGGCUGUAUGGAUUAUCCAAAGGUGCUGAAAUUAAGAGACCCACACCAACCGACAGACCCCCGGUGAUAGAGAGAAAGUCGACCGUGAGAUGCAUUCAAGACGGGGGAAGAGUGAGAGAGAAAACUGCCCGGUCAGAAAGAGAGAUGCAUGAUUGAGGUGAGAGAUUUGGGCGUGAAUGAGUGAGGAGUGAGGGAGAGGGUGCCGCGUGUGUGGGAUGCGUACAGUGACAAUUUAUACUUACAUCAAAACGCCGAGUUCGGUGCCAUGUGUAGGGCUAACUGUGGUUUGAAUCUCACUUUGGUAACGGAAAUGACUUUGCAAUUGACAGUUUUUGUCAAAAGUUCGCACUGCAUGAAACUAGUGUUAAUAUAAUUUAAAAAAUUAAUUUCAGUAUUAAUUUUUAAAAUGUUAAUUAUUAUAUUUAUUUUAAUAAUAUAUUUAUAUUUAUAAUAAAAAUUUUAGUUAAAUAUUUGUGUUAAAUAGAAUUUAUAAUUAAUAUAAUAUAUCUUAGGUAUUAAUUAUUAUAAUUAUUCUAUAUGCUAUUGAAAAUCAUUUAAAUUUUUAGAUGUUUAUUUUCAUACUAAGUUUCUAUUUAUUUUAAAAUUUAGUUUAAUAUAAUAUAAGCAAGUAAAGUAUUAAAAUAUUUUUUAGUAUUUUUAAAAUAUUAAAAUUAUUUUAAAAUAUAAGUCAAUUUUUUAAGUUAAUAGAACUAAUAUUUACAGUUUAUUUGAUGGCCUCAACAAGCUAAAGCAGCAUCAAAAUUAUGUGGCUCCUUAUUUUAUUUUUUCCCUUUCAAAAAGGGAAAAGGAUAAGUUUGGGAGAAUGUUUAUAUUUUUAAUAAAUUCUUUUUUAUUAUAAUACUUUUUGUCUUUAUUAAUUUAAAAAUAUUGACUCUUAUAUUUUAAAAAAUAUAAAUAUAAUAUUAUAAUAAAAUAUAACAAUAUAUAUCAAAUAUUUAAAAAAAAUUUAUAAUUUUAUAUUAUAUUAAAAUAAAUUUUUAAUAAAUAAAAAUAAUCUAUUAAAAUAAAGUACAAAAAUUUAAAUUAUUUUCAUUAUCAUCUAAAAUAAAUUUACUAUUAUUAAUGCAUGAAAUAUAUUAUAGUAAUUGUAAAUUUCAUUUAACUCAAAGAUUUAUUUAGAAUGUUUAUAAUAAGUCCAAAUAUAUUAUUAAAAUAAUUAUAAUAAUUUACAUUUUAAAAAUUAAUACUGAUAUUAAUUUUUAAAUUAUAUUACUCUACCAGAAAAAUUAAACUAUUAAAUUAUAUCAAUAUUUAUUAAAAAAAUUGAAAUUAAUUCUUGUUAUAUUUUUAAUUGGAAUUUUUUCAUGUGAUAUAACCACAAUUGCUACAUUUUUUCCCCUGAAUAAAGAUGGAGUUAUAAAUUAUUUGUAUAAGUGUCUGUGUGGAAACUAAUGUGACAUGAAAGUAAUAGUUGAAUAACAAUAAUGGGGCUUUAGGCAAUUUUUUCAUGAGAUUUUCUUGCGAUUUCAACACUUAAACAGACUUGUCCUUCAUCCCAAUUUAUUUACCCCAUUUGGGCCCGUUAUGACAUAGACAUAUUCUUGUGGAAUGAAAAACUUCAUGAGAAGAAAUUGUUUUAUUAUAAUAGAAAAAAGUGGUCCAUAAGUCUAUUCAUUACUUUUUUUAUUCAAUAUAAAUGGCUAACUUUAAAAAUGGUAAAAAUCACAUAACGCGCAAGCGAAAUCUAAGAUUUAUAUUUUUUAAUACUCUCCAAGUCUCUCUUUCUCUUUUUCUUUUUUUAAAUAAAUGUCAAUAUAAAAUUAGAAAAAUUUUAGAUAUAAAAUUUGGCGAUGACCAAACAAAAAUUGUAGAGGAAACCUUGAUAUCAUUGAAAUACUGAUCAUAGACACUACAGUAUAAAUAACUUAUUGUGAUCCACUCAACUUGUAACACUUUAAUCCAUAUUCUAAAAUUUUCAUGUUUGUUAGGAUUUUUAUUAUUGAUACUACUGUAUCAAUAAAAUUAUAAUUUAUUCAUAUGGAAUGAAAACAUCAAGAAAGGACCUCUGAUUUUUAUUAUAACAGAAAAAAAUGGUCCAUAAGUCUAUUAAUUAUUUUAUUUAUUCAAUACAAAUGUCCAACUUUAAAAAUGGUAAAAAUCACACAAUGCACAAGUAAAAUAUUACAAUUACAUUUUUUAACUCUCUUUGAGUCUCUCUCUCUCUCUUUAAAAAAUAAACCUCACUAUAAAAUUAGAAAAAUUUUAGACAUAAAAUUUGACAAUCACCAAACAGAAAACAUAGGGAAAUGAAAAUGGAGGAGCCCUAUUUUCAUUAGAAUAUUGAUCAUAGAUACUAUAAUGUAAAUGAUUUGUUGUGGUUCAUUCAACUUGUCACACUCUAAGCCAUUUUCUAAAAUUUGUAAGGUUUAUAGUAUUUUUAUUAUUGCCAUCAUUGUAUCAAUAAUAUUAUAAAUUAUAUAUUCUAUUGUAAUGAAAAUUUGUGUAAUCUUAGGUAUUUAUUAUAUUAAAUUGUGUGGAUUAAUUAAGAAUAUUUUUGGAGACAAAAGAAGUGUGUGUACGUAGGAUUAAUGAUAAAAAAUUUCUAAAUAAAGAUGAUUGCUUCAUUGACAAGCACAUAUUUAUAUUCCUCUAUUAAUAUUUGGGUUGUAAACUCUAUAAUAAAGUUGGUUGGUGUGAGUGGUUCGGCACUCUCACUCCUUAAGAAAGAUCAGGGGUUCAAGCCUCGCUCUCGUAUGGAGUCACCACUUUGGCCAGCACUUUACCUCUUACGGGCCGACCCGAUGCGAGCAUGAAUUAGUAUGAGUUGUGGUACGGGCUUAAAGGUGCCUCCCAUAGUUUGGGCCCACUUAGGAUCACCUCGUGGUUCAAACAAAAAAAAAGUGAAUAUAUUGUGGUAAGCGAUGUGGGCAAUAUCGGUUGCGAAAUAUUGAGAGAUCAUUAAUGCAUAUAAUUAUUGAAGAUGCAUAUAGAGGGAAGAGUGUAGAUCUGGCUGUAACAAUUAUGAAGCUUUCCCCAAGUAUACUCAUGCUUCCUUAAUUGUUCCGAAGUAUUUUUCAUAGUGUGCAGAUUUACUUUAUGGUGUCUUAAUUCGUCUUAAAUGAUUACUUUAGUUGUUUUGGGAUUUAAUGUCAUUUAUUGUGUUAAUUUUAAACAAUAGAAAAAAUAAGUAAUGGUAACGAAAGACUAAUUUGUGAUAUUGAAGCAUACGGGCUUAACUCAAUCCAAAAAUUAGUAAGUUAGCUCAAGAGUUAAGAGUUGUCCAAAUCUUAUAUGCUGAAUCCAAGUUUAAUACACAAUUGAUGCGGGAUGUUAUUCCUAACACCUUCCAUCAUGCGUAGGAUUGGCAAAAAAAUUCGGGUCAGUCCCACCUAAACCUGCAGGCUUUAUGCAUGGCUCGCAUGAUGAAGUUACGGAUAUUAACCUAAAAAUUUGAAACUUACUAUGAAUGGCCUUGCUUAAAGACUUUUGCAACUUUAAUUUAUAACAAGUAUGUAUAUAUACACACACAUAAGCUUAGAUUGCAUUUGGAUGGCUUUUUUAAUCAAUUCAAACAAUUUGAAAUUUAUCGGAUUAAUCUGAAUCUUAUCUGUAUCCGAUUUUGUCCGCCCCUACUAUUUAUAAGCCCAGGUGACUCUCUUUUACUAAUUAAUAAGAGAAUUUUUGACCUUAUAUCCUUGCUGUGGUGUUAGACUGUUGGUCAUUUUGAUUGUUUCCUACCUUCCAUUUACGCCAGCUAUAACAUUGUAUUAUCACCAUUUUAGCCAUUUAAAUGAAAUUUUAUUUUUGUCAAAAAUAAAAUGACACCCUUAAAAUUAAAAAAGAAAUAGUUAUGUAGACCUCAAAUUUUUAAUAAAGAAUGCCAAUACCCCUUUUAACUACAAGAUUCUUAGUAGAUGAUAACUAAAAAAAUUAACUUCAAAAAUUUUCACUAAAUGUAAAUCUGAUUGAAAUAGUUUAAAUUUUUCUAGUAGACUAAUAUAUAUAACUUAAAUAAUUAAUUUCAUUAUUAAUUUUUAAAAUGUUAACUAAUAUAUUUUUAAUUUAUUAUAAAAAUUUUAAAUAAAUUCUUGGAUUAGAUAGAUUUUACAAUUAAUGUAAUACUGUUGAUUUAUUAAUAAUAUUAAAAUUAUUUUAUAUGAUAUUCAAAAUAAUUUAAACUUUGAUAUAUUUAUUUUAAUAGUAUGUCUAUUUAUUAUAAUUUGGUUUAAUAUAAUACGGGAUUGCAAAAUAUUAAAAUAUUUUUCAAUAUCAAAUUAUUUUAAUAUGUAUAUAUCAUUACAUUUAUUUCAAUAUCGCAUUUAUAUUUAUUAUAAGAUAUAAAAUUAAAGAGUAUUGCAAUAAAGUAAAAAAAGAAAAAAAAAAGUCUUAUUAUCCCUUAUUCACGAUAUGAGGUUCUAUAAAAUUAUUUCCCCAAACGGGUGUCCUUUUCUUAUUUUCAAAAGAAAAACUAAAGUAAGAAUAAGUCCAUGGGUUUCAAAAGACUUAUAGUCCUAUCCCGGAACCUACAUUAUCUGCCACUAUGACUAAUGACAAAUUUUUGGUGGGAUAUAGGAAAAUUGUCAAAAGUUCAUGCUGCGUGAGAGUCUUUGGUGGGAUGUGGAAGGAUUGUCAAAAGAUCACACCACGUGACAUAACCACAAUUGCUACAGUUUUUUUUUUUUAAAAUAUUGAUGGGAGUUAUAAAUUAUUUAUAUAAAUUUGCGUAGACUGAUGUAACAUAAAAGAAGUAGCUGAAUAACAAUAUUUGGUGCUUUAGGUAAUUUUCAGAUGGGCCUUUCUUUUAUUUAGCGACUUUAGUGCUUAAACAAACUUGUGCUCGAUCUUAAUUUAAGCCUAUGAUGACAUAAACAUAUUCUUUUGUGACGAAAACAUCAAGAGAAGACAUCUCAUGUUUUAUUAUAACAGAAAAGAAGUGGUCCAAACGUCUAUUCAUUAUUUUAUUUAUUCAAUAUAAAUGGCCAACUUUAAAAAUCACACAACGCUCAAGUGAAAAUUUAGAAUUACAUUUUUUAAUACUCUCGGAGUCUUUCUCUCGUGCCCCCUUUUUUUCUAAAAAAAUAAACCUUAGUGUAAAAUUAGAAGAAUUUUAGAUAUAAAAUUUAACAAUCGCUAAACAGAAAAGCAGCGGAUUGAAAAUAGAGGAGCUCUGUUAUCAUUGGAAUAUUGAUUAUAGAUAAUAGGGUAUUUUUUAAUUGAGUCCUCAUUAUUUCUAGAAAAAAAUUCAGAGACCAGAAAUUUACUAAAUGAAUUAAUUAAAUCCUUUCAAGUACAAAUUAAUAUCAUUCAAGUCCAUAACUUAACUCUUCAGUUAGAAAUAUUAACAACGUUGAGGACAUUUUAGUAAAAGAACAAUUGAACCCUUCCUCAUUCUUUUAUUUUUGACAGGUGGCAAUAGUUUGCUUACAGGUGGCAAUAGUUUAAAGCAAAGUCAAUUCACCUAACCAAGUUAAAGUUCUUUCAAGCGGAAAAAAAAAAAACCUCUAGAAGAAACUGCCGUAUUCUUCGUGUGAGAGGAGGGAUUGAGAGAACGUGGGAUGGCGUCAAAAAUGUUAUAUAAAUAUACUGUAAUUUUGACCAAAGCUUUGUUAGCAUUGGUUGAGUUCAAGUAUUGGAGAGAAGCCGAGCUUAAAGGUUAGUAACUCUAAUUUUUAAGUGAUUUUUGCAAGUAUUUUCUGAUAAAAUUGUUUCCAUAUUUAGUGAUCUUUGUGAAAAAUUAUGUUUUUCAAGUCUAUUUUUCUAAAUGACAAACUAUGUUUAAUUAUUGGUGGAUUUUUUUAUUGAAUGUUGUAUUUUGUUAAUAUACUUUUUUUAAUUUGCUCUUUAUAUAAUAAUUAGACCAAAUACACCAUAUUUAUAUAUGUAUUUAUUGAACUUAUUUUGCCUAUUUUAUAGGCUUUCUUGAGUUGUUGUAUAUGUACAAUAUUUCAUUUCAACCAAUUGGUAUCGUUAUAUUAAUAAGAUUGAAUUCAUUGUAUUUGCUUUUUUGUUCAUGUAAAAUUGAAUUCUAUGUGUUAUUAUGAGUGGUAAUUUUUAUAUAUAUUAGACUAAAUUCUCUAUAGUUGUUGGGUUAUUUUUUCUUUUCAGUUUUUAUUUUUAUAUGUAUUAGAUUGAAUUUUCUUUUAUACUUUUUUUAAUCGAAUUACAUGUAUAUUUCAUUUAGGUUGAGUUUUUUAUUCUUUGCUAAAUAAAAUUGUAUUAGUUUAGCCAUUUUUUGAUGCAAUACUUUUUUGUUUUAAAAUUGAUGCAGGUAGUCAUGUUACCUUUUUUUUUGUUGGUUAAAAUUAAUGGGGCGGUGUAUGAGAUAGGAUAUAGGGACCCAGAGGAAUAUAAGAUUAUUAGGUUGUUUCAUGAAAUUCUAGAAGUCAUGGUUAAGUAUGGACACAAUGAAAUGGAUUUGAUUGAAAUUUUUGUUGUGUUGCCAUGGACUACAAGUAGGCAGAGGAAGCUAAUUUCAAAUGAUAGUGAAUUGUAUUCGGUUUUUGAGGAGUUUUUUUACUAAUAGUUGUCAUGUUAUUGAGUUUGAGGUGCACACUGGGUUAGGUGGUCAAUCAUGUCAUGAAAGUGUUGUAAUAGGAUCUGAAAAUCCUGUCAAUAUAGGUGUUAGUAUGGGUAGUGAUAAGUUUGAAAAACUUAGUGAGGAUGGCUUUAUCGGAGGGCACUUAUCUGAUGAAGAGAAUGGUCUCUUACAUAUGUAUGAAUCCAUUGUUGAUAAUGAGUGGAAACCAAAUCUAAAUGGUUCAGUUAGUCUAAAAGUAGGAAAUACCUUUGAAUCUGUUGCAUUAUUAAAAGAGGUUAUGGUGAAAUAUGCAAUCCAAGAGGGUUUUGAGUUAAAUAGGAUUAAAAAUGAUGGUGUUAGGUAUACUUGUUGUUGUGUUAAUCCAAAAUGCACUUGGAAACUUCAUGCUUCAUCGAUGGUUGAUGGGAUAACUUUUAAAAUUAGGUAUAUUAAAGGGAAACAUGAUUGCCAGAUUAAAUCAAUUAACAAAGAUGCAACAGCACCUUGGAUAGCUAAAGUUUGUGCUGGACUUAUUCAAACUAACCCAGGAGUUGGUGUAAAUGUCAUAAGAAGUGAGUUAAAAGAUAAACAUGGGAUUGAAUGUGACAAACAAAAACUAUACAGGGCAAAAAAAAUUGCAUUAGAAAACCUAGGUGCUGACCACAUUGCUUGCUAUGGAAAGCUUUUGAAAUAUGCUCACAUUCUAAUGAAAAUGAAUAGAGGUGCUUGUGUUAAGGUAAAGGUUAAAAGGCCAUUGUCAAAUAGCCCAGUUUUUCAAAGGUUUUUUUUGUCAUUUCCUGCACUUAAAGUGGGGUACCUAACUGGGUGUAGACCUUUCAUAGGAUUGGAUGGGUGUCACUUGAAGGGGCCAUACAGGGGAGUAUUGUUAUCUGCUGUUGCAUUAGAUGAUGAUAGUGGAAUUUUUCCAUUGGCUUUUUGCAUAUGUGAGGUAGAGAACUAUGAUAGUUGGAGUUAUUUUUUAUCUUUGCUGUAUGAAUUCAUUGGGGCUGAUGAUCAUAGGUCUGUAACUAUUAUUAGUGAUAGACAAAAAGGUCUUUUAUGGGGAUUGGAAAAAUAUUGGCCUAAUGCUAGUACUAGAUAUUGUGCUAGGCAUAUCUUUGCCAAUUUGAAGUGUAAGUUUCCUGGUUUGAAUGUCAUGGGGUUAUUUUGGAAAGCUUGUAGGGCUGCAAAUCAGUAUGACUUUGAGAGGGCAAUGAGUCAAAUUAGGGCUAAAGACCAAAAUUGUUAUGAAUGGUUGAGAAAAAUACCACCUGCACAGUGGUCUAGAAGCGGGUUUGAUCAUCAUGUGAAAUCUGACCAUGUUACAAACAACAUGACUGAAUCUUUUAAUAAGUGGGUGGAUGAGGUUAGGGAUAAGCCUGUCCUAACCAUUCUUGAGCAUAUUCGUAGACAACUAAUGGUGAGAAUGUUGAAAAAAUAUCAGCUAGGUGAAACUUGGCAAGACCAUUUGACCCCAUAUGCUAGAGAAAGACUAAAUCAAUCCUCAAAUGAGGCAAGGAGAAUUAAGGUCUUUGGAGGUAGAGGGGAGCUGUUUGAAUGUUGUCAAGCUGGCUAUAGAAACAUCCUGGUACAUAUUACAGAUGGUACAUGUGAAUGUGGGAUGUGGCAAGUUAGUGGAGUGCCUUGCAAACAUGCAGUAGCUGCUAUUCUUCAUAAAGGAGGGCAACCUGAAAAUUAUGUGCAUCAUUAUCUGACCAAGGAAUCUUUUAUGAUGACAUACAUGGGGACUAUAAAUCCUAUUCCUGAUGAGUGUGCUUGGCCUGAAGUGGAAGCUGAACCUUCCCCUGAUGUUGUGGUGCCUGUGAAGGUUGGACCACCUGACAUAAAGGCUCCAGUUGGUAGACCGAAAAAGAAAAGAACAAAAGAACCUGGUGAGACCAAACUAACUAGUAAAAGGUUUACUAUCAAAUGUAGUGCUUGCAGAUGUCUUGGGCACAACAAAAGGGGUUGCCCUAAUUUUCCAAAAACCACAAGAACUAUAGAGGUAUAACAUAAGAGUCAUUUUUGUUUUUUAAAUUUCAUUUGGUGAAGCUAACAAAUAUUGAUCUUGAUGUUGUGCAGGGAAGCAAUAGGACUUCAUCAAGUGCACAGGUUUAAUUUAAUUAUACAAUUUUAAUUCAAAAGGAUUUUUUUUUCUUUUGCACUAGAUAUUGCUUAAAACUUGGUGAUAUUGGUUGUGUGCAACGAAGAAAUAAGGCUUAAUCAAGUGGACAUGUUUAAUCUAGUUCUGAAAAUUUAAUUCUAAAGGAUUUUUUUCGUUCUUUUUCAUUAAAUUGCUUAAAACUUGGUGAUUUUUUUUGUGCGCAGGCAAGCGAUAUCACUUCAUCAACUGCACAGGUCUGAUUUUGUAAUUGAAUCUCCUUAUAUAUGUUUUGUUAUGUUAUCAAAUGGAUUAAUAACUUGGUACUAUAUAUGUUUGAUUUGAUCAUGGAAUUAUAUUGAAUAGAUUGAUUCUUUUUUUUUUAUUAAAUGAAAUUGAUGUCUUUUUUUUUUUCUUUUUGGACAGCAUGGAACUAACCCACAAUCUCAAGAAGUAGAUGUCAAUGAUCAAUCAAUUGGCAAUAGUUCUGAACAAGCUAGUUAGGCUUCAAUCAAUGUCACUCAACCAGUGGGGCUGUAUACACAACUAUUGUGGACUGUACUUCAACCUCAAAAUGAAGAAAUUAUCACUGUUAACAAGGAGUAGGAUAAUACAAUUUCACCUUGGGUUGACAUUUAAUUCUCCAUUAUAGAAUUUAGAAGACAAUUAACUAUUUUUUGUGUUUAAAUUUCAGUUUACCUUAGUAUUGUUAAGGUAUUUGUUAGUUUGAAUUUAAUUGACUUUCAUACUUUUAAUUUCAUUUUUAGACCGAAUGUUAUUGUGAUUUUUUUAAUAUUAUAUUCAAUACAUAUGUUAUUUAGUUUAACAAUUAUUAUAUUUUUAUAGAUGUGAUGAAAUUAUAUGGAUAGCAAAUUACAUUUUCAUGUAUAAUUCACUCAAAUUGAUAAAUAGGCUGUUAGAUUGAAAAAAAAAAGUCCAAGGUUAAAAUUGUACUUUAAAUCACUAAUAUGAUUAUAGGGGUAUACCUGUCUUUUAUGUUUAACUUAACAUUUUCACUAAUUUUUUUAACGGAAGAAUUGGGUUAAGGGCUUGAAUGACAUAAAUUUACAGUUGAAAGGAUUUAAUUGAUUCAUUUAGUAAACUUCUGGUCUCUGAAUUUUUUUCUAGAAAUAAUGAGGACUCAAUUAAAAAUUACCCUAGAUAAUAUAAUAACUUGUUGUGGUUCAUUGUAGCACUCUGAGCCAUAUUUUAAAAUUUACUGGUUUGUUAAUGCUUUUAUUAUUGACAUUAUUGUGUCAAUAUUAUUAUAAUUAAUUUAUUCAUUUUAUUGUAAUGAUAAUUUGUCUAGUCUUAGGUACUUAUUAUAUUAAAUUAUGUAAAUUAAUUGAGAAUACUUUUAGAGACAAAAGAAACACGUGUAUGUAGGAUUAAUAAGCGAAGAGUUGUAAAUGAUGGUGAUUGCUUCAUUCAGAGGCAUAUUAAAUAAUUAUGGAGAGUUGCUCUAUUUCGGAAGCAUAUAUUUAUACUUCCCUACCAGGAUUUGGGGUAAGCGAAGUGCUUUAUGUAUUGCAGUAAGGAAAUGUGGGCAAUAUCAGAGCCGAAAUAUUAAAAGAUCAUAACGCAUAUAAACAAUUAGUAUAUUCAAGACACAUAUAGAGGAAAGAGUGCAGAUCCGGCCGUAACUAUUAUGAGGAUUUCCUCAAGUAUUCUCAUGCUUCCUCAACUGUUCUGAACUAUAUAUUCUUCAUUGUGGGCUGUUUUGCUUAAAUACCAACACAAUGAUUCAAUACUUCAAAGGUCAAGGAAAUGUCAAAAUAUGAAAUGAAAAUACUUAAAUAGCCUUCUACCUAACAAAACUUAGUACUUCUAACUGCCUUCGCAGAGAAUCUAUAAAAUAAAAAAAAAAUCAUCCAGGAAAAGUUUCGUAACAGAAAAACCGUCUUUCAAAAAAUAAAAAUAGAAAAACCGACUCAUUUAUCUGCCAAUGAACCAGUCGGGACUCAUUUAAAAAAGAUUAAAAAGCAAAAGUAAAUGACACAAAUUGCAUAGAUAUCUCGGAGCCGCAUCAAAGGACAAAGGUGUUAAUUUGUCCAAGUAAUAAAUUCUCCUAGGUCAAAAGCAAUUAACGAUGAAAACUUUCUUCAUUAAGGGUCUGGCCUACGUAAAAAAAAAACAGAAAAACCACCCCAAGGUCAAAGCACAACCAUAAGUUUUGAGUUGCAGUUUUUAAAUUUUUUUUAUAAUAAAUCAACGUGUAUAAAAAAUAGAUAAUGAUUUUGAAUAAUCUUUUUGAUAAAUAUAGACAUAAAAUUUUAAAAUCACCAAACAGAAAAACAGGGAAUUAAAAGAGAGCCCUUGUUUCUCCUCUAUUUUGUUUGUUUGUCCUCUAUUUUAGCAGGGCAGCUAAAAGGGUUUGGAAGUUGACUGAAUUUUAUGAGGAUGUAAAGCAAUUAGCUCGGCAAGACAUGUUGAGUGUGCUGCAGGAUUUAACUGUGAAGAGAAAAAAGAAUGAGCUGGAGCUUGUUGUUGCGGUGUGCUGGGCCAUCUGGUACUCUAGGAAUCGUUUGGUGUUUGAAGGAAAGGAUGAAGAUCCAAAAAAUUCAGUGGCCAGAGCAAUUGCUAUGGUGGAAUCAUACAGGCGAAUAAAAGUUCCAAAUGAACAAAAUUCUCCAGGCCAUAGCAGAAUCAGUCAACUAGAAUGGGCAAAUCCUCCAAAGGGGUGUUAUAAAGUCAACGUUGAUGCUCCAAUCAAUGUUUCAAACCAAAAGGCAGGGUUGGGGGUAGUCAUUAGAAACUCUGUGGGUAAGGUUGUUGCUGCAGCAGUCCAAGGAACUCCAUAUAGGGGAGAUGUGGCGUGUAUGGAGGCUGAAGCUGUUCUGUUUGGUCUUCAGAGUGCCCAACAAGCAGCUGUUUCCCCAAUAAUUAUUGAGUCAGAUUCAAAGGAAGUGGUGGACCUAUCCUUAAAGAAAAAGAUCAGCAAGACUGAAAUUGAGUGGAAAAUUGCAGAAAUCCAAGCAAAUCUGGAAAAUCAGAAUGUGUCCUCGCUGUCAUAUGUCCCUAGAAACUGUAACUCUAUUGCUCAUUCUAUUGCAAAGAUAGCUCUAGGUUUUGAAAGUCAAGUCUUUUGGCUGGAAAACUUUCCAGAACAUAUCAGGUGUACUCUUGCUAAGUUCAUCAAUUGAAAAGCUUUACUUUUCUCAUCAAAAAAAAAAAAAUAGGGAAAUGAAAAGAUCGUAGGUGGAAAUUUUUUUUCUGCGUUGUAUCUUCUCAAUGCUGCAUGCAUUCAAAUUGUCAUAUUGCGAAAAUCCCUUUUCAAUGUUUCAAUUGCAAUGUCAUUGCCAUUAUUCAUAGUGGCAGACAAUGGACAUCACGGGACAUGGCUAGAAGUCUAUGUUACGGCUUCUGUAAGUAACAGCAGCCAAUGGGGAACUUCCACGGGUGCUAGAGGAGAGAGAAAGAGGUCCCAAUGCAAGGUGAUGGAAAUAGGGAUGGCAAUUGUACCCGCAAACCCGCAAACCCGCCCAAACCCACCCGCCAAAACCCGCCCGUUGCGGGUAAUUUUACCCGUUGCGGGCGGGUUUAGUAUUAUAAAUUAAAACCCGCACAUGGAUGCGGGUGGGUUUGGUAUUAACCUUAUAUCCGGUGGAUACCCGCAUGGAUAUCCACCAAACCCGCAAUAUUUUUUUUCAAAUAUUUUUAAUUUAAUUUAAAUAUAAAAAUGUAUAAAGAAAAUAAUGUCAUUAAUCAAAUUACCAAAUAGACAAAUGCUCAAAGUUGUGUAUGUGUGUAUGUGACCCAUCUCUUAUUCUAAAGUCAUAAGCUAAAGAAAACUAAAGGCAUUACCCUUCGAAUUAGUAUUUGAAAAUAUUAAUCUUAAUUAUUAUUAUAGGCAUUGUGUUGGAUGGGUGCUUAUGGUGGUGAAUGAAAUGAAUAUAUUCUCUUGGAUCUUGUUUUAAAUGAUAAUAUGAAAUGUAAUUAUUAUUUUUAGAUACUAGUUUGUGUUUUUUAAAUAGAUUUGUGUAAUUUAUACUUAAAUUUGAGAAUUUGUAUUGAAUUGAUGUGGAAAUUUUAAUUUUUCAUUGACAUUGUUUAAAUAUAAAAUUGAGUAUGCUAUAUGGAAUUUGAGGUUAUUAUUAUAAAUUUAUAUAUUAAAUAUUUGUGAUUUUAAAUACGGAAACCCGCAAAAAAUCCGCCGGAUACCAUUGCGGGUUUGGUAAUUGUUAAAACCCGCUGCGGGUGGGUUUUUUUAAAAAAAUUAAAACCCGCUGCGGAUUGCGGGUGGAUUUGGUGAUUUAAAUUUUGUGCGGGUUUGGGUUUGAUAAUGGCAAACCCGCUGCGGGCGGUGCCCAUUGCCAUCCCUAGAUGGAAAUGGGAAAGUUCAAAGCUGUUACUUUCAGCUUCUGCACCGUAGCCAUGUCCCACGGGACAAGGCUAGAAGUUAUCAUGACCAUAGACUUUUCUAAUUUAUUUUUUCCUUUCAAAAAGGGACAAGGAUAAGUUUGGGAGAAUGAUUAUAUUUUUAAUAAAAGAAUUCUUUUUUAUUAUAAUACUUUUUGUCUUUAUUAAUUUAAAAAUAUUAACUCUUAUAUUUUAAUAAAUAUAAUUAUAAUAUUAUAAUAACAUAUAACAAUAUAUACAAAUAUUUAAAAAAAAUUAAGAUUUUAUUAAAAUAAUUUUAUAAUAAAUACAAAUAUAUUAUUAAUAUAAUUAUAAUAAUUUUCAUUUUAAAAAGUAAUACUGAUAUUAAUUUUUUAAAUUAUAUUACUCUACUCAAAAAAUUAAACUAUUAAAUUAUAUUGAUAUUUCUUAAAAAAGUUGCAAUUAAUUCUUAUUAUAUUUUUAAUUGGAUUUUUUUCCCGAGAUAUAACAACAAUUGCUACAGUUUUUUCCCAAAUAAAGAUGGAGUUAUAAAUUAUUUGUAUAAGUGUCUGUGUGGAAACUAAUGUGACAUGAAAGUAAUGGUUGAAUAACAAUAAUGGGGCUUUAGGCAAUUUUUUUAUGAGGUCCUCUUGCAAUUUCAACACUUAAACAGACUUGUCCUUGAUCCCAAUUUAUUUACCCAUUUAGGCCCACGAUGAGAUAAAUAUAUUCCUGUGAGAUGAAAAACAUCAGGAGAAGAAAAUGUUUUAUUAUAAUAAAAAAAACAAGUGGUCCAUAAGUCUAUUUAUUACUUUUUUUAUUCAAUACAAAUGGCCAACUUAAAAAAUGAUAAAAAUCACAUAACGCACAAGCGAAAAUUUAGAUUUACAUUUUUUAGUUCUCUCCGUGUCUCUCUUUCUCUUUUUUUUUUAAAAAAAUAAAUAAAUGUCAGUGUAAAAUUAGAAAAAUUUUAGAUAUAAACUUUGGCGAUGACCAAACAAAAAUUGAAAUACUGAUCAUAGACACUACAAUAUAAAUAACUUGUUGUGAUCCACUCAACUUGUAACACUUUAAUCCAUACUCUAAAAUUUGUAUGUUUGUUAGGAAUUUUAUUAUUGACAUUAUUGUACCAAUAAAAUUAUACUUUAUUCAUAUGGAAAGAAAACAUCAAGAAAGGACCUCUGAUUUUUAUUAUAACAGAAAAAAGUGGUCCAUAAGCCUAUUUAUUAUUUUAUUUAUUCAAUACAAAUUGCCAACUUAAAAAAUGGUAAAAAUCACAAAAUGCACAAGUAAAAUUUUAGAAUUACAUUUUUUUAAUUCUCUUUGAGUCUCUGUUUCUCUCUUUAAAAAAUAAACCUCACUGUAAAAUUAGAAUAAUUUUAGACAUAAAAUUUGGCAAUCACCAAACAAAAAAUGUAGGGAAAUGAAAAUGGAGGAGCCCUAUUAUCAUUAGAAUAUUGAUCAUAGAUACUAUAAUGUAAAUGAUUUUUUGUGGUUCAUUCAACCUGUCACACUCUAAGCCAUUUUCUAAAAUUUGUAAGGUUUAUAGGAUUUUUAUUAUUGGCAUCAUUGUAUCAAUAAUAUUAUAAAUUAUAUAUUCUAUUGUAAUGAAAAUUUGUGUAAUCUUAGGUAUUUAUUGUAUUAAAUUGUGUGGAUUAAUUAAGAAUAUUUUUGGAGACAAAAGAAGUGUGUGUACGUAGGAUUAAUGAUAAAAAAUUUCUAAAUAAAGGUGAUUGCUUCAUUGACAAGUACAUAUUUAUAUUCUCUAUUAGUAUUUGGGUUGUAAACUUUGUUUAUAAAGUGAAUAUAUUGUGGUAAGCGAUGUGGGCAAUAUCGGAUGCAAAAUAUUGAGAGAUCAUUAACGCAUAUAUUUAUUGAAGACGCAUAUAGAGGAAAGAGUGUAGAUCCGGCUGUAACAAUUAUGAAGCUUUCCCCAAGUAUUCUCACGCUUCCUUAACUGUUCCAAAGUAUUUUUCAUAGUGUGCAGAUUUACUUUAUGGUGUCUUAAUCCGUCUAAAAUGAUUACUUUAGUUCUUUUGGGAUGAAAGGUCAUUUAUUGUGUUAGUAUUAAACAAUAGAAAAAAUAAGUAAUGGUAACGAAAGACUAAUUUGUGAUAUUGAAGUAUACAUGCUUAACUCAAUCCAAACUUAGUAAGUUAGCUCAAGAGUUAAGAGUUGUCCAAAUCUUAUAUACUGAACCCAAGUUCAAUACUCAAUUGAUGUAGGAUGUUAUUCAUAACACCGCCCGUCAUGCGUAGGAUUGGCAAAAAAACUCGAGUCAAUCCCACCUAGACCUGCAAGCUUUAUUUAUGGCCAGCAUAAUGAAGUUACAGAUAUUAACCUAAAAAUUUGAAACUUACUAUGAGUGGCCUUGGUUAAAGACUUUUGCAACUUUAAUUUAUAACAAGUAUGUACACACACACACACACACACACACACACAUGUUUAGAUUGCAUUUGGAUGACUUUUUUUUAUCAAUGCAAACAAUAUCAAAUUUAUCGGAUUAAUUUGAAUCUGAUCUAUAUCCGAUUUUGCCUACCCCUACUAUUUAUAAGCCCAAGUGACUCUCUUUUACUAAUUAAUAAGGGAAUUUUUUGACCUCAUGUCCUUGCUGUGGCAUUAGACUGUUGGUCAUUUUGAUUGUUUCCUACCUUCCAUUUACGCCAGCUGUAACAUUGUAUUAUUCACCAUUUUAGCCAUUUAAAUGAAAUUUUAUUUUUGUCAAAAAUAAAAUGACACCCUUAAAAUUAAAAAAAAAAUAGUUAUGUAGACCUCAAAUUUUUAAUAAAGAAUGUCAAUACCUCUUUUAACUACAAGAUUCGUAGUAGAUGAUAAAAAGAAAAUUAACCUCAAAUUUUUUCAUUAAAUGUAAAUCUGAUUGAAGUAGUUUAAAUUUUUCUAGUAGACUAAUAUAUAUAACUUAAAUAAUUAAUUUCAUUAUUAAUUUUUAAAAUGUUAACUAAUAUAUUUUUAAUUUAUUAUAAAAUUUUUAAAUAUUAUCCUUGGAUUAAAUAGAUUUUACAAUUAAUGUAAUACUUCUUAUUUUUUAAUAAUAUUAAAAUUAUUUUAUAUGAUAUUCAAAAUAAUUUAAACUUAUAUAUAUUAAUAUUAUGUCUAUUUAUUAUAAUAUGGUUUAAUAUUAUACGGGAUUGUAAAAUAUUAAAAUAUUCUUCAAUAUCAAAUUAUUUUAAUAUGUACAUAUCAUUACUUUUAUUUUAGUAUCGCAUUUAUAUUUAUUAUAAAUAUAAAAUUAAUAAAAUUAAAGAGUAUUGCAGUAAAGUAAAAAAAAAAAGUCUUAUUAUCCCUUAUUCAUGAUAUGAGAUUCUACAAAAUUAUUUCCCGAAACGGGUGUCCUUUUCUCAUUUUCAAAAGAAAAAAUAAAGUAAGAAUAAGUCCAUGGGUUUCAAAAACUUCUAGUCCUAUCCCGGGACUACAUUGCUGCCACUAUAACUAAUGGAAAUGACAUUUCAAUUGACAUUGCCUUUCGCAACAUGAAAAAUUUUUGGUGGGAUAUGGAAGAAUUGUCAAAAGUUCACGCCGUGUGAGAGUUUUUGGUAGGAUGUAGGAGGAUUGUCAAAAGAUCACACCAUGUGAUAAAACCACAAUUGCUAUGGUUUUUAUUUUUUAAAUAAUGAUGGGAGUUAUAAAUUAUUUAUAUAAAUUUGCGUAGAAACUAAUGUAACAUAAAAGAAAUAGCUGAAUAACAAUAUUUGGUGCUUUAAGUAAUUUUUAUAUGAGCCUUUCUUUUAUUUAGCGGCUUUAGUGUUUAAACAAACUUGUUCUCGAUCUUAAUUUACUGACCCCAUUUAAGCCCAUAAUUAAACAUAUUCUUUUGUGACGAAAACAUCAAGAGAAGACAUCUCAUGUUUUAUUAUAACAGAAAAAGAAGUAGUCCAAACAUCUAUUCGUUAUUUUAUUUAUUCAAUAUAAAUGGCCAACUUUAAAAAAAUGAUAAAAAUCACACAACGCUCAAGUAAAAAUUUAGAAUUACAUUUUGUAAUACUCUCUGAGUCUCUCUCUCCUGCCCCCCCCCCCCCUUCCUUUUAAAAAAAAUAAACCUUAGUGUAAAAUUAGAAGAAUUUUAGAUAUAAAAUUUGGCAAUAGCUAAACAGAAAAGCGGCGGAUUGAAAAUAAAAAAGCUCUAUUACCAUUGGAAUAUUGAUUAUAGAUAAUAUAAUAACUUGUUGUGGUUCAUUGUAGCACUGUGAGCCAUAUUCUAAAAUUUAUAGGUUUGUUAAGGCAUUUAUUAUUGACAUUAUUGUGUCAAUACUAUUAUAAUUUAUUCAUUUUAUUGUAAUGAUAAUUUGUCUAGUCUUAGGUACUUAUUAUAUUAAAUUAUGUAAAUUAAUUGAGGAUACUUUUAGAGACAAAAGAAACACGUGUAUGUAGGAUUAAUAAUCGAAGAAUUGUAAAUGAAGGUGAUUGCUUCAUUGAGAGGCAUAUUAAAUAAUUAUGGAGAGUUGCACUAUUUCGGAAGCACAUAUUUAUACUUCCCUAUCAGGAUUUGGGAUAAACGAAGUGCUUUAUCUAUUGCAGUAAGCAAUGUGGGCAAUAUCAGAGGCGAAAUAUUAAAAGAUCAUCCAUGAAAAGCUUCGUAACAGAAAAACCGUCUUUCAAAAAAAAAUAAAAUAAAAUAAAAAUAAAAACAGAAAAACCGACUCAUUUAUCUGCCAAUGAACCAAUCAGGACUCAUUUAAAAAAGAAUACAAAGCAAAAGUAAAUGACACAAAUUGCAUAGAUAUCUAGUAGCCGCAUCAAAGGACAAAGGUGUUAAUUUGUCCAAGAAUAAAUUCUCCUAGGUCAAAAGCAAUUAACGAUGAAAACUUUCUUCAUUAAGGUUCUGGCCUACGUAAAAAAACAGAAAAAAUCACCCCAAGGUCAAAGCACAACGAUAAGUUUAGAAUUGGAAUUUUUAAUUUUUUUUAAUAAAUCAACGUGUAUCAAAAAUAGAUAAUAAUUUUGGAUAACUUUUUUUGAUAAAUAUAGACAUAAAAUUUUAAAAUCGCCAAACAGAAAAACAGGGGAAUUAAAACAAAGUCCCUGUUUAUCCUCUAUUUUGCUUGUUAUUAAAAAGGGAAAUGAAAAGAUUGCAAGCCGAAAUUUUGUUUCUGCGUUGUCUCUUCUCAAUGCUGCAUGCAUUCAAAUUAAACCUUACAUAUGCUAGCAAACUAGCUACUCUGCAUGUAAGUUCUCGAUAAGUCCAAAUAAUAGAAUAAUUGUAAAAUGUUCAAAUUCAGUAAUUAAUUAUACAUAUUUAUUUAUUCAAAAAUUAUUAUUAUUACUAAUUAUUGUCAAUAAUAUAUUAAUAUACUAAUUAAUUGUAAAAAAAUUUAUCAUUCAUAACAAUAAUGAUGAUGAUGAUAAUAAUAAAAAUUCAAAAUAUAUUAAUUAAUUAUAAUAAUAUAUUAAUUAUUUAAUAAUAAUAUAUUUAAAAUAUAUAAAUUGAUUAGAAUAGUUAUAUUAAUAAAUUAUAAACAUAUAUUAAUUAAUCAUAAUAAUUUUUUAAUUGAUGACAAAAUAGAUAUUUUAUAGUUUGUGAGAGGGGGCAAAAUGAUCAAUCUUGGGAAUGGGGGAUUGAUUCCCACCACCUUCCUUAGGAAUCAAUCUUCCAUUCCUCAUUCCUAAUUUGGGUGGUCCCCAUAGUUCUUAUUCGGAUCCCAGCCUCUAUUUUGUGAAGUAAACAUCAUUAAUGAUUUCGAUUUCGGAUUCCGAUUCUCCAAUCCAAGAAGUAAAGGCACCAUUAUUGUUAAUUGGUUCAAACACACAAAGAGAAUGUACCAUGUAGCUAGGCGUCAAGGUUGUGUGGCACAAGGUUGUGUGGCACAAGUAGGGAUGGCAAUUCAACCCGCACCCGGCCCGGACCCGGAUGAAACCCGGAUUUUCCAGUCCGGGUUUAACCCGUACCGGAUUAAAUAAAAUCCGGAUCCGGAUGUCAUUUUAAAAACCCGCAUGUACCCGGGUCCGGUUCCGGGUUUAAGUAAACCCGUACAUCCGGAACCCGGACCCGGAUAUAUAUUAAUUUUAAAAAAUUAUUUUUAAUAUAAAUAGAAAGCAAAAAAAACCCAAAUGGUGCCCUAGAAGCUCAUUACACUUUCCCAGCCGCACAAACAUUUCCUCUCUUAUUCCCUCUUCAGCUCAUCUUCAUCUUCAUCAAAUCAUCGUCGCAUCACUUGCCCAUCUUCGCGGCUGUUCAACUUCAACAUCAUCAUCAUCAUCAUCAUCAGCCGUCGUUUCCUUUCUUUUUCUGCGGCGACCGGUAACUAGCUGUGAUACGGGUUGAACGCCGCCUUUGCCAAUCGCAACCGCGGCUGUGUUCAUCAUCAUCAACCGCCGUCACUUUCAAGAACGAUACUCGAAAAUAUUUUGAUGGGAAUCUUGUUUUUGGUCAUUUUAGUAACAGUGUGUGCAAGUGCGAGUGAGAGAGAGAGAGAACGUGGCUUACUCGAUGCCACUUAUCAUGCUUUCAUCUUUUUUCAUCCAGUGCGGGGUCUGUCUUUGUUGGCUUUUUGGAAAACUUGUUGCUUUUAAUGGUGUAUUACUUCUUUUGAAUAUCCAAUCAAUGUAAACUUAUUUACAUUACCCCUCCAGUUUUCCCAUCACCAUUAAAAGUGCUUUGGUUGCUCCUUGACUGUGCUUUGGUUGCUCCUUGACUCCUGACUUCCUGCUCGCAACAAAAGCUAGUUCUUUAGCUCUCUUUACUAAUUGAACGAGUCACCACAUUGGGUUGCUGAUUCUGGGCAGCCAAACAAAAUUGUUGUUUUUGUUAAUUAGUUUCCAGAUGAAAUAAUUUUUCUUUGAUUUGCUGAAAUCCUGGAUAUGUAUUUCUAUUUGAUUUUUUUAGUCGAAUUUAGUUUUUUUUUUUAAAUUGGAUUCAUCAAUCCGGGUUGGAAACCCGCAGUCCGGAAACCCGGAUUUUUCCGGGUUGAACCCGUACCGGACCCGGAGUGGAAAAAUGCGGGUUUAUUUCCGGGUCCGGUACAGAAAAUAUUCGUCCGGGUCCGGAUCCAGAAUGACUAAACCCGGACCCGGACCCGGAUUUUGCCAUCCCUAGGCACAAGUAACCUUUUUCUUUUCUUUUUAUUUUUUUUUGUUUUCCUUAACGGAUCAGAAGAAAUCGGUGCCUUUGAGAUACUACAAUGUAAAUAAGUACUUGUGGUUCAUUAAAUCUGUAACACUCGGUACCCUAAGGUUUCUUUUGAAAAAGGGCUUUUCUCACUGAUCACCAAUAUCCAAGUAAGUUUGUUUCAUUUCAGAAGGUGCAAAGUUUCAAACUUUUUGUAUUGGGAUGUAACAAACUUUGGCCUUAUAUGCCUGCUGUGACGUUAGACUGUUCAUUUUGAUUGUUUCAUACCUUUCACUUGCGCGCACUGUAGCACUGUAUUAUUCAUCAUUUUAGCUGUUUAAAUGAAAUUUUAUUUUUGUCAAAAAUAAAAUGACACCAUAAAAAUUUAGAAAAAUAAUCAUGUAGAUCCCAAAUUUUUAAUAAAGAAUACCAAUAUUCCCCUUGACUACAAUACCCUUAGUAGGUGGUAAUCAAACAAAUUGACUUAAACUUUUUUACGAAAUGUAAAUAUGAUUUAAAUAAUUUAAAUUUUCCAGUAGACUAAUAUAUAAUUUAAAUAAUUAAUUUCAAUAUUAAUUUUUAAAAUGUAAAUUAAUUUAUUUGUAUUUAUAAAAUAUUUGUAAUUAUUUUAAAAUUUUAACUAAAUCCUUAGGUUAAAUAGAUUUUACAAUUAAUAUAAUAUUUCUCAUGUAUUAAUAAUAUUAAAACUAUUUUAUAUGAUAUUGAAAAUAACCUAAAUUUUUAUAUAUUUAUUUGAAUAUUAUGUCUCUAUUUAUUAUAAUUUGGUUUAAUAGAAUACGAGAUUGUAAAUUAUUAAAAUUUUUAGAUAUUGAAAUUAUUUUAAUAUGUACAUAUUAUUAUAUUUAUUUUAAUAUCCUACUUAUAUUUAUUAUAAAAUAUUAAAAUUAAUUUUUUUAGUUAAUAAAUUUAAAAAAUAUUAUAAUUAAAAAAAAGAGUCUUAUUGCCUGUUAUUCACGAUAUGAGGUUCUACAAAAUUAUUUUCAAAAGGAAAAAUAAGUCCAGGGGUUUCAAUAAAUUCUAGUCCUAUCUGCCACUAUAACUAAUGGAAACGACAUUGCAAUUGACAUUGCUUUUCGCAAUAUGACAAUUUUUUGGAGGGAUAUGGGAGAAUCGUCAAAUGUUCACACUAUGCGGGAGUUUUGAAUGGGAUCGGGGAGAAUUGUCAAGAGUUCACACCACGAGAAACCAAUGAUAGCCAUAAUUACGCUGUCAGUUCUUUGUUUAUUUAUUUUGUUUAUUUCAUACAUUGUUGUCUUGUUGGCAUUGUUUUGUAAAUAUAUAAAAGUAAAGUAAACUAUUAGGGUGCUGCUAAGUUAAACUGUUGUAACUUACAAUCCCUUAAAAAAUAAUGUAAAAAAUUUAACACGUGGUGGGAUCGACAUAUGUUUGAAGAGGCUUUAAGUUACAGUAGUUGUGACUUAGAAAAAUCCAAAUAUUAGACAAUAACACACAUUAACAAUGCAUAUAAUUUGGGUUUGAUUUUUUUAAAAAUUAUUUGAGUAUUAACUAUCCUUAAGAUAUUAAUGUGAAUAUAAUUUAAUAUUAAAUAAUCAAAAUCUGUAUAAUUAUAAUAUAUAUUUCAUACAUUGCAUGUUUAAUCAAAAUCGGAUUGCUUUUUACCUUCCAUUUACGCCCACUGUAGCAUUGUACUAUUCACCAUUUUAGCUGUUUAAAUGAAAUUUUUAUUUUUUUUCAAAAAUAAAAUGACACCCUUAAAAUUUUAGAAAAUAGUCAUGUAAACCCCAAAAUUUUAAUAAAAAACACCAAUACCCUUUUUUACUAUAGUACUCUUAUGGUAGCCACAAAAAAAAAUGACUUCAAAAUUUUUUACUAAAUGUAAAUAUGAUUUAAAUAGUUUAAAUUUUCUAGUAGACUAGUAUGUAUAAUUUAAAUAAUUAAUUUUUAAAAUGUAAUUUAAUAUAUUUAUUUUAAUAAUAUAUUUAUUAUAAAAUUUUAAACAAAUCCUUGGGUUAAAUAGUUUUUAUAAUUAAUAUAAUAUUUCUCACGUUUUAAUAAUAUUAAAGUUAUUUUCUAUGAUAUUGAAAAUAAUUUAAAAUUUUAUAUAUUUAUUUUAAUAUUAUGUCUCUAUUUAUUAUAAUUUGGUUUAAUAGAAUACGAGAUUGUAAACUAUUAAAAUAUUUUUAGGUAUUGAAAUUAUUUUAAUAUGUAUAUAUUAUUAUAUUUAUUUUAAUAUCCUACUUAUAUUUAUUAUAAAAUAUUAAAAUUAAUUUUUUUAGUUAAUAAUUUAAAAAAAUAUUAUGGUUAAAAAAAAGAGUCUCAUUGUCCGUUAUUCACGAUAUGAGAUUCUACAAAAUUAUUUUCAAAAGGAAAAAUAAGUUCAGGGGUUUCAACAAAUUCUAGUCCUAUAUGCCAUUAUGACUAAUGGAAACGAUAUUGAAUUGACAUUGUUUUUUGCAAUAUGACAAAUUUUUGGAGGGAUAUGGGAGAAUCGUCAAGCGUUCACACCAUGCAAGAGCUUUAUGUCACGGGAUGAGUGUUUUGCGCAGCUAACCCGUGCGGCACUUAGACAACUUUGCCGAAUGUUGCUAAGUAAGCCUAGAGCUUCUCGAACAAGAGAAGAGAGCAAUUGAGCCAAAGAAGAAACUUGUAUUGCACAAAGAGAGAUUACAAUGCUUGUUGCUUACAAAGCUUGUUAGAUACAAAUGCCUAAUGCCAUUCCAUAUUUAUAGGGGAGGCUUGCCAAGCUCUAGAGAUUCUAGAGAAUUCUACCAACUAUCUAGAAUUUACAUGUGCUGGAAAGUCAUAGAGAAUUCUAGAGUAUUUACAAGCUCACAUGUGCUAGAGUUUCCUAGAACUUUCCGGAAUAAGGUCAAGCUAGCACUCUUGACCUUGUGUUGGCUCUCUACCCCGAAAUUGUGGGCAAUUGGGCUAGUGAAUUGGGAGGUCCGUAACAUCCUCCCCCACCUAAGCUCGCGGCGUCCUCGUCGUGCUCUCAUGCUUGAAGCGUUGGAUGUGCUCAGCGAAUUGCCACAAAUCAUCUUCACAUUCCCAAGUGGCUUCACUCUCGGGGAGGUUUUUCCACUUCACUAAGUACUCGCUAUGUGCUGGCACGCCUCUCCUCGAAACCGUGCGGUCCGCAAUGAUGUAGUCCACAUCUUUGUCGAACGCGUUGACAACGGCAGUUGGUGCACGCCUUGAUUCUCCAAGACUUGGUUCUCCCACGUCUUCGUGAUAUGGCUUGAGAAGGCUCACAUGGAAGACCAGAUGGAUCUUGAGUCUUGGUGGAAGUUGGAGUUGAUACGAGACGUUGCCCACAUGUCGAACAACUCGGAAGGGUCCCUCGUAGCGCCUCACUAACCCCUUGUGAACUUUCCGCAAAGUCUUGAAUUGUUGGGGUAGGAGCUUGAUCAUGACUUGAUCACCUUCCUUGUACUCAACAUGCCGUCUCCUUGUAUCCUCCCAUUUCUUCAUUUUCCUCGCGGCUUUGUCGAGAUAGGCUCGCGUGAUAUCCGCUUCCUCAUGCCAUUCGUGGGCGAGCUUGUGUGCCGCGGGAUUUUCCCUCCGUAAGUCGAGGCUAUGGCAUUGGGGGUCAUGGGCUGGAAUCCCAUGAUGAUCUCGAAUGGACUCUUGCCCGUAGCCUCACUUCGCUGCAAGUUAUAAGAAAAUUAGGCGAUGUCAAGUAGUUUCGCCCAAUCCCUCUGAUGAGCGCUCACAUAAUGCCUCAAGUACAUCUCGAGGAGGCCAUUGAUGCGCUCGGUCUGCCCAUCCGUUUGUGGGUGGAAGCUUGUCGAGAACUCGAGAUUGGUCCCCAACAUCUUGAAGAGCUCCGUCCAAAAAUACCCAGUGAACCGAGGGUCUCGGUCGCUCACAAUGCUUUUUGGAACUCCCCAAAGCUUCACAAUGUGCUUGACGAAUAGGCGGGCUGCCUCGUCCGCUUUACAGUCGACGGGUGCGGCAAUGAAUGUGACAUACUUGUUGUAUCGGUCGACAACAACGAUGAUGCUUCCGCAACCUUCAGACUUGGGGCAGCGAUGUGAUGAAGUCCAUGGAGACACUUUCUCAUGGCCUUGUUGCUAGCAGUAGCAGCUCCAACAAUCCCGCUGGAAGUUAAUGAUCCACCUUGUCUUGUUGGCACACAAGACAAGUUCGCACAUAUGCCUCGAUGCUGUCCCUCAUGUGCGGCCAAAAAUAUGAGGCUUGAACUAGUGCGGUGGUGCGCUCAAUUCCUGGGUGACCAGCCCACUUGGAGUCGUGGCACUCCUUGAUAACUUCCUUCCGCAAGUUUCCCCACCUUGGCACGAACAGCCGAUCUCCCUUGGUGAGGAGGAUGCCUUCCUCUUGCCAAAAUCACCUUGUCUUUCCCUCGAGCACCUUCUCUAGCAAAUCCUUGGCUAGCGGAUCUUGUUGGAAGCCUUCCUUGAUGCGUGAGACAAGGUCGGACUUCGGUUGGCUCAUGCUAAGUGUCGCCAAUUCGGCCUUGCGGCUUAGAGCGUCCGCAACGACAUUGGUCUUGCCUGGUUUGUACUCAAGCCGAUAGUCAAAUUCCGCUAGGAAAUCUUGCCACCGCGCUUGCUUCGGACUCAACUUCUUCUGAGUUUGGAAGUAGCUUGUCGCUACGUUGUCCGUCAUAAUCGUGAAGUGAGAGCCUAGCAAGUAAUGUCGCCACACGCGCAAGCAAUGUAUGAUGGCUGUCAUCUCCUUUUCUUGCACUGUGUAGCGGCGUUCCGUAUCAUUAAGCUUUCAACUCUCGAACGCUAUAGGGUGGCCUUCUUGCAUGAGGACUUCUCCUAUGGCAAAAUCCAAGGCAUCCGUUUGGACUUCAAAGGGCUUUGUGUGGUCCGGGAGAGUAAGGACAGGUUCCUCCGAAAUUGCCUUCUUCAAAUCCUCGAAUGCGCGUUGGCACUCUUUAGACCAAUGCCACGUUCUGUUUUUCUUGAGCAUAUCCGUCAAGGGUGCUGCCUUGGCCGAAUAGCCCUUGAUGAAGCGGCGGUAGUAGUUCACCAAACCAAGGAAUAAGCGAAGCUCGGGCACUUUCGAGGGAAGUUCCCAUUCAAGGAUGGCCUUCACUUUAGCAUUCUCCAUCAUAAUCUUCCCGUCCGCAAUCUUGUGGCCAAAGAACUCCACCUCUUGUUGGGCAAACGAGCACUUCUCUAGUUUGAGGAAGAGCUCAUUGUCUCGAAGUACUUGGAGGACUUGUCGCAAGUGUUGGGCAUGAUCCUAGAGCGUGGUGCUAUACACCACUAUGUCAUCCAAGUACACGACCACGAAGCGGUUGAGGAAUGGUUGGAGCACCUUGUUCAUGAGCGUACAAAAUGUGGCGGGUGCAUUAGUAAGGCCAAAAGGCAUUACAAGGAAUUUGAAAAACCCGUACCUUGUUGUGCACGCUGUCUUUGGUUCGUCUCCCUUGGCGAUGCGUUCUUGGUAGUACCCUGAGCGCAAGUCGAGUUUGGUGAAGUACCGCACUUUGCCAAGCUGGUCGAACUAGUCUGCGAUCAAGGAAAUCGGAUACUUGUUCUUGAUAGUGAUCUUGUUGAGUGCUCUAUAGUCGAUGCACAUCCGCAGCGAUCCAUCCUUUUUCUUUUGGAAGAGGACCGGUGCACCGAAUGGGGCCUUUGAGGGGCGAAUAUAGCCUGCGUUCAGCAAGUCUUUGAGUUGUCUCCACAACUCUUAUAAUUUUGGUGGCGCCAUGCGGUAGGGCGCCAGGGCUGGUGGCUUCGCGCCUUGUUCCAGCUCGAUGGCAUGAUCUACCUCUUGUCGAGGUGGGAGCUUCUUCGGAAGUUCUGGAGGCAUCACGUCCUUGUACUCAUUGAGGACGACUUGAAUUCGCGGAGGGACUUGGCUUGGCGAAGUUCCGCUAUGUCCUUCCUCAUUUAGUUCUCGAAUAGAGACCAAGAAGCUUGGGUCCUUCUUGAAAGCCCUUUUGAAUUGCAUGGCGGAGAGUGUCUUCUCCUCGGACUUGCCUCGCUCCGUGGGUACCAUGCAUGCUUUGCUCCCGUCGAGAAUGCUUAGGGAGUUUGUAGCGGGCAGCGGGAAGGCAUGGACUUGGUCAAAGAAUUUCAUGCUGAGGACCAUCUUGAAGUCGUCCAUGGGCACAAUGGAGAAGUCAAGCUUUCCGCUCCACGUACCGAGUGUGAUGUGCACGCCUUGUACGAUUCCCGCAAUUGGCUUGGCGGGUGAGUUUACUACCUUCAUUGUGCCUCCUUCCUUCGUGGCCUUGAGGCCUAAGCGCUUGGCCUCAUCUACGGACACGAAGUUGUGCGUUGCUCCCGUGUCUAGCAGCGUGCGAACGGACUGGCCGUUUACCUUUGCGCUAACAUACAUGAGCCAUUUCUUGACGAGUGCGGGCUGUUGGCGAUUGAGUGCGCCGAGGCGUUGGAGAGAACCCAUGCUGAGUUGGGGUUCCUCCGUGGACAUUGUAGGGUUGCUCUUGAGUUGGGCAGCAAGAGCGUUAAGCGACCUCUUCUCCGGACAGUCGCGCACCCAAUGGGGACCAUUGCAUAUGAAGCAUGGGUUUCGCAGUUUUGGCGCCUCCUUCUUGCCCUCCGAUUUUCCUUGCCCGCUCUUGUUAUUAGGCGGCUUUUUAUGCCCCCAAUCUUUACGGUUGUUGCCCUUGUCCUUGUGACUCUCUCCCCUACCUUUGCCUUGACUAGACUUCUUGUCUUUGGAUUGGGUAGAGUAUUCGGUGAGCGAUUCCGCAACGGCGAUGGCGUCGUCAAGUGUUUGAACACCACACCUAUCAAGCUCGGUCUUGGCCCAAUCCUUGAGGCCAUCUUGGAAGUAGAAGAGUGAAUCUUUGUCAGACAUGUCGCUUAUCUCCAACAUAAGGGUAGUGAACUCAUUGAUGUAGUCCCGAAUGCUACCCGAUUGCUUGAGGCGACGUAAGCGCGCUCGCGCUUCCUUCUCCGCAUUGCUUGGGGCGAACUGUUUUCAGAGUUCUUGCUUGAAGUCGGCCCAAGUGUCGAUGGUGCAAAUGCCCUUGCCCAUCUCGCCAUGCUUGCGACACCACCAUAGUUGUGCAGCACUUCGAAGAUAAGUGGGUGCAGUGCCCACUUUCGAUGCCUCAUCUCGUACACCCAUGGCAUCGAAGUAUUGAUCCAGCCCGAAUAAGAAGUUGUCCACGAUUGUGGCAUUGCGUGUUGUUGUGCAAAUUUUAAUGUACUCGCAAGCGCACGAAUCUAUUAUAGUAUAGAUCAAUGGUGACGAGUGUCGAUCCCACGAGAAGGUGGAUUUUAAUUGUGUAUAGAAUUAAUUUUGCAAAUGGUUGAUUGGAUUUGUGGUGGAAAUGAUUUGGAAUAUGCUAAAACUUAAAUUAAAAUGGCGAGAAUAAAUUCUGAAAUUGGAAUUGAAAUGACGAGAAUAAAUUGAAGAGAAUUCUAUUGAAAUGACGUACUUGGGUAUCUGGAUCCGUAUCAACAUGCAUCAUGGGCUAAAUAAUCCGUAUUAAUGCCAAUUAAAUCAUGAGGGGGGAAUCCACACCUCAUGAACCACGCUCUAAUCAAUAUGGUGCUAAGGGCUUAUCGUGCCAAAUAAUAAUAACCUUGUACUAGAGAGCCGGUGUAACCAAGGCGGUAUCUAGACAAGAUCAGUAUUAUUUGUCGACGAUAAGUCAAAUCAUCCACAAAAACUAGAGGGGAAAAGAAAAUAAAUUUACCAAAUAAAGCCCAUGACACAUGUUGAGACUUCACCUUCAACCCAAGCUUGAAAGAAAAUUAGCCACUCAUAAUUGAACUAAGGGCAAAAUGGGAAUUUAUUAAAAUACAAAGAAAAUACAAGAUGGAGAAGGAAUUACAGAAAAUGGAUCCCAAAAAUGGAUUCAGAGAUAUCAAAUUAGGGGGGGGAGGCCCCCUUUUUAUAGAUACAUGGAGUAAAUCAUGGCCAUCGGAUUAAAAACAGUUUGGACGCUCAGGAUUGCGCCACGUCAUCAGUCAACAGUCCACGGUUUGACCACGCGGAUGAACAGUAACACGGUUUGACCUGGAUGAACAGUAACGCGGUUUGGUUGACAAUAAUCCUGUGUGAUGCAUGCACCGUACGCGAGAUUUUUCGUCCACUGAUAUGCUGCCACGUCACCAUCAACAGUACAUAAGAUUUUAGUCCAACAGGAUCGUGACACCUCAUCAGUCAAUGCCACAUCAUCGGUCAAUGCCACAUCAUCGGUCAAUGCCACGUCAUCGAUCAAUGCCACGUCAUCGAUCCGUCUAUGUGAACAGUGUCGUGAACAGUAACGUAGACAGUACCGUAUACGUGAAUAGUACCGUACAUGUGAAUAGUGCCAUUUUUCCUUUUAUGCUCCUCCUAAGGUUUUCGACCGUCCUGAGUUCAAAAGUGAUGUCCGUUUUGCCAUCUGAUCUCUCCUUUAUUGUGAAAUGACUAUAAUGCCCCUAAAAUACAUAAAAUACUUAAUUAAAAUAACACACACGUAAUUACAUCACAAGAAGGUUAAAUACAUAAAAGUAAGGGUUGUUAGUAAGACUUGAAAUGUAAAAUGACGGUUUUCUCCUUUAUAAAUAUGCAUUUUCUAACACUCAACACACCCCCCAACCAGCUUAUUGCUAGUCCCUAGCAAAUAAAGCGAAAACAAAAUUCAAAUUCAAAUUUUUUUUUUUUUUUUUAGAAACACUCGUGUUUAUUCAAUCAGAUUAAUGAUAGCAAUCAAAUAAAAGUAUAAGCAUUAUCUCCAGUCUAAAGCAAUAUCACACCCACAUCAACCAUCCACAUGAAUCGGCCCAGUAGAUUUUGUUAUAGGUACUUUCAAGAAUGACAUGUCAAACCCCAAAAUCUCACUGGAAGUAAUGACACUCUCACAAAUAAAUUAAACCCAAUAAAAAUAGUCACUCCAAUGAAUGGUAAUUGAGAGAGAAAAUAAUAAAGAAGUGAUAUCACAUGCUCUCACCAAGAUGAAAUAAAUAUGCCCUUAGCUUAGAAAUAAUACGAUCUCAAGUCAAAUAAAAUGUUAGUCAACCCACUUUAUAUAUCUUUUUUUUUUUUUAUUAUGCAUCACUACAUCUUUUUAGCCCAUAUAACUAGCUUCUACUUCAAACUAUAGUUCCCUAAAAUCAAGAAGGACUUUUAUUAGGACGUAACGUAGGCUAGGGAUAUGGCUAAUAAAGAAAGGAAAUAAGGAAAACAAAGUGUAUGUUUGAGAAAAAUGCAGAAAUAAUUUUUUUUUUUUUUUGAAGUUGCAAGGUAGAUUUCACCUAUUAUUGUUAUUUUAUUCUUUUGAAACAACAACUUUUGUUUUUAUUUUAAUUUUUUUUUUUACUUUUAUUUGGCAUAACUUCACUGAACAACAUAAUUAUUUACAUUUUCUCAAACAUAAAUAGGUGAUGGAACUUAAAAGACAUUGGGUAAUACUCCAAAUCGGAGUGGGUCAAGAUGAUAAGUUGACAAAGAAAAUGUUUUUUUUUUUUUUUUUUUAAAGGCUCAAAAGGGGUAACUAUGGAUAUUUAAUAACAGGGAUGGCUAGAAAGGCUCAAACGGAUCAAAGAUGGUCUUUCCAUCGUUUUUUAGGGCUCUAAAUAAUUAUCCAUAUCUACUAGUUAAAUGGGCAUCCCAAUAUAGCAACACACAUUUUUUUCUUUUUUCUUUUUUUUUUUACCAUUUUUUUUUAAAGGGUUAACUCAAAAGAAAUCUAGAGAUCGUGUAUAAAAUAAUAAACUGCUAAGUUGUAUAGAGAAUGGGCAAAAGGGUUACUCUCCAAGAAAAUGAUAGGCUCAACUACUCACUUGGCACUUAUUUAUGACAUGUUCAUUCCUUCAAGCAACUCAUAUUUGUCUCCGACAUCAACAUGUAAAGUAGCAAACAUAGCGUAACAUCACUUAAGACCAAAGAUAAUACAAAUACUAAAAUUUGAAAUUAAUCAUGUCAUCCAAUGUUAAAACAAAUAACACAAUUUUUUUUUUUUAAACAACAUUCUACCCCCCAACCUAUUCUAAACAUGAAAGGAAAAUAUGCAUGCAGAAAUGUGAAAAUGAUGUAGAAAAAUUAAUUAGAAAAAGAAAUUUUUUUUUUUUAAACUAAGAAGAUGCGUUUCUAGAGGCACUACACUCCAUAUUCAGCCAUCUUCGACUCAAAAAUUUGAAACUACAUAUUUAUAAAGGAGAAAGAGGAAGAAAACAGGUUUUUUUUUUUUUUUUUUUUUUUUUAAACGAUGAAGAUGCGUUUCUAGAGGCACUACACUCCAUAUUCAGCCAUCUUCAACAUAAAAUGUUAGCAACAGUUAGUUUCUACAACAAAAAAUCAGUAAAAACUUAACCAAGAUUCCACAAUUGUCGACUAUUCCCUCCCCCCAACCAGAACGAAACAUUGUCCUCAAUGUUUUAAAGGAAAGAAGUAGAGUUUAGAAGACAUCACCUGGGUGGUGCAACACAGAAGAAAAUAUUUACAGGCGGAGAGUUAAAUCUAAUUUGUACUUCUUACUGCGGCUACUGUUACCAUCAUUAUUUGGUCGCUCCAACACAAAGGUCCAGGGGUCUGGCUCCGGUUUAUAAGCUUGUAACAUAUCAAGUAGCUCAUUAGCAGUGUGAGCACAAAUAAAGAGUUUUUUCACAUUAGAAGGAAUGAAAUAGUUUUUUAUUGCAUGGUUAAGAAAUGCGAUAAAGCCAUCAUAAAAGUUAUUGACAUUUAACAAACCGAUGGGUUUCUGGUGGAUGUGCAGAUGGGCCCAAGAUGCUAGUGUCAUAAGUGCCUCUAGUGUUGCAAGAUCUCCUGGAAGGAAAAUAAAAGCAUCAGCAUGAUUAAGCAUUUCAGUUAUUCUUUCUUGCAUACCUGAGACGACUAACUCUUCUCCAGUUGAUGAGUCAGACGAACUGCCCAAUGGUUUUAGGAUUCUUGGGAUGAUGCCUAACACUUGACUUCCUCUGAUAAAAGCUGCUUCUGAGACCAUUUUUGAUAACCCUCGGUUACCUCCUCCAUACACCAAAUGUAAUUUUCUCGCUGCUAUGCUUCGACCAAGAUCUAUGGCUGCCUCCACGAACUCUUUAUGUUUGCCAUAGGUAAAUCCAGAAAGCACACAAAUGUUCUUGAAUUGUCUAUUAGGAGUAGCUGCCAUUGUGAUACUUCUCAAAAAUAAUUUGUGAGUGCUUGACAAAAGAUAAAUCACAUUUAAGAAUCUUGGUGACAGUGGAUCACAGCUGUGAAUAAGGUAACAUGUCAGUGUCAAAUAACGCGUAAAGCACGUGGCUCGCGAGUCAAAAAGGAAACAGUAAAAAGGAAAAAGCAAACAGUAACAAAAUUAUUAAAGACAAUAAUGCAAACAAUAAAACAACAGUGAAAUGAAAUAAAAUAACAGUAAAGUAAAAGGAUAUUUACACGUAGUUGCGACUGUGGCUCACAUCUUCCUCUGGUUUUACGUCCAGAAACGGCUUGAACGCCCUCUAUGGGUCGAGGAUAGGCUUCCUAUCCAGUUUUCUUAUAAACUGGCAAACAGGGUCGUUUAUAGUCAGAUUCCCAAGACUAUAUUGUGUAUGCUCUUUCUGGAAUAAUGGCCAUAACUGGAGAAUCGCUCCUUGCACAUAUCCACUGGGAUGCGUUUCAAGAGACAAAAGGAUAUCAUCCAAUGACUCCUUAUUCAAGCCAUCCCUAAUGAAUUGAAUCUUAUCUUCUCUGUUAUCAGACACCAUUCCUAAAGAACAUGGGUUUCUAUCGCAACUCAUUCUGGCACACUUGUGACAAGCAACAGAAAUUCUUCGAGCUCGUCGUUUUCUUGCGUAAUUUCCUUUACCACAACCAGGCAUGUAUGCAAUAAAUUUAGGAGGUAACUCACCUGCCAAUCGUACUUUAGCCUCGAUUAACCAACGGAUGUCUGCAGGUAUGUUAUUCCUCAUGAGCAAUCGCAUGCGUUCAGACCGGGCUUUAUAGAUUGUAAGGAGGGCAUUCUGAGGAAGUGAAGGGAAUCGCUUGUGAAGCUUUGCUAGAAUCUCGUUUCUAUCCAUACCUUCGCCUCAGAAUAUCAGUUAUUAUGGGAAACUGAAGUAACCGACUUGAUUGUCACGGAGUACCGUUAUCCGCCACUUCACCGGGGUAACAAACUAAAGCACACAAAUAGAAAAACAAAUCAAAACACACAAAGAAAAUUAAAAUCGUCCUCUUAUUGAAUUUACCUCAAGCUCCAACUGGAUGUCGUAAACACUUCUCUCAAUGUCUCUGAGUUGGCGUUCUAAACCCUCAACAUAGGCUACUAACUCUGGUGGUUGUAGAGCCCAAAUGCGUUGUGUUUUACAAAAUNNNNNNNNNNNNNNNNNNNNNNNNNNNNNNNNNNNNNNNNNNNNNNNNNNNNNNNNNNNNNNNNNNNNNNNNNNNNNNNNNNNNNNNNNNNNNNNNNNNNNNNNNNNNNNNNNNNNNNNNNNNNNNNNNNNNNNNNNNNNNNNNNNNNNNNNNNNNNNNNNNNNNNNNNNNNNNNNNNNNNNNNNNNNNNNNNNNNNNNNNNNNNNNNNNNNNNNNNNNNNNNNNNNNNNNNNNNNNNNNNNNNNNNNNNNNNNNNNNNNNNNNNNNNNNNNNNNNNNNNNNNNNNNNNNNNNNNNNNNNNNNNNNNNNNNNNNNNNNNNNNNNNNNNNNNNNNNNNNNNNNNNNNNNNNNNNNNNNNNNNNNNNNNNNNNNNNNNNNNNNNNNNNNNNNNNNNNNNNNNNNNNNNNNNNNNNNNNNNNNNNNNNNNNNNNNNNNNNNNNNNNNNNNNNNNNNNNNNNNNNNNNNNNNNNNNNNNNNNNNNNNNNNNNNNNNNNNNNNNNNNNNNNNNNNNNNNNNNNNNNNNNNNNNNNNNNNNNNNNNNNNNNNNNNNNNNNNNNNNNNNNNNNNNNNNNNNNNNNNNNNNNNNNNNNNNNNNNNNNNNNNNNNNNNNNNNNNNNNNNNNNNNNNNNNNNNNNNNNNNNNNNNNNNNNNNNNNNNNNNNNNNNNNNNNNNNNNNNNNNNNNNNNNNNNNNNNNNNNNNNNNNNNNNNNNNNNNNNNNNNNNNNNNNNNNNNNNNNNNNNNNNNNNNNNNNNNNNNNNNNNNNNNNNNNNNNNNNNNNNNNNNNNNNNNNNNNNNNNNNNNNNNNNNNNNNNNNNNNNNNNNNNNNNNNNNNNNNNNNNNNNNNNNNNNNNNNNNNNNNNNNNNNNNNNNNNNNNNNNNNNNNNNNNNNNNNNNNNNNNNNNNNNNNNNNNNNNNNNNNNNNNNNNNNNNNNNNNNNNNNNNNNNNNNNNNNNNNNNNNNNNNNNNNNNNNNNNNNNNNNNNNNNNNNNNNNNNNNNNNNNNNNNNNNNNNNNNNNNNNNNNNNNNNNNNNNNNNNNNNNNNNNNNNNNNNNNNNNNNNNNNNNNNNNNNNNNNNNNNNNNNNNNNNNNNNNNNNNNNNNNNNNNNNNNNNNNNNNNNNNNNNNNNNNNNNNNNNNNNNNNNNNNNNNNNNNNNNNNNNNNNNNNNNNNNNNNNNNNNNNNNNNNNNNNNNNNNNNNNNNNNNNNNNNNNNNNNNNNNNNNNNNNNNNNNNNNNNNNNNNNNNNNNNNNNNNNNNNNNNNNNNNNNNNNNNNNNNNNNNNNNNNNNNNNNNNNNNNNNNNNNNNNNNNNNNNNNNNNNNNNNNNNNNNNNNNNNNNNNNNNNNNNNNNNNNNNNNNNNNNNNNNNNNNNNNNNNNNNNNNNNNNNNNNNNNNNNNNNNNNNNNNNNNNNNNNNNNNNNNNNNNNNNNNNNNNNNNNNNNNNNNNNNNNNNNNNNNNNNNNNNNNNNNNNNNNNNNNNNNNNNNNNNNNNNNNNNNNNNNNNNNNNNNNNNNNNNNNNNNNNNNNNNNNNNNNNNNNNNNNNNNNNNNNNNNNNNNNNNNNNNNNNNNNNNNNNNNNNNNNNNNNNNNNNNNNNNNNNNNNNNNNNNNNNNNNNNNNNNNNNNNNNNNNNNNNNNNNNNNNNNNNNNNNNNNNNNNNNNNNNNNNNNNNNNNNNNNNNNNNNNNNNNNNNNNNNNNNNNNNNNNNNNNNNNNNNNNNNNNNNNNNNNNNNNNNNNNNNNNNNNNNNNNNNNNNNNNNNNNNNNNNNNNNNNNNNNNNNNNNNNNNNNNNNNNNNNNNNNNNNNNNNNNNNNNNNNNNNNNNNNNNNNNNNNNNNNNNNNNNNNNNNNNNNNNNNNNNNNNNNNNNNNNNNNNNNNNNNNNNNNNNNNNNNNNNNNNNNNNNNNNNNNNNNNNNNNNNNNNNNNNNNNNNNNNNNNNNNNNNNNNNNNNNNNNNNNNNNNNNNNNNNNNNNNNNNNNNNNNNNNNNNNNNNNNNNNNNNNNNNNNNNNNNNNNNNNNNNNNNNNNNNNNNNNNNNNNNNNNNNNNNNNNNNNNNNNNNNNNNNNNNNNNNNNNNNNNNNNNNNNNNNNNNNNNNNNNNNNNNNNNNNNNNNNNNNNNNNNNNNNNNNNNNNNNNNNNNNNNNNNNNNNNNNNNNNNNNNNNNNNNNNNNNNNNNNNNNNNNNNNNNNNNNNNNNNNNNNNNNNNNNNNNNNNNNNNNNNNNNNNNNNNNNNNNNNNNNNNNNNNNNNNNNNNNNNNNNNNNNNNNNNNNNNNNNNNNNNNNNNNNNNNNNNNNNNNNNNNNNNNNNNNNNNNNNNNNNNNNNNNNNNNNNNNNNNNNNNNNNNNNNNNNNNNNNNNNNNNNNNNNNNNNNNNNNNNNNNNNNNNNNNNNNNNNNNNNNNNNNNNNNNNNNNNNNNNNNNNNNNNNNNNNNNNNNNNNNNNNNNNNNNNNNNNNNNNNNNNNNNNNNNNNNNNNNNNNNNNNNNNNNNNNNNNNNNNNNNNNNNNNNNNNNNNNNNNNNNNNNNNNNNNNNNNNNNNNNNNNNNNNNNNNNNNNNNNNNNNNNNNNNNNNNNNNNNNNNNNNNNNNNNNNNNNNNNNNNNNNNNNNNNNNNNNNNNNNNNNNNNNNNNNNNNNNNNNNNNNNNNNNNNNNNNNNNNNNNNNNNNNNNNNNNNNNNNNNNNNNNNNNNNNNNNNNNNNNNNNNNNNNNNNNNNNNNNNNNNNNNNNNNNNNNNNNNNNNNNNNNNNNNNNNNNNNNNNNNNNNNNNNNNNNNNNNNNNNNNNNNNNNNNNNNNNNNNNNNNNNNNNNNNNNNNNNNNNNNNNNNNNNNNNNNNNNNNNNNNNNNNNNNNNNNNNNNNNNNNNNNNNNNNNNNNNNNNNNNNNNNNNNNNNNNNNNNNNNNNNNNNNNNNNNNNNNNNNNNNNNNNNNNNNNNNNNNNNNNNNNNNNNNNNNNNNNNNNNNNNNNNNNNNNNNNNNNNNNNNNNNNNNNNNNNNNNNNNNNNNNNNNNNNNNNNNNNNNNNNNNNNNNNNNNNNNNNNNNNNNNNNNNNNNNNNNNNNNNNNNNNNNNNNNNNNNNNNNNNNNNNNNNNNNNNNNNNNNNNNNNNNNNNNNNNNNNNNNNNNNNNNNNNNNNNNNNNNNNNNNNNNNNNNNNNNNNNNNNNNNNNNNNNNNNNNNNNNNNNNNNNNNNNNNNNNNNNNNNNNNNNNNNNNNNNNNNNNNNNNNNNNNNNNNNNNNNNNNNNNNNNNNNNNNNNNNNNNNNNNNNNNNNNNNNNNNNNNNNNNNNNNNNNNNNNNNNNNNNNNNNNNNNNNNNNNNNNNNNNNNNNNNNNNNNNNNNNNNNNNNNNNNNNNNNNNNNNNNNNNNNNNNNNNNNNNNNNNNNNNNNNNNNNNNNNNNNNNNNNNNNNNNNNNNNNNNNNNNNNNNNNNNNNNNNNNNNNNNNNNNNNNNNNNNNNNNNNNNNNNNNNNNNNNNNNNNNNNNNNNNNNNNNNNNNNNNNNNNNNNNNNNNNNNNNNNNNNNNNNNNNNNNNNNNNNNNNNNNNNNNNNNNNNNNNNNNNNNNNNNNNNNNNNNNNNNNNNNNNNNNNNNNNNNNNNNNNNNNNNNNNNNNNNNNNNNNNNNNNNNNNNNNNNNNNNNNNNNNNNNNNNNNNNNNNNNNNNNNNNNNNNNNNNNNNNNNNNNNNNNNNNNNNNNNNNNNNNNNNNNNNNNNNNNNNNNNNNNNNNNNNNNNNNNNNNNNNNNNNNNNNNNNNNNNNNNNNNNNNNNNNNNNNNNNNNNNNNNNNNNNNNNNNNNNNNNNNNNNNNNNNNNNNNNNNNNNNNNNNNNNNNNNNNNNNNNNNNNNNNNNNNNNNNNNNNNNNNNNNNNNNNNNNNNNNNNNNNNNNNNNNNNNNNNNNNNNNNNNNNNNNNNNNNNNNNNNNNNNNNNNNNNNNNNNNNNNNNNNNNNNNNNNNNNNNNNNNNNNNNNNNNNNNNNNNNNNNNNNNNNNNNNNNNNNNNNNNNNNNNNNNNNNNNNNNNNNNNNNNNNNNNNNNNNNNNNNNNNNNNNNNNNNNNNNNNNNNNNNNNNNNNNNNNNNNNNNNNNNNNNNNNNNNNNNNNNNNNNNNNNNNNNNNNNNNNNNNNNNNNNNNNNNNNNNNNNNNNNNNNNNNNNNNNNNNNNNNNNNNNNNNNNNNNNNNNNNNNNNNNNNNNNNNNNNNNNNNNNNNNNNNNNNNNNNNNNNNNNNNNNNNNNNNNNNNNNNNNNNNNNNNNNNNNNNNNNNNNNNNNNNNNNNNNNNNNNNNNNNNNNNNNNNNNNNNNNNNNNNNNNNNNNNNNNNNNNNNNNNNNNNNNNNNNNNNNNNNNNNNNNNNNNNNNNNNNNNNNNNNNNNNNNNNNNNNNNNNNNNNNNNNNNNNNNNNNNNNNNNNNNNNNNNNNNNNNNNNNNNNNNNNNNNNNNNNNNNNNNNNNNNNNNNNNNNNNNNNNNNNNNNNNNNNNNNNNNNNNNNNNNNNNNNNNNNNNNNNNNNNNNNNNNNNNNNNNNNNNNNNNNNNNNNNNNNNNNNNNNNNNNNNNNNNNNNNNNNNNNNNNNNNNNNNNNNNNNNNNNNNNNNNNNNNNNNNNNNNNNNNNNNNNNNNNNNNNNNNNNNNNNNNNNNNNNNNNNNNNNNNNNNNNNNNNNNNNNNNNNNNNNNNNNNNNNNNNNNNNNNNNNNNNNNNNNNNNNNNNNNNNNNNNNNNNNNNNNNNNNNNNNNNNNNNNNNNNNNNNNNNNNNNNNNNNNNNNNNNNNNNNNNNNNNNNNNNNNNNNNNNNNNNNNNNNNNNNNNNNNNNNNNNNNNNNNNNNNNNNNNNNNNNNNNNNNNNNNNNNNNNNNNNNNNNNNNNNNNNNNNNNNNNNNNNNNNNNNNNNNNNNNNNNNNNNNNNNNNNNNNNNNNNNNNNNNNNNNNNNNNNNNNNNNNNNNNNNNNNNNNNNNNNNNNNNNNNNNNNNNNNNNNNNNNNNNNNNNNNNNNNNNNNNNNNNNNNNNNNNNNNNNNNNNNNNNNNNNNNNNNNNNNNNNNNNNNNNNNNNNNNNNNNNNNNNNNNNNNNNNNNNNNNNNNNNNNNNNNNNNNNNNNNNNNNNNNNNNNNNNNNNNNNNNNNNNNNNNNNNNNNNNNNNNNNNNNNNNNNNNNNNNNNNNNNNNNNNNNNNNNNNNNNNNNNNNNNNNNNNNNNNNNNNNNNNNNNNNNNNNNNNNNNNNNNNNNNNNNNNNNNNNNNNNNNNNNNNNNNNNNNNNNNNNNNNNNNNNNNNNNNNNNNNNNNNNNNNNNNNNNNNNNNNNNNNNNNNNNNNNNNNNNNNNNNNNNNNNNNNNNNNNNNNNNNNAUGAACUAUCAGAAAUUGGGUAAAUGAUACCUGCGUCUAAUAGCUUAAGGACUUCUGUUCUAACAACUUCUUUCAUAUUAGGAUUUAACCGACGUUGCAUUUCCCUAGUAGAUUUAGCAUUUUCAUCAAGGUGAAUGUAAUGCAUGCAGUCUACUGGAUUUAUACCUUUGAUGUCUGCUAUGGUCCAUCCUAAUGCCCCUUUGUGCUCUUUUAAAACAUCCAACAACUUACCUUUUUGUUCGUCAUUUAGGGAUGAUGAGAUGAUUACCGGCAGAGUACUUUCUUCUCCCAAAAAUGCAUAUUCCAGAGUGUUGGGUAAUGGUUUGAGCUCGAGUUUCGGUGGUGAUUCUGAUGAUGGAAUGAGUUUCUUCUCUGAUGGUGCUAGUUGUUCAACUCUUGACUUCCAUUUAUUAGUGUCCAUGGAUGGUGCUGAGUCAAGUAGGGCGUUGACCUCUUCGACCGAUCUGUCAAUAUCAAAAUCCAAACCAAAGUGAGUUAAACAUGUUUGUAAAGGAUCAUCACUAAGGUUUGAAAGAAAAGUAUUAUCAACUAUUGUUUCUAUUAAAUCCACAUCAACAAUUCCAUCAUCUGCACUGUGAGGUUGUUUGGCAAUGUUGAAGAUGUUUAGCUCCAUAGUCAUGUUGCCGAAGGACAAUUGCAUAUUUCCGGUCCUACAUUGAAUAUGAGCAUCUGCAGUUGCCAAGAAAGGUCGGCCUAGAAUAAUGGGGAUGUGCUUCCUUGAGUCCUGUAUUGGUUGAGUGUCAAUUACAAUGAAAUCAACAGGAAAAUAAAACUUGUCUACCUGGAUAAGCACGUCCUCCACAAAACCACGAGGUAUUUUUGUGGACCGAUCUGCAAGUUGUAACACCACUGGAGUUGGGUGUAAUUCUCCCAGUCCAAGUUUCACGAAUACAGAGUAAGGCAACAAAUUUACACUAGCUCCUAAAUCCAACAAAGCAUUCUCAAUUGUGUGGUUCCCUAUACUACAUGAGAUAGUGGGGGAGCCUGGGUCUUUGCAUUUUAAAGGAAUUUUAUGUUGGAGUAUAGAACUAACGUUUUCUGUUAAAAAUGCCUUCUUUUGAACAUGCAUAUUUCUCUUUUUAGUACAAAGGUCUUUAAGAAACUUGGCAUAAGAUGGAACUUGCUUUAUAGCAUCAAGUAAAGGGAUGUUAACACUUACCUGUUUGAAGAUUUCGAGAAUCUCACCUGUGGAUUUUCCUUUCUUGCCUUUCGCUAACCUCUGAGGAAAUGGAGCUUUCGGAACGUAUUCUCGUGGGUUGGUUUCUUCUUUCUCCUCCGGUGGUGAGUCUUCAACAUUCACAGGUACAAUUUGAUUUUCUUUUGUCACCGGCAUCUCCACUUUGUUGUCGACUUCCUUUCCUUUUCGCAAGGUCAUGACUGCUUUGACCUCUCCAUGCUGUUGUGGUGAACUGGUACUUGCUUCAUGUACUCCUUUAGGAUUAGGCACUGGUUGACUUGGAAAUUUUCCUUUCUCAACAGUCAUUGCCAAGGUCUGAACUGAAGAAGCAAGUUGUCCCACCAUCUUCUCGAGGCUUGAAACUGAUUGAGCUUGUGAGUUGAAGCCUGCUCUCAACUCAUUUCGUAGUCCAUCAAUGGUGCGGUUCUGUUGCUCAAUCGUAGAGUGAGUAGCAUUCUUGAAAUUCUGGAAUGAAUCCUCCCAUGGUCUGGGUUGAGAGUAGUUUUGGUUCUGAUUGAAUGGUCUAAAUGGGGGCUGAGAGGCUUGAGGAUUUUGAGGAAUUUGUUGCAUUGGUGGAGCUGCUGGUCCAUUCUGUUGGAAUCCUUGAGACCAUGAAAAAUUGGGGUGGUCUCUCCAUCCAGGAUUAUAUGUGUUGGAGUAUGGGUUGUAAUUCGAUGGUUUUCUCAUUACACCUAUGGCAUUGGCUUGAUCUGAGUAUGAGUCAUGGUCAUGUGAUUCUGUUGAUUUAGCAGUCGAUAACGAUGCUAUUUGUCGAGCAAGACCUUCAACCAUCUCCUUGACUUCUUUGAUUUCCGAAGUUGACUCGCCAAUUUGAACCUCAUUUACUCCCUUAAUUCUUCUAGUAUUCCUGAGUGAUCGACUCCGUUGUUGGGAAUUAUCCGCUUGUCGCUGGAAGAAUUCCCAAAUCUCUGAUGCACUUUUUGACAUUAGCUCUCCUCCACUUGUUGCCAUUAGCCAUUCUUGCACAUUUGGUAGUAAUCCCUCCAAAAAGUAUUGACAUUGGUGCCAUUUUUCGUACCCAUGAUGUGGACACUUCAAGAGUAGCCCAUUGAAUCGCUCCCAUGUUUCGAAAAACUGCUCGUCCUCUCUCUGUGUAAACUCUGAAAUUUCCCUGCGAAUAGCAUUGGUUUUAUGCACUGGGAAAUAUUUAUUCAAAAAUUUUGUAACCAUUUGUUCCCAUGAUGCAAUGCUAUUAGCAGGCAAUGUAUUAAGCCAUGAACGAGCUCUAUCCUUUAAAGAAAAUGGGAAUAAUCUGAGUUUAACAUCAUCGUCUGAAAAAUUCUCAUAUUUGAAUGUUUGACAAAUGGCAUGAAAAUCAUUCAAAUGAUUAUAUGGGUCCUCAUUUUCUAAGCCAUAGAAUGUGGGGAGACAAUUUAGCACACUAGGUUUUAAUUCAAAACUCCUAGCAGCUACAUUUGGGUAUCUUAUGCAUGACGUGCUCAAAUUAGCUAAGGGACUAAAAUAGUCCUUAAAUGGCCUCUCCUGUGGUGCUUGUAAAUCUAUUUUAUUUUUAACGUGUUUGUGUGUGCGAAGUGUUUUUUCUAAUUCAAGGUCUAUAGGUUCAAGAUUUGGUAAUAAUGACCUACGACCAUGCAUGCAAAAUAAAUAAAAUAAAAAUAAAGAUGGGAACAAAAACAAAUAAAAAUAAAGAAGAGGGAGAAAUUACGAUACUAACCUUAUUGCGCUAUUACAACCUUUCUAUAAAAAUACACAAAAACAAAUACGUGAAAUAAAUUAACUAAAAAUUAAAUUAAUAAAAUAAACAAAAAUUACAAAGAAAAAAAAUUAAAAAUUAAAUUACAGAAUUUUAAAGAAGAGAAAAAGAAAAGAAAUAAUAACCUUUAAAUGUAGAUUUACUUUUUUUUUUAAUAAAAAAUACAAGAAAACAAAUAAAAGAAAUUAUUCACAAAAAUUAAUUCUAUGAAUUAAAAUUACUUACCUCCCCAGCAACGGCGCCAAAAACUUGUUGUGCAAAUUUUAAUGUACUCGCAAGCGCACGAAUCUAUUAUAGUAUAGAUCAAUGGUGACGAGUGUCGAUCCCACGAGGAGGUGGAUUUUAAUUGUGUAUAGAAUUAAUUUUGCAAAUGGUUGAUUGGAUCUGUGGUGGAAAUGAUUUGGAAUAUGCUAAAACUUAAAUUAAAAUGGCGAGAAUAAAUUCUGAAAUUGGAAUUGAAAUGACGAGAAUAAAUUGAAGAGAAUUCUAUUGAAAUGACGUACUUGGGUAUCUGGAUCCGUAUCAACAUGCAUCAUGGGCUAAAUAAUCCGUAUUAAUGCCAAUUAAAUCAUGAGGGGGGAAUCCACACCUCAUGAACCACGCUCUAAUCAAUAUGGUGCUAAGGGCUUAUCGUGCCAAAUAAUAAUAACCUUGUACUAGAGAGCCGGUGUAACCAAGGCGGUAUCUAGACAAGAUCAGUAUUAUUUGUCGACGAUAAGUCAAAUCAUCCACAAAAACUAGAGGGGAAAAGAAAAUAAAUUUACCAAAUAAAGCUCAUGACACAUGUUGAGACUUCACCUUCAACCCAAGCUUGAAAGAAAAUUAGCCACUCAUAAUUGAACUAAGGGCAAAAUGGGAAUUUAUUAAAAUACAAAGAAAAUACAAGAUGGAGAAGGAAUUACAGAAAAUGGAUCCCAAAAAUGGAUUCAAAGAUAUCAAAUUAGGGGGGGAGGCCCCCUUUUUAUAGAUACAUGGAGUAAAUCAUGGCCAUCGGAUUAAAAACAGUUUGGACGCUCAGGAUUGCGCCACGUCAUCAGUCAACAGUCCACGGUUUGACCACGCGGAUGAACAGUAACACGGUUUGACCCGGAUGAACAGUAACACGGUUUGGUUGACAAUAAUCCUGUGUGAUGCAUGCACCGUACGCGAGAUUUUUCGUCCACUGAUAUGCUGCCACGUCACCAUCAACAGUACAUAAGAUUUUAGUCCAACAGGAUCGUGACACCUCAUCAGUCAAUGCCACAUCAUCGGUCAAUGCCACAUCAUCGGUCAAUGCCACGUCAUCGAUCAAUGCCACGUCAUCGAUCCGUCUAUGUGAACAGUGUCGUGAACAGUAACGUAGACAGUACCGUAUACGUGAAUAGUACCGUACAUGUGAAUAGUGCCAUUUUUCCUUUUAUGCUCCUCCUAAGGUUUUCGACCGUCCUGAGUUCAAAAGUGAUGUCCGUUUUGCCAUCUGAUCUCUCCUUUAUUGUGAAAUGACUAUAAUGCCCCUAAAAUACAUAAAAUACUUAAUUAAAAUAACACACACGUAAUUACAUCACAAGAAGGUUAAAUACAUAAAAGUAAGGGUUGUUAGUAAGACUUGAAAUGUAAAAUGACGGUUUUCUCCUUUAUAAAUAUGCAUUUUCUAACACUCAACNNNNNNNNNNNNNNNNNNNNNNNNNNNNNNNNNNNNNNNNNNNNNNNNNNNNNNNNNNNNNNNNNNNNNNNNNNNNNNNNNNNNNNNNNNNNNNNNNNNNCACUGGAGUUUGCGGAAGCUGGACUUGCGGAGAGUGUGCGAUUGUUCCAUGCCCAAUCCGAGCGGACUUCAUCCACUUCCGCACGGACAACGUGUAGUUCGUCCUGAACAAAACUACGAAGUUUUAGCAACUCAUCAUGGAAAGAUCAAAACUCACCUCAGAGAGUGUUCGCUUACUCAUGGAUGAGAGCUUUUGUGGCCACCGUGAACUCGGCGUAUUCUCCCUUGAGACCGUCCACUCUUCCUUCCAAUCCCUCGAGGCUUUCUUGAGCGGCGGACAAUGCGAUUUCGAGAGUGCCUACACGAGGCUCCAACGCAUCCACGGAUGGGGCCUUGGACUUGCCGCGAAUCUUGCCUUGGGCGCGUUCUCCCUCUCGGCCGCGGCUUGGUUCCGGUGGAACAUCCACACCAACAACACCCUCUUAUGCUACGUUCGAAGGGUUGGCCAUUGCUUCGUGAGCUAACUUGUGUGCGUGCAAACCUUAGCUCUGAUACCACUUGUCACGGGAUGAGUGUUUUGCGCAGCUAACCCGUGCGGCACUUAGACAACUUUGCCGAUUGUUGCUAAGUAAGCCUAGAGCUUCUCGAACAAGAGAAGAGAGCAAUUGAGCCAAAGAAGAAACUUGUAUUGCACAAAGAGAGAUUACAAUGCUUGUUGCUUACAAAGCUUGUUAGAUACAAAUGCCUAAUGCCAUCCCAUAUUUAUAAGGGAGACUUGCCAAGCUCUAGAGAUUCUAGAGAAUUCUACCCACUAUCUAGAAUUUACAUGUGCUGGAAAGUCAUAGAGAAUUCUAGAGUAUUUACAAGCUCACAUGUGCUAGAGUUUCCUAGAACUUUCCGGAAUUGGGUCAAGCUAGCACUCUUGGCCUUGUGUUGGCUCUCUAGCCCGAAAUUGUGGGCAAUUGGGCUAGUGAAUUGGGCGGUCCGCAACAUUUAGGUGGGAUAUGGGAGAAUUGUCAAGAGUUCACACCAAGAGAAAUUAAUGAUAGGCCUAAUUUCGUUGUCAAUUCUUUAUUUAUUUAUUUUAUUUUUUUAUACAUUAUUGUCUUGUUGGCAUUGUUUUGUAAAGAUAUAAAAGUACAAGUAAAAUAUUAGGGGAAGUAAAGUAAAAUAUUGGAGGUGUUGCUAAGUUACAGCUGCCGUAACUUACAGUUCCUUAAAAAAUAAUGUAAAAAAUUUAACACGUGGUGGGACCCACAUUAUGUUUGAAGAGGCCGUAAGUUAUAGCAGUUGUAAAUUAGUAAAAUCCAAAUAUUAGACAAUAAUACACAUUAACAAUGCAUAUAAUUUGAGUUUGAUUUUUAAAAAAAUUAUGUGAGUAUUACCUAUCCUUAAGACAUUAAUGAGAAUAUAUUUUAAUUUUAAAUAAUCAAAAUCUGUUUAAUCAUAAUAUGUAAUUCAUACAUUGCAUGUUAGAUUUGUUUGGAUUUUAAGUUGUUGCUAAUAAAUAUUUAUGUUGUGAAAGUCGAAUUCAAUAGCUACAAAAGCAGAGAUAAUGGUAUUUUAUGUAGUUUUUAAGAAUACAAGGAUAAGACCAUAACGCAUGAGAUAGUGUUAUUUUAUAUUAAAAGACCAUAACACAUGUAUUUGAGCCAUUUAUAUUGAGGACACAUAUAGAGCGAAAAGUGCAGAUCCGGCCGUAACUAUUGUGAAGCUUUCCUCAAGUAUUCUCAUGCACGCAGACCUUAGCUGGUCAAGUUUUCUGAUUUAAUAUAAUCAAUUUCCGCGCAGUACUAACGACAGCUUCUUUGUAAAGCUCUUCAACCACAAGCAUUUCUACAAGGCAAAAGACUAGGACGUGUCGGAAUGAAUAUCAAUAAGGGAAUGUCUUAUGAAUUUAGUUUAUAUCCUAAUAUAAGACAAUCAAUAAAUAUUAGAUGCAAUCUAAGGGCUAACAUUUGAUUGAUCAUUAUACGAAAAAAAGGUACAAAAAUACAAAACAGAGCUGAUUGAUGGCCUCUCACAGUCAGUUAUAUGACAAAGUAGCCACCACAACAAACUUGAACUUGGCUGGAGGUCUCAUUAGCAGUAUACCUCCGAACUUAAGACAAAGACUUUAAAAUGCAAACUUAUGGAGCAAUUUAAGCACUGAAACUAAUAACAGUACGGUAUUAGCAAUUGACCUCUGCUUUUGCUUAGACAAAGGUUCUCAUCACAAUGGAUUCAUUAGUUGCCCUUGCCUCACACGUUUGGAUGCUAAGGGGAAAAAGGAAGUUUGAAUUAGUCAAUCUCAUUUCUAAUGGCAUUCACAGAGAACCUAUAAAGCAAAAAAAUAAAUAAAAAUUUUCAUGUUGCAAGUGAGCUCGUUUUCAAUCGAUUUUUAUUGAUCAUAAGAGAUCAUGUGGCCCACCUUAUUUUUAUUUUGGAUCCAUAACCCAAAGCUGGCCCAAGUUCUGAUUCCAGAAUCAUUUGUCUACAAAGUGACCUCAUUCCGGCAAUUGGUUUAUGCUAAUAGCACGUGCAAUUUUCAUUUUCUUCUUUUUAUUAAUUAAUUUCAUCAUUAUUAUUUGCUUAUUAGUUUAAAUUAAUUAAUUAUAUUGUAUUAAUGAAAUUAGUCUUUCAUUUUCUUUUCUCUUUCAAUGCACAAAGCCAAACAACCAUUCUUUCUUCAAAUACCGAAGAGCUCCUGACUACGGCUGUCAAUGCUUCUAUAUUUAUGUGCUGUGCUGCAGCACUCUUAGCGAAAGCUUGAAUGAAUGAUUAAAGACAAAAGCUUAUAUAAAAGCAGAUGCCGGAGGCACUCAAAAAGCAUUUGAGAGAGAAGCUAAACAGCAAAUCAUCAAACGCACUUCAAUGACUUUGAUUUUGAUUUUUGUUUCAAAAGAAGUAGAAAAGUCCAUGGGUCACGAUAACUGCUUGUCCUCUGCCGUGACCUCAUUGUCCGCUGCUAGUGUCAAAUAGAUUAAUCUUUCUAGUAGAUUAAUAUAAUUUAUAAUUUUAAUUUCAGUAUUAAUUUUUAAAAUGUUAGUUGUUAUAUUUAUUUUAAUGAUAUAUCUAUUUUUAGUAUAAAAAUUUAAAUAAAUAUUUAGAUUAAAUAGAAUUUAUAAUUGAUAUAAUAUAUCUCAUGUAUUAAUGAUAUUUAAAUUAUUUUAAAUAAUAUUAAUCCUAACUUAAAAUUUUAUAUAUUUAUUUUAAUGUUAUGUUUCUAUAUAUUAUAAAAUUUAGUUUAAUAUAAUAUAAGAUUGUAAAGUAUUCAAAUAUUUUUUAAAUAUUAAAAUUAUUAUAAAAUGUAUAUACUGUUACAUUUUUAACAUUGAAGUCAAUCUUUUUUAAGUUAAUAGAGUGAAAAGAUAUAAUAAUAAAAGGCUAUGUAAUCUUUCACUUGCACAUAUUCUGUACUCUCUGGAGCACGACGGUAGGAAACAUGAUUACAGAUGUUAAAUUCGCCUUUUUUCACAAGUUUAUCAGCUUCGUUUGCGGCCUCUGCUGCUUGUUUACCAAGCUUGUAACGAGAAAUCAAAUUUGGGCACAACCCUUUGAAGCAGAAUAUCUUAGCUCUAUCUUUAUCAUCAAUGAUGGAUUUUGCAACCCCUUCACUGAAUUCAGCAACUCUAUUUAGCCAGUCUCUGACACCCUUAUAAAUCUCAUCUCCUUGUAGAGUAGCCUCUCUAACCAGUGUUUGCACCCUUUCUCUUAUAUAUUCCAGCUCCUUCACUCAAUCUUUUAGCCCAUUUAUGUAGCUCUGGUACUCGAACACAUAAGAUAUGUGCCGCAUAAUCAGUUCGAAUAAUGCUUUUGAACAUUGUGAUACAAUGCUGGAAAAAGCAGGGAGACACCCUUCUGCAGCCAUUGCUUGUUGCUUAACAAUAUAUAUAUAUAUAUAUAUAUACAAGUGUCAAAGAAAGGAAUACAAAUAAAUUAAUAUGAACUAGAGAGAAAGAUAGAGAAUGAAAAGACCGCCAACAAUAUCGCUAUAUUGAUCUUGAACCAACUAAUAAUUAAAUAGAGAAUUUCUUUUUCUUUCUUAAGGAUCAGAGGUUUUGCUAUUAGCAAAAAGGUACUUCAAGGGUCUGAAUAAAAAACCAACCAUAAAUUAUCAAAAGCUAGUAAGAACACAGACGUAAACAAUGAACAAUUACUUAAGCCAAACAGACCAUGAUACAAAGCAAAUCUAAUAAAAUGACAAAGAAAGAAAGAAAGAAAAUACAACAAACAGUAUUGAAGUGUUGAUCAUGAGCCAACUGAUAUUUAAACAGAUUUUUUUUUUAAUUUUUAGUCUUUUCUAAAAGGAUUAGAGUUCUUGCUAUUAAUAGAAAGGUUUCAAAGAUCUGACACUAUUAGAAAAGUAUUAAAUAAUGACAAAAAUUUUAUGACAUAUAUGGUUGUAUCUCGAAUGUGUCAUAAAAUUAUGAUAGAUUCAUAAUAUGUAUUCAUAUGCCCAGAAUAUAUGAUAUAUUCAUGACUUAUAACUUAACCGUAGUAAAUAAAUGAUACAUAUAAGUCAUGAUUAAGUUUUGUGACCUUAUAAGAUUGUAAAACAGUGUCGUUUAAAUUAACGACACCGUUCUGUAUAACUUAAAACACAUCAACACUUCAGCCAAAUUUUGGCGGGUAAAAACCCAUUUAGUCCCUAUAUUUUAAGAUUAGUAUACAUUUAGUCCCUAUAUUUUUAAAAAUGCCUCGAAACGUUCCUGCCGUUAAAGUAUUGAUACCCCUACUGUUACUUUUUAUUUCUUUUGGCUUACUUUUACAAUAUUAUAAAAGUGUAAUAUUGUAAAAGUAAGCCAAAAGAAAUAAAAAGUAACAGUAGGGGUAUCAAUACUUUAACGACAGGGACGUUUCGAGGUAUUUUUAAAAAUAUAGGGACUAAACAGACACUAAUAUUAAAAUAGAGGGACUAAAUGAAUUUUUACCCAAUUUUGACUAAGCGUUGAAUAAAUCCCUCUCUCUCCACUGGCGACUACAACCUAAAAUGAAUCAACUCUGAGCCUCUCUCUAUAACACUAUAUAGAACCCUAAACCUAAGAGCAUCUCCAAAAGGCUUUAUAAAUUUUACUCUUUAAAUAUUUAUUUGCUUACCUAUGUGGCUAAUAGAAGAGUGAAAAAAUAUAUUAUCUCUAAAAGACUUUUCAAAUAUAAAUGAGUUAAUAUUAUUUUAAUUAAAUAAUUAUUUUUUAAAAUGAAAAGUCAAUAAUAAUUAAAUCAUCUCUCUCUUUUUCCAACAAAAAUAAUAAAAUAUAAAUUAAAAAGAAAGAAAUCAACUCUCUAAAUUUAAAGAGAUAGAAUAAUUUUUUAUUUAAAAAAUUUUAAUUAAAAUAUUUUAUAAAACUUUAAAUGUUGACUUAACUUUUCAGACAGCUAAUAAAAUAAGAAAUAAAAUCUUAUUUGAAAAGUGUUUUCCUUAUAUUUUAAGUCUCACAUUCGCAACCGACGAAGCUGAAAAAGUUCCCCACAUAUCAAAACCACAGCGAACUGCCUCCGACCCUACGGACCCAAAAAAAUUUAUUGUAUUCCUGCUCUUUCACAUCAAUAAUUUUUUGUAUUAUUCCAUAACCCAAAAGCUUUCCUCUGUUUCAACUAAGCGAAAAUUUACAUAUUAAAGCCUAGCUCAAAUUCCUUUUUUCAAUCGAAAUAAAACGUAGCCCCAAAACCCUAAUUCACCACACCAAUUUAUCUCUGCCCGGUAUUCAUUUAAACCCUACCUCGCGGUUCAAUGUCAUUCAAUACGAUUGCAGAUGCCGUUUCAACUUGUCAUUUAGUUAUUGCCAUCCAGUUCUCUAUGGUAAGCCUUAACCCUAACAACUAAUCGACUGUGGUAGCACGUUGCUUGUUAGGAGUGGGGAUACAUUAUUUAACUAUAUGAAUUGGGUGAUGUUAGUGAUUCAUUCCCCUAUUUGUCAUGAAUUAAGAUUUGUGUAUAAUGCUAGUCAGAUUGCUAAAAAUUUCAUAUUUUGUAUUGUUCCAGUUGAAUUUCUUGCUUGUGGAAGAUAAAACAAAAGUUCAAUUUCAUGUUGAUUUAAUUCUUCUUUUUCUUCUUUUUUUUUUUCUUCUUUAUAGUCACGCUCUGGCUUUGGUGCUAUGCUUAGUGCAGUUUAUGGUUUCAAGAUUAAGUCACGUUUAUUUGAUGGCAUCGAUUCCAUCGUUGAGGAUUGGAUUGUUGAUCAAAUGCACAUAGUAAGCUCUUCUUAUUUUAUCUCAGUUUUAAUUUUCUUUUAUUAUCUGCCUCUACCUGAAAAUGGACGUGUUUUACUAGUAAGCAUAGACUUUGUUUAUUUAAUUGAUAUUUUAAUUUUAUGUAUAAGAAUAGAGGUUUAUUUUGGAAAAAAAAGCAAUAAAAAAACAGACUCUGUUGAAGCUAAUUAGUACUGAAUGUUUUUGGUGGUGCGACCAGAGGUGGAAACAGGGUAUGAAAAUGUGUUACUAGUGAGGUUGCUGCUUAAGAUGAGAAUGCAUUCUUUUCAAAAAUCCUUGGUAGGUGUGAUCUAAUUAUAUUUGAUGGAAUAUUAAAUGGCUAAAAAUCUGUCAUACGUUCAAACUUUGUUUGUGUUUGGAAGAAUGGUGUUGACUGUAUAUUCGUUUGGAAGAAUGGUGUUGAUUGUAUAUUCAUUUGCUUAGCCUUUUGACAGAUGGAUUUGAAACUGACGACAAAUGUGAUUCAAUUUACAAGGUUUUCGAGGGGCUCACAGUGGAAGGGAUAUUGAAGAACUGGUCUAAGAUAAAGCCUAUGAUUGUGAAAGAUUGGAGUGAGAAUAUAAAUGCUCGUUUAAAUCUCUUUGGCAAGGUCAGAGAUGAAUGGAUAGAUAAGGAUUUAUUUGACUACUUGGACUGGUGCUAAUAGGUAUUUUAGGCAAGCUUUUUGAGAUAACACUGAGCAAGUUAUACUACUAGUUUGCACAUGAUGAUCAAAACUCUCAAAAAGUAAAAUAAAAUAAAUUAUUAACUUUUACUUAUCUUUUGCAUAGCAAUCAAUGUGGUGCUUGUUCUGUGACAACUUUGAUAAUCUACUUAAUUAUUGGUUAGCAUUUGGACCAAAAAAGUUCUUAUGAUUUACAUGUUUUGUAGAAAUGCAUGAACCUUAAAUGUGCUGAUCAGGGAGUUUAAUUAUUGCACCUUGAAAUUCAUUUAUUGUUAACUAAUUGGCUUUCCUUUGCAUAAAGCCGCUUAUAAGGCUUGAGUGGACGUCUUUAUGGGCAUAUUAUUUGUAUUUCUAUAUGCAUGCCUUUAUCACUUAAUGUGCUGCUUUUAUUUCUUUAUGCAUGCCUUUAUCAUUUAAUGGCCAGCUCCCUCUCCUCUUUUGUAAUUUGAAUAGUAGUAUGGGCCUCCAUUUUACAAAUCUUUAACAUUUUUUGCUGUAAAUUAAUUUUUCUUUCAAAUAUUUUGGAGGUCAUUGGAAUUCCUGUAGGUCUAUUUACCAGAUUUUAGUAUGUUUAAGGUUUUAAUUUUGCUUAAACUUUAAUUUUUCUGAAAGAUUGUAGUAUUGAUCCUUAAAGAAAGAUCAUGCUACUUCAAAUUAUUUUGAAGUGUUGCCAGUUAUAGCCUUACAUAACAAAUUCCAUUUGUCUGGAAAUUUAUUGAUAGCUGUUACAGCAGCAUAUUUUAUGACUCUACUUCUUAGUUAUGUAAGUUCAUUAUGUUUAGGUCAGAGGCAGUCAGCUGUGGGGAAUCGAUAUAUACACAGAUGACUUUGAUCUUGUUGCUGGUAUGUGGUUCUAUGAAUAAUUGUGUUUGCCUCACUGUUUUUGUUUUAUGAGAUCUAUAAUUGAUCUUGGGAUAUUACUUUCUAGUCCUCAUGCAAGCAAGUUACUACCUUCCCACUGCAUCUCCUCCUUUAUCUGCUAUUCAAGAGUUGCGUGCCAUAAUCUGGUGUUACCUCUGCAAGAUUGUGAAUGAAUAUAAUGCCUCUAAAUUUAUUUUAUACAUAAUGCUGAUGCUGAAUAAUAUAUUGUAGCUCCUGUCAUAUUCUACUUUGACUUUUUAUAUUCUGUUUCAUAUAAAAAUCUUAUUCAACUUUAGUUGUUCAUGAGCAAAUGUCACAUGUAUAAGCCCAAAUGAUGUUUAAAGGUAGCGCGGCUACCUUUAGUUUGAGCUUACAAUGGAUGAAAAAGAAAUUGAAACUGAUAUUUUGCUGUUUUUCUGAUUUUUCAAAGUAUUUUAGAUCCUGAGUUUUGUUUGGACUUGAUGGUUAUAGAUUGUGUCUAGAUUUGUUAAGUUGUUUCCAACACCUCGUGCCAAAUGAAAGCACAAUCUUUCUGAUUCAGAUGUCUUGUUAAUUAUGCUUCAUUUUUUCGUUAAAGAUUGGAUGGUUGCAUGGAUUGAUGGAGUUGGAGUUCAACCAAUAAUUCUAAUUUUUUGGACUUAAAAUGCCUUUUUCUUCUGUAUAAAAACUUUAGUAAGUGCUAUUGAGUUGACGGAGGUUGAAUACUUACAGGUUGUUUCACACUUUUUAAUAGUUUUACAUAUAUGAAUUUCUGUUUUUUGAAUUGCAGAAAGGAGGUGGAACUAUUGAUUUGGAGCCUUAUCUUACUCACUCAUCGACAAUGGAGCCUAUCCUCGCUCCCAUGGCAGUGGAACGGACAACAACUACUAGGGCUGCAACAUCAGUUGGUUUGGGUCUGUUUUGAGUUUAUUUUCAUUUAUUUGGCUAUGUUUUGAUAGCGAAUUUUGAUAUGUCAAUAUAAUGUGUAAUUGUUUUGGGUUGAGCUGGUAAUUAUGCUGGAUUAGAUUGGUUUGGUUUUGGUGCUUCUCUGAUGGAACUCUGCUUUUUUUAGAAAUUUUGAAUGUAAUAUGAGACUACAUUUAGUUUAAUUUAACACUGCAUCUAGUCUAAUUACUAGAAGUGUGGCAUUUGGUUUGGUUUAUCCGAUAUUCUCCAGAAUUUCACUUGCAUCUGGUUUUGUUGCAUAUGUUUGCUUGCAUUUGAUGGCAGUAGCAGACUGUUUGGUUUUGUGACAUUUGAUGGCAGUUUGGUCUGUUCUUGGUGUUGAUUUAAGAUUGUUCCUGUUGUGCUGAUGUUAAUUGCAGGUGCUUGAAUCAGCUAGGGUUGCUGGUUUAUUCAGAUGGUUGACUCAGGCGUUGUUACUGGUUAAUUCAGGUGGCUGACUCAAGUUGUUCAUUUAAUGUUAGGAAGCAAACUAAGAAUUAAUGAAGUAUUCAUUUAACUAUAAUUAUUGUAGUUAUUUUAUUUCAUAACUGAAUUAUAAUCUAUGAUACUUGUGAACAAAUUAGAGAAUUUUUAUAUAUGAAUUAUAUAUGUGUGUGUAUGUACAUUUUGCUAUUUAUAUAAUAAUUUAAAGAAUAUAUUUCAAUUCCCACAAAAAAAAAUGGCUCCAAUUUCAAUAAUUCCCGCCAAAUAAUUAAAUUUUUUUAAUUUACUGCCAAAAUAUAUCUUAAAGAAAUGUUAGUUAUUCUUGCUAGAUUUAACAAAAAUAAUUUGUAGGAUUAACAUUUAAUUAAAAUAAUUAAAUAAUUUUAUUAUUCCAAUUAAAUAUGUCAUGUUUAUACGUCAUACAAUAGUCAUGAAUGGGAAGUAUUAGUUACAUAUUUUUCCUUGGGAUUUCAGGCAAAUGAAAAAAAGAUUGAGAAUGGUUUCAAGAGGACAGGUGGAUGAUAAGUAUUCAUUUUUGUAUAUUUGGUUAGGGGAUUUUUAUGGUAUUGAUCUUUUUUUUUUUUUAAAUUUUCAAUUAGUUGCAGCCUUAGAGGAAGAGCAGGCUGAUCAAAUUGAUUUGUCUUGUUUUUCGGGCAAUCUACGACACGAUGAUCGUGAUAAUGCUCGUGACUGCUGGAAACUUUGUGAUGGAAAUAACUUUAGAGUUCGUAGCAAGCAUUUUUGUUAUGACAAAACAAAGGUUCCCCCAUAUUUUGUUUGUUUGUUAUGGUAUUUAUAUAUCCUGCAUAGGCUAGGUAGACAGGUUAUGAUGUAGUUUGGUUGGCUCUUCUUGUGCUUUGUGCAAUUUGUAACUGCAGAUACCUGCGGGAAAACAUUUAAUGGACCUUGUUGCUGUUGAUUGGUUCAAAGACACAAAGAGAAUUGACCAUGUAGCUAGGCGUCAAGGCUGUGCUGCACAAGUAACUAUUCUUUUCUUUUUAUUUUUCCUUUUCCAUUGAUGCAUUAGGAGAAAAUAUUGCCUGUGAGAUACUUCAAUGUAAAUAACUUCUCAUGGUUCAUUGAAUCUAUAACACACUGACCCUCUUCUAAAAAACGUAGGUUGCUUCUGAAAAAGGGCUUUUCUCACUGAUCUUUAAUCUUCAAGUAAGUUUGUUUCAUUUCAGAAGGUAUUAAGUUUCAAACUUAUUGUAUUGGGAGGUUGUAUAGUUGUAACCUAAGCAUCUGCAGGUUCCUGGUUCGACACAUUAAAGUAUGGUAUUUUAUUUUGUCACAAGGCAAUUGGUUAUGGGAUCACUUUUGCAACGGUUUGUUGAUGGCGAUGAUGAGUUUCGCAAUAGUAGGUUGAAACUUAUUCCAUCUGUUCCUAAGGUAUCCAUCUUGGCCUUCAUGUAUUAGGACUAUAUUAACGUAUACUUACCCUUUUCUGCAUGGUACACUUCAAUUUGUCCAAAGAAGGCAUGCAUUUAGGUGUAAAUGUAUUGAUGGGUAGUACCUUCAAACUUCAUGUCCUUUUUACCCUCUUGAAUUUGUUUUGCACUUGUUCUUGAUUUUAAGCACUGAAUCAUGCAGGGGUCAUGGAUCGUGCGCCAGAGUGUUGGAAGCACCCCUUGUUCAUUAGGGAAAGCGGUUAAUUGUAACUAUAUUCGCGGUUCCAAGUACUUAGAAGUAAAUGCUCUUGGAAUUUCUAUAGUACAUGAGAUGUUCAUCUUUCAAAUAGCGUCCGAUACCAUUAACAUGGUUUAACAUUGUUCAUCUUUUUGUAGAUUGAUGUUGACAUUGGUUCUUCUACUGUUGCUAAUGGAGUUUUGGGCCUUGUAAUUGGUGUAAUUACGACAUUGGUGGUUGACAUGGCUUUCCUUGUACAGGUAUGUAUGAUUGUUUUUUUCCCCCACUUCUAAAUGGACACAAGGGAAAAGACAUGAUUUUGAGAUAUUGCACUGCAAUUUGCAUUUUUGCAUACUUGAAUGUUCUCAGAAUAGUAUAAUGCUUCGUGUGUGUCUUCUUUAUCUUGCUCUUCUGUAUGCAGGCAAAUACUACAGAUGAAUUACCGGAGCGGCUGAUUGGUGCUGUACAUGUUUCUCAUAUAGAACUCAAGUCUGCUGUUGUCCCAAAGUUGGAACCAGAGAUAUCAUGACUCUGGUUUCAUUUCACCUCAACUGUGUUUUUUUUUUUUUUAAAUUAAAAAAACAUUUGUUUUAGGUAUACAUACAUGUAUUUUGAUCCCAUUUUCAUGGGAAUUUUGCAUUAAAAAAUGAAGAAUAGUGAAUAGGAAAUUUCUUGAUUCUUUAGUUACUAUUUUUGGUAUGAGUGUAAAUAGUAGUAAAGUUGGUUUCUACUCGCAAACAAGUGAACUGCUCGAUUCCUGAGUGGUAUCAACCAGUUUCCAACUUUUUAAUAUACACUAAUUGUUAUUGUUUAAUAGCUACUACUAUUAAAACUCAACAGCUGACAAAAAUACUUAAAAAAAAUGAUUUUACUUCUUUCCACGAGAUCUAUAACAUGGUCUUGACUUCACGAAAUUCUUUUAAUUUAAAACGUGCUGGUGUGAGAAGGUCAGUUUGACGGAUUAAUUCUUUUUUAACAGUGGUCGAGAUAAUUUUACUAUACUCAAAAAUAUUCUUAUUCUGAUAGUGCCAUAAAUGUUAUGCUGUUUUCUUCGGCUAAUGGUCUUCUAUCAAGAGAGGGUAGAAAUCAAAUGCUUAAAAGACCAAUUGAAGGAAUAAUACAGAAAUUUAGGCAGAAUCUAAUCGAAUAUUGCAUGAAACAGGAAACAUCAAUUCAAGUCCUUUCUUAAACGGAGAAUGCAUCAAACAAAAUCCAAAGUGUCUUGCAAGUCUGUAGCAUGAGCAAAAAAUUAUUCAAGUACAGAAGAAUGAGCAAGCUAAAUCAUGUAUAAGAGAUUGGUCUGGUUCGGGAUAGCUUCUUCACUGUACCUAAAGGGUUGGCUCAAUCUCUUCUUUAGAAUUCUGCAGAUUUUGUAAUUACUCGUGUAAGCAAGCAUACAUUGCCACCAUAAGAAUAAUAAAGCUAGAGUAAUGAUAUGACCACCACCUCUCGUGCACAAACAAUAUUGUAUAAACUAAUGAGACAUAAUAUGAUUGGUUAAACAAAAACAUUACAUGGCCCUCAUAAUAAUAAUAAUAAUAAUAAUAAUAAUAAUAAUAAUAAUUAUUAUUAUUAUUAUUAUUAUUAUAUAUUUUCAGUCAACCAAUCAUAUUAUAUCACAUUAGUUUCUAUAAAAUAAUUAGCUAAAUAGCACCAAAACUUAAUUGAUACUCACCAUUUCAUUGAACAAUUUUUUUAUGGUGUCAUUGAGGUUGCCUUCCCAACAUCCUUCAUCAUCAUCAUCUUCUUCUUCGGUGACGUUCACUUUGUUUAGCAUUGGUGUGUCUAAGAGUCCUUGAGAGAAGAUCUUCAUUUUUGGACACUGUCUCACAACUACUUGUUUCAAGGACGGGAAUUCAAGAGCGUAAUUACCUAAACAAAAGCUUGUUAGGCUUGGCAAACAAUCAAGUCCCAAGUACUCCAAUUCCUUGAAAACAUUGCAAUCUUUCGCUUCUUCUCCAACCUGCAAUUGUAUGAUUUGUUCUAUCAUUUUGCAAUCAGCUAUCAUCAUUCUUCCGAGAUUCACUAGAUUUUUAGAUGCUGAGAGCGUCAACACAUUUAUCAACUCGUGACACUUCGAUACUUUCAAAGCCUCAAGAUUUUCCAAAUGCCACGAAGGUGGUACUAAUUUUUGCAACUUACUACAUUCCGAUAUUUCCAGCCUUUCCAAGUUUGCAAACGCUUUGUUGGAUUCGUCAUUUUCCUUCCAGAGAUGCUGCACUUUGUGUAAUCCAGACAGUCUUAAAUUCCCCAAUUGAGGGAAAGCAACCUGAAAAUCAACAAAAUUAAGUUGUAAAUGAAAAUAUGUAUCCAAUCUCUGCAGUCUUCCCCUGCAUAUUUUAUGGACAAGAUUAAUCACGGCAUUUUAUAUUUUAUUUCCAAAUUAGUAUGCUUUGCACUAGGAUCCCAAAUAUAAGUAUCAAAUCGAUUACCCUUUGAAACACAUAAAUGAAAACUGAUACUAAAUCCAAUAUGAAUUGAUAAUCAAUACUAUAAAGUUACCAGUUCAUCACCUCAUGUUACCAGUCAUCAAAAUAAUUUAGGACUUUUUUAAUUUAUACUAUAAAGUUAGUUAAUAACUGCGGUUAUAUUGUUAAAUCAUAUAUAAAUUAAGACGACGUGCAAAAAGAUGUCAUUAAAUUUGAUUUGAUUAUAAUGAAAUUACAUAUGUGCGAACGAAAGUGAAGGGAAAAUAAUAAUAAUGAUUACCUUUUCAUCGAAGAGAUGUUGUAUUUGAUUAGCUACCAAGAGGUUCUCUUCUGAUUUUAAUUUUUGAGGUUCCUUAUUAUCUGCUGUCAUGUGCAGUACAAAUGUAGAAUUGGAUGUGAAUGUUUCCAUAUCAGGGCAAUUCUCAAUAAUUAGAUAUUCCAACUUAGGCAGUUCAAUUAUAUUCCCAGUGAAGUUGCAGAAUCUUUUGAGUUUUGGAAGAUCAAUGAGCUUUAGGCUUAAAAGCCUAGGAAACAGGGGGCCUAUAUGUUCUUCCUUAGCACUUAGCUCUUCCAAAUGAAGCACCUCUUCUAGUGAAUCACAAUUCCUCACUGCCAGCCAUUCCAAAUUGUUCAAGCACCGUAGCAGAUUGGCAGGAAUAGCACUCGACAUAUUCGUGCUGUCAUCCACCACCAGCUCCGCUAAAUUGUUGAAGAAUCUGACAGGCAGUGCUUGGCCAUGCCAUAUUUCUUGCAAGCGUGGAAAAUGCGAGAGUUGCAAACGGUUUAUAUCAAGGAAUCCAAUCUGCACAAACCAAAACAAUUGCACCAGAAAUAUACAAUUUUUUUUUUUGAAAGGCAUUAUAUAUAUACACAUUAAACUUACAUUUUUUGUGUUUUAACUUCUAAAAAUAUAUAUACAAGGGAGGUGUAUAUGCUUAAAUGUGCAAGUGAAGGGAGAUGCAUGAUGAACAAUUUGGGUGAAUUGAUUAACACAUACCUUUUCGUCAUAACACUUUUGUAUAGUGGAAUUAAGGUUAUUGCCUUCCCAAUGGUGUAGUUCACCCUCUUCCUUUUCAGUCACUUGCACUUUGCAUGGCUUUGGAAUGGAUAAUAUUCCCUGAGAAAAAGUCUUCAUGUUCGGACAACGUAUCAUAGAAACUCGUUCCAAUGAUGGGAAUUCAAGAGUGUAAUUCUCCAAACAAAAGCCGGUAAGUGUUGGUAAAUAAUCAAGUAUCAAAACUUUUAAUUUGCUAAAAGCAAUACGAUUCUCCUUCACUUCUUCUCCAACAUGUCUUAUGAUUUCUUCUAUCUUAUCACACCACGAUACAUUAAGAUUCACCAGACUACUAGGAAUUCCAACCUGAAAAUAAGCAGAGAGUGUGUGUGUGUGUACGUUAAAAAAGUAAAAAUGUAAGAAUAUCAUUCAACAAGGUUCAAAGUAUGUUUAAAUCAUACAAUUAUACAUUUUAUAAACAUAACAAACCAUGAAAUGUCUACUAGAUAAUUUUUUGUUAAACAAAAAAGGCAACAAGAUAAAUAAAUAAAUAAAAGCCAAAUAAACAAAAGAUAAUAAAAAUGAAUUUACACUAUUUAGUAUUAGGAACAUAGAAAGAAUUUAAUGCAAUUUCUAAAUAUUUUAGACUUAUUUUGCAUCUUGACGCCAGUUUUUAAACAAAAUUUGCAAAUUUCAACUAUUCCUUUUGGGAAAAAAAAAAUCAACCAAAAUGCCGCUUUUUCCCUUUUUCCUUGGUCCCUUUUUUUUUAUGUAUAUUUAAUUUUGGAAACAAAAUUAAAGUGGAUCUUUAUUAAGUACUUCUAGACUCGAGGAAAUUUCUUUACAAUCAAGGAUCAGUUGUAAAUAAUCAUGAAUUUGUGGUUAAUUAAUGGCAUAAUCAGUUCGUAACUAAACAAGAGAUAUUAAUUAAAUUUGAAGACUUUUCUUUUCUUUUUUUCUUUUUCCAAUCGAAAUGUGAAGAAUUAAGGACAAGAGAAAUAUAUAGAUGAAUUUGUGAACCUAUAAGAUGAGUGACUAUCCUUUAAUUUUUGAAAAUUGUACUUAUUAAGAUAUGAGCAUAAACAAUUAAAUUGAAUUAUAUUAUGCUGUUGAAUCGUGAUUAAAAAAAUUACAUUGUUGAUUCUAAUGCUGGCGAACCUAAGAACUGGACUUAAAAUGUAGAUUUGAGAGUGGUGGUUCGAAGUACAAUACUUGAAAUAAAUAAUCAGUGGCUGAAUAUCAUUUGUAAACCCAAAAAUGGUUAAAAUAUUGUUGGAUGUAAUUUGAAAAAAAAAAAAAAAGAUUCGAAAUGAAUACAGCAACCUUACCAAUGGAGGAAAAAUAUUCAUUAGGUUAUCACACCCAAUUAUCUCCAAAUUCUUCAAUUUGCUGAAAGACUCCGAAGCAAGUUGGUGGUGCCAUAUUCUUCUCAAAUUAUCGAUCGACCUAAUAUGUAAUACCUCCAACCUAGGAAGUCGUACCUGGCAGUUAAAGAUUAAAUAACUAAUUAAUCAAUUAAUGGCAUAAUCAAUUGAUAACUAAAUUAGAGGCGGAUAUUAACUAAAUUUGAAGACUUAAGGAAGAGACAAAUAAAAUAUUGUGACUAAAAUAAAUUUAAAAAAAAAAAAAACCUUUUCGUCAAAGAGAGGAGGUUGCAUUUCAAAAUGAAUGGUGUCUUCUGGUGAGCUCGUGGAGAUGAAUCUUAACAUAUUACUGCAACUCUGAAUCUCGAGCUUUAGCAAAGAAGGGAAUUCAACAACUAAAUCUGAAUGAAUAUGUCCCGUAUUGGCAAAGCUUGUUAGCUCUGGAAGCCAAUAGAGCCGCAGGAAGUGUAGUUUAGGAAAAACCUUUAAUUCAAUCAACUUUCCUUCAUCUCUUCCUAACCACCCCGUCGUGUCGACUACCCCUUCCAUUGACUUACAAUCCCAUAUUUGAAGACGUUGGAGUUGCAAAAGACUAUUAACCAUAGAAUACGAAAACAGAUACUUCAUACGAUCACAACCGAACACGUGCAGCUUUGUUAAAUUUUGACAACAGUACAUUCCUUGAUUAUGAUCGGCCCAUAAUUUUUUUAUGUUUCUUAAUCUCGUGAGAUUCAAUUUUUCUAAGCUCGGAAGAAUAACCUGCAAAGAAAACCCGUACAUUUUUGUUCCUUCAAGUACAACCGUCUAGUAUAAUAUUCUUUUCAUGAUCGAAGAUUAAUCGUGAUAAUAAAUUAAUCAAUUAAUUAUUGAACGGAAAAUUAUCACCUUUGGAGCAGGAUCAUCAUCAGCAAUGAUUUCGUUGAAUCCCAAAGAAGUUGUUGGUUUCUCCCUGUCGGGUCCUAUAAACAAACAAAAACAAUACACAUAAUUAAUCUUUGUCGGUUUUUUUUUUUCAAAAUAAUUGAGGCGAAGUCCAUAAAUCCACCAACACUUAAUUUCAACACUUACCAAAAAUCAUUUCCAGAUCAUCGCAAAGACUUAUUAAUACUUUUUGAAGCCGCAGUAGGUUUUUUGCCAUGGAGAAUGAGAAAAGAUGCUUCAAUUUGUGACAGGAUUGUACUCCUAUAAUCCUUAAGUUGCUGAAAGAUUGAUCUUCUGUGAGUUGGCUGUCACAUAUUGUCUCCAAAUUGUUCAAAUAGCUAAGAAACAAUGACUCCAGCAAGGGAAAGACUGUACAAUGAACCCGUCCAACUGAACCGACAAUAUGCAAAAUCUCAGAACAACUUUCUACACGAAGAUGCUUCAAUCGUGGAAAACCUUCCCCAUCAUCUAAUUCAUGAACAACAUUCUGAACACCCUUAAGUUCGUAUAGAUUGAUAUCUUCAGUUUCCUUCAGUAACAUUUUCAUCCCAUAAUUCUCCAAAAGACUGCUAACAUUUUCUAGCCCAUGGAGCUUCAUCAAUCUUGAUGUUUCAGAAUUAACGGGCCAGAUGUCCCACACUUCUCCUAUGCAUAUCCUGUAUCUUGACAAUUCCACAAAGACCAAAUCCUGCAGCAGAAUUUGGGCAUCCCGAACUUGUAUCUCCAAAGUAGUUAGCUUUGACAACCCCUUCAACUCAGCAAGACUGGCGUUACUUCCUCCUUCAACCUUAUCCCACUGCGAAAAGCUGUCACCCAUAUAUAGUUCUUCCAAUCGAGAAAAUUUUGAUAUGACAUUUGGUGCUAUCACCAUAAGGCUGCUACAAUUGCUCAAAUCUAGCAACAAUAACCUCGUCAAUUGUCCAAUUUCAAGGGGUAACUGCUUAAUGUCGGAAUCUCGAAGGCUGAGAAUCUCUAAUUUCUUUAGCUGUCCAACUAUUGCUAUAUCUUCUAGUCCGCAACUAUCUAAACACAAUGUUUGAAGGUUAAUGAGGCGACCAAGUGAUGAAGGUAAUGAAGAGAAAGGAAUUCUAGUAAGACUUAAAACUUUGAGUUCUUCUGUCCCUUCAAAAAAGAGGUCAGAAAUUUGCAUAGAGACGGGCGCCAUGCCCCUUGCUAUUAACAAAAAUAACUUGAGUUGGGGACAUUCCAACCUUUCGGGAAGCUCUUGAAUAUCUUCGUAAGGUAAAGAANNNNNNNNNNNNNNNNNNNNNNNNNNNNNNNNNNNNNNNNNNNNNNNNNNNNNNNNNNNNNNNNNNNNNNNNNNNNNNNNNNNNNNNNNNNNNNNNNNNNGCAUUGAUACAGCAACAUCAUGAAUGAUGUCAUGCAUUUUAACUUCAUCUUCAGUAUCGCCAUCUAACAAUAAGCAUGAAGCUUUGAGAUUGUCGAUCAAUGCAUCCACUCUAUUCCUUGCAUCUUCCAAUGUGUGAACAUUUUUAAACAAACCCAAACCCAUACCAUAUCUCAACAGGGAAACAACUUCUACAGGAUUACCUUCACCAAACAGAGUACAAAGAAGGAACAAAGAUUUUGCUUCAUCACUUUCCAAGAAAUCGUAACUCAAUUUUAUGGAAGAAUACACAUAUGCAUCCAUACCACGAAUUUCUCUUAGAUUGGAACUUCUUAGCUGAUUCAAUGCAUCCUUCCAAAUGUUAAGACUCUUAUUUUUCAGAGCACUUGCAACUGUUCUCAGUGCAACAGGCAAUCCCCCGCAUUUUUCAACGAUCUCAUCUGCAGUGGGUUGAAAAUCAUAUGUUUUUUUUGAAUCACCCACAAUCUUCUCAAAUAACUGCAAUGCUUCAUCUUUGGAUAAAGCAUCGAUCCAGAAAUUUUUCUGAGAAUUCAUAUCAUUGCACAAUAAAUCUCGACUUCGAGACGUCAAUAUUAUUGUGCGUCUACUCCGAUCGUCCUCUCUAUCAUAAGGAAUUCCAACUUUAUCGAACUCAAGUUUUGUCCAAAUAUUAUCCAGUAUAAUGAGGAGCAGCUUCUCUUGCUUCAACCUUUGACACAGUCGAGAAGCUCUUUGAAAUUCAUUCUCAUUCAAGUCAAAUUCCAUGCCUAAAUCAAAAGCAAGUUUGUCUUGAAUUUUAUGAUGAUCUGGUGUCUGUGUUACCUCAGCCAUAACGACCUUAUCGAACAACUUAUCUUCCAUCACUUGCUUUCUAACUUGCUUGACUAGCGUGGUUUUACCCACGCCGCCCAUCCCGUAGACCCCAAUUAUUUUGAAACUAUCAUCCUUCAACGCAUCCAAAACAUCUUGAAAUACUUUCGUUCUUGAAUCGAACUCCUCGUAAUCUUUCACUGGCAUAUAUUCUGUACUCUUUGGAGCAGGACGGUAGGAAACACUAGAGAAGUUGCCUUUUCCCACGAGACUAGCGGCAGCUUCUGCGGCCUUUGCUGCUUGUUUACUAAGCUGGUAACGAGAAAUCAAGUUGGGGAACAACCCUUUGAAGCAGGACUUCUUAGCUCUAUCUUCAUCAUCAAUGAUGGAUUUUGCAACCCCUUCACUGAUGAAUUCAUCAACUUUAUUUAGCCAGUCUAUGACACCCUCAUAAAUCUCAUCCCCUUGUAGUCUAGCAUGAUUAACAGGUUGUUGCACCGUUUCUCUUCUAUAUCCCAGCUGCUUCACUUGAUCUUUCAGGCCAUCUAUGUAGUUCUGGUGCUUGAACACAUAAGAUAUCUGCCGUAUAAUCGGUUUGAACAGUGACUUUGAACCUUCUGAUACAAUGCUGGAAAAAGCAGCCAGACCCACUUCUGCCAUUGCCUGCUGCUUAACAAAUCUAAUAAUAUGUCAAAGAAAGGGGAAAGGAAUAGAAAUAAAUUAAAAUAAACUAGAGAGUGACAAAAAAGGAAAAGACAGCAAACAGAAUCGCAAAAUUGAUCUUGAAUCAACUGAAACAUGAACAGAGCAUUUUUUCUUCUUUCUUAAGGAUCAGAGUUUUUGCUAUUAACAGAAACGUGCUUCAAGUGUCCCAAAAAAAAAAUGAUAAAUGAACAAGCCAUAGAAAUUUUAUCUUGGAAAGUGGAUGGAAAUUAAGAAAGAAAUGGUAUAGAGAUCAAGCAUCAGAGAUUAUAUUAUUAAAAGAAAUUAAUUGAAGGUUGUGGAAAACCUGUUUAAUUAUGGAAAGUUGAUGAGCUUCUGUAAUCGCCUUGAGUAUUUAAGUGCAAUUUUGAUGAGCAAAAAGUUACUGUUACCUGCAGAGGAAUGUAAUUAUAGAGAGCUUAUGAGAGUAAUGACAAUGAUUUGCAAAAGAAGAAGACUCAAUCAUGGAGCCCUUAAUAUUUCUUUUAUGAAUAAACUGCCAGCAGGAAAAAUAAAAAAAAGUGGUAAAUUUACCAAGUCUUAUUUUAUUUUUAAUUUCUUUUAUUUUCAUUCGCCGAAGAGGGAAUCUCUUUUUUUUUCGUAAGGGAAAUAUCCUUUCCUAAUAUGUCAUGAUUAAAGCAAUCUAUAAAUAAUACAAUAAUCAUAUAAUGUAAUAAUUAAAAAGACCCACAUAUUUAUAAUAUUAAUGAUGGGAUCCAUACGUUCCUACUGAUUAAAUUGGUGGACCAGAAUUUAUUUGACCUUACUUGUUUUAUAUUUAAUUAAAAAUUGAAACGACAGAGAAAAAUUGUCGUAAUGAUGGUUUCGAUUGUGGAGUUCAGCUGUGGAUAGCACUUGCAAUACUGAAAAAGAAGCUUUCGUCAACUUUCUCACAUGGACGCGCACCAUCACGCAUAAUUGCAUAUUGCAUUAUUUCUCUAGAAAAGCAAAAGCAAGAUUUAUUCUUUUAAUAAGCAAACGCGUAGGUGGGAAUCCAUUCAUUAAACAAGUGGAACAGCAAUAUAUUAAACCAAUGAUAAGCAUUCUUAAGUGGGAAACCAAUUAUGACGGAUAGUUCAAAAUCUGAAUCCGCCUGAUGGACGGGUUUGACCGCAGAGCUCAAGAUAAUCUGAACCAUUCUCCUUUCGUAACUUAUAGAUAAUUUGAAAACAGGGGAAUGAAAACAGAGGAGCCCUGUUUUUCCUUCCUUUUUUUUUUUUUUUUUUCUUACCCAACUCUUCUUCUUUUGUAUAUUUUCCUUGGAAUUUUAGGUAAACCAAAAAACUUUGAGAAUGAUUUCAAGAGAAUAGGUGGGUAAUAACUAAAAUAUUUAUCUAUAUAUUUAUAUAAAGUUGGGACUACAAGAGAUGAUGUGGCAUCACCAUUUCUAAUUUUUGUAUAUUCUCUAUUAUCUAACAAAUAGAGAAAUUUUCUUUCAGAUUUUAUUUUUCAUCUUUUCAUAAUUAAUUUGACUGUUAUUAUACAAUCAAUAUGUAACAGUUCAUCAAAAGACCCACUAUCUUCUUUAAUUGAAACCUUCUUGAUCAGGACUACAAGAAGUAAUGUGGCACUACCAUUUCUCAUCUUUGUAUAUUCUCUAUUAUCUAACAAAUAGAGAAAAUUUCUUUUAGAUUUGGCUUUUUAUCUUCUCACAAUUAAUUUGACUGUUAUCAUACAAUUAAUAUGUAACAGUUCAUAAAAAAACUCACUAUCUUCUCUAAUUGAAGCCUUCUUGAUCAUAAAUUAAGCAAUAAUUUAUAAAUAUUUUUAAUCACUCUUCUCCUCUGACUCACCUAAAUUUAUAAAUAACAACAAAAAAUAUGAUAUCUCAUGUAAAUAUAAAAGAAUAGAAAAUAGCAAUAGCUCUAAAACAUUUUUUUUUUCAUUUUGGCCCUCACUUGCCUGAUCAUGGCAAAUAUUACAAAUGCAACCAGUAGGAAUGAUUGCCUCAACAACAAUAUGAAACCAGGCUACAAUCUUGCAACAAGACUUGAAGUUAGUGGAGGCCAAAUGGAGUGUUGGAACGUGUUAAUGGAGCUGAAAUCAUGCUCAAAUGAGAUUGUUAUAUUCUUCAUUAAUAGUCAGGCUGAUAUUGGCCCUGACUGUUGUCGCACUGGCCUGCAAUGCUCACCUCUCUCGGAUUCACGGCUGAAGAAGGGAACAUACUGAGAGACUACUGUGAUGCAUCUUCUGCUCCUUCUCCAGGUGGCCUCGCGGUGAUAUAUCAGCUUCAGGUUUCCAAGGUUUUUUGGCUUAGACAGGGUGCAUCUAUGGUACUUCAUAAUUAAAAAAAGUCUUUUUGGUUUUAUCUUUUCUUUAUUUUUUUAUUUUUUUUUUGGAAGUCUUGCCUCUUAAUCGAAUAGAAUAAAUUGUUAAAAUUAGAAUAAGAAAAAAAGGAUAAUAUUAUUUUUUUUCAAAGCCGCGCAAAGGGCGGUUCUAUUUCCUAGUUUUUAUAUAUUUGAUAAGCACGCUCACUAUUAAUAAAACCCAUUAAAUGCUAUAACUUAAAUAACUUCUUGUAGUUGAUUGAGAGUAUGUUUGGAAUUUCUUUUACUUCCCAAUAAUUAAUUUUUACCUUGAUUAUCAGAAAAUUAAUUUUAUGAAUAAUUUAGCCGGGUGUUUGGUAAAUGAUGAUUAUUUGACAAUCAGUUUUUAAAUAAUCUAUUAUAUAAAUAUAGUAAGUGAAAAUUAGAAGUAUAAUGUUCAUGUAGAAAUGACAAAAAUGUACUCAUUUACUUAUUUGUAAUUUAUUUAGAAUAUUAUUAUUUAAAUAAUUUUUCUUAUUCAUUGGAUUUUUUAAGAGCAUAUUCUAUUUUCUUGAUUACACAUUUAAAUAACUUUUUAUUAACUAUUUUAAUCUGCAAUAAAAAUUAACUAUAUUAUAUUUAACUAAAAAAUUUGUUAUGUAGUCCGUAAUAUACACAAAUACUUGAAUUUAUUAAUAAACUUAACUGCAAAAAAGAAAAUGCAUUACAUAUAUCUAAUUUCUUAUUUUCAACGAUUGAAAGAUGUUAUUUAGGAAACUUGUACGAGAUAAUUUAAUUUUGGACUAUUGACAUUAUAUUUACUUAGAAGUGGAAAUAGUGGGUGGAUAAAUUUAAUUUUUCAUUAAUUGCUCAAGAAGCAAGAGGAUUAGUGAUGGAUGGAGAGUUAGUGUAGAAUUGUGAGGCCAUUUGAUUACUGCAAGCAUUAUAAAUUUCUUGUUGCUGAGAUUAAUCUAAUUGAAUUAAUGACUCCAUGAUAGACUUAACAAAGGAUUCUUGUGGCAAGAUUUCUAUUUAUGAGGCCAUUUGAUUACUGUAAGCAUUAUAAAUUUCUUGUGGCAAGAUUUCUAUUUAUGACUCCAUGAUAGACUUAAGUUUUAGUGAGACAAUUGCUGCCUGUUGCAGACAUGAUACCUCUAGUACUUCAGAAGAUAGCAUAUCACGAAACACAUCCAGACUAUACUGAGGUUACAUCGAAAAUUCCUUGGCCCAUCGUGCGAGUGUGUGACAUCCCGCAACAAAAAUUAGGGUAUGUACUAUAUAUAUAAUGUGUUUUGAACAUAAUAAUAAGAAUGCUGAUUUUUAACAAUUAAUUUAUUUUACUUUUUUUAGUGGUGAUUGUGGAGAAUUUUUGUUGCGGUACUUGGAGGUCCUAACCCAUGGACUUGAUGUCAAUUCAUAUUGCAAACAAGAUCAUGUUAUACAAUUUCGAAAAGCCUUGGUUGUCAAAUUAUUUGGGCAUAGGUCAUGGAAAAAAACUUUGUAGUGUACUACCCUUAAAAACUUUGUUGGUGUGUCAUUUUUGGACCAUGAGAUGUGAUAGUUAUAAUGAGGAUGUUGUUGAUAUUUGAUGUCAUUAAAGAUAACUUGACAUCAUUAAUAUGUUUUAUUUCUUUGUUAACUAUAUUAAUGAUAGUGAAGAUAGUUUGUACAAUCUAUGUAAUGUAACAGGAUUGCCAUAUAUGCUCAGGGAAUACUCUGUAAGAAAAUACACGACUGCUGUUAGCUAUUUGCACGGAUACAUGACUGCAGUCGAGUAUUUACAAAUAUACAUGACUAGCUCUCUGUAAGAAAAUACUCGACUGCAAUUGGGUAUUUACACAGAUACACGACUGCAGUCAAGUAUUUAUAAUUGUACAUAACCAGCUCUCUAUAAGAAAAUACUCGACUGCAUUCGGGUAUUUACACAGAUACACGACUGCAAUCGAGUAUUUAUAAUUAUAUUUGACCAGCUCUCUGUAAGAAAAUACUCGACUGUAGUCGGGUAUUUGCACAGAUACACGACUACAGCCGAGUAUUUACAAUUAAAUAUGACUAGCUCUCUAUAAGAAAAUACACGACUGCAGUCGGGUAUUUGCACAGAUACACGACUGCAGUCGAGUAUUUGUAAAUAAACAUGACCAGUUCUGUAACAGCCAAAAUACACGAUUGUACUCGGGUAUGUGGACACGGAAUAAAAAAUCAACUAAAACAUUCAUUAUAUUGAUGACACAAUCAAUAUAAACUUUAACAUAUUAAAUUUCAAAUAAAUGAAACUAACUGUAGUCUGGUUGCCUAUCAAACAACAUAAAUCCAAUACUUAUUCGAAUCGUAAAUAAGUCAUAAUACAAUAAAAGUUGUUUAACAAUCAUCAUAAUUUUUUUGCAUUUUCAACCCAAACACUCGGUCCAUAUUUUAUAAGCCUCUAGUAAUUUGGUUGCCUAUUAAAUAACCCGAGAUACUAUUUCUAUCAAUUGUGCAUACGUUGUAGAAUAGGGCACUAUGAUCCCUCUUGCCUUUGUACCAUUAAAUCUAUAAUGGCCGUUUUGCUCAAUCCAUUCACCACAAAACAUAAUUGGCACACGUACUGAAGUCAUUUCCUGUAAUAAUACAACGGUUGAUUAUACAACAAAUACAAAAAUAAAAAUCAAGCAAUGUAUAUAACGAAGUGUGGAUCUGUCUGCCUAUUUACAUGACUCACGUCGUGUAAUUGGUAGUUUACACGACAAUAGUUAUGUAACUUGCUAAAAUACACAACUAUAGUUCUAUAAACAGUCAGAUGAUAUAUUUAGUAAAAAAAGCUGUAAUCUUUGUACUAAUCGAAUGGUAGGUGUCAUAACAGCUACUAUAUCUUCCAAACUUGCACGAUUGUUGUCGUGUAAAUUCAUACAUACAUGACAAAAGUCGUGUAAGUUGCAAAAAUAUAUGACUCAAUAAAUAAUCAGAGGACAUAUUUCUUCUUAAAAAAAUAUUGGGAUCUGAUAACAAUUGGAACAUUUUACAUAUAUACACAAUUAUAGUAUGUAAGUUCAUACGUACACGAUAGUAGUCGUGUAACUUAUUAACACACACGACUAUAGUCCAGUAAUAGUAAAAGGAUAUAUAUAGUGAAAAAAAAAAUAUUUUUUGCACCAAUAGAAUGAUAAAGUGUCAUGAUAAUUGGAAUCUUUUGCACAUUUGCACGACUACAGUUAUGUAAAUCCAUACAUACAAGACUGAUGUCGUGUAUGUCGGGUGCAGAAAAAAAUUUUGGCAACAACUUCAGGUUUUAACGAAUGUAGUUAUAAAAUCCAUCAAAUAACAGUCAUAUGAUGCAAAUGUAAUGAAAUAUGAGUUGCUUUAGUGUUUAUCACAAACCAAACAAAACCCUAAAAAUAAUAUAAUGUCAAUUAAAUGAAUAAAUAACACAAAAUAAAAAAAAAUUUCAAAUACCUUAUUCAUGGGAUGAAUAAUGCACCCAGCUGCAAAUUAAAAUCUCAAUGCAUUAGCUGUUUGUGAGUGAUUUUGAGUAUGGAGUGAGUUUUCGUUGUGUGGAGUUAAAAAAAGUGAGAAGUAAAGAGUGUUAGAGACGAGUUGUGUGUGUUUUAUAUAUUUUUUUAAGGAUAUUUUAAACAAUGUAUCACAUAAAAAGGUAUAUCUAGAUAAUUUUCAAGCAUGUGAUAUAUUUAACUAAAUACCCUACUUUUAAGGUAUCUUUAAUUAAAAACCCUCUUAUAGUUGAUUGAGGGUAUGUUUGGAAUUUCUUUUACUUCCCAAUUAUUAAUUUUUACCUUGAUUAUCAGAAAAUUAAUUUUAUGAAUAAUUUAGCCGGGUGUUUGGUAAAUGAUGAUUAUUUGACAAUCAGUUUUUAAAUAAUCUACUAUAUAAAUCUGGUAAGUGAAAAUUAAAAGUAUAAUGUUCAUGUGCAAAUGACAAAAAUGUACUCAUUUACUUAUUUGUAAUUUAUUUAGAAUAUUAUUAUUAAAUAAUUUUUCUUAUUCAUUGGAUUUUUGAAGAGCAUAUUCUAUUUUCUUGAUUACAUAUUUAAAUAAUUUUUUAUUAACUAUUUUAAUUUGCAAUAAAAAUUAACUAUAAUAUAUUUAACUAAAAAAUUUGUUAUGUAGUCCGUAAUAUACACAAAUACUUGAAUUGAUUAAUAAGCUUAACUGCAAAAAAGAAAAUGCAAAAAUUUAAUCUCUAUAUAAACUUUUAUGUACACAAAACUAUUGUAAUAAAGUAAUUCAUAGAAAUAUAAUAUUAUAUACAUGUGUAAAGAAAUAUAUAACUAUAAUAUUAUCCACUUGUAGCACUAUUAUUUUUCAAUCUCUCCAUCUCUUGAUCUUCAAGAACGUUAGUACCAUGAUCUGCUUCUUGAGUUCGACCUCCAUUUCCACAGCAUCAACAAGGCAAUCAAUUUGCCGUGAAAGCCUUACAGCUCCUCCCACUUUCCUCCUUUUUGUAGCCACUCUUUUUCCCUUUCUUUAUUUAGUAGCUUCUAUGGAAAUGUUGUGAAAAUUUUAAUAUACUCGCAAGCGCACGAAUCUAGAAAUAGAAUAGUAGUAACGAGGUCGAUCCCACAGGGAUUGUUAUAAAUUAAAAAGUCUAAUUUAAAUCUAAAAUUAAUAUUAAUUCUAACCUAGUUGAGCAAAUUGAGUUUUUAAGAAAAUUAAACCAAUAAAACUAAGGAAGCAAUUAAAAUAAAGGAGAAUUCAAUAAGAUAAGAAUUACCAAGGUUUUAGAAUCCACCACUAUUCAACUAGUAAUUAUCUAAUUAUUAAUUAAUCCCCAAUUUUGGAGUGACAACUCGAAAUCAAUCUAUGUCAUCUCAUGGAUAUAACAAUUAAGCCCAAGUAAUUAAAUCUAAUGUAAGUUCUUUUUCUGCUUAAUAAUAUGACAUCUAAGAAUCUCAUGUAAACAUAUUGAAUAACAAAGAGUCAAAGUUUUCCUAAGCACUCUAUGUAAACAAUUUAAUGAAAGACAUAGAAUCAAAGAUAAUCAUGUAUAAACUUUAUAAAUUCAAGCAUAGAUUUAAUUGAAUAUUAAUCCUAACAAUCAAUAAUGCAUGACAGAAUUGAUGAAAAGAUUUUAUUAAUAUCUAAUUAAUCAUGUGAAAUAAAAACCAUAAUCAUCAAAGAACAUAUAUAGGGAAUUAAUUAAAUAAAAAGAUAAUUAUUUCAUUGAAUAGGGUUUCAUCCUUAACCUCAGUAUAAGAAAAUUAGUUAGACAUACUUGAAUUGAGAGCAACAAAAUAAAUAAAUUCAGCCAUGGGGAAGCCGAAUUGCUGCAGAUUUUCUUCUCUGUCUUGAAUCCUUGCGUCUCCAGUUCUCCCUUCUGACGGCUCUCUUGCCUUUAUAUAAUGUUACUAACUUGCUUAAUCCUUAUUGGAUUCUAAUUGCAUUAAUUCUUCUCCACCGACUUAUAAAGCCCACUCACCAAGGCCUUUUAAAAUUAUUUCCUUACUAAACUUUGAAAGCAAAGCACACGUUUGACCACAAAAGCAAAAGGCCAAUUAAUGAUUUCUUCUUUUAAUGCCCAGCACAUGCAUUCCAAAUUGCCAAAUCUUUGCUUUCCAAAUGCAUGCCCACCGUUCAUCCUUUGAAGAGAUUGACUUCCAAUUUUGGUCUUCUUGACUUCCAUUAAUUCUUGGUUGCAUUUUUGUCUUCCAAUUUAAUCUUUAUUCCUUCUCAAUUUGAAGUGUUUUCAUGCCCUUUUUAUCAACAAUCUCCAAUUAAUUCCCUAUUCAAUAAAACAAUUCAAUUAAUUAAAAAUAACAAAUAAAUAUAACUAGCAAUUAUAUUAUUAAGGGUAAAAUAUGUAUAUAAAUUAUGCUCAUCAGGAAACAAACUCAUCGAACUACCAGUACAUUUUUCAAUUAGAUAGGACUGAUAGUAGAUAUUCAGUACUCUCAGAUGGUGUGCAAACAUGAUCAUCAGUGAUUGUUGUCUUAAAAAGCAUUCUAUUUAAUUGUUCCUCUGACUCUGGCAUGCAAAAUUUCUUGAUUCACGAAUUUCCUACGUAUGUUGAUAUCAUAUUAAAAUGAAUUCAAUAUCACAUNNNNNNNNNNNNNNNNNNNNNNNNNNNNNNNNNNNNNNNNNNNNNNNNNNNNNNNNNNNNNNNNNNNNNNNNNNNNNNNNNNNNNNNNNNNNNNNNNNNNGCAUGUUGUGAGCUUAUUACCAAAAAUGAGACUAUAUAUUUAAGCCGAAUGGUAAAAAACUUCGGAUGGAGGAUGUGCCAUCUUUUUAUUUUAGAUGCUUUCGGAUGGAGGAUGUGCCAUUUUUUUAUUUUACAUGCUUUGUAAGACUUUUAAUGAUCGAGUGCAGUCAAUUAACAAAAGCUUACAUAUUAUUUGUUGAAAAUUGAUUUUAAAAAAAGAAGUCAAAAUGAUGGGUGGUUGAGCCUGUUGGGGAAAAAUCAGGUUUUUAAAUUUUUAUAAAACCUUUUGAAGAUCGCUCUCAUAUAAUAUAUAAGAAUUCGUAUUCUAGAAAUCGUACCUUGUAAAUCUGAGUUUGCUUUUUCCGCUGAAGUGAUUUAGGCUCCUAGAUCACGAUCCGCCACCACCACUCCUGUUAGAUCACGAUCCGUCACCACCACGCUUGUUAGAUCACGAACUGUCUCCAAUGAUCUUCCAGGUUAUGACUCAGGUUCGAUCUGCACUUGACGUGUGGGCGCCUUUAUCACUACCAAAGCAACUAGCACGAGAAAAUUUUUCUCUCAAAAAUGGAGAGAAAAAUCUUAUUCUCUGAUUUGUAUAAAGUGGCUUCUCCACUUUUUCUUUAGAGAAAAAUAAGCCUUUUAUAUCACUCUUUAGUGAAAACCCUAGGCUCCAAAUAAAAUAAAAUCAAAACCCACGUUAUUUACUUUUUCAAUAGGGGACCCACCUUGUAAAAUAACAUAAGGCCCGUUAUACAAAAGCUAAUUAAAUGGAGCCUCCCACUAAAUGAUAUAUUUAGGCUUUUGACCCAAAUUGCUAGUUAUCUUACUUAUUAGUCCAGUAGUGGUGCAAUCAAUUAAAUGAGCUAACCCGGGGAUCAUUUGGGAACAUACAAUAGUGGCUACAAUAAUUAGGCAUGUAAUUAAACUAGCCCAAUUAUUUAAUUCCAAAUCUACUCCACUAAAAGAUUGGAACUGACUUCCAUAAUUGUAUGCUCGAAUAAUAAUUCGUCCCAAGCCACAUUGAUUUCUUUACUGCACAAUCCUUUGUACCACAUCGUUAAUUAAAUUGAUAUCUCAACUGUCCAAUCAAUUUAAUAACAUCUUAUUCCUUGAUCCUUACUGGUUUUCUCUAAUGAUCAUUUUCAACAUACUAAAUAUGUUGACACACUCUGGCCAGAGAAUUCUAUGAUCAAGUACCGAAAACCUAUCAAGAGAUGUGUUGUACAAAUUCUAUAUUGUUAAUCCAUAACUCCAAUACUCAUAAUUGCUCCCACCAAGAUACCGGGUAAUCUUGACCACAAGGAUGUGUCGUGCCCAUUGGUAACUCAAAUGGAAUAACAAUCACAAUCAUGAAAUCAUAAUUAACUCAAGAUUAAGAUUACAGUAAAAUCAAUGCCUAUGAGAUUUAAUAAGUCUGACAGUUAUUACAAAGUUAAUUAAAUCUCAUAUGUGAUCCUGUUCAAUGUAGUCGUACUACAUCAAUAAAUUCAUACAUGAUUAAGACAAAUCAUUCAAUGAAUUUAUUACAGUCUAUACCUAAAUAAAGUGCCCAACUUUAUUUAUCAACUGCGAACUAAAUUUAUUUAAUCAUAAGAUAACUUGUAUUUAUGUCUUCUGUGAAUCCACAUGGUGAUCACAUAAAUACAUAUAAUAUGAUUAAAUGGACUUUAAUACAAAUAUUAAUGCAAUUAAGAUAUUUGAAUAAAAUACCUCAUUAAUUUUAUUAAUCAGAAAAAAUGUUUAUUACAAUUAAAUAAACACAUAUGCUUUUAAAGAGCAUAUUUUCCCAACAGAGCCAUCAUCUUUGAAUUCAAAGAUGGUGGGUGGCCAAGUUAGCCACCAUCAUUGAACAAGAAAAAAUGGGUGGGUGCCGCCCAUGCAAUGAAGAAAAGGGAGAAAAUGAAGCCAAAGUUUGGCUAUAAAUAGAGGGGUUCUCCCUCUCAUUUUUGUAUCCCAGAGAAGAAAUCCCAAAAUUUGAGAAGCAAGAAUAUGUAAGAGAAGCAUUGAGAGCUUCCAACAUGGGAGAGAAAUAUUCUUAAGCAUGUAUUUAUAUUGAAAGAGCAUUUGGCUCCUCAAUAUGGGUAUUACGGGUUUGAUUUGUUAAGGAAUAUUUCUCGCAAUUAUGUAUUUGGGGCUUGGGUGAGAGAAAAUUAUUUAUGAGAGUGUGGUUGUAAUAAUUUUCCACAUAGUGAAAUUUUUUUUUUCUGGUUGUCUCUUGACAACGGCUAUGGUUUUUCUCCGGAUUUGGAGUUUUCCACGUAAAUCUUGUGUUGUGUGAUUGUUGUAUUCUCCAUUUAAAUUUUUUGUUAAUUUGUUGCUUGACAAAUUGCUUGGAGUGAUCUUGGAAGGAAACUCAAUUUCCUAACAGUGGUAUCAGAGCCAUUGAUUGAAGUUUUGAUGUCGAGGUACUGUUCACGUAGACAUUACUAUUUCACGUAUACGAUAUUGUUCAUGUAUACGGUAUUGUUCAUGUGAAGCAGUGGGAGCCAAUCUAAAUUGUCCGUGGUGAAGAGUAUAGGGUCAUUAUAAAGCAAAUAUGUCAGUAGCUGGUAUUUUUCAAACUUGGUGGAGUUUGAUGUUGUUCAAAAAUUAAUGGGAGAAUGAUUUUUUGUUGGCUUGUGGAGAAUUCAAGUCAAAGGUGUAUCCAAUCUGGUAUGCACAAAGAUUUGAAGGUGUGGACAAUUUUGGCACCUCAAGAAAAUUGUCAAGAAGGUGGAGCGGGCUCGACAAAUUACUCCAGAAUCAGUAAAAGAAAUACUGAUAUUUCUCGCAGAUGGUGAAUUUGUUUUUGAUAAGAGAUUGGAUUAGUUCUUUUGGCAUGUAGAUCUCCAAGUUACCAUAAAAGAGAACAUGUUAUUAUCAGUGGGGUCCACAAGUUUGCACGAGGGCAUUGGCUUGGUAUAAAUGCAAGGUGUGUGGUGGAAAAGUUAUGUCAUGGCUGAAGAAUUCUCAGUGAAACCAAGCAUGAGAAUUGCACUAUAAAUUUCAGCAGGAUAUUUUGAUAUGUGCCGAGAAAAAUCUUAGAAUAGUUGAUUCUAAGUGGUAUACUCAUUAUGGUGUAGUGUGAUAAUUCUUUAUAUUGAGAAUUAUAACUAUUGGUGAAGACAAUGUUUUGUAGUAGUGACUAUGAAAUUCUUUUUUUUAAUCAUGGUAGAGAUUGUUGAAAAUUGAUUUUAAAAAAAGAAGUCAAAAGGAUGGGUGGUUGAGCCAUCAUCUUUGAAUUCAAAGAUGGUGGGUGGCCAAGUUAGCCACCAUCAUUGAACAAGAAAAAAUGGGUGGGUGCCGCCCAUGCAAAGAAGAAAAGGGAGAAAAUGAAGCCAAAGUUUGGCUAUAAAUAGAGGGGUUCUCCCUCUCAUUUUUGUAUCCCAUAGAAGAAAUCCCAAAAUUUGAGAAGCAAGAAUAUGUAAGAGAAGCAUUGAGAGCUUCCAACAUGGGAGAGAAAUAUUCUUAAGCAUGUAUUUAUAUUGAAGGAGCAUUUGGCUCCUCAAUAUGGGUAUUACGGGUUUGCUUUGUUAAGGAAUAUUUCUCGCAAUUAUGUAUUUGGGGCUUGGGUGAGAGAAAAUUAUUUAUGAGAGUGUGGUUGUAAUAAUUUUCCAAAUAGUGAAUAUUUUUUCUUUGGUUGUCUCUUGACAACGACUGUGGUUUUUCUCCGGAUUUAGAGUUUUCCAUGUAAAUCUUGUGUUGUGUGAUUGUUGUAUUCUCCAUUUAAAUUUUUUGUUAAUUUGUUGCUUGACAAAUUGCUUGAAGUGAUCUUGGGGUGAAACUUAAUUUCCUAACAUUAUUUAGGUGCUGAGAUGUCUGUUCUUGAUAAAGUAGAUUUAUUUACACCCAAGCCAACGUAACAAAAGCCUAAUAUACACAAUAAUUAUUUUUGUUAGACUGAUUUCUAGCUAAUGAGAUCUUUGAAAGCAUUCAAAGAAGCCACAGAACUCAUAGGAAAGCCCUGAUAAAAUAUACGGCGAAGCAUGUGAGCUCGUUUUUUAAUCUCUUGAUCACUCAUAAGCUUUUCUAUACCAAUGACUAUAUCAUUCUUUUGAAUCGAUUUUGAUUGAUCAUUAGAAAUCAUGUACCCCACCUUUAGAUGAUUGAUCACCAAUUUGGCAUUGUAAUGUUGAUCAUCUCUAAUUGGCCAUGCUAAAAUUGGAACCCCACACCAAUGGCUUCUACCAUUGAAUUCCAUCCACAAUGAGAUAAAAAUUCACCCAUUGAUUGAUGAUUCAAUAUCAAUAAUUGUGGCGCCCAUCCAUCUAUUAUCAAUCCCUUUUUACUGGCUUUACUACCCAAACCACUAUGAAAAUAAUUGCCUUCUGCUGGUCUGUCUAAACCAGUUAAAUGACACGGAGGAUCCAAUCUACCAGCACCAGUUUGAAUUACCCAAAUAAAUGGUUCAUUUGAUACUUCUAAAGCAUUGGCUAGUACUAAAUACUCAUCUAACUUGGACCCACUUCGAUACCAAAUGACACAUAUAACACAGAUCCUCAUGAUUUCAAAUCCAACCAUUGAAUGAUCUCAUCUUCGUUCAUGUUAGAACUCCACCGAUUGGUUCUCAUCUCACGAUCACGAAGCACUGAACCCGCCCCAUUUGUAAAAUUGUUCAAGUAAUAAUGGGCCUACUCCCCACAUUGGCUUUCCCAUUCGAUUGACUAAAUAAUGGGAGAUUGCCAAUUUUCCCCUACUAUAAUCAAUAUAUAUCAUUUAUUCAUUUACUAUUUUUAUAAUGGUCAAAAAUCCCCUUGACAGUAUAAGUUUAUAAUAUUACUUUUAUUUUUAAUUGCUCUUUUAUUUAUAUUUAUUAUAAAUAAAAUAAAUCACAUGAAUAAAAAAUAAAUAAAUAAUUAAGUAUUAAAAACAAGAAAUAUAUGUUUUAAUAUGAGCAAAAAAUUUAAUAAUAAAUUUUUCUUGUAAUUAUUUAUUUUGUGAAUAUUUUCUUAUAAUAAACAUUUAUAAUAUUUUAAAAUUAAAUGUAAAAAGAAUAGGCAAAAUAUUUUAUUAUUUAUCUUAUAAUAAAUUUUUAUUUGUCAUUCAAGUUUUCUUAUAAUAGUUUUUUAUCAUUUUAUAAUAAUUUUCUUAUAUAUUUAUUAUAAGAAAAUUUUCAAAAAAUAAAUAAGUACAAGAAAAAAUUACAUUAUUGAUUUUUUUGCUCAUAUCAAAACAUAUAUUUGUUAUUUUUAAUGCUUAAUUUUUUAUUUAAUUUAUAUUCAUGUGAUUUAUUUAAUUUAUAAUAAAUAUAAAUAAAAGAGUAGUUGAAAAUAAGGAUAAUAUUAUAAACUUAUGUUAUCAGGAAGAGUUUUUGGUCAUUAUAAAAACAGGAAGGAGGUAAAUGGUAUAUAUUGAUUACAAUAGGGGGAAAAUUGGUAAUCUCCCCUAAAUGAUUAAUAAAUGGUCCCUCAAGAUCAUCACAGGUGUUGAACAUCAAAGCCAUCCAUUCCUCCACUUCCUUCAUCCAGUGUGGUUGAUCACGGGGUUCGAUGGACUCAUUUUCUCUGAACCGGGCGCACCUCGCAAAGGUAGUGGACCACGAGGAAGGGGCCCGUGAGGCCCGUAUUUAAGCUACGAUUCGAAUAAAGCCAUAUCCUUGGGUAACCCAGGAAGUAAAUGGGCCUCUCCCGGUUUGACAUCUUGGAUGCGAGCCUGCUACAUGGCACACUCCACGCUGCUGAGCAAGCACCAGAAGUGAAGAACCCAACAAUGGGACCUUCAAAAUUCUUGAAAACAUCAGCCGUCCAGCCCAUCAUAACGUCGAUGACUGCACAAAUGGGUCGGGUUUCGGGUUCCCGGGUUGAAAGGGGUUUUGAAGGCCUUGAAGCAUUUGACUGUGCAUGACAACAUGGUGGUGGUGGUGGCAGUGGUGGAGAUGAGGAGAGUAUUUCAGUAAUUUCGAAUAGAGGGUAUUGGUGAAGAGGGGAAGGGAUGAUGCCGGUGCCGGAAAUGUGAGAGGGAACGAAUAUUUUAACAGGGACGGAGCCAGCGUGGGACGAGGUGGGGCACAGGCCCCAGCUGGCUUUUAAUUUUUUUUUAUAAUUAUACUAAAAUAUGUAUUUUAUUUGUUAUUUAUGAAAAAUGUCUCAGCUGAAUUGUAAAAUUUAAAAUUGACUCCAGUAAUUUUAAAAUAUUUCAUACUGUCCCUAAUUUAUAUUUUUAAUUAUAAAUUAUUUAAUUAGUUAUUAACAUUUCAUGAAACUUUAUUAAAGACACGAGAACAAAUAUUAAAAUAAAAAAUAAUCAUAACAAAAUGUUAGUAUAAUGGUUAAUGGACUAGUUUUUAAUCUUUUUAUUUUUUAUUCAAGUAAAAUUAAUUAUUUAGUCUUUCAACACUGACCAUAAGUUGUAAGUCUUCCUAAUUCUAAUUUAUAAUUUUCUAAUUAAUCUUUUAUCUAGUUUUAAAAUUUAUAAUUUUAUCAUGCAUUUCAUAUUUGUUCUGUGUGUUGCAAUAUUUGAAUAUUUUUGUUAUUAUUAAAAGAUUUUAAGAGCAAAUUAAGUAAUAACCUAGUCUUGUAUAUUGAAAAAUAUAUUUUUGCUUAUAUUGAUAAUUCAUUAUUUUCAACUCAUAAAAUCCCAUUGAGGAGAUUUCGCGGAGAACCAUUGUAAUAAGUAAAUUUAUUAUCAAUGAAUAUUAUAGUUGUAAUGCUAUUUAUUGAUAUCUAAAUUUUUAAAAAUGUAUUAUACUUUAAAUAUGCUUUCAAUUAGAUGCAUACAGACGCACUCUAUAAGAAGUACAAUUGUACAUGUAGCAAGCUCCCAUUUAGAGUUUAUAGGGCCCACAAUACAGUUUCUCAAAUGACGACUUAUCACACGAGCAAUCGUACAUUCGAGUCAUCUUUAAUUUUAAAUGUGCCCCAGCUCUAUCAAAAUCCUGGCUACGUCCCUGGGAACGAUGAGGGUAGAUUUGUAAUUACGUGAAGCGAUUUACUUGCAUAAUUCAAUGCAUGGAAAUAGAUGUCCCUGACCGAAGAAUGAGACAAUCCAAAUCUCAGCCUCAGCAGCAUUAACGACAGAGCUUGACAUAUUUUAUUAAUCAUUUGAUACUUAAUUAUUACUGACUGCUUUUGCCACCUUUCGUAAAACAUUCUUGGUUAUAUAUAAAAGAGAUGAUUUGAUGGCGAAGUGUGUGUUUUACUUUUACAGUUUUACUAGUCGGUGAGCUAUGAUUUUGAUAAUUUGAUUGUUAGUUUCAGUUGGUUAGUUAUGAGAAAGCAUCUUUCAAAAAAUUCAUUACAGUUUCAACUAAAAUUAACAAUACUAUUCAAAUUAAUUACUCGAUAAAUAAAUAGUCACAGAUAAAUCUAUCCCUAAUCACACAUUUAUAAAAUAAGGAUUGAAAUGAGUUUCUGUGGCUUCGAACCCACGCCCUCAAGCCCAGCGGCUGGAUCUUGACUACUUUGACAUAAUUAUUAUUAGUUUUUGUCCAUCUUUCACCAGGCAUCUUUUGUUAUAUAAUGAAGAAGAUAAGUUGACGGAGAAGAGUUCUACUUUUACUAGUAGAUGAGCAUUGAAGGUUAGUUUUAGUUAGUUAAAUAUCUACCAUCCAAACCAAAGUUCCUUAGACUAUUAUUCAAGUGAGAUGUUUGAGUAACAUAUGCUUGAGUUAGUCGGUGCCUAACAAUUCAUGUGAUACAUGAAACCAACCAAAUGAAGUUGGUAGGAUUAGAUUAAUUUAAAUGAAAAUAAAAAUUAGUUUAUGCUAUUUAUUUAUCUUAUAAUGUUGAAACUUGAAAGUUAACUCUUCAACCUGUCAAUUGGUUCAUGACAUGAUCAAAUAUUCAAGUAAAUAAAUUUAUCGGUUAAAAUUAAUUUUUCAUGUGGUAAAAGCAAUACUAAAUAUGGAGUGGAGAGAAUCAUUUGUAGGUUAUACCCCCACCUUUUAUUUCAUUUCAUUUAAAAAAAAAAACAACAACAACAACAAAGGCUUGGUCAACAUCCAAGUAAAAUUAACAAUUCCAUGAUAAAAUUGCCUGAGAAUAAAAAUUAAAAAAAAAAAAAAACAGCAACUCGAAAACGAGAUACAAAUACCGCACAGAAGUUUUUCGUCACGAGAUAUUUUUGGGUUGAGACAACGCUUGUAUAACAGAGCAUACAGCUUGGAUGACGGUGAGAAUAAGAAGGAAAACGGCACCGCAGACCGAAAUUCCAGCCCAUGGAGUAUUGAAGUAAUUUUGUUUCAAGUUUGCCCUCCAUUUGUAGCACGUUCUUUUGCAGUGAUCAUUCAAUCCUUUGCAUAGCCCAGAAAAAUAGAAGCUAUCAGACAGCAGAGUAGUACCUCUAGAAAGGUUAUUUAUAAGCGUUGACGCUGCCUCUUUAUCCGGCAACCAGUUCUCAAUGAUUCCGUUCUGAACAAGCAACUCGACGUCCUUCGCUGUGUUCACGAGAUUAUGAAUAAGGAACACGUAAUCAUUUAUGUAAUUCUCUGAGUAAUGCCGUUGUUCAAAGGCAAUGAGAUUACGAAAUAAGGAUUCCGUUUCCAGCUGUAGCUUCAGUUUCGGAAUAUGCAAUGUCCUGUUUUUGAAUUCUAUGGCGAACAAAUCAUUGCUCUUGCUCAAACUGAAGUGGACUCCAGCUUGGUGGAGAUCAGUCACACUUGGUGCGGUUUUACCUUUGUGGUAUUGCUGACCUUCUUGUUUUUCCUGAUUCCUUGAUGAUGGUAGAUGACAAAUCCUUAGAAAAUCAAGGAAAUGCUCUACCCUAGCCUCAGUGUAAGGAGGGAAUUUUUGCCGAUUACCUUGUACUGCCUCUAAACCCUUGAAAUACUCGUAUGUGACUGUGAUGAUGGUUGGAUUUUCAUGUUGGUCGGGGAUUUCAAUUGCCGCUAGAGCAAAAAGAUCCUCAAGAGUGAAGAAAGGAAGCUGAUUCUCAAGCAACCACAUAUCAUACCAUAUAUCCUCUAUUAAAUAGGGUUUUAUGAAAUAUAUGAUCAUCCUUUUUUUGAAGUUGACGGAAAUGAUACCUCAAUAAGAGUUCAAUGAUGAAGGCAGCAUCCAGCAGAAUCAUUUCAACAAAUUUAUCACUACUUAGUUCGACUUUUCUGCAUAAGAACCUCGUAAUUCUGCUUCUCUGAACUUUAUAAUUUGAACAAACUCGUCAAAGCUUAUUUUGGUCCGUUGAAGAAAGUAAUGCAGGUACCGCUGUUUAUGUUCUUCCAUUAACUGUAAGUUUGCUUUGCCAUGGUGAAGAGGGCCAAUUGAGACUACCUGAGGUGUGUAUACCUUUUCAUUUAUCUGACGUAAUCGCUCUGGAACUCUGUAGAUGCAGCAGUUUGAGGGCAAUGGUGAUAAUUUUUUCAACUUAACUUGCAAGCAUUCUUCCAUGUUAUAAACUGAAAACAUGGCGCGAAAUUUAAUCAAUUCAACGCUUAAUAAGGCAUAGUAAUUAAAAAAGAAUUAAAAAAAAAAAAUACAAGAGCAUUCUUACAAGUACAGAAGCACCUCAAUCCCUACUAUUUGCAGAGCUGUAGCCAGGAUUCAAUGAUAGACCGGACUGAACUAAAAGGAACAACUUUCUUAGGAAUAUGUUAUCGGCAUUUUCUCUGGCCUCAGGCCAUCAACAAAGCAGUUUCAGUGCUUCUUAUAUAAUUCCAUGGAUUAUUCCUUGCCUUUACAGAUGAUAUAAGUCACAAUUCAUAUAUUAAUUUCUCCAGAUUCCGUACAAGUGGACCAUAACUAUGGAAAAAUUCAAAGAAUGCAACAGCCAUUUGAUUGGUCCAUGUCAGAAGUUAAUCUGGGGAAAGAAGCUUGAUCUAGCUGUAAAAUUCUCUCCUUCAAUCAGUCAGUUUGGGGCAGCAACAAGAUCAAAGCCACCACGCAAACAUUUACUAAAGUUUAUAUAAUAUUCUUGAACCUCAUCUUAAGUAAAGCAACAAAAGCCUUCACUGUUUCUUAACAACUUUAUUGCUCUAACACAUAGCAUAACAUUUUUAAAUUUGCAUAAAGCACAAUAGUACUUCAGUUUGUAACAACAGCACGGAUAAUAAAUAGCAUUUUAUAGCUUUAACAAAAGCAUACAAAAUUCUUAAACCUUGUUUCAAGCAAUCCAUUAAUGCCACAAGGAUAUCUUUUUGCUUCCUACAGUUUUUAUUGAAAUUCAUAUAUUCUUCUUUAUCAAAUUAAGUAAUUUUCCUUUUUCAAAAAAUCAAGAAGGUUUCGACUGCAUGGAAAUACAGCACACAAUUACUACUAUUCCCGGAGUAAGAAAUUCAUAAAUGCAAUAUAAACAUACAUUUUCAUAAGACAUCAGAAUCAAAGAAUCAUCAAUGCAUCAAAUCUGUACACCCAAAAAAGUUGAAAGCAUCAAGAGAAAAUUAUACCGCAUGGACCCUUUACAACCCUUAUAACGAGUUCAGACAGCCUAAUCCAAUUUGAUAGAUUUGAGGACAGCUACAAUGUGCAAUACAAAAUUUCCCAAUACUAUUUAGAACAAAGUCUAGAAAACAAAACUUAUAUAUUGUACAAAAUCAUGAAAACCAGAAAUGACGAAAAACCUGCAAAUGUAAUUUUUGGGUUUCUUCAACAUAUCUUCCAUCCAAAUCAAACAAGAAUCGAUAAAUCAACAACAUUCAUCUUUAAACGACAUAUUACCACAAUAAAAUUGUCAACCAAGCCUCAUAUAAACCUUUUUUGUGUUUUUUGGUAAAUAUGUUUGUUUUUCUCUAAGAAUACUAGGGAAAAAAGAAACCCACUUUCUUAAUCAAGAAUCAAAUAAUAUAUAUGAAUCUAAGCUGAAGUAAGUCUUGGGUUUGAUGAAAUAGCUUGCAUUGCGAUUUAGAUUGGAAAGGAAGUUGAUUUUUACUGGUUGAGAGAGAGAGAUUUGAGACUUAAGAGAGUGUUGCUAAUCUUCAAUCGUGUAAACAAGGGUAACUGGGUCAUAGUUCAAAAUAAGGGUCCAAAAUUUACUAAAGCUAUUAAGGAGCCCAAAACUCAUAAUGGCUUCCCCAAAAUAAAUAAAAUUUUCUAGCAUUAAGUUUUUGUUUCUUCUUGAGAUUUCCUUGUCGUACUUACCCAUAUUUCGAUAUUGCCUCCAAGUAAACUUAUAUAUAUUGAUUAACAAUAUAAACAAGCACUAUGAAGUUUUAGGCCUGAAAGAACAUUAGGAUUGAAAUGAAAACCAUCUAUUUAAGUAACAAAUUCUUCUGAUAAUCUGAUGCUUAAUUUAGAGAAGAGAUGACAUAUCAAUCACGUUAUGAUGUGGAAGUUAUGAUUAUAUUCAUCUUAGAAUAAGAUCUUUCAGGCACUGGCAGAUUAGUAUAAAAAAUACUCAGCAUAAGACCUACAAACUAGAAAUCACGCACCAAUUAUUGAACUCAGCACAUAAGUUGAUCUUUUAUAAGCUAUAAAACAAAUCUGCUAUAACAUAAGAAAGUGGGAUUUAUCACCAGACAAGUAUUUUGGUGAAACUCAAGCUGACGGAAGGAUAUCCAAAGCAACCUCCUUAAGGGAAGGCAUCACUUCCUGCUGAUGCAAACAUAUAUAUUUAUUACUCACUUUCUUGAGGACCUUCUAGGAACCUGGGUAGCACCUAACAGAAAGUGGAAAAGAAUAAAAUGUAAAAUAUAAGUUAAACAGCAGGAAAACAGUGAGUGAUACUAGGCAAGCAUUAAUAUGUUGCCGCAAGAAAAGUGUCAGUAACUAGCUAGCAAACCUGAAAAGGGUUCCUCCAUUACGACCCUUAAAAUUGUGAAUGUAAUAUAUGGUCUCCAUCACAGGAAAAAGUGUUUUGGAUAGUGCAGCCAGCUUAGGGUAGAAGAAUGACGGAUAAUCUUAGCUCAUUUAAGGAAAUCCUCUCUGAUCCUUUCAUUGCACAUUCCAAAACAACUCUACUACAACCAAGUUACCAAUUCUUUUUGUUAAGUCAUUGUUAUUUGUUAAAAAAAAAAAAAAGUCUUCCUUGUAACAUUUUAUUGAAAGAUAUAACAUGAUCAUCCCUAUUAAUUCCCUUUUAGAUUUCUGUGAGUGAAUUUCAAAUUAUUGUAUUAAAAAAUAGAAGCAAAAGACCCACUUUACUUUCAAUUUCUGCAACAAGAUACCAAUUGAAGGACCAAAAAGUUGUAAACAAGCAAUUCAAUGAGUGGACAUCUAGAAACUGCUAUAUAGCAUCAAAAUCAUACUAAAUUUACAGAAAGCACGAUAAGAAUGAAAGAAUGGUGAAGGAUACACCCAGACCUUAUCCGGUCAAGUUCUCCAUUGAAUAUAAUCAGUUUCCGGGCAGUAUUGAAGACAGCUUCUUUGUAAAGCUCUUCAACGACAAGCAUUUCUACAAGACAAAAGAAAAGCAAAAUUAAUUACCUUAAGGAAUGAAUAUCAAUGAGAAGACAAGGUGUAAGACUACCAUUGACAUUAAAAUAUGGAUAGGCGACUAGAAACAAUUCAUCUUCCGGCUUCACACGGUCUGCCAUUUUAACCUUCUCAGUGAAUCCAAAAUCCUCAAAGAAUGAAGGUUUUGUUAGAUAGUCCAACUUAAAUGAUGAUCCUUCAAAGACCGAUUUUCUUGCAAAUUUGACUUCAUUUGCCUCUGGGAAAAACUAAAAACCAAAUGACAGACCAAGAUCACGAAACGAAUCAUGAACGUAGAUAUCAGAUAAUCAGAAAUGGGCAUUAAACAGACUACUAACAAGUAGGAAAUGCAUACAGAAAACAUUAUUCAUACACCUUAUGCACAUGAAAUAUAUAUGCAGAGGGAUCCUCUUGUGAAUUUAGUUUAUAUCCUAAUAUGAGACGAUGAACAAUUGGAUGCCAUCUAAGGGCUAACAUUUGUUUGAUUAUUAUAUGAAAAAAAAAAAAAACAGAGUUGAUUGAUGGCCUUUGAUGGAUUGCCUACACUCCUAAAGUGCAGAGAGCCUGAUUGAUUGCUUUACCUGCCCCCCACACACACUUGAUUUUAUUAUCUCUCUUUUCAAAUAUAUAAUCAUUGCCUGUCUUUCAUCCUGAUCCAGCUCUCCUUCCAGGCACCAGCUGUGUUUUCUUCAAUUCAGUGAAACAUUCACUUUCAGGUAAGAAUAAACUUGUCCUUCCUCAAAAACCAACUUCUCACCAUGAAGCUUUCUUUUUUAAAACAAUUACUAGUCUAGCAUAAUUGAAGACAACUCAGAAUUGAAAAAGCCAUACUUUAAUGUCUGCUGUUGGGACCUCAAGACCAGGAACAAAAAGCUUCUUUCUAACCGUUGGAUUAACAAGUAGAAAUAGCUUUUUUCUGAAGGACCCAACAUUGCAUUGAAAAAUUCAACAAAAUGACUGGCGUCAUAUUUAGUCCUGCUAGAAUUUUGUGCACUUAACACAAUGGCUAAUAAUUGGCCCAGCGGACACUUUGUCGAACUACUGGCAACCUUGACUGUGGAAAUGCAUAUUUCAAAUGUUGGCAGGCUCUAGCUUCUUGAUGUACUGUUGAUAGAAAUGCCUAUUUCAAAAGUUGGCAGGCUCAAACUGCCGAGACUUUGGUUUCUUACAUUUCAAACCCACAAAUAAAACUUUGGCAGAACCCCAGAAAGAGCUACACCUCCCAAAUUUGAUGACAUAUGAGGAGACCAUGCCUAGUGCUUGGUUCGGCAAAUGAGUAAGUUUGAAAGAAAUUGAGGGAAACCUUUCCCACAGAGAGUCAUAUUGAAGGUUACAAUUUGAAGACUUUGUCCCCUGUCGCCCGUAACCUUCUUUGAUCUCUUUUCUUAGUCAUAAAUAAUCAAACAUGUGUUAGUCGUUGGAUGCAAUCCACUCACUGACAUCUCAUGUCCACAAUCAAUCAACCAUAUUUUAAUAGAAAUGAAAACAUUUUAAUUAAAAAAAAUGAGAUAGGAACAAAAUCAAACUUGGCAGACAUGGUCUAUGAGAUUUUAAAGAUGCUUGGUGAAAGUUGUAUUCAAGAGUUCAACAGUCAGUUCUAUCACCUAUGGCAAAGUAACCACCGCAACUAAAGCAAUUACAAAACAUCAAGAAGCUUGAACUUGGCAAGAGGUCUCAUUAACAGUAUACCUCAGAAAUUAAGACAGACUUAAAGUGCAAGCUUUUGGAUUUAUUUAAACACUGAAAAUAAUAUGGGUAGAAGCUCCUAUGGUCACAGCAAACAAUUACAAAGCACAAAACCCAAAAAACAGAUAUGCAAAAAGCUGCAAAAGAACAUUAUUAGCAAUUGACAUCUGCUUUUGCUCAGACAAAGGUUCUCAUAACAAAGGACUUAGUGAUUAUCUGUCAUAUGUUUAUGUUAAGGGGAAAAAGGAAGUUUGUUUUAGUCAAUCUCACGUCUAAUGGCAUUUAUAAGGAGCCCAAAAAUAAAAGAAAAAAUAAAGAGUUAGUAGGUGUUUCUUGCAGCACAAAGAAAAUUUAUCAUUCAUGAAAAACUUAGUAUGGAAAAAGCUAACUCAUUUAUCUGCCAAUGGAGAAAAACUUGUUGUCCACCCACUAAGGACCCACCAUUGGCAGGUCUGAUGGAUCCCAUGGAUGGGAACCGCAAAUAUUUUAUUCUAAAUGACAUGUGUAUUGUACCCAUAUCAUUUAAUUUGUAGAUUCCACUGAUGGAACUCAUCAAACUUGCCAAAUGGCAGGUCCUCCGUGGGUAGGCGCAUCACUUCAGCAUCCUUCUCCACCGAUGACCAAAUUUGGACUCAUUUAAAAAGAAUACAAAGCAAAACUAACUGACAUAAAUUGCAUAGAGAUCUAGGAGCCAAAUCAAUGUUGUUAACUCAUCCAAUUAAUACAUUCUCUUAGAGGCAGGGACGGAGCCAGCGUGGGACGAGGUGGGGCACAGGCCCCAGCUGGCUUUUAAUUUUUUUUUAUAAUUAUACUAAAAUAUGUAUUUUAUUUGUUAUUUAUGAAAAAUGUCUCAGCUGAAUUGUAAAAUUUAAAAUUGACUCCAGUAAUUUUAAAAUAUUUCAUACUGUCCCUAAUUUAUAUUUUUAAUUAUAAAUUAUUUAAUUAGUUAUUAACAUUUCAUGAAACUUUAUUAAAGACACAAGAACAAAUAUUAAAAUAAAAAAUAAUCAUAACAAAAUGUUAGUAUAAUGGUUAAUGGACUAGUUUUUAAUCUUUUUAUUUUUUAUUCAAGUAAAAUUAAUUAUUUAGUCUUUCAACACUGACCAUAAGUUGUAAGUCUUCCUAAUUCUAAUUUAUAAUUUUCUAAUUAAUCUUUUAUCUAGUUUUAAAAUUUAUAAUUUUAUCAUGCAUUUCAUAUUUGUUCUGUGUGUUGCAAUAUAUGAAUAUUUUUGUUAUUAUUAAAAGAUUUUAAGAGCAAAUUAAGUAAUAACCUAGUCUUGUAUAUUGAAAAAUAUAUUUUUGCUUAUAUUGAUAAUUCAUUAUUUUCAACUCAUAAAAUCCCAUUGAGGAGAUUUCGCGGAGAACCAUUGUAAUAAGUAAAUUUAUUAUCAAUGAAUAUUAUAGUUGUAAUGCUAUUUAUUGAUAUCUAAAUUUUUAAAAAUGUAUUAUACUUUAAGUAUGCUUUCAAUUAGAUGCAUACAGACGCACUCUAUAAGAAGUACAAUUGUACAUGUAGCAAGCUCCCAUUUAGAGUUUAUAGGGCCCACAAUACAGUUUCUCAAAUGACGACUUAUCACACGAGCAAUCGUACAUUCGAGUCAUCUUUAAUUUUAAAUGUGCCCCGGCUCUAUCAAAAUCCUGGCUACGUCCCUGCUUAGAGGUCAUACCUUGGUAACUCAUUUGAAAAGAAAUUAAAAGAAAAACGACUGCACAAAUUGUACUGAGCUCAAGAAAACCUGUUCAAGGUGUUCACUUGUCCAACUAAUAAAAGUCAUCAAGGAUUGUAUCGGGGACUUGGGACCAAUCCUGCCUUAACGAGAGAAAGGGAAUUUAGGAGGAAGAAGAUAACCUCUUUUCCUAGAACCCUUGAGAAAAUUAUUGAAGAAAUAUGUAUCUCCUUUUCUUAUUUUUACAAUAGGGUUACACAAUACAUAUAUAUAUAUUCUAAACUACAUAAUGUGCUAGAGUAGGAAAGUAAACAACUAACUGCAGACCAAGAAACUAGGAAACAAACUCUAUCUAAAAAACUGAAAUUCUAUCCCUAUCUUUUUUCUUUUCUAUCCCUAUCUUUUUUCCUUAAAAACAGGAUAGAAAACAAGUGACUUUUCCACACUCCCCCUCAAGCUAGUUCGAAGAUAUCAAUCAUUCCCAGCUUGCUAGUUAGUGACUCAAAGCUUGAUUUAUGAAGUCCUUUAGUAAGAAUAUCAGCUAGCUGCUUUGUUGUUGGAACAAAGGUCAUGCAUAUCAAACCACUUUCUAUUUUCUCCUUGAUAAAAUGACGAUCCACUUUGUUGAGUGUUAGAAAAUGCAUAUUUAUAAAGGAGAAAACCAUCAUUUUACAUUUCAAGUCGUACUAACAACUCUUACUUUUAUGUAUUUAACCUUCUUGUGAUAUAAUUACGUGUGUUUUAUUUUAAUUAAGUAUUUUAUGUAUUUUAGGGGCAUUAUAGUCAUUUCACAAUAAAGGAGAGAUUAGACGGCAAAACGGACAUCACUUUUGAACUCAGGACGGUCGAAAACCUUAGGAGGAGCAUAAAAGGAAAAAUGGCACUAUUCAUAUGUACGGUACUAUUCGCGUGUACGGUAUUAACUACGUUACUGUUCACAACACUGUUCACAACACUGUUCACAUAGACGGAUCGAUGACGUGGCAUUGACCGAUGAUGUGGCAUUGACUGAUGAGGUGUCACGAUCCUGUUGGGCUAAAAUUCUUAUGUACUGUUGAUGGUGACGUGGCAGCAUAUCAGUGGAUGAAAAAUCUCGCGUACGGUACAUGCAUCACACAUGAUUAUUCUCAACCAAACCGUGUUACUGUUUAUCCGAGUCAAACCGUGUUACUGUUCAUCCACGUGGUCAAACCGUGGACUGUUGACUUAUGACGUGGCGCAAUCCUGAGCGUCCAAACUGUUUUUAAUCUGAUGGCCAUGAUUUACUCCAUGUAUCUAUAAAAAGGGGGCCUUCCCCCCCUAAUUUGAUAGCUCUGAAUCCAUUUUUGGGAUCCAUUUUCUGUAAUUCCUUCUCCAUCUUGUAUUUUCUUUGUAUUUUAAUAAAUUCCCAUUUUGCCCCUAGUUCAAUUAUGAGUGGCUAAUUUUCUUUCAAGCUUGGGUUGAAGGUGAAGUCUCAACAUGUGUCAUGGGCUUAAUUUGGUAAAUUUAUUUUCUCUUCCCCUCUAGUUUUUGUGGAUGUUUUGACUUCUCGUCGACAAAUAAUAAUAAUCUUGUCUAGAUACCGCCUUGGUUACACCGGCUCUCUAGUAUAAGGUUAUUAUUAUUUGGCACGAUAAGCCCUUAGCACCAUAUUGAUUAUAGCGUGGUUCAUGAGGUGUGGAUUCCCCCCUCAUGAUUUAAUUGGCAUUAAUAAAGAUUAUUUAGCCCAUGAUGCAUGUUGAUACGGAUCCAGAUACCCAAGUACGUCAUUUUAAUAGAAUUCUCUUCAAUUUAUUCUCGCCAUUUCAAUUCCAAUUUUAGAAUUUAUUCUCGCCAUUUUAAUUUAAGUUUUAGCAUAUCCCAAAUCAUUUCCACCACAAAUCCAAUCACCCAUUUACAAAAUUAAUUCUACACAAUUAAAAUCCACCUCCUCGUGGGAUCGACACUCGUCACCAUUAGUCUAUACUACAAUAGAUUCGUGCGCUUGCGAGUACAUUAAAAUUUGCACAACAAGUUUUUGGCGCCGUUGCCGGGGAGGUAAGUAAUUUUAAUUCAUAGAAUUAAUUUUUGUGAAUAAUUUCUUUUAUUUAUUUUCUUGUAUUUUUUUUUAUUAUUAAAAAAAAAAGUAAAUCUACAUUUAAAGGUUAGUAUUUCUUUUCUUUUUCUCUUCUUUAAAAUUCUGUAAUUUAAUUUUCAAUUUAUUUUUCUUUGUAAUUUUUUUUUGUUUAUUUUAUUAAUUUAUUUUUAGUUAAUUUAUUUCACGUAUUUAUUUUUGUGUAUUUUUAUAGUAAGGUUGUAAUAGCGCAAUAAGGUUAGUAUUGUAAUUUCUCUCUCUUCUUUAUUUUUAUUUGUUUUGUUCCAUCUUUAUUUUUAUUUUAUUUAUUUUGUAUGCAUGGUCGUAGGUCUUUAUUACCUAAUCUUGAACCUAUAGACCUUGAACUUGAGAAAACACUUCGCACACACAAGAACGUUAAAAAUAAAUUUGAAAUGGAUUUACAAGCACCACAGGAGAGGCCAUUUAAGGACUAUUUUAGUCCCUUAGCUAAUUUGAGCACAUCAUGCAUAAGAUACCCAAAUGUAGCUGCUAGGAGUUUUGAAUUAAAACCUAGUGUGCUAAAUUGUCUCCCCACAUUCUAUGGCCUAGAAAAUGAGGACCCAUAUAAUCAUCUGAAUGAUUUUCAUGCCAUUUGUCAAACUUUUAAAUAUGAAAAUUUUUCAGACGAUGAUGUUAAACUUAGAUUAUUCCCAUUUUCUUUAAAGGAUAGAGCUCGUUCAUGGUUAAAUACUUUGCCUGCUAAUAGCAUUGCAUCAUGGGAACAAAUGGUUACAAAAUUUCUAAAUAAAUAUUUCCCAGUGCAUAAAACCAAUUCUAUUCGCAGGGAAAUUUCAGAGUUUACACAAAGAGAGGACGAGCAGUUUUUCGAAACUUUGGGAGUGAUUCAAUGGGCUACUCUUGAAGUGUCCACAUCAUGGGUAUGAGAAAUGGCACCAAUGCCAAUACUUUUUGGAGGGAUUAUUGCCAAAUGUGCAAGAAUGGCUAAUGGCAACAAGUGGAGGAGAGCUAAUGUCAAAAAGCGCAACAGAGAUUUGGGAAUUCUUCCAGCGACAAGCGGAUAAUUCCCAACAACGGAGUCGAUCACUCAGGAAUACUAGAAGAAUUAAGGGAGUAAAUGAGGUUCAAAUUGGCGAGUCAACUUCGGGAAUCAAAGAAGUCAAGGAGAUAGUUGAAGGUCUUGCUCGACAAAUAGCAUCGUUGUCGACUGCUAAAUCAACAGAACCACAUGACCAUGACUCAUACUCCGAUCAAGCCAAUGCCAUAGGUGUAAUGAGAAAACCAUCGAAUUACAACCCAUACUCCAACACAUAUAACCCUGGAUAGAGAGACCACCCCAAUUUUUCAUGGUCUCAAGGAUUCCAACAGAAUGGACCAGCAGCUCCAGCUCCACAAAUUCCUCAAGUUCCUCAAGCCUCUCAGCCCCCAUUUAGACCAUUUAAUCAGAACCAGAACUACUCUCAACCCAGACCAUGGGAGGAUUCAUUCCAGAAUCUCAAGAAUCUUACUCACUCCACGAUUGAGCAGCAGAACCGCACCGUUGAUGGACUACGAAAUGAGUUGAGAGCAGGCUUCAACUCACAAGAUCAAUCAGUUUCAAACCUCGAGAAAAUGGUGGGACAACUUGCUUCUUCAGUUCAGACCUUGGCAAUGACUGUUGAGAAAGGAAAAUUUCCAAGUCAACCAGUGCCUAAUCCUAAAGGAGUGCAUGAAGCAAGUACCAGUUCACCACAGCAGCAUGGGGAGGUCAAAGCAGUCAUGACCUUGCGAAAAGGAAAGGAAGUCGACAACAAAGUGGAGAUGCCGGUGACAAAAGAAAAUCAAAUUGUACCUGUGAAUGUUGAGGACUCACCACCGGAGGAAAAAGAAGAAACCAACCCACGAGAAUAUGUUCCUAAAGCUCCAUUUCCUCAGAGGUUAGCGAAAGGAAAGAAGGGAAAUUCCACAGGUGAGAUUCUCGAAAUCUUCAAACAGGUAAGUGUUAACAUCCCUUUACUUGAUGCUAUAAAGCAAGUUCCAUCUUAUGCUAAGUUUCUUAAAGACCUUUGUACUAAAAAGAGAAAUAUGCAUGUUCAAAAGAAGGCAUUUUUAACAGAAAACGUUAGUUCUAUACUCCAACAUAAAAUUCCUUUAAAAUGCAAAGACCCAGGCUCCCCCACUAUCUCAUGUAGUAUAGGGAACCACACAAUUGAGAAUGCUUUGUUGGAUUUAGGAGCUAGUGUAAAUCUUUUGCCUUACUCUGUAUUCGUGAAACUUGGACUGGGAGAAUUACACCCAACUCCAGUGGUGUUACAGCUUGCAGAUCGGUCCACGAAAAUACCUCGUGGUAUUGUGGAGGACGUGCUUAUCCAGGUAGACAAGUUUUAUUUUCCUGUUGAUUUCAUUGUAAUUGACACUCAACCAAUACAGGAUUCAAGGAAGCACAUCCCCAUUAUUCUAGGCCAACCUUUCUUGGCAACUGCGGAUGCUCACAUUCAAUGCAGGACUGGAAAUAUGCAAUUGUCCCUCGGCAACAUGACUAUGGAGCUGAACAUCUUCAAUAUUGCCAAACAACCUCAUAAUGCAGAUGAUAGAAUUGUAGACGUGGAUUUAAUUGAAGCAUUAGUUGAUGAUACUUUUGUUUCAAACCUUAGUGAUGAUCCUUUACAAACAUGUUUAACUCACUUUGGUUUGGAUUUUGAUAUUGACAGAUCGGUCGAAGAGGUCAACGCCCUGCUUGACUCAGCACCAUACAUGGACACUAAUAAAUGGAAGUUAAGAGUUGAACAACUAGCACCAUCAGAGAAGAAACUCAUCCCAUCAUCAGAAUCACCACCGAAACUCGAGGUCAAACCAUUGCCCAACACAUUGGAAUAUGCAUUUUUGGGAGAAGAAAUUACUUUGCCGGUAAUCAUCUCAUCAUCCCUAAAUGACGAACAAAAAGGUAAGUUGUUGGAUGUUUUAAAAGAGCACAAAGGAGCAUUAUGAUGGACCAUAGCAGACAUAAAAGGUAUAAACCCAGUAGACUGCAUGCAUUACAUUCACCUUGAUGAAAAUGCUAAAUCUACUAGGAAAAUGCAACGUCGGUUAAAUCCUAAUAUGAAAGAAGUUGUUAGAACAGAAGUCCUUAAGCUAUUAGACGCAGGUAUCAUUUACCCAAUUUCUGAUAGUUCAUGGGUCAGUCCUGUACAAGUUGUCCCCAAAAAGUCAGGAGUCACAGUAGUUACGAAUGCUGAUAAUGAAUUGAUACCCACUAGAGUAACUACAGGAUGGCGUGUAUGCAUUGAUUAUAGAAAGUUGAAUUCUGUCACACGUAAAGACCAUUUUCCUUUACCAUUUAUUGAUCAAAUGCUUGAUAGAUUAGUAGGCCAUGAAUUUUAUUGCUUUCUAGAUGGCUACUCAGGAUAUAAUCAGAUUCCCAUAGCACCAAAAGAUCAGGAGAAAACUACUUUCACUUGCCCUUUUGGCACAUUUGCAUAUAGGAGAAUGCCAUUUGGAUUAUGUAAUGCACCUGCUACAUUUCAACGAUGCAUGUUGAGCAUUUUUUCUGAUAUGGUUGAACAAUUCCUUGAAGUCUUUAUGGAUGACUUUUCUGUUUUUGGUAACUCGUUUGAUCAAUGUUUACAUCAUCUAACGCUAGUUCUGCAGAGAUGUAUCGAGAAGAAUUUAGUCUUAAAUUGGGAGAAAUGCCAUUUUAUGGUAAAACAAGGUAUUGUUCUCGGUCACAUCAUUUCGAGCAAAGGUAUUGAGGUUGACAAAGCCAAGGUGGAUCUCAUUUCUAAUCUUCCUCCACCUAAAACAGUCAGAGAAGUACGAUCUUUCCUUGGACAUGCUGGUUUCUAUAGACGUUUCAUUAAAGAUUUUAGCAAAGUUUCUAGACCCUUAUGCAAUUUACUUGCUAAGGAUGUACCUUUUAUCUUUAAUGAUUCAUGUCUCAUGGCGUUUGAAAAAUUAAAGCAAUUGUUGACAUCAUCACCCAUCAUUCAGGCCCCAAACUGGAGCUUACCAUUCGAGCUCAUGUGUGAUGCAUCUGAUUAUGCAGUAGGAGCAGUAUUAGGACAAAGAGUUGAUCGAAUUCCCCAUGUUAUUUACUAUGCUAGUAUGACAUUCAAUGAUGCACAGUUGAAUUAUUCAACUACUGAAAAAGAAAUGCUAGCAGUAGUGUUUGCAUUAGAAAAAUUUCGAUCUUAUCUCAUUGGUUGUAAAAUAAUUAUAUUCACAGAUCAUGCUGCUCUUAAAUAUCUUCUCACAAAGAAAGAUGCAAAAGCUAGACUAAUUCGUUGGGUAUUACUUUUGCAGGAAUUUGACUUGGAAUUCAAAGAUAAGAAAGGCACAGAAAAUGUCGUGGCGGACCAUCUCUCUCGUCUCCAUUUUGACACAAUUACAGAGCCAUUAAUAUUAAAUGAGUCAUUUCCAGAUGAACAAUUAAUGAGUGUGGAAGUAUUACCUUGGUAUGCUGAUAUAGUUAAUUAUCUUGUUACAGGUAAACUUCCAGAGCAUUGGACCAAGCAAGACAAGGCUAAAUUCUUUGCGGAAAUAAAGAAUUUCUUUUGGGAUGACCCAUAUUUGUUCAAGUAUUGUGCAGACCAAAUUGUUAGACGAUGUGUCCCUGAAAAUGAAAUUCAGAAUAUUCUUUCAUUCUGCCAUGAACAAGCUUGUGGAGGCCAUUUCAGUGCUAAGAAAACAACGACUAAAGUUUUACAAUGUGGUUUCUAUUGGCCAACUAUAUUUCGAGACGCUUACACUUUCUGUUCUUCAUGUGAUAGGUGUCAACGAAUGGGGAGCAUUACACGAAGGAACAUGAUGCCACUAAAUCCAAUUUUAGUGGUUGAGAUUUUUGAUGUAUGGGGUAUCGACUUCAUGGGACCCUUUCCCUCUUCUUUUGGCCAUCAAUACAUAUUGGUUGGUGUUGACUACGUCUCAAAAUGGGUAGAAGCAAUUCCAUGUAGAACCAAUGAUCACAAAGUGGUGAUAGGAUUUUUGAAAAGCAACAUUGUCUCACGCUUUGGAUUCCCUCGAGCAAUAAUCAGUGAUGGUGGUGCCCACUUUUGUAACAAAGCAUUCAAAGCUCUUUUGACAAAGUAUUCAAUCACACACAAAGUGGCAACCCCUUAUCAUCCGCAAACCAGUGGCCAAGUUGAGAUCUCCAAUCGAGAAAUAAAGCAUAUAUUAGAAAAGACGGUGAGGCCAGACAGAAAAGAUUGGUCAUUAAGACUUGAUGAUGCAUUAUGGGCAUAUAGAACGGCUUUCAAGACCCCGAUUGGGAUGUCACCCUACAGGCUAGUGUAUGGAAAAGCUUGCCACCUACCUGUGGAACUCGAGCAUCGUGCAUAUUGGGCCAUCAAGAAAUUCAACUUUGACAUGCAGCAAGCCAGCUCAGAAAGAAGAUUACAACUGGCAGAACUUGAAGAAAUUCGCAAUGAUGCAUACGAAAAUGCCAAAAUUUACAAGCAACGAAUGAAAGUCUUUCAUGACAAGCACAUUAUGAGAAAAUCGUUCACUCCAGGUCAGAAAGUGCUUUUAUUCAAUUCUCGCUUGCACCUAUUCCCAGGUAAGUUACGCUCUCGAUGGUCUGGUCCAUUUAUUGUUCAUACUAUUUUUCCACAUGGGGCAAUUGAAAUUAAGGACCCAAAGAACGGUGUCACGUUUAAAGUUAAUGGUCAAAGAUUAAAGCCAUAUCUUGAGUACCAACCACAUGGAGAAGACACCGAAAUAAAUUUGAGUGACCCACCAGAUUUGAAUUGAUUUUUUUUCUUUUUGUUGAUUUGAUUUUUCUUUCUUUUUAUUAUUCUUUUGCUAAUUGAAAUUAUUUUUGCAUAAGUGUGUUUGUUUUACCAUUAAGUUUUCUUUUCUCUUAUCAUUGUUAAUCAUGAGUACCAUACUUAGACCGUUCCUCCUGAACAUUCUUAAACCACUUCAACGUGUCAAAACUCAUCUCAAAAAGCAGAUUCAAUUUUGUAAAACACAACGCAUUUGGGCUCUACAACCACCAGAGUUAGUAGCCUAUGUUGAGGGUUUAGAAUGCCAACUCAGAGACAUUGAGAGAAGUGUUUACGACAUCCAGUUAGAGCUUGAGGUAAAUUCAAUAAGAGGACGAUUUUAAUUUUCUUUGUGUGUUUUAAUUUGUUUUUCUGUUUGUGUGUUUUAGUUUGUUACCCCGGUGAAAUGGCGGAUAACGGUACUCCGUGACAAUCAAGUCGGUUACUUCAGUUUCCCAUAAUAACUGACAUUCUGAGGCGAAAGUAUGGACAGAAAAGAGAUUCUAGCAAAGCUUCACAAGCGAUUCCCUUCACUUCCUCAGAAUGCCCUCCUUACGAUCUAUAAAGCUCGGUCCGAACGCAUGCGAUUACUCAUGAAGAAUAACAUACCUGCUGACAUCCGUUGGUUAAUCGAGGCUAAAGUACGAUCGGCAGGUGAGUUUCCUCCAAAAUUUAUUGCAUACAUGCCUGGUUGUGGUAAAGGAAAUUAUGCAAGAAAACGACGAGCUCGAAGAAUUUCUGUUGCUUGUCAUAAGUGUGCUAGAAUGAGUUGCGAUAGAAACCCAUGUUCUUUAGGAAUGGUGUCUGAUAACAGGGAAGAUAAGAUUUAAUUCAUUAGGGAUGGCUUGAAUAAGGAGUCAUUGGAUGAUAUCCUUUUGUCUCUUGAAACGCAUCCUAGUGGAUAUGUGCAAGGAGCGAUUCUCCAGUUAUGGCCAUUAUUCCAGAAAGAGCAUGCACGAUAUAGUCUCGGGAAUCUGACUAUAAACGACCCUGUUUGCCAGUUUAUAAGAAAACUGGAUAGGAAGCCUAUCCUCGACCCAUAGAGGGCGUUCAAGCCGUUUCUGGACGUAAAACCAGAGGAAGAUGUGAGCCACAGUCGCAACUACGUGUAAAUAUCCUUUUACUUUACUGUUAUUUUAUUUCAUUUCACUGUUGUUUUAUUGUUUGCAUUAUUGUCUUUAAUAAUUUUGUUACUGUUUGCUUUUUCCUUUUUACUGUUUCCUUUUUGACUCACGAGCCACGUGCUUAACGCGUUAUUUGACACUGACAUGCCACCCCAUACACAGUUGUGACCCACUGUCACCAAGAUUCUUAAAUAUGACUUUUUGUUAAGCACUCACAAAUUGUUUCUGAGAAAUAUUCCAAUGGCAGCUACUCCUAAUAGACAAUUCAAGAACAUUUGUGUGCUUUCUGGAUUUACCUAUGGCAAACAUAAAGAGUUCGUGGAGGCAGCCAUAGAUCUUGGUCGAAGCAUAGCAGCGAGAAAAUUACACUUGGUGUAUGGAGGAGGUAACCGAGGGUUAUCAAAAAUGGUCUCAGAAGCAGCUUUUAUCAGAGGAAGUCAAGUGUUAGGCAUCAUCCCAAGAGUCCUAAAACCAUUGGGCAGUUCGUCUGACUCAUCAACUGGAGAAGAGUUAGUCGUCUCAGGUAUGCAAGAAAGAAUAACUGAAAUGCUUAAUCAUGCUGAUGCUUUUAUUUUCCUUCCAGGAGAUCUUGCAACACUAGAGGCACUUAUGACACUAGCAUCUUGAGCCCAUCUACACAUUCACCAGAAACCCAUCGGUUUGUUAAAUGUCAAUAACUUUUAUGAUGGCUUUAUCGCAUUUCUUAACCAUGCAAUAAAAAACUAUUUCAUUCCUUCUAAUGUGAAAAAACUCUUUAUUUGUGCUCACACUGCUAAUGAGCUACUUGAUAUGUUACAAGCUUAUAAACCGGAGCCAGACCCCUGGACCUUUGUGUUGGAGCGACCAAAUAAUGAUGGUAACAGUAGCCGCAGUAAGAAGUACAAAUUAGAUUUAACUCUCCGCCUGUAAAUAUUUUCUUCUGUGUUGCACCACCCAGGUGAUGUCUUCUAAACUCUACUUCUUUCAUUUCAAACAUUGAGGACAAUGUUUCGUUCUGGUUGGGGGGAGGGAAUAGUCGACAGUUGUGGAAUCUUGGUUAAAUUUUUACUGAUUUUUUGUUGUAGAAACUAACUGUUGCUAACUUUUUAUGUUGAAGAUGGCUGAAUAUGGAGUGUAGUGACUCUAGAAACGCAUUUUCAUCGUUUAAAAAAAAUUAAAAAAAAACUAAAAAAAAAUUUCAGACAGUUUCUUUUUUUUUUCUUUCUUUAUUCUGUUUUUAUGUUUAUUUUUCUUCUUUUUAAUUUCUCCUCUAUAAAUAUACAUUUUCCAACUUGUGAGUCGAAGAUGGCUGAAUAUGGAGUGUAGUGCCUCUAGAAACGCAUCUUCUUAAAAAAAAAAAAAAAAAAAACCCAUUUUCUUUUUCUAUCAUUUUACGUGUAACUUUUCUAAUUAGUUUUUAUGCAUCAUUUUCACAUUUCUGCAUGCAUAUUUUCCUUUCAUGUUUAGAAUAGGUUGGGGGGUAGAAUGUUGUUUAAAAAAAAAAAAAUUGUGUUAUUUGUUUUAACAUUGGAUGACAUGAUUAAUUUCAAAUUUUAGUAUUUGUAUUAUCUUUGGUCUUAAGUGAUGUUACGCUAUGUUUGCUACUUUACAUGUUGAUGUCGGAGACAAAUAUGAGUUGCUUGAAGGAAUGAACAUGUCAUAAAUAAGUGCCAAGUGAGUUGUUGAGCCUAUCAUUUUCUUGGAGAGUAACACUUUUGCCCAUUCUCUAUACAGCUUAGCAGUUUAUUAGUUUAUACACGAUCUCUAGAUUUCUUUUGAGUUAACCCUUUAAAAAAAAAUGUGUGUUGCUACAUUGGGAGACCCAUCUAACUAGUAGAUAUGGAUAAUUAUUUAGAGCCCUAAAAGACGAUGGAAAGGCCAUAUUUGAUCCGUUUGAGCCUUUCUAGCCAUCCCUUUUAUUAAAUAUCCAUAGUUACCCCUUUUGAGCCUUUUUUUAAAAAAAAAAGAGAACAAAAACAUUUUCUUUGUCAACUUAUCAUCUUGACCCACUCCGAUUUGGAGUAUUACCCAAUGUCUUUUAAGUUCCAUCACCUAUUUAUGUUUGAGAAAAUGUAAAUAAUGAUGUUGUUCAGUGAAGUUAUGCCAAAUAAAAGCAAAAAAAAAAAAAAAAAAACAAAAGUUGUUGUUUCAAAAGAAUAAAAAUAACAAUAAUAGGUGAAAUCCACCUUGCAACUUCAAAAAAAAAUAUAUAUAUUUCUGCAUUUUUCUCAAACAUACACUUUGUUUUCCUUAUUUCCUUUCUUUGUUAGCCAUAUCCCUAGCCUACGUUAUGUCCUAAUAAAAGUCCUUCUUGAUUUUAGGGAACUAUAGUUUGAAGUAGAAGCUAGUUAUAUGGGCUAAAAAGAUGUAGUGAUGCAUAAUAAAAAAAAAAAAGAUAAAUAAAGUGGGUUGACUAACAUUUUAUUUGACUUGAGAUCGUAUUAUUUCUAAGCUAAGGGCAUAUUUAUUUCAUCUUGGUGAGAGCAUGUGAUAUCACUUCUUCAUUAUUUUCUCUCAAUUACCAUUCAUUGGAGUGACUAUUUUUUUAGGUUUAAUUUCUUUGUGAGAGUGUCACUACUUCCAGUGAGAUUUUGGGUUUUGACAUGUCAUUCUUGAAAGUAGUUAUAACAAAGUCUACUGGCCGAUUCAUGUGGAUGGUUGAUGUGGGUGUGAUGUUGUUUUAGACUGGAGAUAAUACUUAUACUUUUAUUUGAUUGCUAUCAUUAAUCUGAUUGAAUAAACACGAGUGUUUCUAAAAAAAAAAAAAAAAAUUAUUUUGAAUUUGAAUUUUGUUUUCGCUUUAUUUGCUAGGGACUAACAUUAAGCUGGUUGGGGGGUGUGUUGAGUGUUAGAAAAUGCAUAUUUAUAAAGGAGAAAACCAUCAUUUUACAUUUCAAGUCUUACUAACAACUCUUACUUUUAUGUAUUUAACCUUCUUGUAAUAUAAUUACGUGUGUUUUAUUUUAAUUAAGUAUUUUAUGUAUUUUAGGGGCAUUAUAGUCAUUUCACAAUAAAGGAGAGAUCAGGCGGCAAAACGGACAUCACUUUUGAACUCAGGACGGUCGAAAACCUUAGGAGGAGCAUAAAAGGAAAAAUGGCACUAUUCAUAUGUACGGUACUAUUCACGUGUACGGUAUUAACUACGUUACUGUUCACAACACUGUUCACAUAGACGGAUCGAUGACGUGGCAUUGACCGAUGAUGUGGCAUUGACUGAUGAGGUGUCACGAUCCUGUUGAGCUAAAAUUCUUAUGUACUGUUGAUGGUGACGUGGCAGUAUAUCAGUGGAUGAAAAAUCUCGCGUACGGUACAUGCAUCACACAGGAUUAUUUUCAACCAAACCGCGUUACUGUUCAUCCGAGUCAAACCGUGUUACUGUUUAUCCGAGUCAAACCGUGUUACUGUUCAUCCGCGUGGUCAAACCGUGGACUGUUGACUUAUGACGUGGCGCAAUCCUGAGCGUCCAAACUGUUUUUAAUCCGAUGGCCAUGAUUUACUCCAUGUAUCUAUAAAAAGGGGGCCUUCCCCCCCUAAUUUGAUAGCUCUGAAUCCAUUUUUGGGAUCCAUUUUCUGUAAUUCCUUCUCCAUCUUGUAUUUUCUUUGUAUUUUAAUAAAUUCCCAUUUUGCCCCUAGUUCAAUUAUGAGUGGCUAAUUUUCUUUCAAGCUUGGGUUGAAGGUGAAGUCUCAACAUGUGUCAUGGGCUUAAUUUGGUAAAUUUAUUUUCUCUUCCCCUCUAGUUUUUGUGGAUGUUUUGACUUCUCGUCGACAAAUAAUAAUAAUCUUGUCUAGAUACCGCCUUGGUUACACCGGCUCUCUAGUAUAAGGUUAUUAUUAUUUGGCACGAUAAGCCCUUAGCACCAUAUUGAUUAGAGCGUGGUUCAUGAGGUGUGGAUUCCCCCCUCAUGAUUUAAUUGGCAUUAAUAAAGAUUAUUUAGCCCAUGAUGCAUGUUGAUACGGAUCCAGAUACCCAAGUACGUCAUUUUAAUAGAAUUCUCUUCAAUUUAUUCUCGCCAUUUCAAUUCCAAUUUUAGAAUUUAUUCUCGCCAUUUUAAUUUAAGUUUUAGCAUAUCCCAAAUCAUUUCCACCACAAAUCCAAUCACCCAUUUACAAAAUUAAUUCUACACAAUUAAAAUCCACCUCCUCGUGGGAUCGACACUCGUCACCAUUAGUCUAUACUACAAUAGAUUCGUGCGCUUGCGAGUACAUUAAAAUUUGCACAACACACUUCAACAUGUUUAGUUCUGUCAUGAUGAAUAGGGUUAUGAGCAAUGUUUAUUGCUGCCUUGUUGUCACAAUACAACUUCAUAGGAACAUCAAUGAUAAUCUUCAAUUCUUCAAGUAGCUUCUUUAACCACAAAAGUUCACAAAUACCAUAUGCUACUGCUCUAAAUUCAGCUUCAGCACUGCUUCUUGCAACCACUGAUUGCUUCUUACUCCUCCAAGUUACCAAGUUUCCUCCCACAAAUGUGCAAUACCCUGAAGUUGACCUUCUAUCAAUAAUAGAUCCAGCCCAAUCUGCAUCAGUAUAUACUUCAACUUGCAUAUUGUUAUUUUUCUUGAAUAGCAGGCCUUUUCCUGGAGUUUUUUUCAGGUACUUGAGAACCUUGUAAACAGCUUCUAAGUGCUCUUUACAUGGAGAGUGCAUAAAUUGACUAAUAACACUUACUGCAAAGGCUAUGUCUGGCCUAGUAUGAGACAAGUAUAUCAACUUACCAACCAACCUUUGGUAACUUUCUCUAUCCACUGAUUUUCCUUCAAUUGCAUAUCCCAAUUUGUGAUAAGGAUCAAUAGGAGUGUCUCCAGGUUUGCAUCCCAACAUGCCAGUUUCCUUGAGUAAGUCUAAAGUAUAUUUCCUUUGAGAAACAAAAAUGCCUUUACUGGAUCUUGCAAUUUCCAUGCCCAAAAAAUAUCUUAAGGGGCCAAGGUCCUUCAUCUCAAAUUCUCUAGCAAGAACCUUCUUGAGAUUUUCCAUUUCUAUUACAUUGCUUCCAGUCAAGAUGAUAUCGUCUACAUAUACAAUGAGGAUCACAACACUACCAUCAGUGAAGUGUUUAAAAAACAUUGUAUGAUCUGCUUGACUCUGUAAAUAUCCAAAGCUAUGAACAGAUUUGGUAAAUCUGUCAAACCAAGCUCGAGGAGAUUGUUUUAAGCCGUAAAGUGAUCUCUUCAGCUUGCACACUUUUUCAAUACCAUAUUCAUUCUCAAAACCUGGUGGCAGAUCCAUAUAUACCUCUUCUUCAAGCUCUCCAUUAAGAAACGCAUUCUUAACAUCUAAUUGUUGUAGUUGCCAUCCUAAGCUUGCUGCAAGAGACAACAAAACCCGAAUGGAAUUCAUUUUUGCCACGGGAGCAAAUGUUUCUUGGUAGUCAAUGCUAUAUGUUUGUGUAAAACCUUUCGCGACAAGCCUAGCUUUGUACCUCUCAAGUGACCCAUCUGCUCUGUAUUUAACUGUAAAAAUCCACUUGCAACCCACUGGUUUUUUUCCUUCUGGUAAUUUAACUAGUUCCCAAGUUUUGCUUUUUUCUAGAGCUCUCAUCUCUGCAUACCCAGCAUCUCUCCAUUCUGGAAUAGAAAGAGCAUCUUGUACAGAUUUUGGAAUUGCUAUGACAGACAGGUUAGCUGCAAAAGCUCUAAAAGAUGGAGAUAAUCUAUGAUAUGACACAUACUUAGAAAUUGGAUGAAGAGUACAAGACCUAGUUCCUUUUCGUAGUGCAAUUGGAACAUCUAGAUCAUUUGUAGUUUCUAAAACAGAUUCUGAAAUAGGAUUAGAAUGAAUGUUACCUGCAAGUUCCAAGUUGCCUGUGUUUGGAUCCGAGUCUUGGCAGUGAGGAGAGGAAUGAUGAUUUGACCUUUUCGAAUUCCGUCGUGUGUAGACUUGAAGCUAUGGUUCUGGAACUCUCUCUAAUGAUUUUUCAUUAUUCAUAAUUGAUGGCAUUGUAGAAGGAACAUGAGGUACACAAGACAUAAUAGGCAUUGGAAGAGAUAAUUCCCAAAAAUGAUCUUCCGGAGUAUGAUUCUCCCCCUGAAGAGAAGUUUUGGGAAAGAAAGAUCUAUUUUCAAAAAAUGUGACAUCCAUUGUGAUGAAGAAUUUUUUAGACAAUGGAUCAUAACAUUUGUAGCCUUUUUGAGUAGGAGAAUAGCUAAGAAAUACACAUUUUAAAGCUCUAGGAUCAAGUUUGCUCAUGUUCUAUGUAUGAAUGUGAACAAAAGCAAUGCACCCAAAAAUCUUGGGUGGUAAAGAUGUGAAAAACUUAGCGGUAGGAUAGAAUUUUGUGAAAACAUUUAAUGGAGACUGAAAAUUAAAGAUUCGGGUAGGCAUGCGAUUUAUCAAGUAUGAUGCUGUGAGAAUGGCUUCACCCCAAAACUGUUUUGGCACCCUAUUUGUGAACAUAAGAGAGCGUGCAACUUCUAACAAGUGUUGAUUUUUCCGUUCAGCAAUACCAUUUUGCUGAGGAGUAUCUACACAAGAGGAUUGGUGCACAAUGCCAUUUUCCAUGAAAUAAUGACCAAGGGCAGUAGAAAAAUAUGCUCUCCCAUUGUCAGUUCUAAAGACUUGGAUUUUUGCUUGAAAUUGUGUUUGAAUCAUGGUAUGAAAGGUUUUAAAAACUGUUGCAGUUUCUGAUUUUUCUUUAAGCAAGUACACCCAACAAACACGAGUGUGGUCAUCAAUAAAAGUUAUGAACCAUUUAGCCCCCGAAAUGUUUGUAACAUGAGAGGGUCCCCAAAUAUCACUGUGUAUGAGAGAAAAAUGUUCAGAUUUUUUAUACGGCUGUGAAGGAAAAGAUACACGAUGAUGUUUGGACAAUACACAAAUUUCACACUGAAACAAAGAAGGAUUUUUAUUCUUGAACAACAAAGAAAACAAGUGUUGUAAAUAAGAAAAACUAGGAUGACCUAAUCGGAGAUGCCACAACAUUAUUUUAUCUUUAAUAGAGAAAGUUAGUUCAUUAUUUGUUGCCUGAGCUUCUCCACACAAACUAACAUCCUCCUCGAAGUAGUACAAACCAUCUACCUCUCUAGCACUGCCAAUUUUCUUCCCUGAACACAGGUCCUGAAAUUCACAAUAGGAAGGAGAGAAUUUAGCAAUGCAAUGAAGAUCCUUGGUAAUUUUGCUAACAGAUAAAAGAUUACAAGACAAAUUAGGAACAUGAAGAACAGAUGUUAACACCAAAUUUGUAGAGAUAGGAAUAGAUCCUUUUCCUGCUGCAGAAGAUAGUGAACCAUCAGCAAUUUUAAUUUUUUGACUACCAGGACAUGGAAUAUAUGAAUAAAAUAAUUUAGAAUGGCUAGUCAUAUGAUCGGUUGCUCCUGAAUCGAUGAUCCAUGGAUCUUUUUUCUCAUAAACAACUCCUAAAGCACUGAAAUCAUUACCUUUCUGGGCUAAAGAACUAGAAGAUGAAGGAUUUGGGAGAGAUUGUGACUGAUUAAGAAACUUGUACAGUUGCUCUAACUGUUCUUUAGUGAAGAGUUGAGAUUCGGAUUCUCCAGUGUUGAUUGUCGGCUGAUUCUCCCCAAAAACUUGAAAACCUCGACUAUGUUUACCAGAGAAUUUAUUGUUUUUCAAAUUUGGAGGUUUUCCAUGAAGCUUCCAACAUGCAUCUCUGGUAUGUCUUGGCUUGUGACAAUAAUCACACCAAACUCUGUCCUUCUCAUCACUCUUCUUCAGGUUUUUUGUUCCCCCAAUCAGUGGAGCUUCUGGUGUAACAGAGAUCAAGGCUGAGUUCUCUGCUGAAGAACCUCCCAUCAUCACAUUCUUUCUACUUUCCUCUCUUUUUACAUAAGAAAACACUUCCCUGGUAGAAGGAAGAGGUUCCUUGCCAAGUACUCGCCCACGGACUUCAUCAAGGUCUGAACUCAAACCUGCUAAGAAUUCAAAUACACGCUCUUUUUCUAACAUCUUCUUGUAUUUAGCACUAUCAGCAGCACAUUCCCACUCGCCAUCAUAGUACUGAUCUAACUCUUGCCAUAAGCCCUUCAAAAUAUUGUAGUAUUUAGUCACUCCUUGACUACCUUGUUUGGUUUCUCGAAUUCUGGUUUUCAGAUCAUAAAUCUGAGCAGAAUUUCCCAAAUCAGAAUAGGUCUCGGUGACAGCAUCCCACAAAUCCUUUGCUGUUGGCAGAAACAAGUAAGUUUGACCUAUCUCCGAUUCCAUUGAAUUCACUAACCAUGACAUGAUCAUUGAGUUGUCAGCAGCCCAAGUAUGAAACUUUGGGUCUUCUUCAGUUGGUUCUUUAAUUGAACCAGUAAGGUAACCAAUCUUCCCUUUACCUCUGAUAAACAUCUUCACAGAUUGGGACCACUGAAGAAAAUUUUGACCAUUCAAUUUAUGGAUUGUGAUCUAAAGUGAUGGACUAUCAUUAGAAACAUAACUUGAUAGUUGUAGAUGUCGUUGCAAUUGCUCUGAAGAUAACUCAGAAGUUUCUUGCUCGCUAUACUUUGAUAUUGGUAUUCAAAUAGAAUUGAAAACUAAAUCCAAGAAUCAAAGAGCGACUCUGAUACCAUGAGAAAAUUAUUGAAGAAAUAUGUAUCUCCUUUUCUUAUUUUUACAAUAGGGUUACACAAUACAUAUAUAUAUAUUCUAAACUACAUAAUGUGCUAGAGUAGGAAAGUAAACAACUAACUGCAGACCAAGAAACUAGGAAACAAACUCUAUCUAAAAAACUGAAAUUCUAUCCCUAUUUUUUUUCCUUUCUAUCCCUAUCUUUUUUCCUUAAAAAUAGGAUAGAAAACAAGUGACUUUUCCACAGCCCUUUUGGACAAAAAUGAUUUCCUGCUAAUUUUGAGAAUAAAACCAUAGACAUCUAACUUCUGAUAUCUAGUCAAUCUGGUAAAAUCUUGGCAGUUGCACUUGGGGCAUAAAUUAGUUCCACCUUGGUUUAAGGACAGAAAUUCGUCAUAUGCAUGUAUUUAUUUAUGUUUUAUACACACACACAUGCAUGUACACACAAACACUACCUUCACUUUGAAGAAAAGAUUAAAAUAACACUGCUCACAUACACAAUACUUACUAUUCUAGUUCGUGUAACUUUCUCCGGAGUCACAAACAGGUCACAGAAUUCACGUAUUAACCGCAUACUUCUAGUCAUUUCUAUUCCUCCUUCACCAUCACUUGUCCCACAAUUACAAAAAGUGAGAGGUAAUAACCAACAUAUUUGGGUUGCUCUUCGGUAAGGGGUGGGAGGUAAGGGUUAGUUGUGGAGGGCACCUAGUACAGAAUCAAGGCCAGCUGUUGGGAAUUUGAUCUCCUGUAACAUAUACUUGUUCAUCAUAAACUAUAUACUUAUUCUGCAGUCGAUGUGUGCAUAUAGCUCUUCAAUUAUCCAGUAAUAACUCACCAUCAACUUCCUGCCAUCUUUCACGGCUAAUUCAGCAGCCAUUUUUGCCUGCUUAAAGGUCAAAAGCCCAAACUAAGCAGAUGCUCCUACUCCGAUACUUAUUAUCUAACUACUACAGAACAGAUGAUACGCAUCAAGUUGUAUCAAGAGAGACACCAAGUUGUGUUUUCCAAGAGGUUCCAAAGAGGUUUUGUUUCUUUGUGUAAUUUUUAGACUGCUUUGACAACUCAUCUUAAAGGUGCCACUCAUCCAAUAUGAUGUGGUGACAGUAGUUUAGAGUUUUAAACUAAAUGCAGAGCUAAUAGUAUUUUGGAAUAUAAUCAUCCUAAGAUACUAUAACACAGGGAUUCUUACACAAAAACAACAACUUCGAUGUAGAGAGAAGAUGAUUUCACAAAAGCAGAUGUUUUGAUUUAAGUCUCCAAAACCCCCACCAAAGAAAUGUUCAACAGAUAUAGAAAUAUGAUCCACAUAUCUGUAACUUAAACUGUGAAAGUUGUUGAUGUUGUUCUAAAAUUGCCACAAUCUAUCUACCCCAUGAAUGUUUUUGGAUAAAACAACAAGCAGGACCCAAUGCCUGUUUUCUAAUAGCUUCAAAAAGGCCAAAUUGGUUUUGAAAUGUCUCCAGCUUUUCAUUUAAUAAGAGAGAGAGAGAGAGAGAAGAAUCGCUCCCCUUUCAAAUACCGUGCUCUUUUGUACCUGGGAAUUUAACUAAUUCUUGCGAAUAAAAAAAUUUAUAAAUUUGGUAAAUUAUUUAUUAAAAAAUAUUGAGAGGCUGUGCAUUAUUUUAUUAGUAAAGAUAUAGUUAUCAUCAAAUUAGUUAUAUUAAAAUAGUUUUUGACUCACGUAAUUUAUUUUUAUUAUUUUUAUAUAUAUAUUUAAUUAAUAAAUUUAUGUUAUAUUCAUUUGUAUAAAAAUGUACAGUUCUAUCCUCACUCUUAUUUUAUUUUUAUUAUUUUUUCAGAAAAUGGUAUGCGUUAUUAAGGUUAAGGGUGACAACUGGGAUCAAUAUACGGUUUAUUCGAGUGCUUAAAACCUAAUAAAUAUCCACUAACUCAUAUUUAAUUAAAAUAUAAUUAUUUUUAAAUAAAAAAAUUUAAUAUAAACUAAACAAAUUGAUUGGAUUUUGUUUCUAAAGGUACAUCAUUAGAACGUUACCUUUAAUUGAACAAAAGCACACAUAACUAGCACAUUCGCCACAAAAGCCUCAGCUUAGUGGUCGGCUUAUUAAUUAUCUUAAUAAAAUCAUGGUCAUAAAUUUGAGUCCCCGUAGGAAUUAUUAGGUUAGGUAGCUUUUUUAGACUACAAAAGCUUUUUUAGACUACUCAUUCAUUUAAUUUUCCGUUAUAUAUAUUCAUCUUUUUUAGAGGCCAAGAAGUCUUCGACAGAAAUGUGAUCUUUUUCUAGUUGCCUCCCGGUGAUGAGCUUCUCCCAAGUUUCAAUUAAUUCGCUUUGAGUGAGGAUAUUUUCUGGUGGCCUCAAAUACAAUGUCUUGUUCAGCACUCAAGGGUCAUCUAUUGUCUUAAUAGUAUAUGUGGCAACAUCAUCAAGAUGCACUAUAGAAAAAAAGAUAAUCAUUUUGUUUAAUAUGAACAUAAAUUCUUACAGUCUAACUCAUAUUAUAGUGAACGAUGCUGUUAUGUGGUGCGUGCAUGCACUAUCUAUAGUUUUAAUAUUAUUAAUAAAGAGUUAAAAGUCUUGAUUUAAUUUUAAAUUGUCAUUCCUCUAACUUCACCGUCUUCAUAGAUGCAGACUUUAUCUUUUGAAGGGUGAGGGUAGCUAUAUUUGAGAGAGGUGUCUAGGGAACCAACCAGCAAAAAACAGCUAGCAGAAACAUAAAUGACAGGGAUUUGAGCAGCCUUGAUUGCCCUUCUCACACAUGCGCUCUGCGUUCUCCCUCCCGCUCUCACUCACUCACGCCCAAAUCUCACCUCACUCACGCAUCUCUCCUUCUGACCGGUGGUUUUCUCUCUCUCGCCGUGGGUCUCAAGGCUGGCAGGGAUUUCUCGACUUGACUACUAAAACAUAAUCCAAAAACUACUAAGAGAUGUAUAUAUUACUCUGAUAUACACAAUAUGAAGAAACUGCAGUUAUAUUUCAAAUAUUAUAUGAAGGAAGAGGCUGUAUGGAUUAUCUAAAGGUGCUGAAAUUAAGAGACCUAUUGAAAAGUCAUGCAUGUGGUAAUUUUUCAAAGAGCUACCAAACAUUUGAAGAAAAAAUGGAAAGUUGGCAAAUUUGUCAAAUUUGCCAAAUGGACACCAUUGACUAUUGGCUUAGGUUAGGUGGAAUGGUAAAGGGGUUGGUGCAAUAGUGCCAUUAUUUUUCCUAUAAAUAGAUGGCACUUUUUCCAUUCUUUUGCAUCCCAAAAUUGUUAAGCUUAUAAGUUUCUAAGCUUUUGAGAGAAGUGAGAGAAGUGUGUCUGGGGAAUUUAUCUUUCCUGCAGAGUGUGAGAGUACUGGGUAUAUUUUGGGUUUCUGGGAAGUGAGAUUCGUUACUCAAAUAUUGUACUCUAUUAAUUGUUAAAUAAACAAUUAUUCUUUCUUGCCUCCGUGGAUGUAGGUUUAAUUACCGAACCACAUAAUUCUUGUGUCCUUUAUUUUUUCUAUAAUUAUUUGGUGCGCUUGAUUCCGCAUUCCAAGCACAACAAGUGGUAUCAGAGCCGAAGGUUCGUACUUGGGGGGAUACGGUACUGUUCACGUAUACGGUACUAUUCCCAUAUACGGUACUGUUCACGAAUACGGUGGAGACGGCCAUUUGUACUUGGGAGACAGUCUAUUGUAAGUAGUGUGUAUUUUUGCAUGUUUAGGAAAGUUCUGUCAACAAAGGCGAUAAGAGUCUAAGGAUUCUGGUUUUUAAUUGGGACCGAGUUCCCGUCCAGUUUCUUGGGAACUUUCCUGGUGCAUUUAUUCAUGCGAAAUUAACAUCAUAGAGACUGUUUUUCAAGUGGAAAUAGUUCGUUGAGAAAAUGGUAGAAGGUGAAACUUCCAGAAUUGGGGAGAGAUCUACCGAGACUAUUUCAGGAGACACUUCAGGUGGGAGACGAGAUUUGUCAAAUCGCUAUUCAGCACCUGUUAUAGGAGGUCAGAAGAUCGAUGUUGAAAAGUUUGAUGGGAAAAUCAACUUCGGCAUGUGGUGGCGCGAAGUUAUGGAUGCCCUUAUUCAAAUCGAUCUCGAUGUUGUUCUGAAAAAUAAAAGACACUUGUAUGAUGAAGAAAUUUGGGAUCGUAUGAAUGAAAAAGCUUGUGGUUAGAUCAGAUCUUGUUUGACCAAGGAGGUGAAAUACUUGGUGAAAGAUGAGGAGUGUGCGGUAACUUUGUGGCGUACAUUAGAGGAAAAGUACUUGGUGAAAAGUCCUGAAAAUCGCCUUCAUGCAAUGAGCCAAGUAUAUGGUUUUCGAAUGAAGCCUGGGGUGUCAAUGCACGAUCAUGUUUCAAGAUUUGAAAAGUUACUUGCUGAUUUGAAGAAUCUUGAUGAAGAUAUUAAGGAUGAAGUCAAGGCUAUGAUUCUGUUACACUCACUACCAGAGGAAUAUAGCCAUUUUGUGACUACUUUGAUAUAUGGGAAGAGUGUGAUCGUCUUCAAAGAUGUUUGCACAACAUUGACUAGCUUAGAGAUUCGGAAUAAUGAUAAAAAUUCUGAACGAGCAUCGUCUGAAGCUUUAGUGAGCAGAGAUUGGGCGAUGGAGAAACAGAAGAAGCGUGGUGGAAAGAACUCUCGAUCCAAAUCGAGAAGCAGAAAUAUAGCUCGAGAUGAGUGUGCCUUUUGUCAUGAAAAGGGCCAUUAGAAGAAAGAUUAUCCAAAUGCUCAAAAGAGAGAUGGGAAGAAACCAGCAGCAGCAAACAUGGCACGGAAAGAUGAGGGAUCUGAUUAUUCACUAAGUAUUACUCCUGCAGCAUACGUGGCUAGUUCGAGCGAGUGGAUACUUGAUACUGGAGCAACCUAUCAUUUGUGUCCCAUUAAGGAAUGGUUUACGGAUUUCAACGUAUUGGAAUCUGGUGCAGUUGUGAUGGGGAAUGAUCAACCUUGUCGCACAAUGGGGAUAGUAACAAUUCGGCUCAAAAUGUUUGAUGGAAUGGUCAGAGAACUCAAAAAGGUUAGAUUUGUUUCAGCUUUAAAGAAAAAUCUAAUUUCUGUGGGUGCUUUAGAAGCUAAAGGCUACAAGGUUACCAUUGAAGAUGGUAUAAUGAAGUUUACACAUGGGGCUAUGGUGAUUCUGCAAGGGGUUCGGCGUCACAAUCUGUACUAUUUGAAGAGAGGUACAACUGAUGAAGCAAAUGUUGUUGAGGCACACAGUGACACCACCAAGCUAUGGCAUGUACGACUAGGACAUGCUAGAGAGAAGUCUUUGCAAACUCUGAUAAGGCAUGGACUCUUAAAAGGUACCAAAACCUGUAAAUUAAAUUUUUGUGAGCAUUGUGUAGUAGGCAAGAAAACAAGGGUUAAGUUUGGUACAGCUAAUCACGAUACUCGUGAGAUCCUUGAAUAUGUUCAUAGUGAUGUAUGGGGACCAACCAAGACUGCAUCAAUUGGUGGAAGCCAUUAUUUUGUUACAUUUGUUGAUGAUUUCUCUAGAAGUGUGUGGGUGUACACCAUGCGAGCAAAUGAUGAGGUUCUAGAGAUUUUCGUGAAAUGGAAGAAAUUGGUGGAGACUCAAACUGGAAGAAAGAUCAAAGUAUUACGAUAUGAUAAUGGGGGUGAAUAUACUUCUGAUCCAUUCUUGCAAGUAUGCCAGAACGAGGGUAUUAAAAGACAUUUCACAGUGAGACAUACUCCGCAACAGAACGGUGUGGCUGAGCGUAUGAAUCGUACUUUACUGGAGAAGGUAUGGUGUAUGUUAUCUAAUGCUGGUUUAGAUAAAAAGUUUUGGGCUGAAGUUGUGAGCUACGCAAGUCACUUGGUAAACCGGUUGCCUUCUGCUGCAAUUGGAGGUAAAACUCCUAUGGAAAUGUGGUCUGGAAAGCAUGCACAAGACUAUGAUUCCCUUCGUAUAUUCGGGUGUCCAGCUUAUUAUCAUGUCAAAGAUGGUAAACUAGAUCCUCGUGCUAGAAAAGCUAUCUUUGUGGGAUUCAAAGGUGGAGUAAAGGACUUCAAGCUUUGGGAUCUCGAAGAUAAAAAGUUUGUGUGUAGCAGAAAUGUCACAUUUGAUGAAGCUUCAAUGAUGAAAGCUUCAAGUUCUCAGCAGGUGGAGAACAAGACCAAAGAGGUAUUGCUGCGGGUGGAGUUUGAUGCAACUCCAUAUGUACCAGUUAGUUCUACAUCAAAGAAGAGUUCAACUAUAGAGGUGACACCUAGAGUUGAAGAAGAGGUUGUUUCUUCUGAUGUCCCACAAAAUGAAGAAACAAUUGAUAAUGUAGAUAAUGAUGAUUUUAUAGCAACAAGGAGGCUAAGAAGAGAGAUAAAGAAACCCGGAUGGCUUACUAAAGAUAUGGUGGUAGCCUAUGCACUUCCAGUUAUUGAUGAUGACAUCCCCAACACUUUCGGUGAAGCAUUACGCAGCAGUGAAAGUGAUCAGUGGAAGUUAGCCAUGGAGGAAGAGAUGAAAUCUCUCCAUCAAAACCAGACUUGGGAACUUGUAAAGUUACCAAAAGGGAAAAAGGCUAUUGGCAAUAAAUGGGUCUACACCAAAAAGCAAGGAUCUCCGAAUAAAAUAACUCCUCGAUACAAGGCAAGGCUCGUGGCAAAAGGUUUUGCUCAAAAGGAAGGUAUUGACUACAAUUAAGUUUUCUCUCCAGUUGUAAAACAUACUUCCAUUCGUAUCCUACUUGCCUUAGUUGCAGAAUAUGAGUUAGAGUUGGCUCAAUUGGAUGUUAAGACCGCGUUCAUACAUGGAGAUUUGGAGGAGGAAAUCUAUAUGAUUCAGCCUUGUGGUUUCAAAGUUGCUGGAAAAGAGAAUCAUGUGUGUAGGUUGAUUAAAUUUUUGUACGGACUGAAGCAAUCGCCAAGGCAGUGGUAUAAAAGAUUUGAUCAAUUUAUACAAGGGCAGAAAUUCACCAGAAGUGAACACGAUCAUUGUGUUUACUUUAGAAGACUACCAGAUAGAGCUUUCAUCUAUUUGUUACUCUAUGUCGAUGAUAUGCUUAUAGCUUCGAAGAAUAGAGAUGAGAUCGAAAGAUUAAAAAAGCAACUGGCUUCUGAGUUUAAGAUGAAAGACUUGGGUGAUGCACAGAGAAUACUUGGGAUGGAGAUUCGUAGAGACAAGAAGAAUGGGAGCGUAUGGUUGACUCAAAAGUCUUAUUUGAAGAAAGUGCUAGAAAGAUUCGGUAUGGAUGACAAAACUAAACCAGUAUGUACACCUCUAGCUUCUCAUUUCAAAUUAAGCUUUUCUUCAUGUCCUAGAUCUCAAGAGGAGCGUGAUUAUAUGGCUCGUGUUCCAUAUGCUAGUGCUGUGGGUAGUCUUAUGUAUGCUAUGGUAUGCACAAGGCCCGAUAUAUCUCAAGCAGUGAGCAUGGUUAGUAGAUACAUGCAAAAUCCGGGUAAAAAUUAAUGGCUUGCGGUAAAGUGGAUUCUCCGAUAUCUGUAUGGGACAGUUGAUGUUGGGUUAUUGUUCAAGAAGGAUUGUGGUCAACAAUGUGUUGGGUAUUGUGAUUCUGAUUUCGCUGGAGACCUUGACAAGCGAAGAUCAACAACGUGCUACGUAUUCACAUUGGGUGGAGGUCCGGUUAGCUGGAGGUCGAUUCUACAAUCGACAAUUGCUCUGUCCACUGCGGAAGCAGAGUAUAUGGCAGCAACUGAAGCUAUAAAAGAAGCUAUCUGGUUGAAAGGUUUAUUAGGUGAUUUGGGAGUAAUCCAGGAGAACAUUGCGGUCUUAUGUGAUAAUCAAAGUGUGAUAUUCCUUGCGAAGAAUCAAACAUAUCACGCUCGGACGAAGCACAUAGAUGUGAAAUAUCAUUAUGUGAGAGAGAUUAUCGAGAGCGGUGUUGUGUUGUUGAGAAAGAUCGAUACCAAAGAUAAUCCAUUAGAUAUGUUGACGAAGGUAGUUUCUGGAGUUAAGUUUCAACAUUGCUUGAAAUUAAUUCAAAUCCUUCGAUUGUGUUAAGAUAUGUCCUUCGGGAAUUUUGAACUACGGUUGGCUUGAUCCCAAAUUUUGGGUACGUAGGCAGUCAUAGAGAUGCAGCCACUUUGGGGAUGAUGAUUGGUUGGUAGUCGGCUCAGAUUUGGACAAAUUUUCACCGAGGUGGAGAAUUGUUGAAAAGUCAUGCAUGUGGCAAUUUUUCAAAGAGCUACCAAACAUUUGAAGAAAAAAUGGAAAGUUGGCAAAUUUUUCAAAUUUGCCAAAUGGACCCCAUUGACUAUUGGUUUUAUGUUAGGUGGAAUAGUAAAGGGGUUGGUGCAAUAGUGCUAUUAUUUUUCCUAUAAAUAGAUGGCACUUCUUCCAUUCUUUUGCAUCCCAAAAUUGUUAAGCUUAUAAGUUUCUAAGCUUUUGAGAGAAGUGAGAGAAGUGUCUGGGGAAUUUAUCUUUCCUGCAGAGUGUGAAGUACUGGGUAUAUUUUGGGUUUAUGGGAAGUGAGAUUUGUUACUCAAAUAUUGUACUCUAUUAAUUGUUAAAUAAACAAUUAUUCUUUCUUGCCUCCGUGGAUGUAGGUUUAAUUACCGAACCACGUAAUUCUUGUGUCCUUUAUUUUUUCUAUAAUUAUUUGGUGCGCUUGAUUCCGCAUUCCGCGCACAACAAGACCCACACCAACCGACAGACCCCCGGUGAUAGAGAGAAAGUCGACUGUGAGAUGCAUUCAAGACGGGGGAAGAGUGAGAGAGAAAACUGCCCGGUCAGAAGGAGAGAUGCAUGAUUGAGGUGAGAGAUUUGGGCGUGAGUGAGUGAGGAGUGAGGGAGAGGGUGCCGCGUGUGUGGGAUGCGUACAAUGACAAUUUAUACUUACAUCAAAACGCCGCGUUCGGUGCCAUGUGUAGGGCUAACUGUGGUUUGAAUCUCACUUUGGUAAUGGAAAUGACUUUGCAAUUGACAGUUUUUGUCAAAAGUUCGCACUGCAUGAAACUAGUGUUAAUAUAAUUUAAAAAAUUAAUUUCAGUAUUAAUUUUUAAAGUUUUAAUUAUUAUAUUUAUUUUAAUAAUAGAUUUAUAUUUAUUAUAAAAAUUUUAGUUAAAUAUUUGUGUUAAAUGGAAUUUAUAAUUAAUAUAAUAGAUCUUAGGUAUUAAUAUAUUAUAAUUAUUCUAUAUGCUAUUGAAAAUCAUUUAUAUUUUUAGACGUUUAUUUUCAUAUUAAGUUUCUAUUUAUUUUAAAAUUUAGUUUAAUAUAAUAUAAGCAAGUAAAGUAUUAAAAUAUUUUUUAGUAUUAUUUAAAAUAUUAAAAUAAUUUUAAAAUAUAAGUCAAAUUUUUAAGUGAAUAUAACUAAUAUUUACAGCUAUUUGAUGGCCUCAACAAGCUAAAGCAGCAUCAAAAUUUGUGGCUCGUUAAUUUAUUUUUUCCCUUUCAAAAAGGGAAGAGGAUAAGUUUGGAAGAAUGAUUAUAUUUUUAAUAAAUUCUUUUUUAUUAUAAUACUUUUUGUCUUUAUUAAUUUAAAAAUAUUGACUCUUAUAUUUUAAAAAAUAUAAAUAUAAUAUUAUAAUAAAAUAUAACAAUAUAUAUCAAAUAUUUAAAAAAUUUAAUAUUUUAAUAUUUUAUAUUAUAUUAAAAUAAAUUUUUAAUAAAUAAAAAUAAUCUAUUAAAAUAAAGUACAAAAAUUUAAAUUAUUUUCAAUAUCAUCUAAAAUAAUUUUACUAUUAUUAAUGCAUGAAAUAUAUUAUAGUAAUUGUAAAUUUCAUUUAACUCAAAGAUUUAUUUAGAAUGUUCAUAAUAAGUCCAAAUAUAUUAUUAAAAUAAUUAUAAUAAUUUACAUUUUAAAAAUUAAUACUGAUAUUAAUUUUUAAAUUAUAUUACUCUACCAGAAAAAUUAAACUAUUAAAUUAUAUCAAUAUUUAUUAAAAAAUUUUGAAAUUAAUUCUUGUUAUAUUUUUAAUUGGAAUUUUUUCAUGUGAUAUAACCAGAAUUGCUACAAUUUUUUUCCCUAAUUAAAGAUGGAGUUAUAAAUUAUUUGUAUAAGUGUCUGUGUGGAAACUAAUGUGACAUGAAAGUAAUAGCUGAAUAACAAUAAUGGGCCGAUUUCAAUUCUUAAACAGACUUGUCCUUCAUCCCAAUUUAUUUACCCCAUUUGGGCCGGUUAUGACAUAAACAUAUUCUUGUGGAAUGAAAAACAUCAUGAGAAGAAAAUGUUUUAUUAUAAUAGAAAAAAGUGGUCCAUAAGUCUAUUCAUUACUUUUUUUAUUCAAUAUAAAUGGCUAACUUUAAAAAUGGUAAAAAUCACAUAACGCGCAAACAUAUUUUAGAUUUAUAUUUUUUAAUACUCUCCGAGUCUCUCUUUCUCUUUUUCUUUUUUUAAAUAAAUGUCAGUAUAAAAUUUAAAAAAAAUUUAGAUAUAAAAUUUGGCAAUGACCAAACAAAAAUUGCAGAGGAAACCUUGAUAUCAUUGAAAUACUGAUAAUAGACACUACAGUAUAAAUAACUUGUUGUGAUCCACUCAACUUGUAACACUUUAAUCCAUAUUCUAAAAUUUUCAUGUUUGUUAGGAUUUUUAUUAUUGAUACUACUGUAUCAAUAAAAUUAUAAUUUAUUCAUAUGGAAUGAAAACAUCAAGAAAGGACCUCUGAUGUUUAUUGUCAUAGAAAAAAGUGGUCCAUAAGUCUAUUAAUUAUUUUAUUUAUUCAAUACAAAUGGCCAACUUAAAAAAUGGUAAAAAUCACACAAUGCACAAGUAAAAUUUUACAAUUACAUUUUUUAAUUCUCUUUGAGUCUCUCUCUCUCUUUAAAAAAUAAACCUCACUGUAAAAUUAGAAAAAUUUUAGACGUAAAAUUUGACAAUCACCAAAUAGAAAACAUAGGGAAAUGAAAAUGGAGGAGCCCUAUUUUCAUUAGAAUAUUGAUCAUAGAUACUAUAAUGUAAAUGAUUUGUUGCGAUUCCUUCAACUUGUCACACUCUAAGCUAUUUUCUAAAAUUUGUAAGGUUUAUAGGAUUUUUAUUACUGCCAUCAUUGUAUCAAUAAUAUUAUAAAUUAUAUAUUCUAUUGUAAUGAAAAUUUGUGUAAUCUUAGGUAUUUAUUGUAUUAAAUUGUGUGGAUUAAUUAAGAAUAUUUUUGGAGACAAAAGAAGUGUGUGUACGUAGGAUUAAUGAUAAAAAAUUUCUAAAUAAAGGUGAUUGCUUCAUUGACAAGUACAUAUUUAUAUUCCUCUAUUAAUAUUUGGGUUGUAAACUCUAUAAUAAAGUUGGUUGGUGUGAGUGGUUCGGCACUCUCACUCUUUAAGAGAGGUCGGGAGUUCAAGCCUCGCUCUCGUAUGGAGUCACCACUUUGGCCAGCACUUUACCUCUUAUGGGCCGACCCGGUGCGAGUGGGAAUUAGUAUGGGUUGUGGUAUGGGCUUAAAGGUGUCUCCCACAGUUGGGGCCCACUCAGGACCACCUCGUGAUUCAAACAAAAAAAAAAAGUGAAUAUAUUGUGGCAAGUGAUGUGGGCAAUAUCGGAUGCGAAAUAUUGAGAGAUCAUUAACGCAUAUAUUUAUUGAAGAUGCGUAUAGAGGAAAGAGUGUAGAUCCGGCCGUAACAAUUACGAAGCUUUCCCCAAGUAUACUCAUGCUUCCUUAACUGUUUCGAAGUAUUUUUCAUAGUGUGCAGAUUUACUUUAUGGUGUCUUUAAUUCAUCUUAAAUGAUUACUUUAUUGUUUUAGGAUGCAAUGUCAUUUAUUGUGUUAAUUUAAACAAUAGAAAAAAUAAGUAACAGUAACGAAAGACUAAUUUGUGAUAUUGAAGCGUACGGGCUUAACUCAAUCCAAAAAUUAGUAAAUUAGCUCAAGAGUUAAGAGUUGUCCAAAUCUUAUAUGAUGAACCCAAGUUUAAUACACAAUUGAUGCGGGAUGUUAUUCCUAACACCUCCCGUCAUGUGUAGGAUUGGCAAAAAAACUCGGGUCAGUCCCGCCUAAACCUACGAGCUUUAUGCAUGGCUCGCAUGAUGAAGUUACGGAUAUUAACCUAAAAAUUUGAAACUUACUAUGAAUGGCCUUGCUUAAAGACUUUUGCAACUUUAAUUUAUAACAAGUAUGUAUAUCUACACACACAUAAGCUUAGAUUGCAUUUGGAUGGCUUUUUUAAUCAAUUCAAACAAUCUGAAAUUUAUCAGAUUAAUCCAAAUCUUAUAUGUAUCCAAUUUUGCCCGCCCCUACUAUAUAUAAGCCCAAGUGACUCUCUUUUACUAAUUAAUAAGAGAAUUUUUGACCUUAUAUCCUUGUUGUGGCGUUAGACUGUUGGUUAUUUUGAUUGUUUCCUACCUUCCAUUUACGCCAGCUAUAACAUUGUAUUAUCACCAUUUUAGCCAUUUAAAUGAAAUUUUAUUUUUCAUUUUAUUGUGUCAAUACUAUCAUAAUUUAUUCAUUUUAUUGUAAUGAUAAUUUGUCUAGUCUUAGGUACUUACUAUAUUAAAUUAUGUAAAUUAAUUGAGAAUACUUUUAGAGACAAAAGAAACACGUGUAUGUAGGAUUAAUAAGCGAAGAGUUGUAAAUGAAGGUGAUUGCUUCAUUGAGAGGCAUAUUAAAUAAUUAUGGAGAGUUGCUCUAUUUCGGAAGCAUAUAUUUAUACUUCCCUAUCAGGAUUUGGGGUAAGCGAGGUGCUUUAUGUAUUGCAGUAACCAAAUGUGGGCAAUAUCAGAGCCGAAAUAUUGAAAGAUCAUAACGCAUAUAAACGAUUAGUAUAUUGAAGACACAUAUAGAGGAAAGAGUGCAGAUCCGGCCGUAACUAUUAUGAGGAUUUCCUCAAGUAUUCUCAUGCUUCCUCAACUGUUCUGAACUAUAUAUUCCUCAUUGUGGGCAGAUUUACUUAAAUACCAACACAAUGAUUCAAUACUUCAAAGGUCAAGGAAAUGUCAAAAUAUGAAAUGAAAAUACUUAAAUACCCUUCUACCUAACAAAACUUAGUACUUCUAACUGCCUUAGCAGAGAAUCUAUAAAAUUAAAAAAAAAAAUUCAUCCAUGAAAAGCUUCGUAACAGAAAAACCGUCUUUCAAAAAAUAAAAAAUAAAAAAUAAAAACAGAAAAACCGACUCAUUUAUCUGCCAAUGAACCAGUCAGGACUCAUUUAAAAAAGAUUACAAAGCAAAAGUAAAUGACACAAAUUGCAUAGAUAUCUCGGAGCCGCAUCAAAGGACAAUGGUGUUAAUUUGUCCGAGUAAUAAAUUCUCCUUGGUCAAAAGCAAUUAACGAUGAAAACUUUCUUCAUUAAGGUUCUGGCCUACGUAAAAAAAAAAAAAAAAAACCACCCCAAGGUCAAAGCACAACGAUAAGUUUAGAAUUGCAGUUUUUAAUUUUUUUUAAUAAAUCAACGUGUAUAAAAAAUAGAUAAUAAUUUUAAAUAAAUUUUAUUUGAUAAAUAUAGGCAUAAAAUUUUAAAAUCACCAAACAGAAAAACAGGGGAAUUAAAACAGAGUCCCUGUUUAUCCUCUAUUUUGCUUGUUAUUAAACAGGGAAAUGAAAAGAUCACAAGCGGAAAUUUUGUUUCUGCGUUGUCUCUUCUCAAUGCUACAUGCAUUCAAAUUAAACCUUACAUAUGCUAGCAAACUAGCUACCUGCGUUUAAGUGUUAGAGUGCAAUUUAUGCACUAAUUUUGCAUUGUUUACUUCUUUUAAUAUCGAUAUUUUGCACUUAAUAAUAGUGAUUUACUUGUAUUUUAUUUUUGUAAGUGCAAUUCUAUUUAUUGGUGCUAAAAUUGGGCUACAAGAUGAUGUUUGAAGAUGAUUGUUUUCUUGGAAAAAUUAUGAGUUUCAGAAGAACUUUGUUGAUAAGGCGUGGGCGCUGGCUGUCAACUACGGACCUGUAGUUUUUAGUUUAACGUGUUUUGUCUUUUUGGUUAUUUUUGUAAUCACGAAUUUAAUAUUUAGAUAAUAUUUUAGAUAUUAGUAUUUUAUUUUAAAAAGAACUCUAGAAGAGAAUUUAAGAGGGGAAUCUAUGGUCAAAGGAAAAAAAAGAAAGGAAACCCUAGAUCUAAAUUUUUCUCUUCUCUCUAUGAAGAACUAAACCUAUUAUUCUGGUUAAAGGUUAAUGGAGCUUUGAUUCAUCAUUACUGUGAGAUCUUUCUUAUGCUUUAAUUGUUUUAUUGAUUUUUGGGUAUUUGUUUAUUCUCUAAAUUAUUGUCAUGAUUAUGUUUGUUAAUUAGAUAAUUAGCCAUUAUUUAAUUAUCAACUUAAUCUAUUGUCAAUUAAAGGAUUCAUCGUAUGAAGAUUUUAAUGUUUGUGACAAAUAGCAUAGCAGUUCGUUAUGUUAUGAGAAUAAACAAUCUAAUUUAAAUGAACCAUCGUAUGCGUUUGUUGAUUAGGAUUUGGGUCUCUCUGGUUUUUCAGGUUGUCAAUUGAUUAAAUCCUAUGAUCGUAUCUAGGGUUGUCUAUUGAUUAGGGAAAUAACCAAUGGUCGUACCUUGGUUAUCGACUAGUUAAGGAGAGAUUGGCUAUUAGAGGGUCUCAGUAGCUAUAACCGGUCUAUUCAUAAGUAGUAAUGAUUUAUAUUUGAAUCAAUGAUCAAUAGUCGAAUCAAGCUGAGUUAAUUCCUUCAACCAGAGCUUUCCCCAAUUUUAAUUUGCAUUCUUGUUAUUUUAAUUUGAUUUUUAUUAUUGUCAACAAUUCCCCCAUUUUGCAUUUUGCAUUUUAAAAGGAUUUAAAUAAUUACUAAUCUCUGUGGACACAACCCUACUCAAUCACUAUACACAAUUUAUUUAGAGUAUGUAUUUAUUUUUGCUGGCUUCGACAACCAUCAAUAAGUUCUCGAUAAGUCCAAAUAAUAGAAUAAUUGUAAAAUGUUCAAAUUCAGUAAUUAAUUAUACAUAUUUAUUUAUUCAAAAUUAUUAUUAUUAUUAAUUAUUGUCAAUAAUAUAUUAAUAUACUAAUUAAUUGUAAACUUUUUUAUCAUUCAUAACAAUGAUGAUGAUGAUGAUGAUGAUGAUGAUGAUAAAAAAUUCAAAACAUAUUAAUUAAUUAUAAUAAUAUAUUAAAUAUUUAAUUAUUUAAUAAUAAUAAUAAUAAAUGCACAAUGUAUAAAUUGAUUAGAAUAAUUAUAUUAAUUAAUCAUAAUAAUUUUUUAAUUGAGGACAAAAUAGAUAUUUUAUAGUUUGUGAGAGGGGGCAAAAUGGUCAAUCUUGGGAAUGGGGGAUUGAUUCCCACCACCUUCCUUAGGAAUCAAUCUUCCAUUCCUCAUUCCUAAUUUGGGUGGUCCCCAUAGUUCUGAUUCGGAUCCCAGCCUCCAUUUUAUGAAGUAAACAUCAUUAAGAUUUCGAUUCCGGAUUCCGAUUCCCCAAUCCAAGAAGUACAGGCACCAUUAUUGUUGAUUGGUUCAAAUGCACAAAGAGAAUGUACCAUGUAGCUAGGCGUCAAGGUUGUGCUGCACAAGUAACCUUUUUCUUUUCUUUUCUUUUUAUUUUUCUUAUUUUCCUUAAUGUAUCGGAAGAAACUGGUGCCUUUGAGAUACUACCAUGUAAAUAAGUACUUAUGGUUCAUUGAAUCUGUAACACUCGGUACCCUACAAUUGCUUUUGAAAAAGGGCUUUACUCACUUAUCGCUAAUAUUCAAGUAAGUUUGUUUCAUUUCAGAAGGUGCAAAGUUUCAAACUUGUUGUAUUGAGAUGUAACAAACUUUGGCCUUAUAUGCUUGUUGUGACGUUUGACUGUUCAUUUUGACUGUUUCCUACCUUCCACUUACGCCUGUAGCACUGUAUUAUUCACCAUUUUAGUUGUUUAAAUGAAAUUUUAUUUUGUCAAAAAUGAAAUGACACCAUUAAAAUUUAAAAAAAUAGUCAUGGAGAUCCCAAAUUUUUACUAAAGAACACCAAUAUUCCCCUUGACUAUAAUACCCUUAGCAGGUGGUAAUAAAAAAUUGACUUAAAAUUUUUUGCGAAAUGUAAAUAUGAUUUAAAUAAUUUAAAUUUUCCAAUAGACUAAUAUAUAUAAUUUAAAUAAUUAAUUUCAAUAUUAAUUUUUUAAAUGUAAAUUAAUAUAUUUGUAUUUAUAAAAUAUUUGCAAUUAUUAUAAAAAUUUUAAAUAAAUCCUUAGGUUAAUAGAUUUUACAAUAAAUAUAAUAUUUCUCAUGUAUUAAUAAUAUUAAAAUUAUUUUAUAUGAUAUUGAAAAUAACUUAAUUUAUAUAUUUAUUUGAAUAUUAUGUCUCUAUUUAUUAUAAUUUGGUUUAAUAGAAUACGAGAUUGUAAAAUAUUAAAAUAUUUUAGAUAUUGAAAUUUUAAUAUGUAUAUAUUAUUAUAUUUAUUUUAAUAUAUUUAUAUUUAUUAUAAAUUAUUAGAGUCAAUUUUUAGUUAAUAAAUUUAAAAAUAUUAUAAUUAAAAAAAAGAAUUCUUAUUGUCUGUUAUUCACAAUAUGAGGUUCUACAAAAUUAUUUCUCCAGACGGGUGUCCUUUUCUUAUUUGUAAAAGGAAAAAUAAGUUCAGGGAUCUUAAAAAAUUCUAGUCCUAUCGACCACUAUGACUAAUGGGAAACGACAUUGCAAUUGACAUUACUUUUCGCAAUAUGACAAAUUUUUGGAGGGAUACGGGAGAAUCGUCAAACGUUCACACCACACGAGAGCUUUAGGUGGGAUCGGGGAGGAUUGUCAAGAGUUCACACCACGAGAAAUUAAUGAUAGGCCUAAUUUCGCUGUCAGUUCUUUAUUUAUUUAUUUUAUUUAUUUCAUACAUUAUUAUCUUGUUGGUAUUGUUUUGUAAAGGUAUAAAAGUAAAGUAAAAUACUAGGGGUACCAUUAAGUUACAGCUGAUGUAACUUACAGUGUUUUAAAAAAUAAUAUAAAAAAUUUAAUAGCUGGUGGGAUCCACAUAUUUUUGAAGAGACUUAAGUUACAACAGUUGUAACUUAACAAAAUCCAAAUAUUUGACAAUAAUGCAUAUAAUUUGGAUUUGAUUUUUAAAAGAUUAUUUGAGCACCACCUAUCCUUAUGAUAUUAAUGUGAAUAUAUCUUAAUAUUAAAUAAUCAAAAUUUGUUUAAUUAUUAUUUGUAUUUCAUACAUUACCUAUUAGAUUUGUUUGAAUUUUACGUUCUUGCUAAUAAAUAUUUAUGUUGUCAAAGUCAAAUUCUAAUGAUUAAAAGAGCAACUAUCCCUUAAAUUUUAAUGGUGAAUUGUAUAUAGUUUUUAAGAAAGUAAGGAUAAGUUGGAUAAUUGACUUAAAUUCUAAUGAUUAAAAGAGCAACUAUCCUUUAAAUUAAAAUGUCAAUUUCUUUAAUUAUAAUUUUUUUUUCAUGUGAUAUAACCACAAUUGCUAUAGUUUUUUUAAAUAAUAAUGGGAGUUAUAAAUUAUUUAUAUAAAAUUUGUGUAGAAUCUAAUGUAACCUAAAAGUAGUUGCUGAAUAAUAAUAUUUGAAACUCUAGGUAAUUUUCAUAUGAGCCCUUUUUAUAUUCAGCAUCUUGAAUCGGGGGAAAUCCGACUUGAAUUGGCGGCUGAUUUUGGUGAUGUAGCUUUCGGUUUAUGGUUGCCUUACAGUGGCGGACGACUGAUUUACGGUCGCCGACUGCUAGGGAUUAUGGUGGUGGUGUAAAUUGACGGAAAAAGUAGAAGGUUUGGUGGCGGCGCGUGUAGGAACCACUCGUGGGUUGUCGUUUCGUGUGGUGACUGCGGGUGGCGAUCAAGGGCUGACGUUGGUCGGUUUUUGGUCAACGGAGGGCGGCCAGUUUGUUGGUGGAGGUGGCUGGCGGUGAAAGUGGCUGAAUGGUGGUGGAUAUCUUGGUGGAGCUACGGGUUUGGGUUGGUGAUUUGCGGCUGUUCAGGCGGCGGUUGAGGCAGCGAUAGCUGCGGCUUGGUCGGCGGUGGCUAGCGAGGUUUGUUGUGGUGUUGGCUGGCUGAUCGGUGGUGGUGGGCGGCGGCGGUGGAGGUUGAUGCGGCGGGUAGGGUUUUCAAAUCGGUUUUUGAUAUUUUUUUUUUUUUUUAUGAAUUUGGUGUGGAUGGGUAUAGGGUAAGAAACACUAGAUAUCAUUCUAGUACUGGACCAAGCCAACGCAAUUAAUUUACCAUCUAGUCGAAGGGUGAUUAGAUAUCGUUCUAACCCAAACGAUAAAAUGAGAUUUUUAACAACGCGUAAUACAAGAUUAGAUGAUGCUCUAAUCCAAACGACUCUACAACGACUCUAUAAGAGAGAUUUUGAUAGAUAAAUCUAGGGAAAAUUAUAAAAGAUGGGUUUUAUUUAAUAAUUAAACCUAAAGUUUUGAAAACAAUGACAAGAUAUUUUUAUUUAUAAUACAGGAAAUCUGCUUCCCUAAGAUAACCUAAAAAAGAAAAGUAAAUCAUAAUUAUAAUAGAAAUGAAAGAUUAAGAUACACACCAUAAUUGACUCAAACUAAAAUAGAAAAUCUUAAAGUAAUAAAUAUUCUAAAAUUGUAAAUUAUCUAAAAUAACAAUAAUUAACUUCCUAAAUCAUUUCUUUGGUGUAAAUCAUUUUACAUCCAACCUCGCUUUAAAGGUUUGAACCAGCGUUACCAACAACAAUGUAUCAAGUUCCAAUCUAGCUUAAGAUCAUGCUGAUACAUCUACUGAUAUCUUUAUUUGAUUAGACAAUAAUGAGUCUAUCUCAUCACUUGUUACCUCUUUCUUGAAGGCUGCAUCUGUUGAGCGAUAACCUCGUUGAAAGUUUAAAGAUCUUCCUCCAUGUUAAAUUAAAUGGGCAUUUGAUUAAGAACUUUAUCUCUAUCUCCUUCUAUCAAAUAACAACCAUCCAAAGGGAAAAAAAAAUUAAAAAAAUCCAUGGGUCACAAUAAUUUCUGGUCAGCCCACAAACCCCCCAUUAUCUGCCACUAUCAAUCAUGAAAAUGAAAAUAAAUGGCAUAUUCCCAAAAUGACGAAAGAUUUUGGGGGAUAUGGGGGAAUUGUCAAAAGUUCACACAACGCGAAACAAGUGUUACAUCCAAUUUUAUUUCGUCAUAUAAUGAUAAUAUCAAAUAAUGACAACCAUCCAAAAGUAUGAUGGGUCUUCCAAAAUUUUAAAAAUGUCGUCAACAUUUAAUUUUCAAUGCUAAAGAAAAUGAAAUGCCCAAAAAUGACACGCAAGACCCACUCACAAACUAAAUGGCCCUUGACCAUAUGUAACAAACUUUGACCUUAUGUCCCUGCUAUGGCGUUAGACUGUUGGUCAUUUUGAUUGCUUUUUACCUUCCAUUUACACCCACUGAAGCAUUGUACGAUUAACCAUUUUAGCUGUUUAAAUGAAAUUUUUAUUUUUUUCAAAAGUAAAAUGACACGCUUAAAAUUUUAGAAAAUAGCCAUGUAGACCCUAAAAUUUUAAUAAAGAACACCAAUACCCUUUUUGACUAUAGUACUUUUAGUCGAUGGUAACAAAAAAAAAAAAUGACUUCAAAAUUUUUUACUAAAUGUAAAUAUGAUUUAAAUAGUUUAAAUUUUCUAGUAGACUAGUAGGUAUAAUUUAAAUAAUUAAUUUAAAUAUUAAUUUUUAAAAUGUAAUUUAAUAUAUUUAUUUUAAUAAUAUAUUUUUAUUUAUUAUAAAAUUUUAAAUAAAUCCUUAGGUUAAAUAGAUUAUAUAAUUAAUAUAAUAUUUCUCAUGUUUUAAUAAUAUUAAAAUUAUUUUACAUGCUAUUGAAAAUAAUUUAAAGUUUUAUAUAUUUAUUUGAAUAUUAUGUCUCUAUUUAUUAUAACUUGGUUUAAUAGAAUAUGAGAUUGUAAAAUAUUAAAAUAUUUUUAGGUACUGAAAUUAUUUUAAUAGGUAUAUAUUAUUAUAUUUACUUUAAUAUCCUACUUAUAUUUAUUAUAAAAUAUUAAAAUUAAUUUUUUUAGUUAAUGAAUUUAAAAAAUAAUAUAAUUAAAAAAAGAGUCUUAUUGUCCGUUAUUCACGAUAUGAGGUUUUACAAAAUUAUUUUCAAAAGGAAAAAUAAGUUCAGGGGUUUCAAAAAAUUCUAGUCCAAUCGACCACUAUGACUAAUGGGAAACGACAUUGCAAUUGACAUUGUUUUUCGCAAUAUGACAAAAUUUUGGAGGGAUAUGGGAGAAUCGUCAAAAGUUAACACCACACAAGAGUUUUAUUUAUUUAUUUAAUUUAUUUCACACAUAUAUUGUCUUGUUGGUAUUGUUUUGUAAAGAUAUAAAAGCACAAGUAAAAUAUUAGGGGAAGUAAAGUAAAAUAUUGGGGGUGCUGCUAAGUUACAACUGCUAUAACUUACAGUUCCUUCAAAAAUAAUGUAAAACAUUUAACACGUGGUGGGACCCACAUUAUGUUUGAAUAGUCCGUAAGUUAUAGCAGUUAUAAAUUAGUAAAAUCCAAAUAUUAGACAAUAAUACACAUUAACAAUGCAUAUAAUUUGGGUUUAAUUUUUUUUAAAUUAUUUGAGUAUUACCUAUCCUUAAGAUAUUAAUGAGAAUAUAUUUUAAUAUUGUGAAGCUUUCCUCAAUUAUUCUCAUGCACCCAGACCUUAUCUGGUCAAGUUUUCUGAUUCAAUACUGACGACAGCUUCUUUGUAAAGCUCUUCAACCACAAGCAUUUCUACAAGGCAAAGGACAAGGACGUGUUGGAAUGAAUAUCAACAUGGGAAUGUCUUAUGAAUUUAGUUUAUAUUCUAAUAUAAGACAAUCAAUAAAUAUUGGAUGCAAUCUAAGGGCUAACAUUUGAUUGAUUAAUAUAAGAAAAAAAAAGGGUACAAAAAUGCAAAACAGAGCUGAUUGAUGGCCUUUAACAGUCAGUUCUAUGACAAAGUAACCACCAUAACCAAUGGAAUUAUAAGACAUCAAGAAACUUGAACUUGGCAGGAGGUCUCAUUAGCAGUAUACCUCAGAAAUUAAGACAGAGACUUUAAAAUGCAAGCUUAUGGAGCAAUUUAAGCACUGAAACUAAUAACAGUGAUGCCAAAAAAGGUGCAGGAGUACGGUAUUAGCAAUUGACCUCUGCUUUUGCUUGGACAAAGGUUCUCAUCACAAGGGACUCAUUAGUUGCCCUUGCCUCACACGAUUGGAUGCUAAGGGGGAAAAGGAAGUUUGAAUUAGUCAAUCUCAUUUCUAAUGGCAUUCACAGAGAACCUAUAAAACAAAAAAGUAAAUAAAAAUUUUCAUCCAUGAAAAGCUUAGUAACGGAAAAACCGACUCUUUUAUCUGCCACUGACCUAAUCCGGACUCAUUUAAUUAAAAAAGAAUUCAAAGCAAAACUAAAAGACACAAAUUGCAUACAAGUCUAGGAGCCAUAUCAAAGGCGUUAUAUAACUUGUCCAAUUAAUAAAUUCUCUUAGGGACCAUGCCGUGCUCACUCAUUUCCAAAGCAAUUAAUGAUAAGAACUUUCAUCAUUAAUUGAUAUGGCCAGUGUAGAAAAAAAUGAAAAACCCCUCCAAGAUUAAAGCACAAGGAUAAGUUUAGAAUUACACUUCUUAAAUUUUGGUUAAUAAAUAAACGUCUAUAUGAAAAUAGAAAAUCUUUUUGGAAUAAAUAAACGUCAAAUUUUUGUUUCUAUCUUACUACCUUCUAAAUCCGCAAUCCCAAGUACUUAGAAGUAAAUGCUACAUAGUACAUGAGAUGUUUCCCGUUCAAAUAGCUCGUCCGAUACCAUUAACAUGUUCAUCUCUCUGUAAUUGGUGUAAUUACGAGAUUGGUGGUUGACAUGGCUUUCCUUGUACAGGUAUGUAUGAUUGUUUUUUUUUUUUUUGGCACUUCUAAAUGGAUACUGUUGAAAAGCUUAAAAUUGAACUGAUAAUUUUGUUUGGAAGCUCAGAAAAUUCAUGAGAAAGUGAAAUAGAAUAUGCUGGAUUUCUUUUCUUUCCAUAACAUACAAAUGACAAACGUAGCAGUAUUUAUACUCGUUGCUUACAUCAUAAAAACAGAAUUAAAGCAAGGUACACAACUAUAACAGCAUCAAAAGCGUGCUUAACUAAUUGGCUGAGCUGGCAUAUACUUCUUUAACUAACAAUGCUGCUGACUGGACUUUAGCUCACACAUGCUUAUCGUGCAGCUACUCUUAGUUCACACGUGCUCAGUGUGCUUCCUUAACAGACACAAGGGAAAAGACAUGAUUUUGAGAUAUAACGCUUGAAUGUUCUCGGAAUGGCAUAACGCUUCGUGUGUCUCGGAGCGGCUGAUUGGUGCUGUACGUGUUUCUCAUAUAGAACUCAAGUCUGCUGUUGUCCCAAAGUUGGAACCAGAGAUAUCAUGACUCUGGUUUCAUUUCACCUCAACUGUGUUUUUUUUUUUAAUUAAAAAAAUAAUUUUUUUAGGUAUACAUACAUGUAUUUUGAUCCCAUUUUCAUGGGAAUUUUGCAUUAAAAAAUGAAGAAUAGCUAAUAGGGAAUUUCCUGAUUCUUUAGUUACUAUUUUUGGAAUGAGGGUAAUUAGUAGUAAAGUUGGUUUCUACUCGCAAACAAGUGAGCUGCUCGAUUCCCAAGUGGUAUCAACCAGUUUUCAACUUUUUAAUAUACACAAAUUGUUAUUGUUUAAUAGCUACUACUAUUAAAACUCAACAUCUUACAAAAAUACUUAAAAAAAAUGAUUUUUUCUUAUGAUGCUGUAAAAAAAAUUACGGGUUUACUUAUUUCCACGAGAUCUUGUAUAGUGUUCUUGUAUAGUGGAAUUAAGAUUGUCUUCCCGAUGGUGCAAUUCACCCUCUUCCUUUACAGUCACUUGCACUUUGUGCAGCUUUGGUGUGGAUACGAUUCCCAGGGAAAAAGUCUUCAUGUUCGGACAAUGUGUCACAAAUACUCGUUCCAAUGAUGGGAAUUCAAGAGUGUAAUUCUCCAAACAAAAGCUGGUAAGCCUUGGUAAAUCAUCAAGUUCCAAAAGUUUUAAUUCACUGAAAGCAAUACGAUUCUCCUUCACUUCUUCUCCAGCAUGUCCUACGAUUUCUUCUAAUUUUUUGCAGUUCCAUACAUAAAGAUUCACCAGACUAGUAGGAAUUCCAACCUGAAAAUAAGCAGAGAGAGUGUGUGUGUAUAAAUAUUAAAAAAGUAAAAAUGUAAGAGUAUCAUUCAACUAGGCUCAAAGUAUGUUUGAUCAUACAAUUAUACGUUUUAUGAACAUAACAAACUGUGAAAUGUCUACUAGAUAUUUUUUGUUAAACAAAAAAGGUAACAAGAUAAAUAAAUAAAUAAAUAAAAGCCAGAUAAACAAAGAUGAUAAAAAUGUAUUUACACAAUUAGUAUUAGGGACGUAGAAAGAAUUUAAGGCAAUUUCUAAAUAUUUUAGACUUAUUUUGCAUCUUGAUAUAAGUUUUUAAGCAUAAAUUUGCACAUUUCAACUAUUCCUUUAAAAAAAAACUCAACUAAAAUGCCUCUUUUUCCCUUUUCCUUGGUCCCCUUUUUUUUAUGUAUAUAUAAAAAUGGAAAAAAAAAUUUGGAAAAGACUUCCUAGUACUGUCAACAAGGGAUUGCUGUAAAGUGGAUCUUUAUUAAGUACUUCCAGACUCGAGGAAAUUUCUUUACAAUCAAGGGUCAGUUGUAAACAAUCAUGAAUUUAUGGUUAAGUAAUGGCAUAAUCAAUUCUUAACUAAACUGGAGAUAUUAAUUAAAUUUGAAGACUUUUUUUUUUUCCCAAUCGAAAUGUGAAGAACUAAGGAAAAGAGAAAUAUAUAGAUGAAUUUGUGAACUUAUAAGAUGAGUGACUAUCCUUUAAUUUUUGAAAAUCGUACUUAUUAAGAUAUGAGCAAAAACAAUUAAAUUGAAUUAUAUUAUGCUGUUGAAUCUGUUUAAAAAAAUUAUAUUGUUGAUUCUAAUGCUGGUGAACCUAAAAACUAGACUUAAAACGUAGAUUUCAGAGUGGUGGUUUGAAGUACAAUAUUUGAAAUAAAUAAUUAGUGGCUGAAUAUCAUUUGUAAACACAGAAAUGAUUAAAAAAUUGUUGAAUGUUAUUUGAAAAAAAAAAUCGAAAUGAAUACAGAAACCUUACCAAUGGAGGAAAAAUAUUCAUUAGCUUAUCACACUCUUCUAUCUCCAAAUUCUUCAAUUUCCUGAAAGACUCCGAAGCAAGCUGGUGGUGCCAUAUUGUUCUUAGGUUAUCCAUCCACACAAUAUAUAAUACCUCCAACCUAGGAAGUCGUACCUGGCAAUUAAAGAUUAAAUAACUAAUUAAUCAAUUAAUGGCAUAAUCAAUUGAUAACUAAAUUAGAGGCGGAUAUUAACUAAAUUUGAAGACUCAAGGAAAAGACAAAUCAAGUAUUGUGACUAAAAUUAUUUUUUUAAUUAAAAAAAAAAAACUUUUCAUCAAAGAGAGGAGGAGGUUGCAUUUCAGAAUGAAUAGUGUCUUCUGGUGAGCUCGUAGAGAUGAAUCUUAACAUAUUACUGCAACAACCAAUCAUGAGGUUUAGCAAAGAAGGGAAUUCAACAACUAAAUCUGAAUGAAUAUGUCCCAUAUUGGCAAAACCUUUAAUUCAAUCAACUUUCCUUCAUCUCUUUCUGACCAUCCCGUGGUGUCGACUACCCCUUCCAUUGACUCACAAUAGCUUAUCUCAAGAUGUUGGAGUUGCAAAAGGCUAUUAACCAUAGAAUAUGAAAACAGAUACUUUAGACGAUAACACCUUUCCACAGUCACUUUUGUUAAAUUUUGACGAAAGUACAUUCCUUGAUUAUGAUCGGCCCAUAAUUUUUUCAUGUUUCUUAAGUCCCUGAGAUUCAAUUCCUCUAAGCUCGGAAGAAUAACCUGCAAAGAAAACCCGUACAUUUUUGUUCCUUCAAGUACAACCGUCUAGUAUAAUAUUCUUUUGAUGAUCAAAGAUUAAUUGUGAUAAUAAAUUAAUCAAUUAAUUAUUGAACAGAAAAUUAUCACCUUUGGAGCAGGAUCAUCAUCAGCAAUGAUUUCGUUGAAUCCCAAAGAAGUUGUUGGUUUGCUAAUUGUUGCACCAAAGAAGUAAGAUUUGAAACUUGUUUUUCUAGAGAAGUAGUACUUACCUCAUUGACUCGCUUAGGUGGCGGCAGUAGAUCGUUCCUAGUGUUGAACUGUUGGGAAUUAGCAGCCAUGUUAGCAAUGAGAUUUCGGGCUGCUUCUGGUGUCUUAUCCACGAGUGCUCCUCCACUAGCGGCAUCAAUCAUACUCCUAUCCAUAGGUAGUAGAACCUCAUAAAAGUAUUGAAUAAGAAGUUGAUCACUUAUCUGAUGGUGAGGGCAACUAGCACAUAGCUUUUUGAAUCGUUCCCAAUAGUCGUAGAGCGACUCUCCAUUAUACUGUCGGAUUCCACAAAUUUCUUUUCGAAUGCUGCCAGCUUUUGAUGCUGGGAAAUAUUUCUCCAAAAAUAGCUGACGCAUCUCAUUCCAUGUAGUGACAGUACCGGAGGGAAGAUAGUACAACCAUUCCUUGGCUGAAUCCGCCAAAGAGAAUGGGAAGGCCAUUAGCUUAACUUGCUCUUCAGAAACUCCGGCUGGUUUCAUUGUGGAGCAGACCACAUGGAACUCCUUCAAGUGGUUAUUUGGAUCCUCUCCUGCAAGACCAUGAAAAGUAGGAAGAAGAUGAAUCAUCCCAGAUUUGAGUUCAAAGUUUACUUGAGGGUUUGGAUUCUCAAUGCAUAAGGGUUGUUGGUCCAAGUUAGGAGCUGCCAACUCUUUAAGUGUUCGGUUGUUAUUCUGAGCCAUUGGUUGGGGUUCUGGGCUGCUUGGNNNNNNNNNNNNNNNNNNNNNNNNNNNNNNNNNNNNNNNNNNNNNNNNNNNNNNNNNNNNNNNNNNNNNNNNNNNNNNNNNNNNNNNNNNNNNNNNNNNNNNNNNNNNNNNNNNNNNNNNNNNNNNNNNNNNNNNNNNNNNNNNNNNNNNNNNNNNNNNNNNNNNNNNNNNNNNNNNNNNNNNNNNNNNNNNNNNNNNNNNNNNNNNNNNNNNNNNNNNNNNNNNNNNNNNNNNNNNNNNNNNNNNNNNNNNNNNNNNNNNNNNNNNNNNNNNNNNNNNNNNNNNNNNNNNNNNNNNNNNNNNNNNNNNNNNNNNNNNNNNNNNNNNNNNNNNNNNNNNNNNNNNNNNNNNNNNNNNNNNNNNNNNNNNNNNNNNNNNNNNNNNNNNNNNNNNNNNNNNNNNNNNNNNNNNNNNNNNNNNGCUAGUCCCCGGCAACGGCGCCAAAAAUUUGGUAGUGUCGUUAAGGUGCACCAAAUUUAAAACCUUACCACUAAUAUAAAUAAUUAGUACAGAGCGAGUAAGGAUCGAUCCCAUAGAGACUAUGCUAGUUAUAUUUAUUAUUAACUCCAAAGCAAGAUUUAAAAUAAAAUAAUAGUAAUAGUAAUAAUAAUAUAAAUUAAUCUAACUAAAGAAAAUGCCAAUUAAAAAUAAAAGGGGGGUUUAUGAAUUUUUAACUAAAUAGUAAGAAAUAAAGAAAUUAAAAUUACGAACAAGAAUUUAAUAAAAACUCUAAUUAAAGGAGAAAGAAAUAAUAAUGAUGAAAACUUUGGUUAAAGGAUCAUUCGCCACCACCAAACAUGCACAUAAUAAAUCAAUUCUAUUAUCAAUUUAUAUUGAAACUAUCAACCAUAGACAACAAUAAGCUCUGUUAGUCUCAAUCUUUCCUUAGUGUGUCGUUAGGUAAAAUAAGCUCUUCACCUAAUCUAUAACCAUUAAAUAAUUUAAAACAAGCUCUUUAAAUUUAAGAUAAUGGAAGCAUUAAACAAAGAAAGAAAUUAGGUUGAUCUAGGCAAUAAACACACAAGCUCAGAUUAUUUAACCUAGGUUAUGUUCUCCAAUUGAAAUCAUUAAUUCCAACCUGCUACUAAUGAUUAAAAUAUCAAGACAAUUACGGAUCAAGAAUUUUAAUCUAGCAAUAAAAUUUAUUCAAGUCCUAUCUAAUUGGCCACUCAAACAAAACAAGAAUAAACCAUGAACAUUAAUUAUAGAAGAACAUAAACAAUCUCAAUUAAAUAAAUUGAAUGAUAGAAUUUAAAUUUAAUUGCAUAGCAUGUUUAGGGUUUUGAAUUCACCCUCAACCAAAUAAAAAUCUAGCCUAACAUAAUUGAAUUGGGAAUAAGAGAAUUGACAAAACCAAUCAUAGAGAUUAAUUCAAGCGGCUGCCUUUUUCUUCAAUUGAAUUCCGGCUGCUGAUUUUUUCUUCUUCUUGCGGCUAUUGAUUUUCCUCUUGCUGCCGAAUUGGAUUUGCCCUCCCAAAGUCUCUUGCUGCCCGAAUUCUUUUCCCUCUAUUGCUUCCGCUUGAUCCUAUUUAUAAUGCUUCAAUUGUGGCUUUUUUUAAAUCCUUGCCUGGAAAGAAUUAAAUUCAAAGCUCAAAACCGCCACCUCAUGCUUCAAUUAAUAAGCCAAUAAUGAUUUCCUAAAGCCAAAAGGCUUUAUUCUCUUUCCUUUCACGUGGCAACUUUUGGUUUGCAUCUUUGUUUUCCAAUUUUGCUUUCAUGUGAUGGCUUGGCUUGUUAAUUGGCUUGGCUUCCUUUUUGACUUCCAUUUUCUAAUUUUAGCUCCAUGUGCAACAUUAAUUUUGCUCGGCCCAUACAAGCUUUAAUUAAAUUUAUUUUCUAAUUCCUUCCAAUUCUUGAUCUCUUGUGCACUUUUGUCUCUCAAUCUUCAAUCAAAUUUUUUUUCUUGAAUGCUCCGAUUUAAUUUCUCUUUAAUUCCAGAAUAUACCUAAAAUAACAAAAUAAAUAAAACUAAGAUAAAAAUUAACAAAAUAAAAUAUAAUUUACUAAAUUAAAAAUUAACUAAAAUAACUAGAAUAUUUAAGACCAAAACAAGAAAAAGAUAGAGAAAUUAAUAGCAAAAUAUAUGAAAAAUAUGCACUUAUCACAAGCCUCUCAUUUUUCAAAGCUUUUGCAAGGGUAAUAAGUGCAACAGGCAAUCCUCCGCAUUUUUCAACGAUCUCAUCUGCUAAAGGUUGAAAAGCAGAUGCUUUUGCAGAAUUACACACUAUCUUUCCAAACAAUUGCAAUGCUUCUUCCUUUGAUAAAACUUCAAUUGAGAAAUCCUUCUGAGAUUUCAUAUCAUUGCGCAAUAAAUCUCGACUUCUAGACGUCAAUAUUAUUGUGCGUCUUCUCCGAUCGUCCUCUCUAUCUUUCUCAUCAACAUCCCCAUAAGGAAUUCCAACUGUAUCGAACUCAAGUUUUGUCCAAAUAUUAUCCAGUAUAAUGAGGAGCCGCUUCUCUUGCUUCAACCUUUGACACAGUCGAGAAGCUCUUUGAAAUUCAUUCUCAUUCAAGUCAAAUUCCAUGCCUAAAUCAAAAGCAAGUUUGUCUUGAAUUUUAUGAUGAUCUGGGGUCUGUGUUAUCUCAGCCAUAACGAACUUAUCGAACAACUUAUCUUCCAUCACUUGGUUUGCAACUUGUUUGACCAGCGUGGUUUUGCCCACGCCGCCCAUCCCAUAGACCCCAAUUAUGUUGACCUUGUCAUCCUUCACCGCCUCCAUAACAUCUUGAAAUACUUUCAUUCUUGAAUCAAACGCCUCGAAAUCUUUCACUUGCAUAUGUUCUGCCCGCUUUGGAGCAGGACUGUAGGAAACAUUGGAGAAGUUGCCUUUUCCCACGAGACUAGCGGCAGCUUCUGCCGCCUUUGCUGCUUGUUUACUAAGCUUGUAACGAGAAAUCAAGUUUGGGCAUAAUCCUUUGAAGCAGGACUUCUUAGCUCUAUCUUCAUCAUCAAUGAUGGAUUUUGCAACCCCUUCACUGAUGAAUUCAUCAACGCUAUGUAGCCAGUCUGUGACACCCUCAUAAAGCUCAUCCCCUUGUAGCCUAGCAUGAUUAACUGGUUGCUGCACCAUUUCUCUCUUAUAUCCCAGCUGCUUCACUUGAUCUUUUAGCUCAUCUAUGUAGCUCUGGUACUUGAACACAUAAGAUAUCUGCCGUGUAAUCGGGUUGAACAGUGACUUUGCACCUUCUGAUACACAGUUGGUUAAAAAAGCCAGACACGCUUCUAUAGCCAUUGCCGGUUGCUUAACAAUAUAUAUCUAGUUUUUGGCUGUUGAAAAAAAAAAUGGAUUCAAAUAAAUUAAAUGAACUAGCGGGGAAGAAAAAGAAAGAAACGACAACAAACAACUUUUUAGAAAAAGGUUUCAGGGGCCUGAAUGGAAAACCAACAAUUUUUUGAAGAAAGAAAACUUUUUUGGAAGAUGGAUGCAAAUUAACCAUUAAUAAUACUGCAUAAGAACACAGAAGUUAACAAUAAACAGUAACUUAAAACUCAAGAAAAUUAAAUGACAAGAUUAAGACAAACAAGAGAUAGUUUUUGUUGGACAUUAAGAAACAUCUGCUAUCAAGAUCAAAGAUUAGAAAUUAUGCUAUUGAAAGAAAUUAUUAAAGUAUUUAGAACAAACGCACCUCUUCAAUUAUCGAGGAUCACAGAGUUUAUGAGCUUCACUCUUGGCCUUCGAUUUAUAAGAAAAAUUUUAAUGAGCAAAAGAUCACUGUUAACUGCAGAAGAAUGUGAGUAAAGAGUUUAUGGGAGUAAGCAAUACAAUUGAAUUGUAAAAGAACAAGACUUAAAGCGUGCACCCCGUGUUCAUAUAAACAGAACACAUGUUCAUUUUUAACAAAGUGAUCAAUAACUCUAUUCGUUAUUUAAUUGAUAUUGUAACCAAUUCUAAGAGAAUAUAAUAAUAAUCAUUCAAUCCAUAAAUUUAGAAUUAGAUUUUUUUAACUCUUUAUUUAAAUAUAAACCUUAAUGGAAAAUUAUAAAAGUUUAGAGAUAAAAUUUUUCAAUCACCAAACGAAAAAAACAGGGGAAUGAAAACAGAGGAAUCUUGUUUUAACUAUUUUUUUCCUCAACUCUCGUUCUUAUAUUAAUAAUCUUGUUUUGAUGAUAGUGCUCGUGACUGCGGGAAAAUUUCUACUGGAAACAACUCAAUUUCGGAAGAAAACUUAAUUUUGCAAGUGAUGAAUUUGAACUCGUUGGAUUGGUUGAUUUAUGAUUGACUGAAUUUCACUUUUGCCCAAAAGAUCUUUAACCAAAGUUUAAUAGCCAUCAUGUACUCCUUAAAAGCAAUUUUUUUUUUUAGAUUUGACUGAAUUUGAACUUGUUGGAUUGGUUGUUUUUAGAUUAUUAAUAUGAGAUAUUACAACGUAAAUAUUUUCAUGUGGUUGAGCCCUAUUCUAAAAUCUGUAUAGUUAGCUUUAGAAAAAGGGCUUUUCCUGCUGAUCUGUAAUCUUCAAAUAAACUUAGAUACAAAUAAUGAAAUAAAAGACAACAAACAAGCAAUACUGAUACAAAGCCAACAGAUCAGAGUUUUUUCUUGCCUUCUUUUGUUGAAGGAUUAGAGUUUUUGGUAUUAUCAGUAAAGGUUUCAAGGAGUAAAGCCUAUAAACUUUUUUUUUGGGGGGGGCGCCGCCGCGGGGAGGGGGGGGGGGGGGAGAGCAUGCAAAUUAACCAAAAGAAAUAAUAAGAGCACAGGCUUUAACAAUGAAUACUGACUUAAAACUCAUGCAAAAUAAGUUACAAUAUUAAAACAAACCAGAGAAAAUUUUUUCUUGGAAAGUAGAUGGAACUUAUGAAAGAGCAGAUGUCAAGGAUUUAGAAAACGCGCACCUCUUUAAUUAUCUGGGAUUAGAGAGUUGGUGAGCUUCUCUAUUUAAGAACAAGUUGAAAGAGGAAAAAGAUCACUGGUAACUGCUGAGGAAUGUGUGAGAAAAGAGUUGAUGAGAGCAAUAACAAAGACCUGCAAAAGAAAAAGAAUUAGUCAUGCACCGCUUUUCUAUAUCAUGUAUUUGGUUAUUGUUGCCCUGUUGACGCAUGUUGAAGAAGAAAGCACUAGUUCACAACUCUACGUUUUCAUAUAUUCUAAAGAAAUAAUUAAGUUUUCAUAGAAUGAUACCUGUUGUGUUUGAGUAAUUUUGGUAUAUACAUUGCUUGUGUACUGUGAAAUUGAAAUGAAUAUUGAUGGAAUGACUGAAUUUCACUUUUGCCCAAAAGAUCUUUAACCAAAGUUUAAUAGCUAUCAUGUACUCCUUAAAAGCAAUUUUUUUUUUUAGAUUUGACUGAAUUUGAACUUGUUGGAUUGGUUGUUUUUAGAUUAUUAAUAUGAGAUAUUACAACGUAAAUAUUUUCAUGUGGUUGAGCCCUAUUCUAAAAUCUGUAUAGUUAGCUUUAGAAAAAGGGCUUUUCCUGCUGAUCUGUAAUCUUCAAAUAAACUUAGAUACAAAUAAUGAAAUAAAAGACAACAAACAAGCAAUACUGAUGCAAAGCCAACAGAUCAGAGUUUUUGGUACAAAGCCAAUAAAAGACAAUAAACUUAGGACCUUUUUUUCUUGCUUUCUUUUGUUGCAGGAUUAGAGUUUUUGGUAUUAUCAGUAAAGGUUUCAAGGGUCUGAGUAAAAGCCUAUAAUCUUUUUAUAAACUUUUUUUUUUGGGGGGGGGGGGGGGGGGGGAGCAUGCAAAUUAACCAAAAGAAAUAAUAAGAGCACAGGCUUUAACAAUGAAUAGUAACUUAAAACUCAUGCAAAAUAAGUUACAAUAUUAAAACAAACCAGAGAAAAUUUUUUCUUGGAAAGUAGAUGGAACUUAAGAAAGAGCAGAUGUCAAGAUCAAGGAUCAGGGAUUCUACUAUCAAAAAAAAAAAAAUUAUUCAAGGAUUUAGAAAUCGUGCACCUCUUUAAUUAUCUGGGAUUAGAGAGUUGGUGAGCUUCUCUAUUUGGCCUUCAAUAUUUAAGAACAAGUUGAAAGAGGAAAAAGAUCACAGGUAACUGCUGAGGAAUGUGUGAGAAAAGAGUUGAUGAGAGCAAUAACAAAGACCUGCAAAAGAAAAAGAAUUAGUCAUGCACCGCUUUUCUAUAUCAUGUAUUUGGUUAUUGUUGCCCUGUUGACGCAUGUUGAAGAAGAAAGCACUAGUUCACAACUCUACGUUUUCAUAUAUUCUAAAGAAAUAAUUAAGUUUUCAUAGAAUAAUUUUGGUAUAUACAUUGCUUGUGUACUGUGAAAUUGAAAUGAAUAUUGAUGGACAGAGCAAUGCAUAUGCCUAAAAAAACAUAAAGCAAAUCCUUGAACGAAUGAUUCAGGACUAAAACUUUUAUAAAAGCAAAUACCGGAAACACACAAAAAGCAUUUAAGAGAGAAACUAAACCGCAAAUAAUCGAAGUAAGAUCAAUAAUAUAUGAUUUGAUUUAUGCAUAUUCAAAAACCAAAAUAUAAAAUAAAAUACAAAAUUAAAGUUUGGUUUAUUCUUUCCACAAAAAACAGGGGAAUGAAAACAGAGGCAACUUGUUUUACCAAUUUUUUCUUCUUAAUUUCCGGCAAAAAAAAUCAAUAAACAGGGGAAUGAAAACAAAGGAACGAAAACAGAGGAAACUUGCUUUUCAGGCUAUCUUGUGACAUGAUGAUAUUGCUCGUGAAUGCAUGAAAAUUUCUAAUGCAAACAGCUCAAUUUGGGAUGAUAAGCUUAAGUUUGCAAGUGAUGCAUGAUAAUCAGAUAUUUGUGGCUUUUAAAACUCAAGAAAACUCAAGAAAAUUAAAUGACAAGAUUAAGACAAACAAGAGAUAGUUUUUGUUGGACAUUAAGAAACAACUACUAUCAAGAUCAAAGAUUAGAAAUUAUGCUAUUGAAAGAAAUUAUUAAAGUAUUUAGAACAAACGCACCUCUUCAAUUAUCGAGGAUCACAGAGUUUAUGAGCUUCACUCUUGGCCUUCGAUUUAUAAGAAAAAUUUUAAUGAGCAAAAGAUCGCUGUUAACUGCAGAAGAAUGUGAGUAAAGAGUUUAUGGGAGUAAGCAAUACAAUUGAAUUGUAAAAGAACAAGACUUAAAGCGUGCACCCCGUGUUCAUAUAAACAGAACACAUGUUCAUUUUUAACAAAGUGAUCAAUAACUCUAUUCGUUAUUUAAUUGAUAUUGUAACCAAGAUCAAGGAUCAGGGAUUCUUAUGCCUACUGAUAUUUAAACAGAGAAUUCUUUCUUCUUUUUCUCUUCAUGGAUUAGAGUUUUUGCUAGUAACAGAAAGGUUUCAAGGGUCUGAAUAAAAUCCCAGAUUUUUUUUUAACUUUGUUUUUUGUGGGAAAAUGGAUUCAAAUUAACCAAAGCCAAUAAUAAGAUCACAGACUUUAACAAUGAACAAUAACUUAAGCAAAACCAAUGACAAGAUUAAAACAAACCACAGAAAUUUUUUCUCGGAAAGUAGAUGAAAAGCAAGUAAGAACUGCUAUUAAAGGAUAUUAUUAAAGGAUUUAGAACAUGUAUACCUCUUUAUUUAUAUGGGAUCAGAGAAUCGAUGACCUCCUCUAUUCGCUUCAGAUAUUAAGUAAGAACUGCUAUUAAAAGAAUGAAUUGAUGAGAGUAAUAACAAUGAUUGCAAAAUAGGAAGACUCAAUCAUGCACCCCUUUUAUACCUGAUCAUAUUAAGAAGUCGUUAAAGAAUAACGACUAAAUUAGGAAUUAAUUCUGAAGUUCAGAAUCAAGAACAAAGACGAAGCUUUAAUAACGCAUGCAGUGAGAUACAAGAAAUGGAUCUGGUAAAAUACAUUAAAAAAAUUUGUUCAACUUCAACCUAGUUAAGCUGAUGAAAGCACUAGUUGUUGGCUCUACGUUUCAUAUGUUCUAAUGAAAUAAUUAAGUUGAAGUUUUCAACGAAUAAAUACCUGUUUCGCUUGAAUAGCUUUGGCAUAUACAUUACUUGUGUCCUGUGAAAUUGAAAAGGUUAUUGAUUUACAAAGCUUAUUAGUAGAGAAAAGCUACGUAAGAUGCCUGAUAAAAGAUAAAGCAAGAGCUUGAAUGAAGAAUGACAUUUUAGAAAGAAACUAAAGUGUAAUCAUCAAAGUAGGAUCAAUAAUGUACCACUUUCCUUGCAAAUCUGGUGGGUUUUCUGAAUAGAUUUUUACAUUAUUCUAUUUAACCAUUUUGGGUUUACCCUAAGCAUUCUUGGUUGGCAUUGUCCUGUAAUCUGCGUGCCCUGGAUACGUGUGAGGGAAAGAUGAGGGUAGAUAUGCAAUUUCAAGAAGCGAUUUGCUUGCAUAAUUCAAUGCAUGGAAAGAGAUGUACCUGACCAGAAAAAAAAGGGCACCAUCCAUAUCUGAGCUUGACUUUUUAGAUGGAUAAAUAUUCUUAUUACUGUUGAUAAUGGAGAAGGGUUCUACUUUUACUUUGCCAUCUUUGAUAUAAAACAGCAUGAUUCCUUUUUAUCAAACACUUGCCUAAGUCUAUUUUUUAUUUUUCUUAUUUUCAGAAAGAGAUUAGCUUAAUUUAAAUUAUAUUCAAGUACAAAGUGUUAUACACUCAUAAAACGAGAAAUAGGCAUGUAUUGAUCACGCGCAAUCUAGUUUUUUUUUUUUUUCUUUUUUUUUAAUCCAGUCUUCUUAUUAAAAAAAAAAGAAUUUAUUUGCUUUAUUUUAAAUUAUUUUUUCAUGCGGUAAAUGCAAUACUGAGUAAUGGGUGAGCAAAAUAUUUACAGGCACACCCCCUUUUAAUGAUUUCGUACUAAAAUUAAAAAUUGACGAUUCCAUGAUAAAGUUCAAAGAGUAAAUGAAGACCCAUAAAUGUUUUUUGGUCAUGAGCAAUUUUUGAGUUGGGACAGCACUCGUAUGAAAAAAAAUAGUUUUUUUUUUUCUUUAAGCAUGAGGAUAUUAAUUCUUUUUUUAUAAAUCAGCGUGAAUAUAAAAUUAAAAAAAUAGUUUUGAAUAACUUCUUUUCUUUUUUCAUAAAUAUAGAUAAAAAAUUUUAAAGUCACCAAACACAAAACCAGGAAAAUGGAAAGGAAGCCCCUGUUUCUCCGCUGCUGCAAGCACAAAUUCGGUUUCUACAGGAGUACCUUCUAAAUGCACCAUUUGUAUUGCUUUGUUUCCACGUAAGCUAACGGAAUUUGAUGAAGACAAAAUAGAUAUGAGUCGUGCUAUUCACACCCCUCGAUAAUUCUCUCAAAAUCCCCUUUCUAAUUAUACCGCCUUGAAUAAUUUCAAAACUGACUUUUCCUCUUAUAAUACCACCUUCAAUUCCCUUAAUACCCUUGUUCGCUAUGAAAAUAAGGAAAAUGCCUACAUAAAAAGCUGGCUCUGAUAAUCUACCUGAAUUUACAUUAGAAAAGAGUGGACUUUGAGAAAUAAGAAGACAAUAUAGGGAAUUUUACCAAAAUAAUCCAUUUUUAUAUACAGGGAAUGGUAUUUUCUAAUAUAAGGAGGAGUGGAGAAAUUAAAUUUAGCAAAAUAAAGAACCUCCAUCGAGAAGCAAAAAUGAUGAUAUCUUUGUCGUGAAGAGAUUUCAAUUCAAUUGCAUACAUUGACGAAACAUUAAAUACGGAAAAAACAAAAAAGAAAUAAUAGAACAUGGGGAUUUCGAGAACUUCUAAAGAGAGAAAUGUAUUUAUAAGCAUUGAAAAUUAGCUCAUUAAAUUUGACAGAAUAAUAUACAAUCUCACUGUUGGCCAGAAAAUAAUAGUAAGAACUUGUGAACAUAUAUAAUCAAUUGCUUAUUACUUAAGCUUUUUCUCCGUUAUUUUGAAUGGGUGCAAAGAGGAGAAGUUUUGUACCCAAAUUCCAACUCGAAUUGUGUAGGCUGCUUGCAAGAGCUUCAUUAGAUUUUUAUUUGUCUUUUAAUAGUGCUACUCGAUAAAUACAGCUAGCUAUCUGUCCUUUUUGUUACUGGACUAUAGAUCAAUUGACAGUUGAAGUUAUAUUAAUUUGUUGUACUGGAAUUGAAGCUUGUAUCUUAGCCAUUUCGUGAAGUGUCAAAUAUAUUUUUAAUUUCCUUAAAAUUGUUCAAAAUAUGUUUACACUUUUAAAGUCACUAUUAUACAUGAGUGCCCUAAAAUCAUUUCCUUAAAAUUGUUCAAGUGGGAUCCUAGUUCUCUAUGGCAGUUGAAGAGGUAAAUGCGCAUAGAGCUAUGCUCUAUCAUAGGCCUCGGCCACUAUAAGAAAUUUGAUUUUUUAAGACGAUAUUUUUUACAACAACUUUAAAUUUGGUCACAAAAUGGUAUUUAUUGUGACAAAUUUUUUAAAUCGUAGCUAAUAAUCUUGUCCUAACUUAUAUUUUUUUUUGUAACCAAUUAUUUUUAUUUUGAGACUUGUUCAUUGGUCAUUAAUUAAAUUUUUUUAUACCAAAAAUUAUUUUAGUCACCAAAAGAUAUAUUUUUUUGGCGCAAAAUCUUCCCUCCAAAAGUGAUUAUUUUGAGACAAUAUUUCACUAUUUAUGACAAAAUAAAUAGUCAUGAAAUAUAAUUAUAGGCGACCAAAUUAUUUGGUAACUAAAAGAGGGGUGUAAAAUUAACUAAACAAUCUAUGACACAAAAUAUUAGUAGCCAAAAUUAUUGUUCUUUUGGCAUAUUUUAAGACCAUUUUUUUGGUCAUAUAUAAUUACCUACAGUGACAAAAUUAAAAAAUAGUCGUUGAAUGUUUUAUCUUGAAUAAUUUUAUAUUUGAUAACCAAUUUUUUUUUCUUUUUGAGACAUAUUACUUGGUCCCUAUUUCAACUUCUUUUUGACUAACUUUAUAAUAGUCACAAAAGACAUUUUUUUUUUUUUUGGCAUAAAAAGUCUGUCCAAAGUUAGCUCUUUUGGGACAAUAUAUAAUCUUUUAUGACAAAAUAUAUAGUGGCGAAAUAUAAUUAUUUUUUACAAAGUUAUUUCGUAGCUGAAAAAGAGGUGUAAAUUUAGUUAACCUAUUUGUGACAUAAAAUAUUAGUCUCCAAAACUAUUAUGCUUUUAGCCAAUUUUAAGACCCGAUUUUGUUGUCAUGGAUAAUUACCUAUUUUCAAAAAACUAAGAGAUAGUAAUCAAAAGUUUGUCUUGAUUGACAUUGUAUUUUAUGAGCAAAAUAUUUUGUUUCAGUGACACUUUACUUGGUCUCUGAUUAGACUUGUUUGUGAUGAUCAAUAGAAAUAUAUAAUAACCACUAAAUUUUUUUGGAUUAAAUUUUAUAGAUACUAUUAAUUAAGUUGUUGACGAAAAUGAUCGAACCAAUACUAAUAUGGGAUACCAUCAACAGCCGUAAUACUUAUGAACCGAGAAAUUAUAAUAUGUAGUGAAAAAGUUUUAACAGUAGUCCCUAGUAUUUAGAAUUAUUUUGACUACUUUAUUUAUUUCCAAAACAUAAAAUUCUCAACCCAAAAUUCCCCGCAUUGUGUUUUAUUUUGUCUCCUCACUCAGUUACUCUUAUUAACUCACGGCUUGACAAAAAAAAGAAAAAAAUUCUCACAGCUUGAUGUUCUCCUCUCUUUAAAAAUAAAAAUCCCCAGUUACUCUGCUCAAACUCGUUAAUAUUUGUUUCCACCACCAAAGCAGCCACUCGUAUCUUUUAUUAAGCAUAACGUUUUUCUUAAAACCUAAUUGAUCAUUCUUUAACGUCUCCAGGAUUAUAUUUGGCACGCUAUUUUUCUCCUUCAAUUGAAUAGAAGUCUAGAACCUUUUUUUUUUCGCAAUUCACUUUUGCUGUGUUUCGUGGUUUGGACUAAGAUCAUGACAAUUAUUGAACGAUGGGGAUAAAUAUCAAAGAAGGAGCUUACAUGCCCUAUAUAUCUCUCUUUGGAUGAAUAACGAAUGUGAGCUUUCAAAGUACAGAGAUUUACAUGUUUUAAUUGUCAUUUACAUUGCUGCAUGCCAAUUGCUUGAUAAAAUACUGCAACAAAUACGCAUUCUCGAUUUUCUUAUAAAUUUAUUUUCUUAAUCUGAAAAAAAUUGAAUGUUCAGAGAAUUUUGAAGGUUUUGGUGUAUGCAUUAAUAUUUCGAUUCUAUUUAUGUUGUUUAACUAAUGAAGAUGAUACAUCUAGCCUCUUUUUGCCCCUUGUUGUUUUUAUUCUUGUGCUUUAUAUACGGUUCAAGUGUGAUACACUUUAGUUUUUCUCAAGUGUUUGUUAGUAUUUCCCGAAGCAAAAUUUGUCACAGACUUUGAGUUCAAAAGUUGAAAUCAUAACUAACAUACUUCGAUUUUUUAUUUUCCUUUUUUCUUCGGUAUCCUUCUAUAUGGCAUUGGUUGAGAAAUUGGUGUACUUAGAUCGUAAUAUUCUGUAGAAAUAAGCCAAUAUUUCAUUACGUACAUUGUUUAAUAUGAUGAGUAUUGUAUAGAAGUUUUACAUAUAAGCUCCUUAUAUAUUAUGCAUUAUGUUUUUAUCAUAUUGUUGCUUGGAACUUUGAAGGAUUGGCCACAGGGCUUUAGUCCUACAUGGACAUUUUAUAUUUAAUAGCUGGUUAGGCAUUUUAUUUGAUGUUAUUUGGACUUGUAGGUGUUAAAAGUUUUGUUCAGUAAUUUUAUAAUUCAGAUUCCCAUUGUGAUAAGAUAGCAAUUUUUUGUGUGUCAGAUUCUGUCAACUGAUAUUUAGCUAAAAUAUCUCACUAACCCCUAUUGGUUAGGUAUUAUUUUAAAUCACAUACUUGAUUUUUAUUUUCUUUUUAUCUGUGGAAUCCCAUGUAUCAUUCAUAAGAAACAAGCUAUUAUAUAAUCUAUUCUUUAGAUCCAUUUAUAUGUAGUGAGCACUCUGAUUUCUAUUAUUUGAAUUUUUUGCUACUGUUACUACUCUUUCGGCCCUUCAAAUAGGGGUUAACAGAAAUGGUGAGUAUAUUAAUACAAAUUCAAACUUUCUUUUUCUAAUUUUAUCCAAAAUAACCUACUAUUUUAUUUUAAUUUCAAACUUUUGUCAUAGUCUAAUGGGCAGUUGUCUUGUCAUUAUUUGGUUUCAAGUAAGAAGAGAGAAAGUUAGUGAGAGGAUGAAAAUUUUGCAAAAACUUGUUCAUAGCUAUGGUAAUUAAGUAGUUUGAGUUCUUUUUUUUGUUGUUUUCUAUGUUGGUUUUGGAUCAUUGUAGUUGCUGAUUGUGAUUUAUUGUCGCCUAUGGUUGCUGACUUUUGUUUACUGUGGCUACUUUAUUAAAGCAAUUUUGGAUAUUGAAGUUUAUGGCCAACUUUUAUUAGACACUUCUGACCUUUAUCGAUAUAUUUUCUGAACCUUUACACUUAAGAUGUGUGUGUGUGUUUUUAAAAAAUACAUGUGAAUGAAAUAGUACUUGAAAUAAUAUAUUUUCUCAACUUUUAUUAGAUAUAGUGAAAUAGUACUUGAAAUAAUAUAUUUUCUCAACUUUUAUUAGAUAAUUCAAAGUAUAUCCCACUUAUUAUCGAUAUAUUUGCUCAAGUCUCAUGUGCAACAUGUGAAUGAAAUAGUACUUGAAAUAAUAGAGACUUUGUUUUAUGACUCAUAUUUUUACAUUUCUUUGCAAGGAACCAUACUUAAUUGUACCUAAUAGAAGAGAUAUCUUUUCACUAUAUAGUCUUAGUAUAAAAAGAUACAUCUUCUAUAUAAGGCACAAUUGAUGGGACAUAUCUUUAUACUAAGACAUCAUUCAUAUUUAUCACACAAUAAUAGAAACUGCAAUGGUAGGUGGAAUAUUAUGAAGUCAAAAUUGAGAACGACAUUAAAUCAUGAAUUCUUUAUGUGUUUACUCGAAUGCCUGACAGUAUUUAGUUCAAUUAACACAGAUUGGAAAUCCAAAUGAUUGAAGAGUUGUAUGAGUUCAAGUUCAGUAUUUAAUUACUAUAUAAUUAUACAUAAAUGUGGAUUUUGCAAGCUUGAACCCAUGUGUGUUAGCCCAUUUCGGCCCAAUAAACAUAUUGUUCUGGAUAAAAAAUAUCAGGGGAUCUCUGAUGUUUCUUUGGUUUAACAUAAAUUUAUUCCUAACUCUAUAACCAUGCAUUAUUUAGACAAAAAUUUUUGCAAUCACCAAACAGUAAAACAGAGAAAUAAAAACGGAGGAGCUCUUUUCUAAAACAGAAGUAGGUGUUUUGUCUGAACGUACCACUUUCUGUUUAAUUAUUAUGUUUACGGAAUAGAUUUUUUUUUAUUAUUCUGUUUUAUGUUUCCGUCUUUACCCUAAGCAUUCUUGGUUGGCAUCGCUGCAUUGUCCUGUAAUCUGUGUGCCUUGGUGAGGAGGGGAAUGGAUAACUGUGGUGCUGGAUACGUGAGAGACAAUGAUGAGGGUAGAUUUGUAAUUGCCAGAAGCGAUUUGCUUGCAAUAAUUCAAUGCAUGGAAAGAGAUGCCUCUAACAAAAAAUGGGACUAUCCAUAUCUGAGCAUUAGAGCUCUACGUCUUAGAUAAAUAAAUAUACUUAUUAGUAUUGUUUUUGCAUAUAUCUUUCACAAAAUUAUUGUAUUCGCUUAUAUAGAGAGGACGAUUUAGAUAAGUUUCAACUAAAAAUUGACAAUUCCAUGAUAAAGUUAAAAAUCACCGAAUAAAAAACUGGAAAAUCCCCUGUUUCUCCUCUGCUUUCUUUUGAUUAUUAUUAAAAAGGGGAAUUAAAAAAUGAGUUGCAAGCACAAAUUUUAUUUCUACAGUAGUACCUUCUAAAUGCACCAUUGUUUGAUACAUUAAAAUUAAACAUUACUUAUGCUAGUAUAUCGGUACUUCACAUGUCCGUUCUUCAUUAAUGUAUAUUCAUUUACACCCAAGCUACCUGUCAGUUUUGCGAAAACUGAAUUUAAAGGUGUGGCUUAAAUUAAAAUAAUAAUCAGCCUCAUAGAAUACAGAGAAAAAAGAUAAUUUAUCACAAUCAUAUCCUAAUGCAUCAUAAAUUUAGAUUAUUUAAUUACUGUUAGGAAAUCUGCUUAGAUAAGGCGCACACUACAAAUUCUAAAUUAAAUUCCUAAUUAACAAUAAAAGAUAGACCCUAUUAAUCGUCCACCAGGUACCUUGUAGCCUGCAUCAUAAGUUUAGAUUUAAAUUUUUGCAAUUACCAAACGGAGAAACAGGGGAAUGAAAACAAAGGAGCCCUAUUUUUUCCAUUUUUGUCCCCCUUAACUCUUGUCCUUAUACAAAUAUUUUUCCUUGGAAUUUCAGGCAUACGAAAAAAUAUUGAAAAUUAUUUAAAGCAAACAGGUGGAUGAUAACAAAAAUAUAUUUAAUUAACCAAAUCAAGACACUAUAUUGGUCGUCAAUGUUUCGGCAUCACUGUCUUCUUCAGAUGUUACUUGUUUUUCACAUUUAUUUUGCGCUGUUGUGGAUUAAUAUGGUUCUGCUGGGUGCACAUUUUUACGUGCUACUGUAUUUUCUCUCAGUCCUUUUUAAAAGAACAUACACCCACAUACUAUGUAGAGUGACCUUUUUUAAUGAGGAAUCUGUCAUUUUAAUAAAAUGAAGAAUAAACUAAAAGGUAGAAGUACACGAACUCUAAUGCAAUAUACCUUUUCUUUUCUUUUACCUUUACUAUAAGAUAGGGAAUGAUAUAAUUGAUAAUGGAACUUGGGGUCAGAGCAGCGGUGUAAUUUUGAGAGGAUUUACAAGAUGGUAAGUGCAAUAAUUAACAGGCUCAUUUAAUAUAUCAAACUGCUAGAUAAUUGUACUAGUUAAACAUAAUUUUCAGAGAAUCUUUUUAAGGGUUUAUUUAUUAAUAUUUUGUUUCUUUCCAGCAUGAACACUUUGUUUUGACACGUGCUUAACAACCUUCAACGAACUGGAACAACCUUCAUCACAUGCUUCCUCACGUGAUUACUUAAAUUGAUAUGUAAAACGUGCUCCAUCCAUGUCGUUUCCACUAAAUCGUUUUUUGUUAAGAAUCAGCUGAGCAGCACGUGAGCUAAUGAAGCUUUUACGGCUUCAAAACGCAGCCGUUUCUGGGAACCAAACUUGAUUCAUCAUCUCACAACUACAGAUGAAUUAUCGAAGUGGCUGAUUGGUGCUGUACGUGUUUUUCGUAUUGAACUCAACUCUGCUAUAAUACAUGCGUGCAUCUGAUACAUGCACAAAAACCACCACUCCCACUCCCACUCCCACUCCCACGCCCUCGCGUCACGCGCCUUACCACUCCCUCGCCUCACCUCACCUCUCUUCUUGUUCCACGGCCAUCAACGGCGGCACGAGUCGGCAACGAUCAACUGCGGCUGUAAAUUGACCACAAUCAUCUCUCUCUCUCGGCUUUGCUCAAAUUUGGCCGAUCUAUGCGCUUGCUUAAGCUUGGCCGAUCUAUGCUUGCUCAAUUACUCUUCCUAUAUUCAGUCGGAGUCAACUGUUUGACAAGAGUCGAAGUCCAAGGUUCUUUUUUACAGGAUUUGAGCUACUUCUUUUAUUCUUCUUCCAUGUUCACUGAUACGAAGCUUUGAUGUGGUGUUCUGAGAGCGGGUGGAAUUUGAGAUUCUCCUUUCUUCUCUAUAUGAAGGUGCUUGUCAUGUGUCAAGAAAAAUAAAAUUAUUUACAAAAGAUUAUUUUAAGGAGAUUUAUUAUUAUUCGUGGAUCGGGAAGCUCAAAAAAUUUUCUUAUGUAGACUCAAAUCAUUUCUAUAGGGCGAAGCAUAUGAAUGAUACAUAUUAUCUUUUUUUGGCCUUAUGUAUUGUUAUUUGCAGUGUGAUUUGGUCUAGCUUAAGAGCUUAAGCUUGCAGGCUGGAUUUGUCUGACAUGGAACAAUUUAAUUUGUUCAUCGUGAUGUUUAUAUCCAUUUUGUACUACUAUCAAUUUCAAUCAUGGCUAAUUUUUAUAUGUAUUUCUCGUGGACUCUCAGGUUCAGUGCACAAGAGGAUGAAGACGAUGGACACCCAAAUUUGAUGUGGAGAACAACUAUUGCAAAUGGUCCUUGAUUUACUUCUCCAAUUGACUUGAAUUGGUUUGACGCAAUUUAUAGUGUAUUUUUGUCAUCUUUGUAUGACUGGCAGGUCGUCCUGAUUUGGUACAUGACUGGACACAGGAAUUGGACUCAUAUUUUUCAAACCAGAAUGCCAACAAUCAAGCAUUUUCUUUUGAAAGCACUGGCGUCUUCUUCAGUGCCAAAAAGGUUAGAGAUUUUCUGUAUCCUGUUUUGUAUUUGAUCAGUUUAGCAUGUGGGUGGCAAUCAAGAAAAGUUAUUAUAACAUUUUUGUGUUCCCGAAAAACUGCUGCUGAUGUGUAGUGCAGGAAAUGAAUUGUUUGUGACUUCUUUUUAUUUGUAUUCUUUCUUUUUUCUUUUCUCCCCAACAGAAUUACGUAUUUCUGAAGAGCUUCUUGAAGUUGAUUACCAUGUAUGCCACUUUCUUUACUCUAUGCUCAGGAUGUGAUUUUGUUUAGGUCAGAACCAUCAUCUAAAGUUUACUUAAUGCUGCCGAGAAGCUGUAGUAGAGCAAUGAAGGCUGUUGGUGUUAUGAAGGCCAGCUGUGAAGAAAUAUUUGAACUUGUAAUGAGCAUGGAUGGGACACGAUACGAGUAUGCUUCUUUUCUAUUUUUUAUUUUUAGUUACUUUAACAUAAUCAAGACUAUAUUGGCUGUCUGUGUAAGCUGAGUAUUAUAUUUCCUCUUGUAUGCUGUGAAAUUCACAUUGUCUCCAGUCCCGAUUCUGUAUGUGCCUUUUUGAAUAUAUUUAAUUAAUCUGCAUGGUGCUUUCUAAAGAUUAUUACAAACUUUUGUUGCUUAAGUAUAUGAAGAAUGUGGAAAUGAAAAUAGCUUUUGAAGUUUGAUGGAUUGCUUCAUUAAUAAAGAAAGACUAGGACUCAUUUUUAUAACUUUUCUCCACUUAGCUAAUGGUAUUUGAUGAAGACAAAAUAGAUGUAGCUAUCUAUAUUUUUUGUUGCUGAACUAUAGAUCAAUUGAUGGUUGAAGUUAGUUAUAUUAAUUUGUUGUACUAGAUUAAAGCUUGUAUCUUAGCCAUUUCAUGAAGUGUCAAAUACGUUCUUUCCUCUUUUUUUUUUUUUUCGAAACAUGUUACACUUUUGAAGUCACUAUUACAUAAAAGAGUGUUCUAAAACAGGAGAAGGCGUGCUGCCUGAAAUUACCUGUUUCCUAGCAAAUCUAGCUGGUUUGCGAAUUAGAUUUUAACAAGUCUCUUGGCAAGGUUUGCUAGUAAUGUGUUCAAAUUAUUCUAUUUAAUUUUACUGUCUGUACCCUAAUAAUUCUUGGUUUGCACCAUUGCAUUGUUCCAUAAUCUCUGUGCGUUGGCUUAUAAAGGCCAGCAAGGCUGAUCAUUUGUCGAAUAGUUAUUUCCAUGAAAUUCCUAUCAAUUUGACUCAGUAUUUAGAGGUCUUGAAGAGGGCAGUGUACUAGACAUGGAUUUCUACCUCUUUUGGUUGUACAAUUGUUGUAUUUCUUGGCCAUCAGAUCUUUUUUAUGUACCUUUCUCAAAGUUCUUGCCGCACGUACACCGUUUUUCAUGUUUUGUGCAGGUGGGAUUGUAGUCUUCUGUAUCGCAGCUUAGUUGAAGAGGUAGAUGGUCAUACGGCUAUUCUCUAUCAUAGGCUUCAGCUGGACUGGCUUCCAAUGUAAUAGUCUCUUGAUUCAAUCAUCUCAUUUAUGCUUUGGUCAGAAUAGAACAUUUAUUGUUCUUCUUUCCCCUUUCCUCUCUUCUGAUGUAAUAUGUGAGGAAAUUACCUAAAAUUUCUGUAUCCCAAUGUAAUUGUUGGCAUUCAGAAAUAAAAUAAAUACACCGUCUUGUUUUUCCCUCGGUUCAGUCCUAAGUUCUCUUUGGGCCUUCUGCAAGUUUUUAAACAUACUGUGACAGUAAAAAAUCUAGUGAUUGAGAUCAUUUUGAUGAAUUUAAUUUUAAUUCUUAGCUGAUACUUUUUCUGGAAUUUUUUUCUUAUGUUUCCUCAAUAUGACUUAAAUAUAGGGCUUAGUCAUGGAUCAUGCACCAGAGUGAUGGAAGCACCCCUUGUUUAUUAGGAAAAGCAGUUGAUUGUAACUAUAUCCGCGGUCCUAAGUAGUUAGAAGUAAAUGCUCUUCGAAUUCCUAUAGUACAUGGGAUGUGUUCCCUUUCAAAUAGCUUGUUCAAUACCAUUAACAUGGUUUAACAUUGUUCAUCUUUCUGUAGAUUGAUGUUGACGUGUUCUUCUAGAGUUGCUAAUGGAGUUUUGGGCCUUGUAAUUGGUGUAAUUACGGCAUUGGUGGUUGACAUGGCUUUCCUUGUGCAGGUAUGUAUGAUUGUUUUUUUCCCCCACUUCUAAAUGACACGAGGGAAGAGACAUGAUUUUGAGAUAUUGUACUGCAAUUUGCAUAUUUGCAUACUUGAAUAGUAACUCAAGAAUCAUUUUCAGAAUGGUAUAAUGCUUCGUGUAUGCAGGCAAAUACUACAGAUGAAUUACCGGAGCGGCUGAUUGGAGCUGUACGUGUUUCUUAUAUAGAACUCAAGUCUGCUAUUGUCCCAAAGUUGGAACCAGAGACAUCAUGACUCUGGUUUCAUUUCACCUCAACUGUUUUUUUUUUAAUUGAAAAAAAAAAUCAUUUGUUUUAGGUAUGCAUACAUGUAUUUUGAUCCCGUUUUCAUUGUAAUUUCUCAUUUACUUUGAAAGAAAGUCACUGGUGUUUUCGAAUAGGAAUUUUGCAUUAAAAAAUAAAGAAUACUUAAUAGGAAACUUAAUAAUUCUUUAGUUACUAUUUUUGGAAUGAGUGUAAUAGUAUUGAAGUUGGUUUCUACUCGCAAUCAAGUGAACUACUCGAUCCCCAACUGCGACCGCACUAAUUGUCAUUGUUUAAUAGCCUACUACUUUUAAAACUCAACAACUAAAAAAAUGAUUUUCUUAUGAUGCUGUGAAAACAUUUAUGGGUUCACUUAUUUCCACAAGAUCUAUAACAUGGUCUUGACUUCACGAAAUUCUUUUAACUUAAAGGGUUCUGGUCUGAGAAAGUUAAUUUGACGGAUUAAUUCCUUUUAAUAAUGGUCGAGUUAAUUUUACUAUACUCGUAAAACUAUUAUUAUUCUGAUAAUGCCACAAAUGUUAUGAUGUUUUCUUCAGCCAAUAAUCUUCUAUUAGGACUAGUUAGAAAUCAAAUGCUUAAAACACCAAUUGAAUGAAUAAUGCAGAAGUUUAAACAGUAUCUAAUUGAAAAUUACAUGAAGCAUGAAACAUCAAUUCAAGUCCUUCCUUAAACAGAGAAUGCAUCAAACAAAUCCAAAGUGUCUUGCAUGUCUGUAAAUAAUUGUAAAUGCGUUUAGAUUAUUCAAGUACAGGAGAACAAGCAAGUUGAAUCAUGUACAAGAGGUUGGCCUGGUUCGAGAUAGCUUCUUCACAGUACCUGAAGGGUUGGCUCAAUCUUUUCUUUAGAAUUCUGCACAUUUUGUAAUUACUCGUGUAAGCAAGCAUACAUUACAACCAUAAUAAUAAUAAGGCAAGAGUAAUGAUACGACCACAGCCUCUUGUGCACAAAUAAUAUUGUACAAACUAAUAUGACAUAAUAUGAUUGAUUAAACAAAAACAUAACAUGACCCUCAUAAUUUAUUUAUUAUUAUUUUAUAUUUUCAGUCAAGCAAUCAUAUUAUGCCACAUUAAAUAGAAAUAAUUUACUAGAUAGUGCCAACACUUCAUUGAUACUCACCAUUUCAUUGAACAAUUUUUUUAUAGUGUCAUUGAGGUUGCCUUCCCAACAUCCUUCAUCAUCACCAUCUUCAUCUUCGGUGGGUUUCACUUUGUUUAGCUUUGGUGCGUCUACGACUCCUGGAGAGAAAAUCUUCAUCGUUGGGCAUUGUCUCACAACUACGUGUGCCAAGGACGGGAACUCAAGAGCGUAAUUACCCAAACUAAAGCUUGUUAGGCUUGGCAAACAAUCAAUUCCCAAGUACUCCAAUUUCCUGAAAACAAUGCAAUCUUCCGCUUCUUCUCCAACCUGCGACUGUAUAAUUUCUUCCAUCAUUUUGCAAUCAGUUAUCUUCAUUCUUUCAAGAUUCACUAGACUUUCAGAUGUUGAGAGUGUCAAUAAAUUUAUCAACCCAUGACACUUCGAUACUUCCAGAGUCGCAAGAUUUUCCAAAUGCCACAAAGCUGGUACUAAUUUCUGCAACUUACUACAUUCAAAUAUUUCUAGACUUUUCAAGUUUGCAAACACUUUGUUGGAUUCGGCAUUUUCCUUCCAGAGAUGCUGCACUUUGUGUAAUCCAGAUAGCUUUAACUUCAUCAAUUGAGGGAAUGCAACCUGAAAAUCAACAAAAUUAAGUUGUAAAUGAAAAUAUGUAUCCAAUCUCUACAGUCUUCCCCUACAUAUUUUAUGGACAAGAUUAAUCACGGCAUUUUAUAUUUUAUUUCCAAAUUAGUAUGCUUUGCAGUAGGAUCCCAAAUAUAAGUAUCAAAUCGAUUACCCUUUGAAACACAUAAAUGAAAUCUGAUCAUAAAUCCAAUAUGAAUUAGCUAGGAAAACAAAGAUCUAACACGCAUAAUUUAUGCGAUAUAGUUCAUCACCUCCUGUCACUAGGCAUCUAAUUAAUUUGAGACAUUUUUUUAAUUCAUACUAUAAAGUUAGUUAAUAACUACAAUUAUAUUGUUAAAUCAGAUAUAAAUUAAGACGACGUGCAAAAAGAUAAGUCAUUAAAUUUGAUUUGAUUCUAAUGAAAUUACAUCUAUGCGAAUGAAAGUGAAGGGAAAAAUAAUAAUAAUGAUUACCUUUUUAUCGAAGAGAUGUUGUAUUUGAUUAGCUACCAAGAGGUUCUCUUCUGAUUUUAAUUUUUGAGCUUCCUUAUUAUCUGCUGUCAUGUGCAAUACAGAUGUAGAAUUGGAUAUGAAUGUUUCCAUGUCAGGGCAAUUCUCAAUAGUUAGAUAUCUCAACUCAGGCAGUUCAAUUAUAUUCCCAGUGAAGUUGCAGAAUCUUUUGAGUUUUGGAAGAUCAAUGAGCCUUAGAUUGGAAAGCUUAGGAAACAUGGGGCCUAUAUGUUCUUUGUCAGCAUUUAGCUCUUCCAAACGAAGCACCUCUUCUAGUGAAUCACAAUUCCUCACUUCCAGCCGUCGCAAAUUGUUCAAGCAUCGUAGCAGAUUGGCAGGAAUAGCACUCGACAUAUUCGUGCAGUCAUCCACCACCAGCCGUGCUAAAUUGUUGAAGAAGCUGACAGGCAGUGCUUGGCCAUGCCAUAUUUCUUUCAAACGUGGAAAAUGUGAGAGUUGCAAAUACCAUAUGUCACGGAAUCCAAUCUGCACAAACCAAAACAAUUGCACCGGAUAUAUACAAUUUUUUUUUUGAAAGGCAUUAUAUAUAUACACAUUAAACUUACAUGUUUUGUGUUUUAACUUCUAAAAAUAUAUAUACAAGACCGGGGUAUAUGCUUAAAUGUGCAAUUGCAGGGGAGAUGCAUAAACAAUUUGGGUGAAUCGAUUAACACAUACCAUUUCUUUGUAAUACUUUUGCAUAAUGGAAUUAAGGUUAUUGCCUUCCCAAUGGUGCAGUUCACCCUCUUCCUUUUCAGUCACUUGCACUUUGCAUGGCUUUGGAAUGGAUAAGAUUCCCUGAGAAAAAGUCUUCAUAUUUGGACAACGUAUCAUAGAAACUCGUUCCAGUGAUGGGAAUUCAAGAGUGUAAUUCUCCAAACAAAAGCUGGUAAGCCUUGAUAAAUAAUUAAGUAUCAAAACUUUUAAUUCGCUGAAAGCAAUACGAUUCUCCUUCACUUCUUCUCCAACAUGUCCUACGAUUUCUUCUAUUUUUUGGCACUUCGAUACUUUAAGAUUCACCAAACUACUAGGAAUUCCAACCUGAAAAUAAGCAAAAGUGUGUGUAUAUUAAAAAAGUAAAAAUGUAAGAAUAUCAUUCAACUAGGUUCAAAGUAUGUUUAAUCAUACAAUUAUACGUUUUAUAAAGAUAACAAACCAUGAAAUGUCUACAAGAUAAUUUUUUGUUAAACAAAAAAAGCAACAAGAUAAAUAAAUAAAUAAAAGCCAGAUAAACAAAGAUAUUAAAUGCAUUUACACUAUUUAGUAUUAGGAACGUACGAAGAAUUUAAGGCAAUUUCUAAAUAUUUUAGACUUAUUUUGCAUCUUGAUGCCAGUUUUUAAACAAAAUUUGCAAAUUUCAACUAUUCCUUUUGGGAAAAAAAAAUCAACCAAAAUGCCGCUUUUUCCCUUUUCCCUUGGUCCCUUUUUUUUAUGUAUAUUUAAUUUUGGAAACAAAAUUAAAGUGGAUCUUUAUUAAGUACUUCCAGACUCGAGGAAAUUUCUUUACAAUCAAGGAUCAGUUGUAAAUAAUCGUGAAUUUGUGGUUAAUUAAUGGCAUAAUCAGUUCGUAACUAAACAAGAGAUAUUAAUUAAAUUUGAAGACUUUUCUUUUCUUUUUUUCUUUUUCCAAUCGAAAUGUGAAGAAUUAAGGAAAAGAGAAAUAUAUAGAUGAAUUUGUGAACCUAUAAGAUGAGUGACUAUCCUUUAAUUUUUGAAAAUUGUACUUAUUAAGAUAUGAGCAGAAACAAUUAAAUUGAAUUAUAUUAUGAUGUUGAAUCGUGAUUAAAAAAAUUAUAUUGUUGAUUCUAAUGCUGGCGAACCUAAAAAAUGGACUUAAAAUGUAGAUUUGAGAGUGGUGGUUCGAAAUACAAUACUUGAAAUAAAUAAUCAGUGGCUGAAUAUCAUUUGUAAACCCAAAAAUGGUUAAAAUAUUGUUGGAUGUAAUUUAAAAAAAAAAAGAUUCGAAAUGAAUACAACGACCUUACCAAUGGAGGAAAAAUAUUCAUUAGGUUAUGACACUUAUAUAUCUCCAAAUUCUUCAAUUUGCUGAAAGACUCCGAAGGAAGCUGGUGGUGCCAUAUUUUUCUCAAAUUAUUCAUCCAGCUAAUAUCUAAUACCUCCAACCUAGGAAGUCGUACCUGGAAGUUAAAGAUUAAAUAACUAAUUAAUCAAUUAAUGGCAUAAUCAAUUGAUAACUAAAUUAGAGGCGGAUAUUAACUAAAUUUGAAGACUCAAGGAAAAGACAAAUUAAGUAUUGUGACUAAAAUUAAUUUUAUUUAUUAAAAAAAAAACCUUUUCGUCAAAGAGAGGAGGAGGUUGCAUUUCAGAAUGAUUGGUGUCUUCUGGUGAGCUCGUAGAGAUGAAUCUUAACAUAUUACUGCAAUUACCAAUCUCGAGGUUUAGCAAAGAAGGGAAUUCAACAACUAAAUCUGAAUGAAUAUGUCCUGUAUUGGCGAAGCUUGUCAGUUCUGUAAGCCAAUAGAGCUGCAGGGAGUGUAGUUUAGGAAAAACCUUUAAUUCAAUCAACUUUCCUUCAUCUCUUUCUGACCACCCCGUGGUGUCGACUACCCCUUCCAUUGACUCACAAGACCAUAUUUCAAGAUGUUGGAGUUGCAAAAGACUAUUAACCAUAGAAUACGAAAACAGAUACUUCAUACGAUCACAACUUCUCACGUACAGCUUUGUUAAAUUUUGACAACAGUACAUUCCUUGAUUAUGAUCGGCCCAUAAUUUUUUGAUGUUUCUUAAUUCCGUGAGAUUCAAUUCCUCUAAGCUCGGAAGAAGAACCUGCAAAGAAAAGCCGUACAUUUUUGUUCCUUCAAGUACAACCGUCUAGUAUAAUAUUCUGUUGAUGAUCGAAGAUUAAUCGUGAUAAUAAAUUAAUCAAUUAAUUAUUGAACAGAAAAUUAUCACCUUUGGAGCAGUAUCAUCAUCAGCAAUGAUUUCGUUGAAUCCCAAAGAAGUUGUUGGUUUCUCCCUGUCGGGUCCUGUAAACAAACAAAAACAAUAUACAUAAUUAAUCUUUGUCGUUGUCUUUUUUUUUUCAAAAUAAUUGAGGCGAAGUCCAUAAAUCCACCAACACUUAAUUUCAACACUUACCAACAGUCAUUUCCAGUUUAUUGCAGGAAGCCACUUUGACCUUUUGAAGCCGCAGUAGGUUUCUGGCUAUGGAAAAUGAGAAAAGAUGCUUCAAUUUAUCACAGGAUUCUACUUCUAUAAUCUUUAAGUUGCUGAAAAAUUGAUCUUCUCUGAGUUGGCUGUGGCAUAUGGCCUCCAAAUUGAUCAAUUUAUAGAGAGACAAUGACUCCAGCAAGGGGAAGACUUUGCGAUGAACCCGUCCAACUGAACCGACAAUGUGUAAAAUCUCAGAACACCUUUCUACCCAAAGAUGCUUCAAUCGUGGAAAACCUUCCCCAUCAUCUAAUUCAUGAACAACAUUCUGAACACCCGUCAGUUCCUCUAGACGGAUAUCUUCAGUUAACUUCAGCAACAUUUUCAUCCCAUAAUUCUCCAAAAGAGUGCUAACAUUUUCUAACCCAUGGAGCUGCACCAAUCUUGAUGUUUCAGAAUUAGCGCGCCAGAUGCCCCACGCUUCUCCUAUACAUAUCCUAUAUCUUGGCAAUUCGACAAAGACCAAAUCCUGCGGCAGCAUUUGGGCAUCCUGAACUUGUAUCUCCAAAGUAGUUAGCUUUGACAGCCCCUUCAAUUCAGCAAGACUGGCGUUACUUCCUCCUUCAACCUUAUCCCACUGCGGAAAGCUGUCACCCAUAUAUAGUUCUUCCAAUCGAGAAAAUUUUGAUAUGACAUUUGGUGCUAUCACUACAAGGCUGCUACAAUUGCUCAAAUCUAGCAAUUGUAACUGCGCCAAUUGACCAAUUUCAAGUGGCAACUGCUUAAUGUCGGAAUAUCGAAAGCUAAGAAUCUCUAAUUUCUUUAGCUGUCCAAUUGCCGCUACAUCUUCUAGUUGGCACCAGUCUAAACACAAUGUUUGAAGGUUAAUGAGGUGACCAAGUGAUGAAGAUAAUGAAGAGAAAUGAAUUCCGCUAAGACUUAAAACUUUGAGAUCUUCCGUCCCUUCAAAAAAGAGGUGUGAAAUUUCCAAAUAGCUAUCACCAUUUGCAAGCAACAGUAAUAACUUGAGUUGGGGACAUUCCAACCUUUCGGGAAGCUCUUGAAUAUCUCCAUAAGGUAUAGAAAUAGCAAUUGCACCUUUCUGUAUGAUCUUUUCUAUCUCUUCCUUCAAGUUGGUAACAUUUGGGAUACUAAACAUGAGCUUCUCUGAGGCAAUUGAUACGGCAACAACAUGAAUGACGUCAUGCAUUUUAACUUCAUCUUCAGCAUCGCCGUCCAACAAUAAGCAUGAAGCUUUGAGAUUGUCGAUCAAUGCGUCCACUCUAUUCCUUGCAUUUUCCAAUGUGCGAACAUUUUUAAACAAACCCUUACCAUAUCUCAACAAGGAAGCAACUUGUAUAGGAGUACCUUCACCAAAUAGAGUACAAAGAAGGAACAAAGAUUUUGCUUCAUCACUUUCCAAGAAGUUGUAACUCAAUUCUAUGGAAGAGCAGACAUUUGCAUCCAUUCCAUGAAUUUCUCUUGGAUUAGAAUUUCGCAGCUGAGUCAACGCAUCCUUCCAAACGGGAAGCUUCUUAUUUUUCAGAGCAUUUGCAACUGUACUCAGUGCAACAGGCAAUCCUCCACAUUUUCCAACAAUCUCAUCUGCUAAAGGUUGAAAAGCAGAUGCUUUUGCGGAAUUGCCCACGAUCUUUUCAAAAAAUUGCAAUGCUUCUUCCUUUGAUAAAACUUCAAUUAGGAAAAUCUUCUGAGAAUUCAUAUCAUUGGUCAAUAAAUGUUUACUUCUAGACGUCAAUAUUAUCGUGCGUCUCCUUAGAUCUUGCUUUCUAUCUUUCUCAUCAACAUCCCCAAAAGGAAUUCCAAUUUCUUCCAACCCAAGUUUUUUCCAAAUAUUAUCUAAUAUAAUGAGGACUCGCUUCUCUUUCGUCAAUCUUUGACAAAGUUGUUUUGCUCUGUGGGGUUUGCUAUCAUUCAAGUCAAAGUUCAAGUCUAAAUCGGAAGCGAGCUUGUCUUGAAUUUUCUGAACAUCUGGGUUCUCUGUUACCUCAGCCAUAACGACCUUAUCGAACACCUUAUCUUCCAUAACUUGCUUUGCAAUUUGCUUGACUAGCGUGGUUUUACCCACGCCGCCCAUACCGUGGACCCCAAUUAUGUUGAGCUUAUCAUUCCUCAAUGCCUCCACAACAUCUUGAAAUAAUUUCAUUCUUGAAUCAAAGGCCUCGAAAUCUUUCGCUUGCAUAUGUUCUGUACUCUCUGGAGCAGGACGGUGGGAAACACUAGAGAAGUUGCCUUUUCCCACGAGACUAGCGGCAGCUUCUGCGGCCUUUGCUGCUUGUUUACUAAGUUUAUAACGAGAAAUCAAGUUGGGGCAAAAUCCUUUGAAGCAGGACUUCUUAGCUCUAUCUUCAUCAUCAAUGAUGGAUUUUGCAACCCCUUCACUGAUGAAUUCAUCAACGUUAUUAAGCCAGUCUGCAACAUCCUUGUAAAUCUCAUCUCUUUGUUGAGUAGCCUCACGAACGGGUAUUCCCACCCUUUCUCUUUUAUAUUCUAGCUCCUUCACUUGAACUUUUAGCUCAGCUAUGUAGCUCUGGUACUUGAACACAUAAGAGAUCUGCCGCAUAAUCGGUUCGAACAAUGCCUUUGCACCUUCUGUUACAAUGCCGGAAAAAGUAGUGGAAACCAGGUCUGCAGCCAUUGCCUAGCCUGUUGCUUUCAUACAUACAUACAUACAUAUAUAUAUAUAUAUAUUAGCUGUUGGAAAAAUUAGAUUCAAAUAAAUUAAAAUGAACUAGGGGAAAGACGGAGAAAGAAAUGACAACCAACAACUUUUUAAAAAAAGGUUUCAAGGGCCUGAAUGGAAAACCAACAAUUUAAAAAAAAAAUUGUAAGAUGGAUGCAGAUUAACCAUUGCUAAUAUUACAUAAGAACACAGAAGUUAACAAUGAACAGUACGUAGAAAAUUAAAUGACAAGAUUAAAACAAACAAGGGCUAUUUUUUCUUGGACAAUUGUACCUAUUUAAUUAUUAAAGAGUUAAUGACCUUCACUGCUGGCCUUGAAUAUAUAAGAACGACCAGAAGAUGAAUAUUAACUGCAGACGAAUGUAAGUAAAGAGUUCAUGAGAGUGAGUAAUACAAAUGAAUUGUAAAAGAACAAGACUUAAGUGUGACCCCAUCUUUUGUUUUAUUAUAUAAAUAGAACACAUGAUCAUUUUUAACAAAGUGAUCAAUAACUCUAUGCGUUAUUUAAUUGAUAUUGUAACCAAUUUUAAGGGAAUUUAAUAAUAAUCAUUCAAUGCAUAAAUUUAAAAUUAGAUUUUUUUAAUUCUUUAUUUAAAUAUAAAUCUUAAUGGAAAAUUAUAAAAAUUUAGAGAUAAAAUUUUUCAAUCACCAAGGAAAAAAAAUGGGAAUGAAAACAGAGGAAUCUUGUUUUACCUUUUUUUUUUUUUCCUUAACUCUUGUUCCUAUACAAAUAAUCUUGUUUUGAUGAUAGUGCUCGUGACUAUGGGAAAAUUUCUAAUGGAAACAACUCAAUUUCGGAAGAUAAGCUUAAUUCUGCAAGUGAUGAAUUUGUUCAAUUGACUCUGUACUUGAACUCGUUGGAUUGGUUGAUUUACGAUUGACUGCAUUUCAAUUCUGCCUAAAAGAUCUUUUUAAUAGCUAUCAUGUACUCCUUAAAAGCAAUCAUUUUUAGAUUUGACUGAAUUUGAACUUGUUGGAUUGGCUGUUUUUAGAUUAUUGAUAUGAGAUACUACAAUGUAAACAUUUUCAUGUGGCUGAGCCCUAUUCUAAAAUCUGUAUGUUGCUUUAGAAAAAGGGCUUUUCCUACUGAUAUUUAAUCUUCAAGUAAACUUAGAUAUAAAGUAAAUCAAAUAAAAUGACAAACAAGCAAUAUAAUAAAAGACAACAAACUGGCAAUAUUGAUACAAAGGCAACAGAUAUUAAACUUUAGGACAUUUUUUUCCUAGCUUUCAUUUGUUGGAGGAUUAGAGAUUUUGGUAUUACCGGAAAGCUAAAAGGUUUCAAGGGUCUGAGUAGAAACCUAUAAUCUUUUUAAAAACUUUCUUUUUCUUUUUUCUUUUUUCUUUUUUUGGGGGGGGGGGGGGGGGGGGGGGGGGAAGAAUGCAAGUUAACCAAACGAAAUAAUAAGAGCACAGGCUUUAACAAUGAACAAUAACUUAAAACUCAUGCAAAGUAAAUUCAAUAUUAAAACAAACCAGAGAAAUUUUUUUUCUUGGAAAAUAGAUGGAAAUUAUGAAAGAACAGAUGUCAAGAUCAAAGAUCUACUAUACACAAACACACACAUUAGAGGAUUUGGAAAAUGUGCACCUCUUUAAUUAUCUGGGAUUAGAGAGUUGGUGAGAUUCUCCAUUUGGCCUUGAAUAUUUAAGAACAACCUCAAAGAGCAAAAAGAUCACCGGUAACUGCCGAGGAAUGUGUAAGAAAAGGGUUGAUGAGAAUAAUAACAUUGACUUGCAGAAGAAAAAGCAUUAAUCAAGCACCCCUUUUUUAUAUCAUGUAUUUGGUUAUUGUUGCCCUGUUUACGCACGUAUAGGAUAAUUAUAUGCAAUCUUUUUUUAAAAAUCCACAUGCACUUUAGGGCUUCUUUCAUAAAAGCAGAUACCGGAAACACACAAAAAUCAUUUGAGAGAGAAACCGAACAGCAAAUCAUCAAAGUAAGAUCAACAAUAUAUGAUUUGAUUAAUGCAUAUUCAAGAACAAAACAAAAAUAAAUAAAUNNNNNNNNNNNNNNNNNNNNNNNNNNNNNNNNNNNNNNNNNNNNNNNNNNNNNNNNNNNNNNNNNNNNNNNNNNNNNNNNNNNNNNNNNNNNNNNNNNNNNNNNNNNNNNNNNNNNNNNNNNNNNNNNNNNNNNNNNNNNNNNNNNNNNNNNNNNNNNNNNNNNNNNNNNNNNNNNNNNNNNNNNNNNNNNNNNNNNNNNNNNNNNNNNNNNNNNNNNNNNNNNNNNNNNNNNNNNNNNNNNNNNNNNNNNNNNNNNNNNNNNNNNNNNNNNNNNNNNNNNNNNNNNNNNNNNNNNNNNNNNNNNNNNNNNNNNNNNNNNNNNNNNNNNNNNNNNNNNNNNNNNNNNNNNNNNNNNNNNNNNNNNNNNNNNNNNNNNNNNNNNNNNNNNNNNNNNNNNNNNNNNNNNNNNNNNNNNNNNNNNNNNNNNNNNNNNNNNNNNNNNNNNNNNNNNNNNNNNNNNNNNNNNNCCCCAGGGGAAAAUCUGGAAUUCCUUUUUUUAAUUUUUUUUUUUUUAAAAAAACCCCACCGGAAAUUCUUAAAAUUUGGAAAAAAAAAUUUUGAGUCCCUUAUUCUGGGGGGGGGGGGGGGGGGGACGAAAACAGAGGAAACUUGUUUUACAUUUUUUUGAUCUUAACUCUUGUUCUUAUAUAAUAUUUUCCCUGGGAUUUCAGGCAAACCAAACAAAAAAAAAAAAAUUCAAUAAAGAGCAAGUUGCUCUAAUUGAUUUAUCUUGUUUUUCAGGCUAUUUUGUGACAUGAUGAUAUGUAAUGCUCUUGAAUGCUAGAAAAAUUCUAAUGCAAACAUUUUUGCAAAUGACGAAUGUAAAUAACUUUUUUUGAUUAAUUGAAUCUCUAAUACUCUUACCCUAUUCUAAAAUUUGUAGGUUGCUUCAGAAAAAAAGGGUAUUUCUCACUCAUCUUCAAUCCUCAAGCACAAUUAGAUUAAAAGCAAAUCUAAUAAAAUAACAAACAAAUUAACAAAAAAAAGAAAAAGAAAAAAAACAAUGUUGAUCUUGAGACAAUUGAUACUUAAACAGAGAAUUCUUUGUUCUUUUUUUACUCCCCCUGGCUCGAGGAUUAGAGUCUUUCUUUGCUAUUAACAGAGAGGUUUUAAGGGUCCGAAUAAAAACCCGCGCUUUUUUUAAAAACUUCUUUUUUUUUUUUUAUUGGGGAAGAUAGAUUCAAAUUAACCAAAGCUAGUAAUAAGAACACAGGCCUUACAAAUGAACAAUAACUUACAACUCAAGCAACAUAAAUAAUAAGAUUAAGACAAACAUGAGAUUUUUUUCUUCGAAAGUAGAUGGAAAUCAAGUAAGAACAGCUAUUAAAAGAAAUUACUAGAGAAUUUAGAACAUGUGUACCUCUUUAAUUAUUUGGGAUCAGAGAGUUGAUGAGCUCUCUAUUCGCCUUGAAUAUUAAGAACUGGUAUUAAAAGAAAUUAUGAAGAACAAUUUUAGUGAGCGAUAGAUCACUGUUAACUUCAGAGGAAUUUGUGAGUAAAAAGCUGAAAAGAGCCGUAAUAAUGAAUUACAAAAGAAGAAGACUUAAUCAAGCACCCCUUUUAUACCCGAUUUUUAAGAUUUAGUCUUGAAGUUCACAAUCAAGAACAAAGACGAAGCUUUAAUAAAGCAUGCAGUGAGAUACAAGAAAUGGAUCGGGCAAAAUACCUUACGAAGCGUUUCAUAUUUUCUAAUGAAAUAAUUAAGUUGAAGUUUUCGACGAAUAAAUACUUGUUGUGCUUGAAUAAUUUUGGCAUAUACGUUACUUGUAUCCUGCGAAAUUGAAAAGCACAUUGGUUUAUUAGAGCUUAUUAGGAGGGAAAAGCUUUGUAAGAUACCUGAUAAAAGAUAAAGUAAAAGCUUGAAUGAAGAAUGACAUUUUAGAAAGAAACUAAAGUGCAAUCAUCAAAGUGGGAUCAAUAGUGACUUGAUAUUUCAAUUGUUCUGUCCACAAAUGAUGCUUCGUUAUUACUAAUUCCAGAUGGACAUUAUUAGAAAAUGAUCUUAUGUUUAACAGAAAAAUAAAAACUCGUCAUCAUACAAAACAGCGUGAAGAAAUCUUCAAUUUGAUUAUUAUAAAAUAAUAAGUUUCAUUACUAGAUUAUGCGGACAUUAAUGUUAGAGAUUUGAUCAGAUUAUCAUAUAAUUUACUAAACGCUUUGAGAAGAACAAUAAUUAAUUUUUAAAAAAUUGAAAAAUAAAUUAAAUAAAGAGUACACGCAAAUAAUGUUACUUCCAAUCACCAAACUGAAAAACAGGGGAAUGAUAACAGACGAGUCCCUGAUUAUCCUCUCUCUCUCUCUCUCUUUUUCAAUCUCUCUCUUUGAUAUCCAUAUCUGAGCAUCAGAGCUUGACAUCUUUGAUAAAUAAAUAUGCUUACUGGUACUGUUUUUGCAUAUGUCUUUCACAAAAUCAUUGUAUACGCUUACAUAGAGAAGAAGAUUCAGAUAACUUUCAAAAUCUGAAUCCGCCUGAUGGACAGGCUUGACCACACAGCCCCGAGACAAGGAAGUCCAAGCAACUAAUCUAAACCGUUCUCCUUUAUUAGCUAGAUUUAGUAUUUGGGUUCUUUAUGUAAAACGACACUAUGAUCUUGAAAUUUUGAUUUAAUUAAUAAAUAGUUAAAUUCUUAAUGUUUCAGGAGUAGAUACAUAGACUCUCUUCUAAUUUUAGUCAUUACAAACAAUGCCAUUGUGCGGUUAUACUAUUGCUUCUUUUAUGAAACCAUUCUCACCAUCACAUAGAUCUUGGCAUAUAGAGUCUCAUAAUGUCAUCAAAUAAUUUUUUUUUUUUUUAAAAACAUAAAAUAUGAUACAUGUAUUCAUUUUUUUUCAAAUUAGGGUGUAUUAUUCUUAAAACUUAAGUGUUCUACUUAUAAAUAUCUUGAAGGUGUGAGUGUUUUCUUUUCGUAAACAAACCGUAAAAGAAAAAGAGGAACAAUAAUUUUUUACUUAUCCUUAGAGAUAAGAUUCAAUCGGGAUGUGAGUAAGUGUGUUUUUCUUUUUUUAUUAUGCUAAAUUAUCGAGUCACAAAGCAUAUUGAUUCAAAAGUAUAACUUUAUACUGAUGAUAGAUAAUUUCAAAACAAUGGAAUGAAAACAGAGGAGCUCCCCCCUCCCCCACCCCAAUCCCCGCCCCCCCCCCCCCCCCCCCCCAAAAAAAAGUUCUUCUUCUUUUAUAUAUUUUUCUUGGAAUUUUAGGUAAAAGAAAAAAAAAACUGAGAUUGAUUUCAAGGGAACAGGUGGAUAAUAACUAAAAUACUUAUUUUUAUAUAUUUGAUAUGUGCGCUCACUAUUAAUAGAACUUAUUAGAUACUACAACUUAAAUAACUUCCCAUGGUUGAUUGAGGGUAUGUUUGAGAUUUCCUUUACUUUCCAAGAAUUAAUUUCUACCUUGAUUCUGAACAAAAAAAUAAUUUUACAAAUAAUCUAUUAGGGUGUUUGGUAAAUGAUGAUUAUUUGACAAUCAAUUUUUAAACGGUUUACUAUACAAAUCUGGUAAAUGAAAAUUAAAAGUGUAAAAUGUUCAUGUACAAUGACAAAAAUGUACUUGUUUACUUGUUUGUAAUUUAUUUAGAAUAUUAUUAUUUAAAUCUUUUUUUAUUUACAAGAUUUUUUAAGAGCAUAUUCUAUUUUCUUUAUUACAUAUUUAAAUAAUUUUUUAUUAACUAUUUUAAUUUGCAAUAAAAUUAACUUCAAUAUCUUUUUAACUAAAAAAUUUGUUAUGUAGUUCGUGAUAUAACAAAUACUAACAUAUCAUUAGUUUGAUUAAUAAAUUAAGUGCAAAAAAGAAAAUGCAAAAAUUUAAUCUUUAUAUAAACUUUUAUGUACAUAAAAUCAUUGUAAUCAAACUAGUUCAUAGAAAUAUAAUAUUAUAUACAUGUGUGUAAAAAAAAAAAACAUAUGACCAUAAUAUUAUCCACUCAUUAAACUUGCUGCACUAUUAUUUCUCAAUCUCUCCAUCUCUCGACCUUCAAGAACAUUACUACCAUAAUCUUCUUCUUCUUGAAUCCAACCUCUAUUUCCUCAUCAUCAACAAUGCGACCAAUUUGCCUUGAUAGCCUUUCAACUAGAAUAGAGUUGGCAGUAGAUAUUUUAGUACUCUCAAACUAUGCCCAAACAGGGUCACCAGUGAUUGUUGUAUUAAAAGACAUUCUAUUUAAUUUUCCUCUGACUCUGGGUCGAUACCUUUUAUGCAAAAUCUAUUUACUUAAGGAAUUUUCUACACAUGUCGAUAUCAUAUUAAAGUGAAUUCAGAUCCUAUAUUAUUGACAUUAAAAUUUAGCCGAAUAGUAAAAAAUUUCCCUUUUUGUUUGUCACACAACCAUAUAGUCCCAUUUUUGGUUAUAAGCUCACAAUAUGUAAGGGAAAUGAAGAUCUAUUAAAACUUUCCCAUAAUAUUAAACAUUAAACAAUAUCAACAUUUUGUGCAUAUGGUGCCUCAUCAACAAUUUGAUGUUCAUUUUGUUGCUCGGAGGAAUAUGACUACCUAUUAAUUAAUUAGCAAGAAUUGCGUUGCGAGUCCAUGUUUUUGUCGUUUGGAUGGAGGAUGUGCCAUCUUUUUAUUGUAGAUGCUUUGUAAGGCUUUUGAUUUAAUGAUUUAAUGCAGUCAAUUAACAAAAGCUUACAUAUAUUAUUAUGUAGUUGCUGAGAUGUCUGUUCUUGAUAAAGUCGAUUUAUUUACACCCAAGCCAACGGAAUCAAAGCCUUUUCGUUAAUAAUAUACACGGUAAUUGUUUUUGUUAAAUUGAUUUCUGGCUAACAAGAUAUUUGAAAGCAUUUAGGUAGCGUUUACAUUUUGCGUUGGAGUGAGAAUCGUGAGAAAUGAGAAUCCUGGGAUUAGGAGUGUGGAGUGGGAGUCGAAGUAUGUUGUUUACUUACACUGAAAUGGAAGUAUGGAAUUGAAAUCAGAAUCCAAUUUAUUUGUUUACAUUGUCUUAGAUUGUGAGUAAUGAUUUUAAAUUACAGCUUUACUCUUAAAGAAUUAUAGUUAUUAAUUACAAAAUUAAUAAAAAUUAUAUUUUUAAAUUAAUAAUAAUUAUUAAUAUUCUUAACUAUGUAAAUCACAAUUAUUUUAUUAAUUUUAAUUUUAAUUAUAUAAAUAAAAAAUUAUUAAUAACAACAAUACAAAUGAAACAUUAUUAUUGAUAAUAUAGUACAAAAUUAAUUUUUUUAGAAUAAAAUAUUUAUUAUUAUUAAUUACUAAUAUUAAAUAAAUAUAAUAGUAUUAUUUUUAAAUAAGUAUAAUAAUAUUAUAUUUUCAAAUAAAAAUAGAAUAUAGUAAUAUUAUUAAUUCUUUAUGAAUAUAAUGAUAUUAUUUUUAAGUAAUUUUAACUUAGAAUCAAUGUAAAUUAUUAUUUUUAACCAAAAAAUUAAUAUUAUUUUAAAUAUGUUUAAUAUUAUUAUUUUUAAUAAAUUUAAUUUAUAAAAUAAUAAAAUAUUAUUAUUUAAAUAAAUAUGAUUUUACUUAUUUUAUUAAAUUUAAUAAAAUAAAUAUGUUUAAUAUUAUUAUUUUUAAUAAAUGUAAUUUAUAAAAUAAAAUAAUAAUAUAAGUUAAAUAAAUAUGAUAUUAUUUAUUUUAUUUUAUUAAAUAUAAGGGUGAAAAAGGAAGAGAGGCGAGUGAAUUUCCACUCCCACCUUCCUCCAUGGGAGUGGGAAUCUCACUCCCCCACUCCAAAAUUAGGUGGGAUCCACGGAGUGGAAUUCUCACUUCCCCUUUGAAAAUUGUAAGUAAACACUGGAGUAAGAGGAAUCCACACUCCUCACUCUCACUCCAAAAAGUAAACACUAUAUUAAAGAAGUCAUUGACUUAUAAGAAAGCCAUGAUUAAAUACACGGCGAAGCAUGUGAGCUCGUUUUUCAAUUUCUUUGAUCACUCAUAAGUAGGGGUGGGCAAAAUCGGAUUCGGAUUGGGUUCGGGUUGAUUUGAUCAAUUUCGGAUCAAUCGGGUUGGGGAAAAAAUCAUCCGAACUCAAUCCGAAUUAUUAACCCGAUCCAAUCCGAUCCGAAUAUAAUUCGGAUCGGAUUGGAUCGAAAAUUCGGAUUAAUUCGGAUUAGAUUCAGAUUUAAAAGCAUUCGGGUUAUAUAUCCAUUCUAUAUUUCUGGGUUAAUUUCAGAAGCAAUCAAGUAAAACAAUCAACCUUUUCUCAAGAUAUAGUUUUGUUUUAAGCUUUUUAAAUUAAAUUAUUUAAAACAAUAUAGUCAAUACCACCAAAAACUUGGUGACAGUGAAUGUGGAGGUGAAUUUAGUUGUAGCAGUUGUGGUAACCGGUGAAGCUAGUGGCAGCAAGCGGUAGCAGUCGAGGUGUAGUAGAUUCCAUCGGCACGUUGCGGUUGCAGCGAUGGCUUAGCUUUGAACGAUCGCGUCGGUGACUGAUGGCUGCUGGUUCACGCAGUUGCAUCUCCGAUUUGCUGGCUGCUGCUUCUUGCGGUUGCAUCUCCGAUCUGCUCGCCGCUGCUUCGCUGACAUCUCCGAUCUCCGAUGGUUUGGCUUCGCACGAUCACAUCGGUGAUUGCUGGCUGCUGGUUCGCGGCUUCGCGCGGCCGCAUCUCCGGUCUGCUGGUUGCUGCUUCUUGCGGUUGUAUCUCCAAUCUGUUGGCUGCUGCUUCGUUGUUUGGCAUCUCAACAUUUCCGAUCUCCGAGGCCAAACCUCUAUUUGUGUGUGACCGUGUGUGAUGUGAGUGUGUGUGUGUGCACUUACAGAUUAUUUUAAUUUAGAUCUAAGAUUUGCUUUUUGUGUGGUGUGAAUCCGAUUUUGUUGUGUUUGCCACUUUGUUAGUUUGUUACACAGUUUUUUUUUUAAGCCAACCCGAUCGGGUUUUCGGAUCGGAUCGGGUUUCAUCCGAUCCGAUCAUGAUCCGAUCGGGUUGGCAAAGUUACAUCCGAUUGGAUUUUGUUAACAAUCCGAUCCGAUCUGAACCCGAUAUUUUUUGGGUCAGAUCGGAUCGGAUCGGGUCGGAUAUUUUGCCCAACCCUACUCAUAAGCUUUUCUAUACCACUCACUAUAUCAUCCUUUUAAGUCAAUUUCGACUGAUCAUCAGAGAUCAUGCACCCCACCUUGAGAUGAUUGAUCACCAAUUUGGCAUUGUAACGUUGAUCACCUCUAAUUGCCCAUGCUAAAAUUGAGACCCCACAGCCAAUUGCUUCUACAGUUGAAUUUUAUCCACAGUGAGAUAAAAAUCCACCUAUUAAUUGAUAACUCGGCAUCAAUAAUUGUGGUGCCAUUCCAUCUAUUAUCAAACCCUUUUUACCGGCUUUACUAUCUAAACCACUAUGAAAAUAAGCUGGUUAAAUGACGUGGAGGAUCCAAUCUAUUUACAUCAGUUUGAAUUACCUAAAUAAUCGGUGGAUUUGAUGCUUCUAAAUCAUUGGCUAAUGUUGAAUAAUCAUUUAAGGUGGGACCCAUUUCGGUACCAAAUGACAUGUAUAACACUGAUCCACAUGAUUUCAAAUCUAACCAUUGAAUGAUCUCAUCUUUGGUCAUGUUAGAACUCCGCCGGUUGGUUCUCAUCUCACAAUCACGAAGCACUGAACCGGUCGAUUUGUAAAAUUGUUCAGGUAACAAUGGGCCCACUCCCCACACUAGCAUCAACACCAUCGAUCCCUCCACUUGCUUCAUCCAGUGUGGUUGAUCACUCGGUUCUGAUGGACCUAUUUUCUCUGAACCGGGUGCACCUCACAAAGGUUGUGGGCCACCAGGAAGGGACCCGUGAGGCCUGCGUUUAAGAUCUGAUUGGAAUAAAGCAACAUCCUUGGGUAACCCAAGAAGUAAAUGGGCCUCUCCCGGUUUGGCAUCCUGGAUGCGAGCCUGCCACAUGGCACACUCCACAGCUGCUGAGCAAGCAUCAGAAGUGAAGAACCCAACAAUGGGAACUUCAAAAUUCUUGAAAACAUCAGCCGUCCAGCCCAUCAUAACGCCGAUGACUACGCAAACAGGUCGGCUUUCGGGUUCCGGGUUGAAAGGAGGUUUCGAAGACCCUGAAGCAUUUGGUUGUGCAUGACAACAUGGAGGUAAGAAGGAGGCGAUGGUAGUAGUGGAGAUGAGGAGGGUAUUUCGGUAAUUUCACAUAGAGGGUAUUGGUGAAGAGAGGAAGGGGUGAUGCUGGUGGUGGAAACGUGAGAGGGAAUAAUGAGGGUAGAUUUGUAAUUACGAGAAGCAAUUUGCUUGCAUAAUUCAAUGCAUGGAAACAGAUGUCCCUGACCGAAGAACGGGACAAUCCAAAUCUCAGCCUCAGCAGCAUUCGCAACAGAGCUUGACAUCUUUUAUGAAUUAUUUGAGACUUAAUUGUUAUUGACUGCUUUUGCCAUCUUUCAUAAAACAUUCUUUGUUAUAUAUUCAAGUAAAUAAAUUUAUCGUUUAAAAUUAAUUUUUCAUGUGGUAAAAGCAAUACUAAAUAUGGGGUGGAGAGAAUAAUUUGUAGGGCAUACCCCCACCAUUUAUUUAAUUUCAUUAAAAAAGAAAGAAAAGAAAUAAAGGCUUGUUCAACAUUCAAUUAAAAUUAACAAUUCCAUGAUAAAAUUACUUGAGAAUAAAAAUUUUUAAAAAAAAAGUAACUCAAAAACGAGGAAUUUUUGAGUAACUGAAGAACCAUAGAUGUUUUUUGGUCAUGAGCAAUUUUUGAGUUGACACAGAACUUGUAUAAAAAAAAUAGUUUUGAAAACUUCUUUUCUUUUUUCGUAAAUAUAGAUAUAAAAUUUUAAAAUCACCAAACACAAAACCAGGAAAAUGGAAGGAGAGCCCCUGUUUCUCCUAUGUUGCAAGCACAAAUUCGGUUUCUAAAGUUGUACCUUCUAAAUGCACCAUUUGUAUUGCUUUGUCUCCACUUGAGCUAACGGAAUUUGAUGAAAACAAAAUAAUUGAACGAUAGGGAUAAAUAUCAAAGAAGGAGCUUACAUGCCCUAUAUAUUCUCUUUGGAUGAAUAACGAAGGUGAGCUUUCAAAGUACAGAGAUUUACAUGUUUUAAUUGUCAUUUACAUUGCUGCAUGCUAAUUGCUUGAUAAAAUACCGCAACAAAUACGCAUUCUCGAUUUCUUAUAAAUUUAUUUUCUUACUCUGAAAAAAAUUGAAUGUUUAGAGAAUUUUGAAGGUUUUGGUGUAUGCAUUAAUAUUUUGAUUCUAUUUAUGUUGUUUAACUAAUGAAGAUGAUACAUCUAGCCUCUUUUUGCCCCUUGUUGUUUUUAUUCUUGUGCUUUAUAUACGGUUCAAGUGUGAUACACUUUAGUUUUUCUCAAGUGUUUGUUAGUAUUUCCCGAAGCAAAAUUUGUCACAGACUUUUAGUUCAAAAGUUGAAAUCAUAACUAACAUACUUCGAUUUUUUAUUUUCCUUUUUUCUUCGGUAUCUUUCUAUAUGGCAUUGCUUGAGAAAUUGGUGUACUUAGAUCGUAAUAUUCUGUAGAAAUAAGCCAAUAUUUCAUUAUGUACAUUGUUUAAUAUGAUAAGUAUUGUAUGGAAGUUUUACAGAUAAGCUCCUUAUAUAUUAUGCAUUAUGUUUUUAUCAUAUUGUUGCUUGGAACUUUGAAGGAUUAGCCACAGGGCUUUAGUCCUACAUGGACAUUUUAUAUUUAACAGCUGGUUAGGCAUUUUAUUUGAUGUUAUUUGGACUUGUAGGUGUUAAAAGUUUUGUUCAGUAAUUUUAUAAUUCAGAUUCCCAUUGUGAAAAGAUAGCAAUUUUUAUUGUGGGUCAGAUUCUGUCAACUGAUAUUUAGCUAAAAUAUCUCACUAACCCCUAUUGGUUAGGUGUUUUUUUUAAUUCACAUACUUGAUUUUUAUUUUCUUUUUAUCUGUGGAAUCACAUGUAUCAUUCAUAAGAAACAAGCUAUUAUAUAAUCUAUUCUUUAGAUCCAUUUAUAUGUAGUGGGCACUCUGAUUUCUAUUAUUUGAAUUUUUUGCUACUGUUACUACUCUUUCGGCCCUUCAAAUAGGGGUUAACAGAAAGGGUGAGUAUAUUAAUACAAAUUCAAACUUUCUUUUUCUAAUUUUAUCCAAAAUAACCUACUAUAUUAUUUUAAUUUCCAACUUUUGUCAUAGUCUAAUGGGCAGUUGUCUUGUCAUUAUUUGGUUUUAGGUAAGAAGAGAGAAAGUUAGUGAGAGGAUGAAAAUUUUGCAAAAACUUGUUCAUAGCUAUGGUAAUUAAGUAAUUUGAGUUCUUUUUUUUUGUUAUUGUUUUUUAUUCACUUUUUCCUGUCUUAAAACAAAUAACGAGUUUUUGUGUUUUUAAUAUUUCUUAUAAACUUCAUGUUGUUUGGUAUAAAAUUAGGUAAUUGGAAAGGUCUCAUGUUGGAUGAAAUUAUCAAUUAUGUGCAGUCCCUACAAAAUCAAGUGGUCGUCAAUGUGUCAGCAUCACUUUCUUCUUCAGAUGUUACUUGUUUUUCACAUUUAUUUUUCUCUCAGUCCUUUUUAAAAGAACAUACACACACAUACUAUGUAGAGUGACCUUUUUUAAUGAGGAAUCUGUCAUUUUAAUAAAAUGAAGAAUAAACUAAAAGGUAGAAGUACACGAACUCUAAUGCAAUAUACCUUUUCUGUUCUUUUACCUUUACUAUAAGAUAGGGAAUGAUAUAAAACUGUUCGAUAAUAGUAAGUGAAAUAAUUAAAAGGCUACUGUUCUAGCUCAUUUAAUAUAUCAAACUUUUCUAGCUCAUUUAAUAUAUCAAACUGCUCGAUAAUUGAAUUGGCCUAGUUAAACAUAAUUUUCAGAUAAUCUUUUUAAUGGUUUAUUUAUUAAUAUUUUGUUUCUUUCCAGUAUGAACACUUUGUUUUGACACGUGGUUAACAACCUUCAACGAACUCGGAACAACCUUCAUCACAUGCUUUCUCACGUGGUUACUUAAACUGAUAUGUUAAACGUGCUCCAUCCACGCCGUUUCCACUAAAUCAUUUUCUGUUAAGAAUCAGCUGAGCAGCGCGUGAGCUAAUGAAGUUUUUCGUAUUGAACUCAACUCUGCUAUUUUCCCAAAGCUGGAAAGCAGAAACAUCAUCCCUUUGGUUUUAUUUCACCUCAACCUUUUUCUGAUCCCAUUUUCAUUGUAAUUUCUCAUUUACUUUGAGUGAAAGUCAUUGUUGCUUUCGAACGAGGUUUUGCAACUAAAAAGGAAAAUGGGGCGGCUACAAUACAUGCGUGCAUCUGAUACAUGCACAAAAACUGACCAUUGGAUUAAAUGGAGUGAUCUAAUGGCUGAGAUUUGUUUCAUUAUUAAGCAAUAAAAAAAUUUGAAACAACCAGAAACCUGUAAAACCGGUCAUUUGGUUUAAGGUAAAAAUAUAUAAAUGAAAAAAAAAAAAAAAAACCCACCACUCCCUCGCCUCACCUCUCUUCUUUUGGGUUUAGUAUUGCUGCUUUUAACAUAAUUGACCUAUGGCCCAAAUCAUUUCUAUAGGGCGAAGCAUAUGAAUGAUACAUAUUAUCUUUUUUUGGCCUUAUGUCUUGUUAUUUGCAGUGUGAUUUGGUCUAGCUUAAGAGCUUAAGCUUGCAGGUUGGAUUUGUCUGACAGGGAACAAUUUAAUUUGUUCAUCGUGAUGUUUAUAUCCAUUUUGUACUACUAUCAAUUUCAAUCAUGCCUAAUUUUUAUAUGUAUUUCUCGUGGACUCUCAGGUUCAGUGCACAAGAGGAUGAAGACGAUGGACACCCAAAUUUGAUGUGGAGAACAACUAUUGCAAAUGGUCCUUGAUUUACUUCUCCAAUUGACUUGAAUUGGUUUGACGCAAUUUAUACUGUAUUUUUGUCAUCUUUGUAUGACUUGCACGUCGUCCUGAUUUGGUACAUGACUGGACACAGGAAUUGGACUCAUAUUUUUCAAACCAGAAUGCCAACAAUCAAGCAUUUUCUUUUGAAAGCACUGGCGUCUUCUUCAAUGCCAAAAAGGUUAGAGAUUUUCUGUAUCCUGUUUUGUAUUUGAUCAGUUUAGCAUGUGGGUGGCAAUCAAGAAAAGUUAUUAUAACAUUUUUGUGUUCCCGAAAAACUGCUGAUGAUGUGUGACUUCUUUUUAUUUGUAUUCUUUCUUUUUCUUUUCUCCCCAACAGUAUUAUGCAUUUCGAAGAGCUUCUUGAAGUUGAUUACCAUGUAUGCCACUUUCUUUACUCUAUGCUCAGGAUGUGAUUUUGCCAAGCAUUAAAAUGGUUUAGGUCAGAACCAUCAUCUAAAGUUUACUUAAAGUUGACGGAUUAAUUCCUUUUAAUAAUGGUCUAGUUAAUUUUACUAUACUCAUAAAACUAUUCUUAUUCUGAUAAUGCCACAAAUGUUAUGAUGUUUUCUUCAGCUAAUGAUCUUCUAUCAGGACUAGUUAGAAAUCAAAUGCUUAAAACACCGAUUGAAUGAAUAAUGCAGAAGUUUAAACAGUAUCUAAUUGAAAAUUGCAUGAAACAUGAAACAUCAAUUCAAGUCCUUCCUUAAACAAAGAAUGCAUCAAACAAAUCCAAAGUGUCUUGCAUGUCUAUAGCAUGACAAAAAAGUUGUAAAUGCGUUUAGAACCAAAUUAUUCAAGUACAGGAGAACGAGCAAGUUGAAUCAUGUACACGAGAUUGGCCUGGUUCGAGAUAGCUUCUUCACUGUACCUGAAGGGUUGGCUCAAUCUUUUCUUUAGAAUUCUGCACAUUUUGUAAUUACUCGUGUAAGCAAGCAUACAUUACAACUCUUGUACACAAACAAUAUUGUAUAAACUAAUGCGACAUAAUAUGAUUGGUUAAACAAAAACAUUACAUAGCCCUCAUAAUUUAUUUAUUUAUUUAUUAUUAUAUAUUUUCAGUCAACCAAUCAUAUUAUAUUACAUUAGUUUCUAUAAAAUAAUUUUCUAAAUAGCACCAAAACUUAAUUGAUACUCACCAUUUCAUUGAACAAUUUUUUUAUGGUGUCAUUGAGGUUGCCUUCCCAACAUCCUUCAUCAUCAUCAUCUUCUUCAUCAUCAUCUUUUUCUUCUUCGGUGACGUUCACUUUGUUUAGCAUUGGUGUGUCUAAGACUCCUUGAGAGAAGAUCAUCAUUUUUGGACACUCUCUCACAACUACUUGUUUCAAGGACGGGAAUUCAAGAGCGUAAUUACCUAAACAAAAGCUUGUUAGGCUUGGCAAACAAUCAAGUCCCAAGUACUUUAAUUCCUUGAAAACAAUGCAAUCUUUCGCUUCUUCUGCAACCGGCGACUGUAUGAUUUCUUCCAUCAUUUUGCAAUCAACUAUCUUCAUUCUUCCGAGAUUCACUAGAUUUUUAGAUGCUGAGAGCGUCAACACAUUUAUCAACCCGUGACACUUCGAUACUUGUAGUCCCCACAGAUUUUCCAAAUGCCACGAAGGUGGUACUAAUUUUUGCAACUUACUACAUUCCGAUAUUUCUAGCCUUUUCAAGUUUGCAAACGCUUUGUUGGAUUCGUCAUUUUCCUUCCAGAGAUGCUGCACUUUGUGUAAUCUAGAUAGCUUUAACUCCUUCAAUUGAGGGAAUGUAAGCUGAAAAUCAACAAAAUUAAGUUGUAAAUGAAAGUAUGUAUCCAAUCUCUGCAGUCUUCCCCUGCAUAUUUUAUGGACAAGAUUAAUCACGGCAUUUUAUAUUUUAUUUCCAAAUUAGUAUGCUUUGCAGUAGGAUCCCAAAUAUAAGUAUCAAAUCGAUUACCCUUUGAAACACAUAAAUGAAAUCUGAUACUAAAUCCAAUAUGAAUUAGCUAGGAAAACAGAGAUGCGACAAGCAUAAUUGAUAUAGUUCAUCACCUCAUGUUACCAGUCAUCGAAAUAAUUUAAGACAUUUUUUUAAUUCAUACUAUAAAGUUAGUUCAUAACUGUAGUUGUAUUGUUAAUUCAUAUAUGAAUCAAGAUGACAUGCAAAAAGAUGAGUCAUAAAAUUUGAUUUGAUUCUAAUGAAAUUACAUCUGUGCGAACAAAAGUGAAGGGGAAAAUAAUAAUAAUAAUAAUAAUAAUAAUAAUAAUCACCUUUUCAUCGAAGAGGGGUUGUACUUGAUGAGCCAGCAAAAAGUUCUCUUCUGAUGUUAAUUUUUGAGGUUCCUUGUUAUUUGUUGUCACAUGCACUACAGAGUUGGAUAUGAAUGUUUCCAUAUCAGGGCAAUUCUCAAUAGUUAGAUUCUCCAACUCAGACAGUUCAAUUAUAUUCCCAGUGAAGUUGCAGAAUCUUUUGAGUUUUGGAAGAUCAAUGAGCCUUAGUCUGUUAAGCCUAGGAAACCGGGGGCCUAUAUGUUCUUCCUUAGCAUUUAGCUCUUCUAAAUGAAGCACCUCUUCUAUUAAAUCACAAUUCCUCACUUCCAGGCAUCUCAAAUUGUUCAAGCAACGUAGCAGAUUGGUAGGAAUAGCACUCGACAUAUUCGUGCAGUCAUCCACAGCCAGUUGUCGUAAAUUGUUGAAGAAGCUGACAGGCACUGCUUGGCCGUGCCAUAUUUCUCUCAAGCGUGGAAAAUGUGAGAGUUGCAAAUGCUCUAUGUCACGGAAUCCAAUCUGCAUAAACCAAAACAAUUGCACUGGAUAUAUAUAAAUUUCUUUUUUUGAAAGGCAUUAGAUAUAUAUAUACAUUAAACUUACAUGUUUUGUGCUUUAACUUCUAAAAAUAUAUUUACAACGCAGGUGUAUAUGUUUAAAUGUGGUAUAGUGGAAUUAAGCUUAUUGCCAUUACUUCGUAAUGGUGUUCGUAACACCAUUACUUCGUAAAGUGAAUCGAUUAACACAUACCAUUACUUCGUAACACUUUUGUAUAGUGGAAUUAAGCUUAUUGCCUUCCCAAUGGUGUUCACCCUCUUCCCUUUCAGUCACUUGCACUACGUAUAGCUUUGGUGUGGAUGAGAUUCCCCGAGAAAAAGUCUUCAUGUUCGGACAAUGUGUCAUAGAAACUUGUUCCAAUGAUGGGAAUUCAAGAGUGUAAUUCUCCAAACAAAAGCUGGUAAGCCUUGGUAAAUCAUCAAGUUCCAAAAGUUUUAAUUCGUUGAAAGCAAUACGAUUCUCCUUCGCUUCUUCUCCAACAUGUCCUAUGAUUUCUUCUAUUUUUGCACAGUCUGAUACAUCAAGAUUCACUAGACUAUUGGGAAUUCCAACCUGAAAAUAAAGAGUAGCAUUCAACUAGAUUCAAAGUAUGUCAAAAUCAUACAAUUGUUUUAUGAAAAAUAACAAACCAUGAAUGUCUACUAGAUAUUUUUUGUUAAAGAAAAAAAAGAAAAAAUAAAAAUAAAUAAAUAGAAGUCCAGAAAAACAAAGAUAAUGAAAAUGCAUUUACACUAUUUAGUAUUAGGAACGGAGAAAGAAUUUCAGGUAAUUUUUAAAUAUUCUAAAUUCAUUUUUCAUCUCGAUGCUAGUUUUUUAAAAUUUUUAAUUUUCAAACAUGCCUAUUUUUAAAAUAACUAAACUAAAACGCUGUAUUUCCCUUUUUUUUUUUUUCCCGAUAUUCAUGCUUUUAAAAAUGGAAAACAUUUCUGGAAAACACUUCCCAACGCCAUCAACAUGGGACUGUUAUAGAGUGAAUAUUUGAGGAAUUUUUUAAUCAACGGUCGAUUCAAAAUGACCAUCAUGAAUUUGUGCUUAAUCAAUGGCGUAAUCAAUUCAUAACUAAACUAGAGAUAUUAACUACAUUUGAACACUUUUCUUUAUUUUUUUUUAAAUCGAAAUUUGAAGACCCAAGGAAAAGAGAAAUAUAUAUGAAUUUGUGAGCUUAAAAGCUGAGUAACUAAGUAUCUUUUAAUUUCUAAAAAUCUUAUUUAUUAGGAUUUAAGGAAAAAAACAAUUAAAUUGAAUUAUAUUAUGCUGUUAAAUCGUGUUUAAAACAAUUAUAUCGUUGACUUUAAUGCGGGUGAACCUAUAAAUUAGAUUGACAAUGCAGAGUUCAGAAUGGUGAUUUGAAGUACACUACUUUUUUGCCCUCCUGAUGUUUGAAGUAAAAUACUUGCAAUAAAUAAUUUGUGAAUGAAAAUUAUUUGUAAACACAAAAAUGAUUAAAAUAAUUGUUGAAUGUUACUUGAAAUAAAAAUUCAAAAUGAAUAUAGCAAUCUUACCAAUGGAGGAAAAAUAUUCAGUAGAUUAUUACACCCAGAUAUCUUCAAUUUUUUCAAUUUGCUAAAAGACUUCGAAGCAAGCUGGUGGUGCCAUAUUUUUCUCAACUUAUCCGCCUCACUAAUAUGUAAUACCUCCAGACUUGGGAGUCGUACCUGAAGUUAAAAAUUCAAUGCAAUUAGAGAUGUAUAUUAAUUAAAUUUGAAGACUCAACGAAAAGAGAAUUUAAAAAUUCAAUGAAAAAAAACCUUUUCAUCAAAGAGGGAUUGAGGUUGCAUUUCAGUGUGAAUGACGUCUUCUGGUGAGGCAAAGCUACUUAGUUUUGGAAGCCAAUGGAGCGACAGGUAGUGUAGUUUGGGAAAAACCUUAAAUUCAUCUCUUCCUCCUAACGUCGUGGUGUUGACUACCCCUUCAAUUGACCGGCAAUUACGAAUCUCAAGAUGUUGGAGUUGCCCAAGACUAUUAACCAUAGAAUAUGAAAACAAAUACUUCAGACGAUGACAACUCCACACGGUCACUUUUGUUAAAUUUUGACAACAAUAUAUUCCCUGAAAUUGAUCGGACCAUAAUUUUUUUAUAUUUGUUAAACUGACAAGUUCCAGUUCCUCCAAGCGUGGAAAAGUAACCUGCAAAGAAAAACCAUACAUUUUUGUUCCUUCAACUACAACUUCUAAUAUAAUAUUCUUUCGAUGAUUGAAGAUCAAUCGUGAUAAUAUAUUAAUUAAUUAAUUAUUAAACAGAAAAUUAUUACCUGGUGAACAGGAUCAUCCUCUGCAUUGAUUUCUAUGAAUCCCUGAGUUGUUGUUGGUUUCUCCAUGUCGGGCCCUAUAAAUGAACCAAAACAAUAUAUAAUAAACAUCCGUUGUUUUUUUCCCCAAAAAAAGAAAAAGAAAAAAAGAAAGAGUCAAUGUCAAUAAUCCUACCAAUAAUUAAUUUCAACACUUACCAAUAAUCAUUUUCAAAUCAUCGCAGUCUUCCACUUUUACUUUUUGAAGCCGCAAUAGGUUUUUGGCCAUAGAGAAUGAGAAGAGAUACUUCAAUUUUCGACAGGAAUCUACGUUUAUAAUCCUUAAGUUGCUGAAGGAUUGAUCUUCUCUGAGUUGGCUGUAGCAUAUCGUCUCCAAAUUAGUUAAAAACAUAAGAGACAAUGCCUCCAGCAAGGGAAAGACUUCGCAACGAACCCUAACUGAACCGACAAUAUGUAAAAUCUCAGAACAGUCUGUUACGAGAAGACGCUUCAAUCGUGGAAAACCUUCCCCAUCGUCUAAUUCAUGAACAACACUUUGAACACCCUCCAAUGUUUCUAGCCAGAGAUCUUCAGUUCUCUGCAGCAACAUUUUUGUCCCAUCAUUCUCCUGAAGAAUGCUAACUUUUUUUAUCCCCUUGAGCAUCAUCAAUCUUGAUGCUUCAGAUUUGACGAGCAAUGGGUCAAACUCAUCUUCGGGCCCAUCUCCUAUACGUAUCUUAUAUCUUUGCAAUUCCACAGAGACAAAAUCCGGCGGCAGAAUUUCGGCAUCCGGAACUUCUAUCUCCAAAGUAGUUAGCUCUGUCAACCUCUCCAAUUCGACAAGACUGGCAUUACUUCCUCCUUCAACCUUCUCCCACCCUGAAAAACCGUUACCCAUAUACAAUUCUUCUAAUUGAGAAAAAUUUUUGGAUAUGACAUUUCGGUGCUAUUCACCUUCAAGCCCACCAAACAAUUGCUCUCAAAUCUAGGAAAUUGGUAACCGCGGCCAAUNNNNNNNNNNNNNNNNNNNNNNNNNNNNNNNNNNNNNNNNNNNNNNNNNNNNNNNNNNNNNNNNNNNNNNNNNNNNNNNNNNNNNNNNNNNNNNNNNNNNGCGAGGCUGAGAAUCUCUAUUUCUUUAGUGUCCCAAUUGCGCUAUAUCUGCUAGUCGCACCAGUCUAAACACAAUGUUUGAAGGUUAAUGAGGCGACCAAGUGAUGAAGGUAAUGAAGAAGAGCCAAUUCCAGGAAACUGUAAAACUUUGAGUCCUUCCAUCCCUUCAAAAAAGUGGUCUGAAACUUGCAUAGGGCCAUUACCCUCCGUAUACAACAAAAAUAACUGGAGAUUGGGACAUUGCAACCUUUCAGGGAGCUCUUGAAUAUCUCUAUGAGGUAAUGAAAUAGCAAUUGGAUCUUUCUGUAUUGUCUCUUCCAUCUUUUUCUCCAAGUCAGCAACAUUUGGAACAUUAAACAUGCGCUCCUCUCUGGCAAUUGAUACGGCAACAACAUGAAUGACGUCAUGCAUUUUAACUUCAUCUUCAGCAUCACCGUCCAACAAUAAGCAUGAAGAUUUGAGGUUGUCGAUCAACCGAUGCACUCUACUCCUUGCUUCUUCCAAUGUGUAAACAUUUUCAAACAAACCCCAACCCACACCACAUCUCAAUAAGUCAGAAACUUGUAUGACAUUACCUUCACUGUAUAGACUACAAAGACGGAACAGAGAUUUUGCCUCCUCACUUUCCAAGAAGUCAUAACUCAAUUUUAUGGAGGUGUACACAUUUGCUUGCAUGCCAUGAAUUUCUCUAGCAUCCGAUCUUCUUAGCUGAUUCAAUGCAUCUUUCCAAAAGUAACUAUCCUUAGUUUUCAGAGCAUUUGCAACUGUACUCAGUGCAACAGGCAAACCUCCGCAUCUUUCAACGAUCUCAUUUGCUAUACUUUGAAAAGCGGAUAUUUUAGUUGAAUCACCCACUAUCUUUUCAAAUAACUGCAAUGCUUCUUUUGGUGGCAAAGCAUCGAUCGGGAAAUUUUUCUGAGAAUUCAUAUCAAUGCGCAAUAAAUCUCGACUUCUAGACGUCAAUAUUAUUGUGCAUCGUCUCUGAUCAUCCUUUGUAUCUUUCUCAUCAACAUCCCCACAAGGAAUUCCAACUUUUUCGAACUCGAGUUUUUUCCAAAUAUUAUCCAAUAUAACGAGGACCUGCUUCUCGUUCUUCAAUCUUUCACGUAAUCGAUCUGCUCUUUCGAAUUUAUUCUCAUCCGAGCCAAAUUUCAUGCCUAAGUCAAAAGCAAGUUUCUUUUGAAUUUCCUGAUGAUCUGGGGUCUGUGUUACCUCAGCCAUAACGACCUUGUCGAACACCUUAUCUUCCAUAACUUGCCUUGCAACUUGCUUGACUAGCGUGGUUUUACCCACGCCGCCCAUCCCGUAGACCCCAAUUAUCUUGAGCUUAUCAUCCUUCAACGCCUCCACAACAUCUUCAAAUACUUUCAUUCUUGAAUCAAAGGCCUCGAAAUCUUUCACUUGCAUAUGUUCUGCCCGCUUUGGAGCAGGACGGUAGGAAACAUUAGAGAAGUUACAUUUUCCCAUGAGACUAGCAGCAGCUUCUGCGGCCUUUGCUGCUUGUCUACUGAGCUUGUAACGAGAAAUCAAGUUUGGGCACAAUCCUUUGAAACAGAACUUCUUAGCUCUAUCUUCAUCAUCAGUGAUGGAUUUCGCAGCUCCCUGACUGAAUUCCUUGACGCUAUUAAGCCAGUCUGCAACAUCCUUAUAAAUCUCAUCUCCUUGUUGAGUAGCCUGAUGAACGGGUAUUUCCACCCUUUCUCUUUUAUAUCCCAACUGUUUCACUUGAUCUUUUAGGCCAUCUAUGUAGCUCUGGUACUUGAACACAUAAGAGAUCUGCCGUAUAAUCGGUUUGAACAGUGACUUUGCAUCUUCUGAUACGAUGCUGGAAAAAGCAGCCAGACCCACUUCUGCAACCAUUGCCUGUUGCUUAACAAUAUAUGUAUAUAUAUGAAUAAAAUGAAUAAAAAUGUCAAAGAAAGGAAUACAAAUAAAUUAAAAUGAACUAGAGGGAAAGACAGAGAAAGAAAAGACCGCAAACAACAUCGCGAUAUUGAUUUUGAACCAACUGAUACAUAAGUAGAGAAUUUCUUUUUCUAUCUUAAGGAUCAGAGGUUUUGCUAUUAACAGAAAGGUAUCCUUUAAGGAAAGUUGAUGGAAAUUAAGAAAGAAUGGCUAUCAAGAUCAAGUAUUCUGCUACUAAAAAUAAAUGAUAUGACUUAAGAAAAGUAAAUGAUAUGAUUAAGAAAAACCAGAGAAUUUUUUCCUAGGAAAGUUGAUGGAAAUUAAGAAAGAACCGCUAUGAAGAUCAAGUAUCAGAGAUUCUGCUACUAAAAGAAUAUUACAGGUUUUAGAACAAGUGCACCUCUUUACCUGUCUGGGAUCAGAGUCGAUGAGCUGCUGUAUUCACCUUGAAUAUAGAAGAAAUAUUACAGGUUUUGACUAAAGAGGAAUGUGAGGAACGAGUUGAUGAGAGUAAUAACAAUGAAUUUCCAAAAGAAGACGACUUGAGCAUUAAGCAUGCACCCCCUUUAUCAAUCAAAUAUUGGUACGUAUGUACGUAGGGACCAUUAUGCGUAUAUGAAGUCCAUUAGUUGCAAUCAGAAACCCUGGCCCAAUUUAAUUGACACUCGAUUUUUGAUAAGAAGAAGGCAAGGAUAAGGACAAAGUCAAUCAAUCACCAACAGUAAUUACUUCAAUCUUUGUCAAUCUACUUAAAUUGUCGAUCAACAUGAAAAUUGUUUAAAUUGAUAUUUGUAAAUCAAUCAAUUUUCUAGUUACUAUGAUUAUAACGUUUCACCUUUCAUAUUGGAUUUUAUCUUUUCGAAAGUUUUCAAAUAUGAGUGUCAAUAAUUAUUGAGACUCCAAGCCGUGCUCUCAAGAUCGUGCUGACAAAUCACUAUUGACUUUGUUUAUGCAAAAUUCAAAGAAAAAAAGUUAUGGUUUUGUAUUGCCAGCCCUGCUACUUUUUGUUUUUUUCAUUUGUAUUAUUUACGAAUUAUUUUUUAACAGAAACAUGAGAACUCAUCAUCGUAUAAAAUUGCAUGAAAAAAUCUUCAAAUUUAUAAAAGUAAAUUUCAUUGACAGAUUGUGGAUAUGUUAGAAAGAAUAAGGAUAAGAAUGAGUUAAGAAAUAAUAUAUAUAUAUAUAUAUAUAUAUAUAGAUAGAUAGAUAGAGAGAGAGAGAGAGAGAGAGAGAGAGAGAGUGAAAGUAAACAAUGUUUUGGUACAUUUGGUAUUGUUUUCAAAAUAUUUUGAAAAGAAAAAUUUUCAAUUAUCCAUCUAAGAAUUAUCUUAUUAUCCAAAAAGUUAUAAAAAUUUAAAAAUAUUUAAUUUUAUACCCAUUAUUACAAUGUGUAUCAACUGUUUACUAAAAAAAUAAAGUUACUCCUAAAACAUAAUCACCACUACAAUUUUGUGUUCGGUUCUAUUUUGUCACUUUGAACGAAUAACUUUAUAUUUUUAACAGAUGUUUCAUACAAAUUGCAUACAUUGGAUGUAAAAUUAAAUAAAUUUAAAUUUUUAUAAUAAUUUUAAUAAUUGAAUAAACUUUGAGUAAAUGACUGAUAAUUUCUCUUUUAUAAGCUACAAGAAGUUAAAAAGAAAAAAGAAAAAAUAGGAUGAUAAUUUCUCUUUUAUAUGCCUCAGAUGAUUUAUUGUUUCGGGUCUAAGAUUUUAAUUAUUCAACUUAAAAGAUUAAUAUAUUAUAAAUUAAUUAAUUAAAUAAUCAUUAAGCAACUAAAUUGGGUCCCCUGGAUGUCAAUUCCUUUAAUAUUGACGCAACUAUUUUUUUCUGGCAAAUAAUUAUUAAUGCACUGACGGAACUUUUGCAUAUCUACACAGCGAUUUUAAAUAUUACUGGUAACUGCUGAGAAAUGUGCGAGAAAGAAGUUGAUGAGAGUAAUAACAGCGACUUGCAAAAGGAAAAGACAGAAUCAUUCACCCCUUUUUGUAUCACCUAUUUGGUUACUGUUUCCCUGUUGACGCAUGUAUAAAUUUGACUGGUUUUUCUGCACUUUUUUGGCUGUUGCUUAACAAUGUGUGUGUGUAUUUGCUGUUGAAAAAAUUGGAUUCAAAUAAAUUAACUGAAAGAUUAGAGUUUUGACUAUUAACUGAAAGGUUUCAAGGGUAUGAAUGAAAAGCAACAUUCUUUUUUAGAAACUAUUUUAGAGGAGAGAUGCAAAUUAACAAAUGCUAAUAACAAGAACACAGAAGUUAACAAUGAACAGUAACUUAAAUCAAGAAAAUUAAAUGACAAAAUUAAGACAAACAAGAGAUAUUUUUUUCUUGGACAUUAAGAAAUAACUGCGGUCAAGAUCAAGGAGAUUAUGCUAUUAAUAGAAAUUAUCAAAGGAUUUAGAACAAGUUCACCUCUUUAAUUAUCCGGGAUCAGAUAGUUGAUGAGCUUCUCUAUUUAGCCUUGAAUAUUUAAGAAUAAUUUUAAAGAGCAAAAAGAUCACUGGUAACUGCUGAAAAAUAAGUGAGAAAAGAGUUGAUGAGAAUAAUAACAAUGAAUUGAAUAAAAAAAGGACUUAAUCAUGCACCCCCUUUGCAUAUCAUGUAUUUGGUUACUGUUGCCUUGUUGACGCAUGUAUAGAAUAAUUACAUGUAUUAUUAUAAUUUUGGAUUCGAUAUCCUUGUAUUAGUGUCUAAGAUUUUCAUGAAGAAUUAAACUUGGAAUGACCAAAAGAGGAAGCUGCAGUGUAUUGUUGGACCCAAUUAAGUUGAAGAAAGCACUAGUUCACAACCUUACGUUUGGAUAUAUUCUAAAGAAAUAAUUAAACAGCAAAUCAUCACAUGCACUUUAAUGAUUUGAUCUAUUGUUUUCAAAAGAAAUUGCAAUUAACAGUUUUUGUCAAAAGUUCGCACAGCGUGAAACUAGUGUUAGUAUAAUUUAAAAAAUUAAUUUCAGUAUUAUUUUUUAAAAUGUUAAUUAUUAGAUUUAUUUUAAUAAUAUAUUUAUAUUUAUUAUAAAAAAUUUAGUUAAAUAUUUGUGUUAAAUAGAAUUUAUAAUUAAUUUAAUAUAUCUUAGGUAUUAAUAAUAUUAUAAUUAUUCUAUAUGCUAUUGAAAAUAAUUUAAAUUUUUAGACAUUUAUUUUAUAUUAAGUUUCUAUUUAUUACAAAAUUUAGUUUAAUAUAGUAUAAGCUUGUAAAGUAUUAAAAUAUUUUUUUCAUUUUUUUUAAAAUAUUAAAAUUAUUUUAAAAUAUAUAUAUUAACAUUGAAGCUAAUUUUUUGAGUUAAUAGAGCUAGUAGGUGUUAUAGUAAAAAAGAGUAUCUUAGUAUCUCUUAUUGAAAAUAUAUAGAUCUAUAUAAUCAUUUUUUCAAAUAUUGAGAUGUAGAAAAAUAAAUUAAAAAAUUUUAAAUUUUAAUAUGGCCAUCGUAGGGUUAGAAUCCCCGCUCCAACCCGAUUUGGAGAUUUAUGUUUUUAAAAAAAAAAAGAACAAAGAAAAAAUACACACCCGACCAAAUCAAGCACCUCAUCAAAUCAAAAAUAAAAAAGGAAAGAAAUUAAUGGCUUGCAUGCAAUUUUGGAUCUGAAAUUAAAAUUACAUAAAAAUUAAGGCUUACGUACCUUAAUAUUUACAGCUUGUUUGAUGGCCCCAACAAGUUUAAGCAGCAUCAAAAUGUUGUGGCUCCUUAAAUGACAACAUCGACUUGUUUGACAGCUCCAACAAGGCUACGAUGAUCAGAAGAUGAGCCCUCAAUCAACAAGGCUAAGAUUGGCUUCUCUAUCCUCUGCCGACAUGUCCUCUUCUCCCAACAACCAGCGCCUUGCUCUUUGUCAUUUUUCCUCUUGUUAGUUUUCUUCUACAUAUAAUUAUUACACUGGGAAGUAUACACACACUUCUUUUCUUUUUAUAGUACCUUACUAUUAUAUCUUUACAAAACAAUAUCACCCUAAGACAUAUAUGUAUGAAAUAAAUAUAUAAGGAACGGACGAAAUAAAAUUAGAUCUAACACUAGUUUCAUGUGGUGUGUGAACUUUUGACAAUCCUCUCAUACCCCAACAAAAACUUUGUCAUAUUACAAAAGUUAUCACGACCAUAGACUUUUCAAUUGCAUAUUGGAAUUGCAAUGUCAUUUUAUUAUAGUAAUGUCAUUUCCAUUAUUCAUAGUGGCAGACAAUGGACAUCACGGGACACGGCUAGAAGUUAUCACGACCAUAGACUUUUCUAAUUUAUGAAAUAAAUGAAAUUAGAUCUAAUUCUAGUUUCAAGUGGUGUGAACUUUUGACAAUCCUCCCAUAUCCUAACAAAAGCUUUGUCAUAUUGCGAAAAUACCUUUUCAAUGUUUCAAUUGCAAUGUCAUUGCCAUUAUUCAUAGUGGCAGACAAUGGACAUCACGGGACAUGGCUAGAAGUCUAUGUUACGGCUUCUGUAAGUAACAGCAGCCAAUGGGGAACUUCCAUGGGGGCUAUAGGAGAGAGAAAGAGGUCCCAAUACAAGUGUUAGAGUACAAUUUAUACACUAGUUUUGCAUUGUUUACUUCCCUUAAUAUCGAUGUUUUGCAUUUAAUAAUAAUGAUUUACUUGUGUUUUACUUUUGUAAGUGCAAUUCUAUUGAUUUGUGAUAGAAUUGAGGUAUAAGAUGAUGUUUAAAGAUGAUUGUUCUCUUGGAGAAAUUUAGAGCGUCAGAAGAACUUUAUAGAUAAGGCGUGGGCGCGUGCUGUCAACUGCGGACCUGCAGUUUUUAGUUUAAUGUGUUUUGUAUUUUUGGCUAUUUUUGUAAUUACGAAUUUAAUAUUUCAAAUAUUAUUAUUUUAUUUUAAAUAGAACUUUAAAAGAGAAGAGAGAGAGAGUAUUUAAGGGAGGAAUCUAUUGUGAAAAAGGGGGGAUUUUAAUUGGAGAAAAAGAAAGAAACCCUAGAUCUAAUUUUUCUCUUCUCUCUAUGAAAAACUAAACUUAUUUUUUCUAGUUGAAGGUUAAUGAAUUUUUGAUUCAUCACUACUGUGAGAUCUUUCUUAUGCUUUAAUUGUUUUAUUACUUUUUGGGUAUUUGUUUAUUCUCUGAAUUAGUUUCAUGAUUAUGUUUGUUAAUUAGGUAAUUGGCCACUAUUUAAUUAUCAACUUAAUCUAUUGUCAAUUAAAGAAUUCAUCGUAUGACGAGUUUAAUGUUUGUGACAAAUAACAUAGCAGUGAGUUGUGUUAUGGGAAUAAACAAUCUAAUUUAAAUGAAUCAUCAUAUGUGUUGAUUAGGAUUUGGGUCGCUCUGGUUUUUCAGGCUGUCAAUUGAUUAAAUCCUAUGAUCGUAUCUAGGGUUGUCUAUUAAUUAGGGAAAUAUCCAAUGGUCGUACCUUGGUUAUCGACUAGUUAAGGAGAGAUUGGCUAUUAGAGGGUCUCAAUAGCUAUAACCAGUUUAUUCAUAAGUAAUAAUAAUCUAUUUUUGAAUCAAUGAUCAGUAGUCGAAUCAAACUGAGUUAAUUCCUUCAACCAAAGCUUUCUCCAAUUUGAAUUACAACUUUAAUUUGCAUUUUUGUUAUUUUAAUUUGAUUUUUUAUUAUUGUCAACAAUUCUCCCAUUUUACGUUUUACGUUUCAAAAGAAUUUAAAUAAUUACCGAUCUCUGUGGACACAACCCUGCUCAAUCACUAUACACAAUUUAUUUAGAGUAGGAAUUUAUUUUUAUUGGCUUCAACAACCAUCAACAAGGUGAUGGAAAUGGGAAAGUUCGAAGCUGUUACUUUCAGCUUCUGCACCGUAGCCAUGUCCCACGGGACAAGGCUAGAAGUUAUCAUGACCAUAGACUUUUCUAAUUUAUUUUUUCCUUUCAAAAAGGGACAAGGAUAAGUUUGGGAGAAUGAUUAUAUUUUUAAUAAAAGAAUUCUUUUUUAUUAUAAUACUUUUUGUCUUUAUUAAUUUAAAAAUAUUAACUCUUAUAUUUUAAUAAAUAUAAAUAUAAUAUUAUAAUAACAUAUAACAAUAUAUACAAAUAUUUAAAAAAAUUUAAGAUUUUAUUAAAAUAAAUUUUAUAAUAAAUAAAAAUACAUUAUUAAUAUAAUUUUAAUAAUUUGCAUUUUAAAAAGUAAUACUGAUAUUAUUUUUUAAAUAUUAAUUUUUUAAAUUAUAUUACUCUACCAAAAAAAAUUAAACUAUUAAAUUAUAUUGAUAUUUAUUACAAAAUUUGCAAUUAAUUCUUAUUAUAUUUUUAAUUGGAAUUUGUUCCUGUGAUAUAACAACAAUUGCUACAGUUUUUUCCCUAAAUAAAGAUGGAGUUAUAAAUUAUUUGUGUAAGUGUCAUGAAAGUAAUAGUUGAAUAACAAUAAUGGGGCUUUAGGCAAUUUUUUUUAUGAGGUCUUCUUGCAAUUUCAACACUUAAACAGACUUGUCCUUGAUCCCAAUUUAUUUACCCCAUUUGGGCCCACGAUGAGAUAAAUAUAUUCCUGUGAGAUGAAAAACAUCAGGAGAAGAAAAUGUUUUAUUAUAAUAAAAAAACAAGUGGUCCAUAAGUCUAUUUAUUACUUUUUUUAUUCAAUACAAAUGGCCAACUUAAAAAAUGAUAAAAAUCACAUAACGCACAAGCAAAAAUUUAGAUUUACAUUUUUUAGUUCUCUCCGUGUCUCUCUUUCUCUUUUUUAAAAAAAAUAAAUAAAUGUCAGUGUAAAAUUAGAAAAAUUUUAGAUAUAAACUUUGGCGAUGACCAAACAAAAAUUGCAAGGGAAAGAAAAUAGAGGACCCUUGAUAUCAUUAAAAUACUGAUCAUAGACACUACAAUAUAAAUAACUUGUUGUGAUCCACUCAACUUGUAACACUUUAAUCCAUAUUCUAAAAUUUGUAUGUUUGUUAGGAAUUUUAUUAUUGACAUUACUGUACCAAUAAAAUUCUAAUUUAUUCAUAUGGAAAGAAAACAUCAAGAAAGGACCUCUGAUUUUUAUUAUAACAGAAAAAAGUGGUCCAUAAGUCUAUUUAUUAUUUUAUUUAUUCAAUACAAAUUGCCAACUUAAAAAAUGGUAAAAAUCACAAAAUGCACAAGUAAAAUUUUAGAAUUACAUUUUUUUUAAUUCUCUUUGAGUCUCUCUCUCUCUCUCUUUAAAAAAUAAACCUCACUGUAAAAUUAGAAAAAAUUUAGACAUAAAAUUUGACAAUCACCAAACAGAAAAUGUAGGGAAAUGAAAAUGGAGGAGCCCUAUUAUCAUUAGAAUAUUGAUCAUAGAUACUAUAAUGUAAAUGAUUUGUUGUGGUUCAUUCAACCUGUCACACUCUAAGCCAUUUUCUAAAAUUUGUAAGGUUUAUAGGAUUUUUAUUAUUGGCAUCAUUGUAUCAAUAAUAUUAUAAAUUAUAUAUUCUAUUGUAAUGAAAAUUUGUGUAAUCUUAGGUAUUUAUUGUAUUAAAUUGUGUGGAUUAAUUAAGAAUAUUUUUGGAGACAAAAGAGGUGUGUGUACGUAGGAUUAAUAAUAAAAAAUUUCUAAAUAAAGGUGAUUGCUUCAUUGACAAGUACAUAUUUAUAUUCUCUAUUAGUAUUUGGGUUGUAAACUUUGUUUAUAAAGUGAAUAUAUUGUGGUAAGCGAUGUGGGCAAUAUCGGAUGCAAAAUAUUGAGAGAUCAUUAACGCAUAUAUUUAUUGCAUAUAGAGGAAAGAGUGUAGAUCCGGCCGUAACAAUUAUGAAGCUUUCCCCAAGUAUUCUCACGCUUCCUUAACUGUUCCAAAGUAUUUUUCAUAGUGUGCAGAUUUACUUUAUGGUGUCUUAAUUCGUCUAAAAUGAUUACUUUAGUUCUUUUGGGAUGAAAGGUCAUUUAUUGUGUUAGGAUUAAACAAUAGAAAAAAUAAGUAAUGGUAACGAAAGACUAAUUUGUGAUAUUGAAGCAUACAUGCUUAACUCAAUCCAAAACUUAGUAAGUUAGCUCAAGAGUUAAGAGUUGUCCAAAUCUUAUAUGCUGAACCCAAGUUCAAUACUCAAUUGAUGCAGGAUGUUAUUCCUAACACCGCCCGUCAUGCGUAGGAUUGGCAAAAAAACUCGAGUCAAUCCCGCCUAGACCUGCAAGCUUUAUUUAUGGCCAGCAUGAUGAAGUUACAGAUAUUAACCUAAAAAUUUGAAACUUACUAUGAAUGGCCUUGGUUAAAGACUUUUGUAACUUUAAUUUAUAACAAAUAUGUAUACACACACACACAUGUUUAGAUUGCAUUUGGGUGACUUUUUUUAUCAAUGCAAACAAUAUCAAAUUUAUCGGAUUAAUUUGAAUCUGAUCUAUAUCCGAUUUUGCCCGCCAUAAGCCCAAGUGACUCUCUUUUACUAAUUAAUAAGGGAAUUUUUUGACCUCAUGUCCUUGCUGUGGCAUUAGACUGUUGGUCAUUUUGAUUGUUUCCUACCUUCCAUUUACGCCAGCUGUAACAUUGUAUUAUUCACCAUUUUAGCCAUUUAAAUGAAAUUUUAUUUUUGUCAAAAAUAAAAUGACACCCUUAAAAUAAAAAAAAAUAGUUAUGUAGACCUCAAAUUUUUAAUAAAGAAUGUCAAUACCUCUUUUAACUACAAGAUUCGUAGUAGAUGAUAAAAAGAAAAUUAACUUCAAAUUUUUUCAUUAAAUGUAAAUCUGAUUGAAGUAGUUUAAAUUUUUCUAGUAGACUAAUAUAUAUAACUUAAAUAAUUAAUUUCAUUAUUAAUUGUUAAAAUGUUAACCAAUAUAUUUUUAAUUUAUUAUAAAAAUUUUAAAUAAAUCCUUGGAUUAAAUAGAUUUUACAAUUAAUGUAAUACUUCUGAUUUAUUAAUAAUAUUAAAAUUAUUUUAUAUGAUAUUCAAAAUAAUUUAAACUUAUAUAUAUAUUAAUAUUAUGUCUAUUUAUUAUAAUAUGGUUUAAUAUUAUACGGGAUUGUAAAAUAUUAAAAUAUUUUUCAAUAUCCAAUUAUUUUAAUAUGUAUAUAUCAUUACAUUUAUUUUAGUAUCAUAUUUAUAUUUAUUAUAAAAUAUAAAAUUAAUAAAAUUAAAGAGUAUUGCAGUAAAGUAAAAAAGAAAAGUCUUAUUAUCUCUUAUUCACGAUAUGAGAUUCUACAAAAUUAUUUCCCGAAACGGGUGUCCUUUUCUCAUUUUCAAAAGAAAAAAUAAAGUAAGAAUAAGUCCAUGGGUUUCAAAAACUUCUAGUCUUAUCCCGGGACUACAUUGUCUGCCACUAUAACUAAUGGAAAUGACAAUACAAUUGACAUUGCCUUUCGCAACAUGACAAAUUUUUGGUGGGAUAUGGAAGAAUUGUCAAAAGUUCACGCCAUGUGAGAGUUUUUGGUGGGAUGUGGGAGGAUUGUCAAAAGAUCACACCACAUGAUAUAACCACAAUUGCUAUGGUUUUUAUUUUUUAAAUAAUGAUGGGAGUUAUAAAUUAUUUAUAUAAAUUUGCGUAGAAACUAAUGUAACAUAAAAGAAGUAGCUGAAUAACAAUAUUUGGUGCUUUAGGUAAUUUUUAUAUGAGCCUUUCUUUUAUUUAGCGGCUCUAGUGCUUAAACAAACUUGUUCUCGAUCUUAUAACAGAAAAGGCAUCCCAUUUAAGCCUAUGAUGACAUAAUUAAACAUAUUCUUUUGUGACGAAAACAUCAAGAGAAGACAUCUCAUGUUUUAUUAUAACAGAAAAGAAGUGGUCCAAACGUCUAUUCGUUAUUUUAUUUAUUCAAUAUAAAUGGCCAACUUUAAAAAAAUGAUCAAAAUCACACAACACUCAAGUAAAAAUUUAGAAUUACAUUUUUUAAUACUCUCUAAGUCUCUCUCUCCUGCCCCCCCCCCCCCCACCCCGUCCCCUUUUUUGAAAAAAUAAACCUUAGUGUAAAAUUAGAAGAAUUUUAGAUAUAAAAUUAGAAGAAUUUUAGAUAUAAAAUUUGGCAAUCGCUAAACAGAAAAGCAGCGGAUUGAAAAUAAAAAAACUCUAUUACCAUUGGAAUAUUGAUUAUAGACAAUAUAAUAACUUGUUGUGGUUCAUUGUAGCACUCUGAGCCAUAUUCUAAAAUUUAUAGGUUUGUUAAGGCAUUUAUUAUUGACAUUAUUGUGUCAAUACUAUUAUAAUGAUAAUUUGUCUAGUCUUAGGUACUUAUUAUAUUAAAUUAUGUAAAUUAAUUGAGGAUACUUUUAGAGACAAAAGAAACACGUGUAUGUAGGAUUAAUAAUCGAAGAAUUGUAAAUGAAGGUGAUUGCUUCAUUGAGAGGCAUAUUAAAUAAUUAUGGAGAGUUGCACUAUUUCGGAAGCACAUAAUUAUACUUCCCUAUCAGGAUUUGGGGUAAACGAAGUGCUUUAUCUAUUGCAGUAAGCAAUGUGGACAAUAUCAGAGGCGAAAUAUUAAAAGAUCAUAACGCAUAUAUUGGAGCCAUUUAUCUUCCGCAACUGUUCUGAACUAUUCUUCAUUGUGGGCAGAUUUACUUAAAUACCUGCACAAUGAUUCAAUACUUCAAAGGUCAAGGAAAUGUCAAAAUAUGAAAUGAAAAUACUUAAAUACCCUUCUACCUAACAAAACUCGCAGAGAAUCUAUAAAAUUAAAAAAAAAAUAUUCAUCCAUGAAAAGCUUCGUAACAGAAAAACCGUCUUUCAAAAAAUAAAAACAGAAAAACUGACUCAUUUAUCUGCAAAUGAACCAAUCGGGACUCAUUUAAAAAAGAAUACAAAGCAAAAGUAAAUGACACAAAUUGCAUAGAUAUCUAGGAGCCGCAUCAAAAGACAAAGGUGUUAAUUUGUCCAAGAAUAAAUUCUCCUAGGUCAAAAGCAAUUAACGAUGAAAACUUUCUUCAUUAAGGUUCUGGCCUACGUAAAAAAACAGAAAAAAACCACCCCAAGGUCAAAGCACAACGAUAAAUUUAGAAAUGAAGUUUUUAAUUUUUUUUUAAUAAAUCAACGUGUAUCAAAAAUAGAUAAUAAUUUUGGAUAACUUUUUUUGAUAAAUAUAGACAUAAAAUUUUAAAAUCACCAAACAGAAAAACAGGAGAAUUAAAACAAAGUCCCUGUUUAUCCUCUAUUUUGCUUGUUAUUAAAAAGGGAAAUGAAAAGAUUGCAAGCGGAAAUUUUGUUUCUGCGUUGUCUCUUCUCAAUGCUGCAUGCAUUCAAAUUAAACCUUACAUAUGCUAGCAAACUAGCUACGCUGCAUGUAAGUUCUCGAUAAGUCCAAAUAAUAGAAUAAUUGUAAAAUGUUCAAAUUCAGUAAUUAAUUUUAUUUAUUUAUUUAUUCAAAAAUUAUUAUUAUUAUUAAUUAUUGUCAAUAAUAUAUUAAUAUACUAAUUAAUUGUAAAAAAAUUUAUCAUUCAUAACAAUAAUAAUGAUGAUGAUGACGAUAAUAAUAAAAAUUCAAAAUAUAUUAAUUAAUUAUAAUAAUAUAUUAAUUAUUUAAUAAUAAUAUAUUUAAAAUAUAUAUAAAUUGAUUAGAAUAGUUAUAUUAAUAAAUUAUAAACAUAUAUUAAUUAAUCAUAAUAAUUUUUUAAUUGAGGACAAAAUAGAUAUUUUAUAGUUUGUGAGAGGGGGCAAAAUGAUCAAUCUUGGGAAUGGGGGAUUGAUUCCCACCACCUUCCUUAGGAAUCAAUCUUCCAUUCCUCACUCCUAAUUUGGGUGGUCCCCAUAGUUCUGAUUCGGAUCCCAGCCUCCAUUUUAUGAAGUAAACAUCAUUAAUGAUUUCGAUUUCGGAUUUCGAUUCUCCAGUCCAAGAAGUAAAGGCACCAUUAUUGUUAAUUGGUUCAAACACACAAAGAGAAUGUACCAUGUAGCUAGGCGUCAAGGUUGUGUGGCACAAGUAACCUUUUUCUUUUCUUUUUAUUUUUCUUGUUUUCCUUAACGGAUCAGAAGAAAUCGGUGCCUUUGAGAUACUACAAUGUAAAUAAGUAUUUGUGGUUCAUUGAAUCUGUAACACUCGGUACCCUAAGGUUGCUUUUGAAAAAGGGCUUUUCUCACUGAUCACCAAUAUCCAAGUAAGUUUGUUUCAUUUCAGAAGGUGCAAAGUUUCAAACUUUUUGUAUUGGGAUGUAACAAACUUUGGCCUUAUAUGCUUGCUGUGACGUUAGACUGUUCAUUUUGAUUGUUUCCUACCUUCCACUUGCGCCACUGUAGCACUGUAUUAUUCAUCAUUUUAGUUGUUUAAAUGAAAUUUUAUUUUUGUCAAAAAUAAAAUGACACCAUUAAAAUUUAGAAAAAUAAUCAUGUAGAUCCCAAAUUUUUAAUAAAGAAUACCAAUAUUCCCCUUGACUACAAUACCCUUAGCAGGUGGUAAUCAAACAAAUUGACUUAAAAUUUUUUACGAAAUGUAAAUAUGAUUUAAAUAAUUUAAAUUUUCCAGAAGACUAAUAUAUAUAAUUUAAAUAAUUAAUUUCAAUAUUAAUUUUUAAAAUGUAAAUUAAUUUAUUUGUACUUAUAAAAUAUUUGUAAUUAUUUUAAAAUUUUAACUAAAUCCUUAGGUUAAAUAGAUUUUACAAUUAAUAUAAUAUUUCUCAGGUAUUAAUAAUAUUAAAACUAUUUUAUAUGACAUUGAAAAUAACCUAAAUUUUUUAUAUAUUUAUUUGAAUAUUAUGUCUCUAUUUAUUAUAAUUUGGUUUAAUAGAAUACGAGAUUGUAAAAUAUUAAUAUUUUAGAUAUUGAAAUUAUUUUAAUAUCUAUAUAUUAUUAUAUUUAUUUUAAUAUCCUAUUUAUAUUUAUCAUAAAUUAUUAGAGUUAAUUUUUUUAGUUAAUAAAUUUAAAAAUAUUAUAAUUUAAAAAAAGUCUUAUUGGCCGUUAUUCACGAUAUAAGGUUCUAAUAAAUUAUUUCUCUAGACAGGUGCCAUUUUCUUAUUUUCAAAAGGAAAAACAAGUUCAGGGCCUCGGGGGUUUCAAAAAAUUCUGGUCCUAUCUAUCACUAUGACUAAUGGGAAACGGCAUUGCAAUUGACAUUGCUUUUCGCAAUAUGACAUAUUAUGGAGGGAUAUGGGAGAAUUGUCAAACAUUCACACCACGCGAGAGCUUUAGGUGGGAUAGGGGAGGAUUGUCAAGAGUUCACACCACAAGAAACUAAUGAUAGGUCUAAUUUCGUUGUCAGUUCUUUAUUUAUUUAUUUUUUUUAUUUCAUACAUUAUUGUUCUUGUAAAGGUAUAAAAGUAAAGUAAAAUACUAGGGGUGCUGUUAAGUUACAACUGAUGUAACUUGUAAUUUUUUCAAAAAUAAUGUAAAAAAUUUAAUAGGUGGUGGGACUCACAUAUUUUUUAAGAGACUUAAGUUAUAGUAGUUGUAACUUAACAAAAUCUAAAUAUUAUACAAUAAUGCAUAUUAAUAAUGCAUAUAAUUUGGGUUUGAUUUUUAAAAGAUUAUUUGAGUACCACCUAUCCUUAUGAUAUUAAUGUGAUUAUAUCUUAAUAUUAAAUAAUCAAAAUUUGUUUAAUUAUUAUUUGUAUUUCAUACAUUACAUAUUAGAUUUGUUUGAAUUUUAAGUUGUUGCUAAUAAAUAUUUAUGUUGUCAAAGUCAAAUUCAAUAGCUACAAAAGCAGAGAUAAUGGUAUUGUAUAUAGUUUUUAAGAAUGCAAGGAUAAGCUGGAUAAUUGACAUAAAUUCUAAUGAUUAAAAGAGCAACUAUCCCUUAAAUUAUAAUGUUAAUUUCUUUAAUUAGAUUUUUUUUUUCAUGUGAUAUAACCACAAUUGCUACAAUUUUUUUUUAUAAUAAUAAUGGGAGUUAUAAAUUAUUUAUAUAAAAUUUGGGUUGAAACUAAUGUACCAUAAAAGUGGUUGCUGAAUAACAAUAUUUGAAACUUUAGGUAAUUUUCAUGAGUCCUUUUUAUAUUCAGCAACCUGAAUUGGGGAAAAUCCGACUUGAAUUGGCGGUUGAUUUUGGUGAUGUGGCUUUUGGUUUAUGGCGGCUUUACUGUGGCGGAAGACUGGAUUUACGGUUGCCGACUGCUAGGGAUUAUGGUGGUGGUGUAAAUUGACGGAAAAAGAAGGUGUUUUGGUGGCGGCGCGUGUAGGAAGCACUCGUGGGUUGUCGUUUCGUGUGGUGACAGAGGGCGGCGAUCAAGGGCCGAAGUCGGUCAGUUUUUGGUCAACGAAGGCCGGCGAGUUUGUUGGUGGAGGUGGCUGGUGGAGAAAGUGGCUGAAUGGUGGUGGGUUGCUUGGUGGAGCCGCAGGUUUGGGUUGGUGAUUUGCGGCUGUUCAAGCGGCGGUUGAGGCAGCGAUGACUGAGGCUUGGUCGACGGUGGCUAGUGAGGUUUGUGGUGGUGUUGGCUGGCUGAUUGGCGGUGGUGGGCGGCGGUGGGGGUUGGUCUGACGGGUAGGGUUUUCAAAUUUGUAAUUUUUUUUUUUGAUGGAUUUGGUUUGGAUGGGUAUGGUGUAUCUAGGAAAGAUGUGUGAUUCGCACAGAAUUGCUUUGAUACCAAUUGAUGGAGCGAGCGUAGCGGAAGUGGAAUUGAUAAGGUAAGAAAUACUAAAUAUCAUUCUAGUACUGGAUCAAGCCAACACAAUUAACUUACGCUUUAAUCAAAGCGUGAUUAGAUAUUGUUUUAAUCUAAAUGAUUCAAUGAGAUUUUUAAUAACGCGUAAUACGAGAUUAGAUGACACUCUAAUUUAAAUAACUCUAUAAGAGAGAUUUUGAUAAAUAAUACUAGAGGAAAUUAUAAAAAAAAGAGUUUUAUUUAAUAAUUGAAUUUGAAGUCCUGAAAACAAUGACAAGACAUCUUUAUUUUUUUUAUUACAGACAUCUUUAUUUAUAAUAAAAGAAAUCCACUUUCCUAAGUUAACCUAAAAAGAAAAUUUAAAUUAUAAUUAUAAUGGAAAUAAAAGAUUAAGAUACAUACCAUAAUUGACUCAAACAAAAAUAGAAAACCAUAAAAUAAUAAAUAUUUUAGAAUUAUAAAUUAUCUAAAAUAACGUUAAUUAACUUCCUAAAUCACGUCUUUGGUGUAAACCAUUUUGCAUCCAACCUUGCUUUAAAGGUUUGAACCAACGUUACGAACAACAAUGUAUCAAAUUCCAAUCUAACUUAAGAUCCUGAUACAUCUACCGAUGUCCUUGUUUGAUUAGACAAUAAUGAGUCUAUCUCAUCACUUGUUACCUCUUUUUUGAAGCUGCAUCUGUUGAAGUGAUAGCCUCGCUUAGAGUUUAAAGAUCUUCUUCCAUGUUAAAUAAAGUGGGCAUUUGAUUAAAAAACUUUAUCUCUAUCUCCUUCUAUCAAAUAACGAAAACUAUCCAAAGGAAAAAAAAAAAAUUAGAAAAGUCCAUGGGUUGCAAUAAUUUAUGGUCUGUCCUCGGACCCCAUUAUCUGCCAAUAUCAAUGAUGAAAAUGAAAAUAAAUGGCAUCUUCCCAAAAUGGCGAAAGAUUUUUAGGAGAUAUGGGGAAUUGUCAAAAGUUCCCACAACGCGAAAUAAGUGUUACAUCCAAUUUUAUUUCAUCAUAUAAUGAUAAUAUCAAGUAAUGACAGCCAUCUAAAAGUAUAAUGGGUCUUCCAAAAUUUUGAAAAUGUCGUCAACAUUUAAUCUUCAAUGCUAAAGAAGAUGAAAUGCCCAAAAAUGACAUGCAGGACCCACUCACAGACUAAACGGCCCUGACCACAUGCAACAAACUUUGACUUUAUGUCCCUGCUGAGGCGUUAGACUGUUGGUCAUUUUGAUUGCUUUUUACAUUCCAUUUACGCCAUUGUAGCAUUGUACUAUUUACCAUUUUAGCUGUUUAAAUGAAUUUUUUUUUCCAAAAAUAAAAUGACACCCUUAAAAUUUUAGAAAAUAAUCAUGUAGACCCCAAAAUUUUAAUAAAGAACACCAAUACCCUUUUUGACUAUAGUACUCUUAUGGUAGCCACAAAAAAAAAAUGACUUCAAAAUUUUUUACUAAAUGUAUAUAUGAUUUAAAUAGUUUAAAUUUUCUAGUAGACUAGUAUGUAUAAUUUAAAUAAUUAAUUUUUAAAAUGUAAUUUAAUAUAUUUAUUUUAAUAAUAUAUUUAUUAUAAAAAUUUUAAACAAAUCCUUGGGUUAAAUGGAUUUUAUAAUUAAUAUAAUAUUUCUCAUGUUUUAAUAAUAUUAAAAUUAUUUUAUAUGAUAUUGAAAAUAAUUAAAAAUUUUAUAUAUUUAUUUGAAUAUUAUGUCUCUAUUUAUUAUAAUUUGGUUUAAUAGAAUACGAGAUUGUAAAAUAUUAAAAUAUUUUUAGGUAUUGAAAUUAUUUUAAUAUGUACAUAUUAUUAUAUUUAUUUUAAUAUCCUACUUAUAUUUAUUAUAAAAUAUUAAAAUUAAUUUUUUUAGUUAAUAAAUUUAAAAAAUAUUAUAAUUAAAAAAAAGAGUCUUAUUGUCUGUUAUUCACGAUAUAAGGUUCUACAAAAUUAUUUUCAAAAGGAAAAAUAAGUCUAGGGGUUUCAAUAAAUUCUAGUCCUAUUUGCCACUAUGACUAAUGAAAACGACAUUGCAAUUGACAUUACUUUUCGCAAUAUGACAAAUUUUUGGAGGGAUAUGGGAGAAUCGUCAAAUGUUCACACUACGCGGGAGUUUUGGAUGGGAUUGGGGAGGAUUGUCAAGAGUUCACACCACAAGAAACCAAUGAUAGCCAUAAUUUUGCUAUCAGAUCUUUGUUUAUUUAUUUUAUUUAUUUCAUACAUUGUUGUCUUGUUGGCAUUGUUUUGCAAAGAUAUAAAAGUAAAAUAAACUAUUAGGGUGCUGCUAAGUUAAGCUGUUGUAACUUACAAUCCCUUAAAAAAUAAUGUAAAAAAUUUAACACGUGGUGGGAUCGACAUAUGUUUGAAGAGGCUUUAAGUUACAGUAGUUGUGACAUAGCAAAAUCCAAUUAUUAGACAAUAACGCACAUUAACAAUGCAUAUAAUUUGGGUUUGAUUUUUUGAAAAAUUAUUUGAGUAUUAACUAUCCUUAAGAUAUUAAUGUGAAUAUAAUUUAAUAUUAAAUAAUCAAAAUCUGUAUAAUUAUAAUAUAUAGUUCAUACAUUGCAUGUUUAAUCAAAAUCUGAUUGCUUUUUACCUUCCAUUUACGCCCACUGUAGCAUUGUACUAUUCACCAUUUUAGCUGUUUAAAUGAAAUUUUUUUUUUUUCAAAAAUAAAAUGACACCCUUAAAAUUUUAGAAAAUAGUCAUGUAGACCCCAAAAUUUUAAUAAAGAACACCAAUACCCUUUUUGACUAUAGUACUCUUAUGGUAUUCACAAAAAAAAAAAAUGACUUCAAAAUUUUUUACUAAAUGUAAAUAUGAUUUAAAUAGUUUAAAUUUUCUAGUAGACUAGUAUGUAUAAUUUAAAUACUUAAUUUUUAAAAUGUAAUUUAAUAUAUUUAUUUUAAUAAUAUAUUUAUUAUAAAAAUUUUAAACAAAUCCUUGGGUUAAAUAGUUUUUAUAAUUAAUAUAAUAUUUCUCAUGUUUUAAUAAUAUUAAAGUUAUUUUAUAUGAUAUUGAAAAUAAUUUAAAAUUUUAUAUAUUUAUUUUAAUAUUAUGUCUCUAUUUAUUAUAAUUUGGUUUAAUAGAAUACGAGAUUGUAAACUAUUAAAUAUUUUUUGGUAUUGAAAUUAUUUUAAUAUGUAUAUAUUAUUAUAUUUAUUUUAAUAUCCUACUUAUAUUUAUUAUAAAAUAUUAAAAUUAAUUUUUUUAGUUAAUAAUUUUAAAAAAAUAUUAUAGUUAAAAAAAAGAGUCUCAUUGUCCGUUAUUCACGAUAUGAGAUUCUACAAAAUUAUUUUCAAAAGGAAAAAUAAGUCCAAGGGUUUCAACAAAUUCUAGUCCUAUCUGCCACUAUGACUAAUGGAGACGAUAUUGAAUUGACAUUGUUUUUCGCAAUAUGACAAAUUUUUGGAGGGAUAUGGGAGAAUCGUCAAGCGUUCACACCAUGCGAGAGCUUUAGGUGGGAUAUGGGAGAAUUGUCAAGAGUUCACACCAAGAGAAAUUAAUGAUAGGCCUAAUUUCGUUGUCAGUUCUUUAUUUAUUUAUUUUAUUUAUUUCAUACAUUAUUGUCUUGUUGGUAUUGUUUUGUAAAGAUAUAAAAGUACAAGUAAAAUAUUAGGGGAAGUAAAGUAAAAUAUUGGAGGUGCUGCUAAUUUACAGCUGCUGUAACUUACAGUUCCUUCAAAAAUAAUGUAAAAAAUUUAACACGUGGUGGGACCCACAUUAUGUUUGAAGAGGCCGUACAUUAUAGCAGUUGUAAAUUAGUAAAAUCCAAAUAUUAGACAAUAAUACACAUUAACAAUGCAUAUAAUUUGGGUUUGAUUUUUUAAAAAAUUAUGUGAGUAUUACCUAUCCUUAAGAUAUUAAUGAGAAUAUAUUUUAAUAAUAAAUAAUCAAAAUCUGUUUAAUCAUAAUAUGUAAUUGAUACAUUGCAUGUUAGAUUUGUUUGGAUUUUAAGUUGUUGCUAAUAAAUAUUUAUGUUGUGAAAGUCGAAUUCAAUAGCUACAAAAGCAGAGAUAACGGUAUUUUAUGUAGUUUUUAAGAAUACAAGGAUAAGACCAUAACGCAUGAGAUAAUGGUAUUUUAUAUAUAUUAAAAGACCAUAACACAUGUAUUUGAGCCAUUGAUAUUGAAGACACAUAUAGAGGAAAGAGUGCAGAUCCGGCCCUCAGUAUUGUGAAGCUUUCCUCAAGUAUUCUCAUGCACACAGACCUUAUCUGGUCAAGUUUUCUGAUUCAAUAUAAUCAAUUUCCGCGCAGUACUGACGACAGCUUCUCUGUAAAGCUCUUCAACCACAAGCAUUUCUACAAGGCAAAAGACUAGGACGUGUCAGAAUGAAUAUCAAUAAGGGAAUGUCUUAUGAAUUUAGUUUAUAUCCUAAUAUAAGACAAUCAGUAAAUAUUGGACUCAUUAGUUGCCCUUGCCUCAGACGUUUGGAUGCUAAGGGGAAAAAGGAAGUUUGAAUUAGUCAAUCUCAUUUCUAAUGGCAUUCACAGAGAACUUAUAAAACAAAAAAAUUAUAAAAAAAAAUUCAUCCAUAAAAAGCUUAGUAACGGAAAAACCGACUCUUUUAUCUGCCACUGACGAAAAAAAAACUGAAGUAUCAAAUAGAUAAAGAUUUUAAUUUUUUUCUUGGAAAAACUAAUAAUAAAUUAACAAUUGGAUAAUACUAUUAAUUAGAGAUCUUUAAUAUUAAGGUUAUCAAAGAUAGAAUGUGUAUAAAAAUUCUUAAUUAUAAGAUAAUUACUAACUAAAAAGAGGCCUAAAAAAGAAGAUUUGCUAUUAUAAGUAAUACCAAAAAUAAAAAAGGGAGACUUCCUAAUUGUUUAAUUGUUAAAAAAGAGGAUUUGCUAUUAUAGGCCUAAUUUGCCUAUAAGUAAUACCAAAAAUAAAACCGUUCCUGGAUGUAAAAAAUAAAAAUUAUUGUUAAAUUCCUGACUAAUAAGGUCAUUGAAAGUAUUCAAAGGACCUGAACUUAUAGGAAAGCCAGCCAUGAUGAACUAUACCACGUUGCAAGUGAGCUCGUAUCUUCAUCCCUUGAUCUGCCAUCGGCAUUUCUGUUCCACUCACUAUACCAUCCUUUUCAAUCGAUUUUUAUUGAUCAUAAGAGGCCAUGUGGCCCACCUUAUUUUUAUUUUGGAUCCAUAACCCAAAGCUGGCCCAAGUUCUGAUUCCAGAAUCAUUUGUCUACAAAGUGACCUCAUUCCGGCAAUUGGUUUAUGCUAAUAGCACGUGCAAUUUUCAUUUUCUUCUUUUUAUUAAUUAAUUUCAUCAUUAUUAUUUGCUUAUUAUUUUAAAUUAAUUAAUUAAAUUGUAUUAUUGAAAUUAGUCUUUCUUUUUUCUUUUCUCUUUCAAUGCACAAAGCCAAACAACCAUUCUUGCUUCAAAUACCGAAGAGCUCCUGACUACGGCUGUCAAUGCUUCUAUAUUUACGUGCUGUGCUGCAUCACUCUUAGCGAAAGCUUGAAUGAAUGAUUAAAGACAAAAGCUUAUAUAAAAGCAGAUGCCGGAGGCACUCAAAAAGCAUUUGAGAGAGAAGCUACACAGCAAAUCAUCAAACGUACUUCAAUGACUUUGAUUUUGAUUCUUUUUUUUUUCAAAAGAAGUAGAAAAGUCCAUGGAUCACGAUAACUGCUUGUCCUAUGCCGUGACCUCAUUGUCCGCUGCUAGUGUCAAAUAGAUUAAUCUUUCUAGUAGAUUAAUAUAAUUUAUAAUUUUAAUUUCAGUAUUAAUUUUUAAAAUGUUAGUUGUUAUAUUUAUUUUAAUAAUAUAUCUAUUUUUAGUAUAAAACUUUAAAUAUAUAUUUAGAUUAAAUAGAUUUAUAAUUAAUAUAAUAUAUCUCAUGUAUUAAUGAUAUUUAAAUUAUUUUAAAUAAUAUUAAGCCUAACUUAAAAUUUUAUAUAUUUAUUUUAAUAUUAUGUUUCUAUUUAUUAUAAAAUUUAGUUUAAUAUAAUAUAAGAUUGUAAAGUAUUCAAAUAUUUUUUAAAUAUUGAAAUUAUUAUAAAAUGUAUAUAUUGUUACAUUUUUAAUAUUGAAGUCAAUCUUUUUUAAGUUAAUAGAGUGAAAAGAUAUUAUAAUAAAAGGCUACGUAAUCUUUCACUUGCACAUAUUCUGUACUCUCUGGAGCAGGACGGUAGGAAAUAUGAUUACAAAUGUUAAAUUCGCCUUUCUUCACAAGUUUAUCAGCUUCGUUUGCGGCCUCUGCUGCUUGUUUACCAAGCUUGUAACAAGAAAUCAAAUUUGGGCACAACCUUUUGAAGCAGAACAUCUUAGCUCUAUCUUUAUCAUCAAUGAUUGAUUUUGCAACCCCUUCACUGAAUUCAGCAACUCUAUUUAGCCAGUCUCUGACACCCUUAUAAAUCUCAUCUCCUUGUAGAGUAGCCUCUCUAACCAGCAUUUGCACCCUUUCUCUUAUAUAUUCCAGCUCCUUCACUCAAUCUUUUAGCCCAUCUAUGUAGCUCUGGUACUCGGAACACAUAAGAUAUGUGCCACAUAAUCGGUUUGAAUAAUGCUUUUGAACCUUGUGAUACAAUGCUAGAAAAAGUAGGGAGACACCCUUCUGCAGCCAUUGCCUGUUGCUUAACAAUCUAUAUAAAUAAAUACAAGUGUCAAAGAAAGGAAUACAGAUAAAUUAAAAUGAACUAGUGGGAAAGACAGAGAAUGAAAAGACUGCAAACAAUAUUGCGAUAUUGAUCUUGAACUAACUAAUAAUUAAAUAGAGAAUUUCUUUUUCUUUCUUGAGGAUCAGAGAUUUUGCUAUUAACAAAAAGGUACUUCGAGGGUCUGAAUAAAAAACCAACCAUAAAUUAUCAAAAGCUAGUAAAAACACAGACGUAAAUAAUGAACAAUUACUUAAGCAAAACAGACCAUGAUACAAAGCAAAUCUAAUAAAAUGACAAAAAAAGAAAGAAAGAAAGAAAGAAAGAAAAUACAACAAAUAAUAUUGAAGUGUUGAUUAUGAGCCAACUGAUAUUUAAACAGAUUUUUUUAAAAUUUUUAGUCUUUUGCUAAAGGAUUAGAGUUUUUGUUAUUAAUAGAAAGGUUUUAAAGACCUGACAUUACUAGAAAAAUACUAAAUAAUGACAGAAAUUUUAUAACAUAUAUCGUUAUGUCACGAAUGUGUCAUGAAAAUAUGAUAGAUUCGUGAUAUAUAUUCAUGUCCAGAGUAUAUGACAUAUUCAUGACUUAUAACUUAACCAUCGUAAAUAAAUGAUACAUAUAAGUCAUGCUUAAGUUUUGUGAACUUAUAAGAUUGUAAAACAAUGCCGUUUAAAUUAACGACACCGUUUUGUAUAACUUAAAACCCAUUAACACUCGCAGCCAAAUUUUGGCUAAGCGUUGAAUUAAUCCCUCUCUCCACUGUAGAGAUGGCAGAAAAGCCCGCUCAGACCGGAUCCGGACUGGACCCGGUGCAUACGGUCCGGGUAAAACCCGGAUCGGAUGCAUGGAAAAAGCGGAUCCGGGCACGGGUCCGGUCACAGCACCAAGAAUCUGGAACCCGGACCCGUGCCCACUUUUUUAUUAAGUAAAAAAAAAAUAUAUAUAUAUAUAUAUAUAUAGUAGUUUUCCAAUCAGGGAUUAGUUAAAAGACAAAAUAAACACAUACUCCAAUGCAUUGUAUUUUAUCAUGUAGUGUAGUAAAAUUUAAAUUUUUUUGUCUUUUAGCUAAUCCAACUACUAUAUAUAUAUAUAUAACAACAAAAAUGCAUUUUGCUUUACCCAAUUUCCCCCAAACCCAACCGGCCAACCCUAAAUCGCAACAAGUCUCAGAAUCGCCACCUCCCUCCGUUUCUCCACCAACAACCACCACCCAUCUUCACCGAUGCAGUGUUGACGGCGCGGCCUCUUCCCCACUUACAGAAAAAUGCGCAUGCUUUUACCGAGAAAAGAAAGCUUUUAUUUUUUGUAUGACAUCUGGUCCUCCCAUCAAGCUUACCUGAGGCAGCGAGGCUGAAAGUCUCUGUUAUCAACCAUCAGGACACCAGAAAGAGUAAUUGCUCACAUCGUAAGCGCCAUGAACUAAUUUUUCCGAAAAGGAGGAAAUGAAGGUCACAAUGGAGCUCAUUUCCCGCGAUUCGAGAGCCCUACAGAGAGGUAGGACCCCUAACUCACUCCGUUUUAGUCACCUUUCAAUGGCUCCCUUAAUUUCCUAAAUCAAUAAGUGUUCUAAAAGGGCUUGAAAAAUCAAAAUGAUGCCCAACAUUAGUGCCAGGAUUAAGGAACUUUUCACUGCAAAGAAGUGAAUAGCUACGUGGAUGAAGUUAUGGGCCAUGCAGAAAUUCACACUUCACUCUCUCUUGAUUUGUACUCAAAAGUCGCCACCAACCUUCAAUUAUAUGGACUCAUGGAUUCAAUAUUUAGGCUUACAAUUGGACCUUCACAAAGCAAUUGGAGCACUCCAAGCUGCAAAAAAUGUCUCUUCUCUGUGACAUCUGCAGGUGGGCUAGAAGAAGGUUAUGCAUAGAUGGUCUAUGUGCGUGUGCUUACUAAAUGCAUACAAAAUGUAUAAGAACUGAGAUUCCUAUGUUUUUUCCUUUUUAAUUUUAAUAAUUAUGUUAGAUGUUUGCUUGGUAGUUAAGAUGUUUUGGUUUUGGACUGUUACGCUUUGUUAGAACUUAAAAGUAAACAAUUGUUUAGGCUGUAUUUUUUUUUACAGUGUUUUCACCUUUGAAAAUCCGGGUAGAGAAAACCCGGAAAAACCCGUGCCCGGAUAGUGCCGGGCAUGUACCCGGCCUGUAUAAAAAAAAUUCCGGACACGGUGCGGGUUCGGGUAGUUACGUGUGACAUCCGGGUCGGUCCCGGGCAGCCUCAAACCCAGACCCGACCCGGACUUUUGCCAUCUCUACUCCACUGGCCACUGCAACCUAAAAUAGUUUUUCACUUUAAUAACCCAAAAGCUUUCCUCUGUUUCAACUAAGCGAAAAUUUACAUAUUAAAGCCUGGCUCAAAUUCCUUUUUUCAAUCGAAAUUAAACGUAGCCACAAAACCCUAAUUCACCACACCAAUUUAUCUCUGCCCGGUAUUCAUUUAAACCCUACCUCGCGGUUCAAUGUCAUUCAAUACGAUUGCAGAUGCUGUUUCAACUUGUCAUUUAGUUAGCGCCAUCCAGUUCUCUAUGGUAAGCCUUAACCCUAACAACUAAUCGACUGCGGUAGCACGUUGCUUGUUAGGAGUGGGGAUACAUUAUUUGAAUAUAUGAAUUGGGUGAUGUUAGUGAUUCAUUCCCCUAUUUGUCGUGAAUUGAGAUUUGUGCAUAAUGCUAGUAAGAUUGCUAAAAAUUUCAUAUUUUGUAUUGUUCCAGUUGAAUUUCUUGCUUGUGGAAGAUAAAACAAAAGUUCAAUUUCAUGUUGAUUUAAUUCUUCUUUUCCUUCUUUUUAUUUUUCUUCUUUAUAGUCACGCUCUGGCUUUGGUGCUAUGCUUAGUGCAGUUUAUGGUUUCAAGAUUAAGUCAUGUUUAUUUGAUGGCAUCGAUUCCAUCGUUGAGGAUUGGAUUGUUGAUCAAAUGCACAUAGUAAGCUCUUCUUAUUUUAUCUCAAUUUUAAUUUUCUUUUAUUAUCUGCCUCUACCUGAAAAUGGACGUGUUUUACUAGUAAGCAUAGACCUUGUUUAUUUAAUUGAUAUUUUAAUUUUAUGUAUAAGAAUGGAGGUUUAUUUUGGAAAAAAAAAGAAAUAAAAAAAAUACUCUGUUGAAGCUAAUUAGUACUGAAUUUUUUUUGGUGGUGCGACCAGAGGUGGAAACAGGGUAUGAAAAUGUGUUACUGGUGAGGCUGCUGCUUAAGAUGAGAAUGCAUUCUUUUCAAAAAUCCUUGGAAGGUGUGAUCUAAUUAUAUUUGAUGGAAUAUUAAAUGGCUAAAAAUCUGUCAUACGUUCAAACUUUGUUUGUGUUUAGAAGAAUGGUGUUGACUGUAUAUUCGUUUGGAAGAAUGGUGUUGAUUGUAUAUUCAUUUGCUUAGCCUUUUGACAGAUGGAUUUGGAACUGACGAUAAAUGUGAUUCAAUUUACAAGGUUUUCGAGGGGCUCACAGUGGAAGGGAUAUUGAAGAACUGGUCGAAGUUAAAGCCUAUGAUUGUGAAA
rnacentral:lncRNA from 1 species